rnacentral:lncRNA from 1 species
UUGAUUAACUUUUCCAUGCUCUCUCAUUGUACUCUAUAUAAACGAAAGUUUUGUGGUCCUAUAAUUCUCUCUCGAUUUUAUUUAGUACGUACUUAAGUGUUGUCCACUAAUUAAUUACACUUUGUGAGAUUUGAUUUUAAUUAGAGUUCGAAUUAAUGUUGCAGCUAGCAGCGGUUGCACAGGCAAACAAUGCUGCUCAACCAGCACCUCAACUUUACUGGAACUCCGUCCUGCCAAACACACAGAUGCCAAGAUCUAUCAGUGAACUUCUGCAUCCUGGUUUGUGUUGAGCUCUUUAGAAUCUUAGAUAUCUCUUCUACCUGCCAUUUUACUUAAAUAUGUUCGACCACAUAUUUAUCAGUUAACUACUGUCAUUACAUGAGUGACACAUAUUCACAAAUCGGCUGAUCACUUAUUUUCCAUUAUGACGUUGAUAUAUAAUUUGCAGACUCCACAAAUGAAGAAAAGAGCACAAAUGACGUUGGCAAACCUGAAACUUUCCCAUUGGGCAAUCAAAAUUACUCCAGUCAAAAAAAUUAUGGAACAGGCAAUAAACGUUACUGCAGUCAAAAAAGGUAUGGAAGAGGCAAGAAACGUUACUGCGAUCAAAAAAAGUAUGGAAGAGGUGCUUCUCCAUCUGACAAUCAACUACUCCAUUAUAAAGACUUAGCUAUUUUCUUCUUGGAGAAGGACAUGCGCCCUGGCACAACAAUGAAGUUCCAAUUCUCUAGAAAUUCAAACACGGCUACUUUCUUGCCACGAGAAAGCGCUCAAUCGAUCCCCUUCUCCUCUAACAAACUACCAGAAAUUUUCAACCAUUUUUCAGUGAAGCCAACAUCUGAGGAAGCCAAAACAAUUAAGCAAACAAUCGAAGAGUGUGAAGCUCCCGGCCUUAAGGGAGAGGAAAUAUAUUGCGCCACAUCUUUAGAAUCAAUGGUUGAUUUUAGCACUUCGAAGCUUGGAACAAGAAACGUUGAAGCAAUCUCGACGGAGGUAUUGGAAAAAGGAGCCACCAUGUCCAUGCACAACUAUACAACAAUGCCGGGACUGAAGAAGUUGGCCAGUGACAAAGUCGUUGUGUGUCAUAAGCAGAACUAUCCCUAUGCUGUGUUUUUCUGCCAUGCAAUAAAACAUACAGCAGCUUAUGUUCUCUUCCUGAAAGGCGAUGAUGGGGAGAAGGUUAAAGCAGUAACCAUCUGUCAUCUAGACACAUCAGAAUGGAACCCAGAGCAUAUGUCCUUCCAAAUCGUCAACGUUAAGCCCGGAACCAUUCCCAUCUGCCAUUUCAUUUCCACUGAUGCUAUUGCCUGGGUUCCGAACCACAAAUCUGCAUGAUCAUCACUUAGCACUGUACGUAUAAUUAUCUCCUUACUUAUUUCUGCCUCUUCAUCAUGUGGUGUAAGAUAUAUGAUGAGAUGAAGUUUUUGGGAUUAGUGGUUGGGUUGCCUGAAAAACACAGAUUACAGAAACUGCUUGAAAUUAACCCGAUCAUGUUUUCUCUUGUAACUAUAUAGACUUCAACUUGUACUCAUAAUAAAGCAUGCUAUAUUUAUGAAGAGAUAUUAAUCUAUAUAUAUUUUUUAUAUAUGCUUUGGCUUUGUGGUUCUACCCAAUGUUUGAGUGUUGAAUUGUUACGUUGGAAUAGGCUGCUAAUGCAUGUAGUUAGAGAAGCCUUCAUUUAUAUCAAAGUCCUCAAACUAUCAAGAACUAAUGUAUCCAGAAACAUAUACCAAGACGCAAAACAACAUAUUUUCCAUGCUCUGUCUGUAACACCAAAGCAAACUUCCUUGAUCACAAAAGGAUCAAAUUCCAGUACUAAUCUAAUCCAUCAUGUAAAGCAUACAAGUGCCUCCCUAAAUACUAUACUCUUUUUGUUAUUUCCUACUAUACUAUUUAAGAUUUAAAAUUCAGGUCAACCCAUAGAUUUCUCGCCUUUUUCUUCUUCAUCUCGUCGGGCUUGUCUUCUUCUUGAGGAUUGUAUAGGCCAAGGAAAUGCUUUGAGUUAGUUUUUGCGCUUUUGCGUUUUGGGCCUUGGAAGUUGGGACCCAAACCAACUUCACAAAAAGAAAACGCUCAGACUAUAAUGAGUGGAAAGUUAUAAGGGGUAAGUUAUAAGGAGUUCACUUUAUAGCCAUCAGAUCAAUCUAAGGGCUGGGGAGAAUUGAGAUAAAGUUUUAAAAUCGGGUAGGUGAGGAACCCAAACCCGAAUUGAAUAUCCAGCACGUCCGAAAAAGAAGAAGAAGAGGCAAGCACGUCCGAAAAAGAAGAAGAAGAGGCAAGGUCGAAGUUUGAACAGAAAAAACUCAUCUCUUUAAAACCCAUAGCUCUGAGAAACGGUUGAAGGCAACGGUUAACGACGGUUGUUGAAGCCACUCCGUUCUCCAGACCCUGAAAAAGUAUUUAUUUUGAGUAGAAGGGGCAAAUGUGUGGAUUCCGAAACAGUGAAGGGGCGAAGCAGUGGAAGGGGAAGGAGAGAAGCCGUAUUCGUUGGAAGUGGUAGGUUCCAUUUGUGGAGCAAAGCAACACAAAGACCCCGCACAGACACCUUGCGAUUGUUCAAUAACCAGCAUUUGGUGAGUAAUUUAUGGAAUUUGAGUUUAGGGUUAGAGUAAUGGUUUUCCCCAAUUUGUACCAUCAAUUUUGUUGGAUUUGGCAUCUCUUCUUUGUGCUUCAGUUGCAUGUUAAUUUUUGCUUGGGUAUAUGUUAAAAAAAGAAUGAAAAUCAAGUCAAUAACAAGUGAAUAACAUGUCAAUAAUGAUAUGAAUAAGAUAAUGGUGUUGAAUUGGAGGAGGCCCUCAAAACAUUCCACAUUUGAAGCAGUGCAUAGUGCAGAUUAUCUCUCUGGCGCUAGAAUAUAUAUAUAUUUUGAAAUAAAUAUGAUUUCCUUUGUUACUAAAUUUGCCUGAGAAACAUGAGAACAGAUAAUAAUAAACUCAUGAAUAGAAGUGCAAAGCAUUUGAUGAGUAAUUUAUGGAAUUUGAGUUUAGGCCCAGGAAAUUCCUUGACCCCAAAAAAAAAAAAAAAGUUGAUUUAAAAUUCAGGUCAACCCAUAGAUUUCUCGCCUUUUUCUUCUUCAUCUCGUCGGGCUUGUCUUCUUCUUGAGGAUUGUAUAGGCCCAGGAAAUGCUUUGAGUUAAUUUUUGCAUUUUUGCGUUUUGGGCCUUGGAAGUUGGGACCCAACCCAACUUCACAAAAAGAAAACAGAUUUGCCAAAAAUCAAAUUUCAAGUCUCUCCUCCGAUCGAAAUUUGGAUUUGAUGAACUAAAGUGGUUUUACUUUCUCCAUCAGUGUUUGAUAACUUAAUUUGUUAUUUACUUUUUUUUUAAAAAACUUUGGCUUAUAUAUAUUAGUUUUCUUUUUUCCUUCAUAUUCACCACCUUUAUGUUGCAUAAGUAUUUCAGUCUUAAUGGGUUUCCAUCUACCACUCAUCUUUGCUCUUCUCAGUGUAAGCCUUUUUUUUUUUUUAAAGCACAAGAUUAGAGGGGAGGGGGAUUUCUCAAUGUAAGCUUUGCAGUUUCAUAAUUAAUAUUUCCAAUAUCUCACUGUUAGUAAAAUACAGAAAAAGUACUAAUAACAUAUGCACAUGUUACUAAUUUAUUGAGAUAAAACACCAUUUUGCCCCUAGAAUAUUUUAUUAGGUUUAAAGUUGACUUUUUGACCAGGAAGGAAUUUGGGUAUUUAGACUAUAUCGUUGCGUAGAGCAUGGCGAGAUGAGUCCGUAGACACAUGAUUGGCUCGAAUCAGAGUUAUAAUGAGAGAGAUACGAUCAAAAUACCCUCAGUGGUAUAACCGUAAUUUUGGCUUAAAGGGUUUGAUAAAAUAUAAUUUUUCUUUCUUUCUUUCUCUCUCUCUCUCUCUCUCUCUCUCUCUCCUCUCUCUCACGACGGCAGUGAUAGCCGGCCACUUUUUGGCCAGCCAUGCUCUCGUCCGGCCACUAAAGUUGACGGGGCCGGUACCAAAAUGACCGGGCCACCAUCCUUUUCCAACCCCAGCCAGGCCCCACUGCCAGCAGUCGUGAUUUUGCUGAAAAAUGGAGAAGAAGCGGCCGAUUUCGUUCGAACUUCUCCGACUUCGUUCUCUCUCCUCCGGCCACCGAUUUCGAUGAAUGAGGUAUGGUUUCUCACCUACUUUUUAUGCUCUAGCUGCCUGUUGGGUAGGAUUCGAUCAAUUCCUUGCGUAGGUAGCUUGAUUUUCGAAUUGGAUUUCGGCCGGUUUUGGGAUCUCGAUUCCGGCCACUUCCGGUCAGUUUUUGGGGUACAUCCCAAAACAAAAGUGGUUCUAAAUAGGGUGUUAUACCUAGGGUAGGAACCUUGAACCGUAAUUUUGAGAAUUUUCGGUGAUGCCUAAUCGCUUUGGACACCUACGCUAUGCCUGCGUGUGGGCACUAUAGAAAAAGGGCAUUGUGUCCCGAUGCAAUCCCCUUGUUGUCUUGAGCGCGUAGGUGUGCUCGGAUUUCAAUUUGGAUACCGUUUGAAUCUCGAACGAAUAUCGCAUAUUGUGCGUUAUUCGGGGUCGAUAGGUUUGAACUGUUGGAUAGUCUUAGAUUUAUAAUAUGUUAAUCUAGACAUUCUUAGGAUCGAAUGGGAUUAAACGGAUCGUAAAACGGAGUCCCGGAUACUCCAAAAAUGCCAACCCUAGGGCUAGGUUCCUAGUAACCGUCCGAUCGUGCGAUCGUGAGCGAUCCGACCGUUUGAUCCGAACCAAACUUGCAGGACGUGUAUCCUAAACCUUGUAGAACCCAUAGGAACUUUCGGAUUAGAAUUUGGAGGUCGUGGGCCCCUUGGGCCGUUUGACUAAGUUUGGGUAGUUUGACCCUUGGCUGAUCGUGAGUCUUCAGAGGUCUUGAGCGUUGUUGAGCUAUGUUGACUAGGUUUAGACUUUUAGAGUGUUUAUUAUUAUCAUAGGAAACUAUUAGAUAUUAUUUUAAUAAUUGAAAUUAUCAAAUUUAUGUUUAUGUGCAUGAUUGUUGGUCUAAAAAUAACAUUGUUUUCUUGAUAAAAUUACGUUGCAGUCUACUAUAGACUGGUAUCACUAAAUGGAGAUUACCUCUAUUAUUAGUUUAGAUAAUUAAGAGUAUGUCAGUUUGAAGUGCUAUAUGCACUACCCUAAGUACCACCCUGUGAUUGUUAGGUCCCAUGUGGUGUAGAUUAUACAGCGUCAGGACAGACCCCAUACGUGGCUUUGGAUGUUCUGGCGCAUGGGGGAGAUUAUGUAAUGGUUAGGUCAUACGUGGCGUAGGUUAUUCAGCGUGUUGACAGACCCUAUACGUGGCGUUGGAUGUUCCAGUAUGGAAAGAUUUUGUGAUUGUUAGGUCCCACGUGGCGUAGAUUAUCCGGCGUGAGGACAAACCCCAUUCGUGGCUUUGGAUGUUCCUGCGUAUGGGGGAGAUUAUGUGAUGGUUAGGUCACACGUGGCGUAGGUUAUUCGGCGUGUUGGCUAACCCCAUAAGUGCCGUUGGAUGUAACGACCGGUCCUAAAUAAAUUAGUGAAUAUUAAUUUAUUCAGAGAAAAUACCAUUUUGCCCAUAGAGUAUUUUAUUAGGUUCAAAGUUGACUUUUUGAUCAGAAAGGAAUUUGAGAAUUUCGAUUAUACCGUUGCAUAGAGCACGGCGAGAUGAGUCCGUAGACACGUGGUAUGCUCGAAUCGAAGUUGUAACGAGAGAGAUACGAUCAAAAUACCCUCAGUGGCAUAACCGUAAUUUUGGCAAAAAGGGUCGAUAAAAUCAUAUAUAUAUAUUUUCUCUCUCUCUCUCUCUCUCUCUCUCUCUCUCUCUGCGAUAUUGUCCCUCUCUCUCUUUGAUUCACUGCCAUCUGCCCACGGCAGGACUUGAGACUGGUCACGUUUGAACCGGCUCGAUGUCCCGAUCACGUCGCACCCAAAAUGCAAAUGGAAACCUUGAAUUCCAGCCACGGCUUCGACUGGUUUGAACUGGGUUUUUCCCGGCGUUGCGCCACCGCCUCCGCCGCCCAAUUCCGGUGAAACAGGUAUAAUUCCUCACCUAUUUUUCGAGAUCCAGCUGUUGUUGUGUAGGAAUUAGACGAUUUUCAUGUUUAGGAACUCGAUUUAGAAUUUAGGUUUUGGUCGAAUUUUCAAAGUGAAAUUUCGGCCACUUCCGCUGGUUUUUCGGGGUAUGUCUAAGAACAAAAGUGGUUCCAAAUAGGGUGUUAUACCUAGGGUAGGAACCUUGAGCUGUGAUUUUGAGAAUUUCCGGCGAUGCGUAUUCGCUUUGGACACCCACGCGCCGACAGCGCGUGGGCACUGUAGAAAAGGGGCAUUGUGUCUCAAUGCGAUCUGCUUGUUGUCUUGAGCUCGUAGGUAUGCUCGAAUUUCAAUUUGGAUACUGUUUGAGUCUCGAACGGAUAUCGCAUAGUGUACGUUAUCCGGGUUUGAUAGGUUUGAACCAUUGGAUAGUUUUGAAUUUGAUAUAUGUUAAUCUAGGCAUUUCUAGGAUCAUGUAGGAAUUCAGGGAUCAUGAAUCAGAGCCCCGGAUGUUCCGAUUUAAUAACUUAAAGUUUAUGUUUAUAAUAACUAUCAGAUCGUGCGAUCGUGAGCGAUCCGACUGUCUGAUCUGGACCAAACUUGCAGCACGUAUAUCCUAAACCUUGUGGAACAUAAAAAAAUUUCGGAUUAGAAUUUGGAGGUCGUGGGCCCCGUGGGCCCAUUUAACCAAUUAUGGGUAGUUUGAUCCUUGGUUGACCGUGAGUCUUCCGAGAUAGUUUUACCUUCCUAGGAGGAUUAUAAUGACCCUAGUGAUAGGUCUUGACCGUUGUUCAGCUAUGUUGACUAGGUUGAGACUUCUAGAGUGUUUAUUAUAUUAUUGUAGGAAACUCUUAGAUAUUAUUUUAAUAAUUGAAAUUAUGAAAUUUAUGUUUAUGUGCAUGAUCGUUGGUCUAAAAAUAAUAUUAUUUUCCUGAUAAAAUUACGUUGCAGUCUACUAUAGACUAGUAUCACUAAAGUGGGAAUACCUCUAUUAUUAGUUGAGAUAAUUGGGAGUAUGUCAGUUUGAAAUGUUAUACCCUAAGUACUACUCUAUGAUUGUCAGGUCACCCGUGGCGUAGGAUUUUCCGGUGAGAUGACAGACCCCAUACGUGGCGUUGGAAUUUCCAACGUAUGGAGAGAUUAUAUGAUUGUUAGGUUUCACGUGGCGUAGGAUUUUUCAGCGGGAUGACAAACCCCAUACGUGGCAUUGGAAGUUUCAGCGUAUGGGGAGAUGAUAUGAUUGUUAAGUCACACGUGGCGUAGGUUAUUUGGAGUGCUGACAGACCCCAUACGUGGCGUUGAAAUUUCUGGCGUAUGGAGAGAUGAUAUGAUUGUUAGGUCACUUUGGAUGUUCUAGCGUAUUGGGAGAUUAUGUGAUUACCAGUGAGAUGAAUAAAGGAUUGUUAUGUUAUAUUGGGAAAAACAUGUUUGUAGAAAGAAUUACGUGUGGCUUGAUCCCUCAGUAAGGGUACGUAGGCAGCCUAGGGUAGUGCCUUGGUGCAGUCGCUGACUAAACAUUAUAAUGUUGUUUUUAGGUUUGAUUAUAUGGUAUUAUGGGGCAAGGCCCCUAGGACUAUUGGUGAUAAUUCAUAGAUGGUAGUGGAUGCAUGCUAGAAAUUUGUAGGAAGUUAUUUCAUGUGGAUUGCAGUGGUACUCGUAAAAUUUAUUUGAGUUCCUUAAUUGCAUUGUUAAUAUAUUAAUUUACUUAAGAGUACUGCUAGUAGUUCUGCCUUGAUUUAUUUGAAGGCUGGAGGCCUUGUCUGGAAACUGUGUGCAAUUAGAUUGUGUGUGCUGGCAGUUGACUUUUUAAAUUGUGAAUUUUGUGCAGGUUGAAAUUUGGGAAAUGUUCAAUUUACAGGGGAGACUCUGCUGAAAUUUCGGUAGAAAGUCUUGUGCCCUUAUUCCUUUUUGGGGAAAAGGAUAUAGUUUUAGAAGUGGCGAUGUCGGGAAUUUCCACAGGAUUCGUCUCGGGUUUCGGGAAAUUCGGGGCGGGUCUGAAAAAGUUGUUUCAGUUUUGGCAAGUAUCGGAAAAGACCAAAAUUUUCCGACUUUAUUAUUACUAGAAACAAGGUCGAAGUAUUUACCAAUCAUGUGGCCUUCCAAGUGCUCUAGGUUAAGCCAGGAACCGUUCCUAUCUGCCGUUUCCUUCCCAACUAUGAUCAUGUUGUCUGGGUUCCAACCCACAAAUCUACAUUGGGCUACGUAUUUGAAUUUGUACUAAAGCGUGAUCUAUAGUAUGCAUAUAUUGGAUAAGUUUGAGAUCAGUGGCUUGGGUGUCCGCUGAGCUUGAACAAGUUUGGGUGUGCUGAGUGUUUCCAUGGGUGUGUUGAUGAUCAUGGUUAUUAGAUUUGUGAUAGUUUGGGCUCAAUUUCAACAGAACUCAUCUCAAGCCUAGAUAGUUGAUUCUUAAGUUUAUCAGGAAAAAAAAUUAAAAAUUAAAAAAUCUAAAGUUAAGCCCAAGGCGCCGAACUUGGACUUCUCACCAAACUGUGCAUAAAUUGAAAUAUUUAAUAGAAGCCCAAGAUUUUUGAAGCACAUAAUAUCUACAAAAAUCUACAAAGUGUAAUACUUUACAAACUUCUUAUGUGUACCAAUUUCUGCUCAAAUUAAUUUCUCUGUGGUGCUGAGAUUCAUCAUAAUUUUAGUAGAAAUUGGAAGUUUUCAUCAUUUUUGCUUUAAGUCUCUCCUCCACUCACUAAUAAAGAUUACUCAAGUGAGUUUACAAAACAUUUUUUUUCUACUCUCUCCUGAAGACUACACAUCUUCUCAAAAGAUUAGAUCACUUCACAUCUUGUAUAUGUGAAAACUAAUGCAAAAAGUUGAAACUUUAUCAUAAAACCUCGACAAAAAUUAGCUCUACUUAGAACAUUAAAUUUGGAUUCGUUGAUUUAAAUGGCAAUUUGACACUUCAUAGAAAUUUUUACAUACAUGUGUUAGUGUUUGAUCACUUCACUUAUUACUUACUAUAUUUAUUCCAUGAUUCUCCCUCAAGUUAUGUAAAUAUUAUUAUCAAACAUUUCAAUUCAUUUGUGAUAUUUCUUGUCCAUCUUUCAAUGUACCCUGAAAUCCAUUAGCCACAUAUGAUGACCAAAAUCCACACUCUGUUGUUUGCAAACGUUCAAUAUACGACUUGCAUCCACAGUCCUGACCCAAAUGAAAUGCGGAAACUGUCAAGCUAACUGUAGGGAGGACUAUAUUUGAUUUUACCUUAAAGACUGAUCCGAAACCACCUUCUCCAAGUUUAUUGUUGUUUGAAUAGUUUUUGGUUGCACAAACAACAGCGGCCAAGUCAAAUAAUGGCAAUUCCAGAUCUUCCUUUUGGCCGGGCUUCAGUUCUCCUGUGAAGUACGUAGUGAAGUAAAUAAUGUAGCAUGGAACCUUAGCUUAGAAACCAGAGAGGCAACAGCAAAAAUUUUCUAUAGAACUGAACCUACCUAUCUUAGAAAAUGAAGGGGCAGAAGAGUAGAAAAUCAAAUAGCUUACCAUAUUUUUGUUGCUGGUUCUUCCUCACAUAUAAUAGCAGGGUAAGGCCCAGGGUCAGCAGUCCAGUAGACAACACAGUACUGGUUACUAUGAUCUUUGUAUUGUGUCCUUGAUCUAGGAAUGAAGUAUUUGAAAGCAGAAGAUUGAGGAGUCAGAAAUUCAUAAAGAAAAAAUCUCUACUUUUUAUCAUCCAACGAACAAUUAAUGCUAGUUUCUGAGACAGUUCUAAAGAAAUAUUUUUCUAACAAUGUCAAAAGUUUUCUGGCUCUAUCUUGUUUCUAAUCAUGUCACUGUUGGAAGAUUUCUUUCUUCUUUUUUCCUUGGUGGCUUUUAUUUUUCUUUCAAACUUUGUUUUAAACAGCAAGAUGAUUCCAUACCUAGUUCUGACGAAGCCAUUCUUAUGUAAAUAUCUUGCCCAUUUAUAUUGGAAUAUCUUAUAUCAACCAGAUCGCUGAACCACAGCAAGGACCCCCUUCCUCCAUCUCGGAUAUCCAAAUUUGAAAAAGCGGCGCAGGAGCAGUUGUUCAUGCACAUCAUCUCACAUUCCUUGAGGUUCAUAAUUGUGUUAUACUAGGAUUGUUCUGUACUUUAUUUCACCCCAGUGUACUUCUUAAAGAUGUCUCCACUGCAAUUCAGUUGGCUCUUUCUCACAGAUCUAUAUGACCAAUCCACCAAGUCCCAGUCUUGUUGAAAGUCGGUAUAAAUCCUUUCAAGCAGCUACGUACUGGGGACUUGUCAAUACAACAUGCACCAUUCGGACCACAUAUUCCAUAUUUGUCGCAGAUAUCAGUCGUUGCUCUUAGAUAAACAACCCAACCUUGGUUUCCAUCACUCCCGAUGUAGCUCAGCCCAAAUCCAUCUUGAGUUAACGCCAGCCUGAAAAGAGUUGAGCUGUUGAGAAGCUUAUAACCAUAAUAUACUUCAUCAUCAUUAUCCAACACAAAAUCAUAUGUUGGAUUUAAAUUAUGCAUCCCACUAAAUUGGAUUCCAUUCCAUGGUGCAGUCCGAUAUUUUAUAACAGAACCCUCCCUCAGAAUUAAUUCAUGGUACCCAUAAGGACCAAGUUGAUAUGGGUAAUGUCCUUGAGAAGGAUCCUGGGGGCUUUUCCAGGGUGUAAGAUGCCAAUUAAAACCUGUGAUUUUGUUCCUAACAAGCUUCAUACCUGGUAUUAAUGUAUCUCCUGGGUAAUCAAAACUCUGCCAUAAAAUAUUAUCAGAGUCAUUACGACCAUUGCCAUCUAUCACAACAAGAUUUCCGGAAUCCAAAAUCUGUGCCACUGGAUUCUAUGAAGAACUUGAUGUGUUGGAAGACCUGUAGUGUUCUUUGUUGAAUAUUUGGAUUGCAAAGGGAGCAAGAAAUGUACUGAGAGAGAAAGAGAGAGAGAGAGAGAGAGAGAGAGAGAGAGAGAGAGCAGUGAGCCUUAGAUUGUUCUAACAGUUUUCUUACUCUGCAUGAACAUAGCAGCAGAGCUUAUAUUCCUUCAUGACUGUUACAUGUUCUCUCUUACAUCAGUAGAUUCAAAUCUAACGGUUUGUAAUAGUAAGCCAAUGUGAGUAUGACACAUGGCAAUACACAGCUGUCCUAACAGCUGGGAAUUCAAAACAGACUCUAGCAUUGCACCUGGCAUAUAAGCACAAGGCACUCAGCUAACACAAAGAUUAAAAACAGAUUGAAUAUAAACUGACAUAGAACUUACUAACUAAUCUGAAAUUAGCUAGACAGUUUACAUUUUAACACUCCCUUCUAAAGUGCUAGCUGAUUUCACUCCAAGCAUUCUCCUCAAAUAGUCAAACCUGUCUUUGGGAAGAGCUUUGGUGAAGAUAUCAGCAAUCUGCUCUUCUCCUUUGCAGUAGAGCAGUUCAAUCACUUCUUCUUGUAUUGCAUCUCUAAUAAAAUGAAACUUCCUUUUAAUAUGCUUGCUCCGUUGAUGAAAAACAGGAUUUUUAGCCAUUGCUAUGGCUGAAGUGUUGUCACAAAACACAGUUGUUGCAGUGGUCUGUUCUUCCCCAAAAUCUUCAAGAACAAACCUGAGCCAAAUGGCUUGUGAUGUAGCUUCUGCUGCACUCACAUACUCUGCCUCUGCAGUAGAGAGAGCCACACUGUGUUGUUUGACUGAUGCCCAUGAAAAAGCACCACUUCCAAAUGAAAAUGCAUAUCCAGAAGUGCUUUUCAUAUCUUCCUCAGAUCCACUCCAGUCACUGUCACAGUAACCAACUAAGAGUGCAGAUUUUCCUGUCACAUACUCAAUUCCAUAGUCAAUUGUGCCUUGUAUGUACCUUAGAACCCUUUUAGCUGCCCCAUAGUGCAUCUUAGAAGGGUUAUGCAUGAAUCUUGCAAGCAGGCAGGCAGAGAACAUGAUAUCUGGCCUGGUUGCAGUAAGGUACAGCAGGCUGCCUACAAUUUUUCUGAACAAACUUUCAUCUGCAGCAUCACUUCCAUCCUCUCUUUUCAAUUUAUCAGUAGCCACUAAUGGAGUGCUUACUGACUUGCAGUCUUUGAGUCCAAACUUAUCCAAGAGAGUGAGAGCAUACUUCUUUUGAUGAAUGAAGAUGCUCCCUUCAGUUUGUGUUACUCCCAUACCAAGAAAAUGGUGGAGUAAACCCAAAUCAGACAUCUCAUACUUGCACAUCAUUUCAGCUUUGAAUUCUUUCAUCAUUUCAUCUCUACUUCCUGUGUACACUACGUCAUCUACAUAGAUUGACACUAUUAGUGUUCCCACCUUCCUUUGUUCUCACAUAGAGAGUGGCUUCACUUGGACUUCUGUGAAAACCACACUGAUUCGAGUAGGUGUCAAUUUCACUAUACCAGGCCCUUGGAGCCUGCUUCAACCCAUAGAGGGCUUUUCUUAACCUAUACACCUUAUCCUCAUCAUCUUUAACCACAAAACCAUCCGGUUGAUCAAUAUAAACUUCUUCUUCAAGGACACCAUUUAGGAAGGCUGACUUGACAUCCAAUUGCCAUAGUUUCCAGCCUUUCUGAGCAGCAAGAGCUAUGAGAGUUCUAAUGGUGUCUAACCUUGCUACAGGAGCAAAGGUUUCAUUGAAAUCAAUCCCUGGUUUUUGUGUGUAUCCCUUGGCAACAAGUCUUGCUUUAUGUUUUUGAAUGGAGCCAUCAAGAUUAAGCUUAAUUUUGAAUAUCCACUUCACUCCCACAAUUGGUUUACUACUUGGCCUGUCAACCAAUUCCCAACUGGAGUUUUUCUCUAUCAUAAGUAUCUCCUCAGUCAUAGCCUUCCCCCAAGCUUCAUCUUUGACUGCUUCUUCAAAAUUUUCAGGUUCAAUGAUGCUCAUCUUGCAUUGAGCAUACACUUCACUCAAACUCUUCCAUUUCUUUGGGGUGUUAUCAUAAGUUUCUAAUGGAGCAGAGUCUUGAGUAGCAUGCACAUCAUUACUUGUUUGUGUUUCCAUAGGAGACUGUACAAUCUGUUGCUGUAACAGAUUUGGUUAUGAAUCCAAAUCUGAUACAAUUGAACUUACUCCAUCACCCCAAGACAUAGGGAUUUGCAAUGCCUCAUUGGUUUCCCAAUUCCACAUUGCUUCUUCAUCAAAAAUAACACUCCUAGACAGCUCAAUCUUUUGAGUUCUCAAGUUGAGCACUCUAUACCCCUUUUCACAUACACCAUAUCUUACAAAUACUCCCUUCUCACCUGUGUCUUCCAGCUUGUGCCUUUUCUGUGUGGGGAUGUGAAUAUAGCAUAGAGAACCAAAUAUUCUCAAAUGCUUGACACCUGGUUUUCUUCCACCGAACUUUUCAAAUGGAGUGGAAUUGUCCAGUGCACUUGUAGGACAUCUGUUCUGCAAAUAUACAGCUGUAUUGACAGCUUCUGCCCAAAACUUCAAAGGGAUUUUCUUCUCAUACAUCAUGGCUCUUGCCAUUUCCAUCACAGUACGAUUCUUUCUCUCUGUAACUCCAUUCUGUUGUGGAGAGUAGCCUACUGNNNNNNNNNNNNNNNNNNNNNNNNNNNNNNNNNNNNNNNNNNNNNNNNNNNNNNNNNNNNNNNNNNNNNNNNNNNNNNNNNNNNNNNNNNNNNNNNNNNNNNNNNNNNNNNNNNNNNNNNNNNNNNNNNNNNNNNNNNNNNNNNNNNNNNNNNNNNNNNNNNNNNNNNNNNNNNNNNNNNNNNNNNNGGUGUGGUCAUCAAUGAAGGUGAGGAAAUAUCUGUUCCCUCCAAGAGUGAUGGUCUGCAUUGGACCACAAAUGUCUGAGUGAAUCAGUUCUAGAGGUUGAGUGGCUCUCCAAGCUCCUUCCUUAUCAAAAGAGCUUCUGUGAUUCUUGCUUUCAGCACAACCUGAGCAGACCUUCUCAUGUUCUUGUAAAUUAGGCAUUCCCUGAACCAUAUCUCUCUCUUGUAACAACUUCAAACUAAUAUAGUUUAGGUGCCCAAAUCUUCUGUGCCACAGCCAGGAUGUUUCUCCAACUGUUGCUCUGUUUGCCAUAGGAGGAUUAACAUAGUCAAGAUUUAAAGGAAAACAUUUGUUUCCCUUCAUUGGCACUCUUGCAAUGCAAUCUUCCAACUGCCUAUCUCCAUAGAUAUCAACUGCAUUAUCACCAAAUACAAGCCAAUGCCCAUGUUCUAUCAUUUGACCUACACUUAGCAAAUUUUCAUCUAAACUUGGUACAAUCAUGAUUUCUUUGAUAUAUCUAGUCACACCCUUCAUUUCUAUAGCCAAAGUCCCUUUGCCUAUUAACUGCACUAGAUCACCAGUCCCCAUUUUGACUUUACUCUUCAUACUUUUAUCAACAUUUACAAGUAAUGACUCAUGGGAAGUCAUGUGAUUGCUGCAUGCACUAUCAACAUACCACAUAUUCACAUUCUUUCCAAUUGUUGCAGCAUGACAUGCAUAGAACAUAAUGGCAGGUUCAGUUACCUGAUUUGCAAUGUUAGCAAGUUUCCCUGCCUUGUUUGCUUGGUCACAGUCCUUAACAAAAUGACCAAAUCGAUUGCAGCCAUGACACUUUGGUUUUCCUUUAAACCAACACUCACCAUAGUGUAACUUCUCACAAUGUUUGCAUUUUCCAGAUUUGUCUCCUUGACUUGGUUUUCCCCCUUGAUUGGCACUGUUUUGGGGUUUAGAAUCCCAUUUCUUAUCCUUGGACUUCCAAUUCUUCUUUGAUUUAUUAGAGCCAGAACUAGAACUUGAUUGAGAUCCUUUUGAGUUUAUGCUCAUGCUGCUGAAAGCUUUCUCAGUGGUGCUUUCUGCAUGUCUGUCAAGGCGCUGAGCAAAACCUCUUAAUGCUGCAAUUACCUCCUGCACUUCAAUGGUUUCAAUGUCUCUAGUUUGCUCAAUCACAUAGCAGACUGGAUCAAAUUCCUUGGUUAAGCUUAUUAGCAGUUUUUGAACUAUCCUCCCUUUGGUCAGAUCUUCCCCAUAUCCCUUCAUCUGAUUUACAAGCUCAAGUAACCGAGUGAUGUAUCCAGACAAGAUCUCAUCAUCCUUCAUCCUGGUGUACUCAAAAUCUCGACGCAGACCCUGCAACAUGAUGGAUCUGACUUGCUUAUCACCAUGAAACUCCUGAUGCAAGAUAUCCCAAACACCUUUUGAGGUUUCUUCAUUUGAGAUUCUGGGAAAGAUGUCAUCUGAAACAGCACCUUGGAUAAUACCAAGAGCCUUAGCAUCUUUCAUCAACAAGGACACCAUCUCUGAAUCUGAUGACCCUUCUUUAUCAGCUUUUGAAUCUGGAACUUGAAGGCCUUUCUCAACCAAAUUCCAGAUUCCAUGAGAUUUGAAAAUUGUUCUCAUUCGAAUCUUCCAAAACUCAUAGUUCUCCCCAUUGAAUAUUGGAGCUCUAAGAUCACUCCCUCCUGACCCAGCCAUCUGAGACCAGACUCAAUGAGUUGAGAGUAGGAAAUUUCCCGUUGGAUUUCCAGACUCAGCUCCCACAGCUUCAACGCCCUCUAUCCAGAUCCAACCUGCGCACCUGAUACCAUGUUGAAUAUUUGGAUUGCAAAGGGAGCAAGAAAUGUACUGAGAGAGAGAGAGAGAGAGAGAGAGAGAGAGAGAGAGCAGUGAGCCUUAGAUUGUUCUAACAGUUUUCUUACUCUGCAUGAACAUAGCAGCAGAGCUUAUAUUCCUUCAUGACUGUUACAUGUUCUCUCUUACAUCAGUAGAUUCAAAUCUAACGGUUUGUAAUAGUAAGCCAAUGUGAGUAUGACACAUGGCAAUACACAGCUGUCCUAACAGCUGGGAAUUCAAAACAGACUCUAGCAUUGCACCUGGCAUAUAAGCACAAGGCACUCAGCUAACACAAAGAUUAAAAACAGAUUGAAUAUAAACUGACAUAGAACUUACUAACUAAUCUGAAAUUAGCUAGACAGUUCACAUUUUAACAUUCUUAUGGUCGGCAGGGACAAGAAUUCCAGGGCUGCUCAACUUGAAUACACCUGAUGAACCAGUGAGGGGUGUGUUUCUUUUAGUCUGCACUAUAUAUGCAGGGUCUGACUCUAAUUAGAAGAUAAUUGUAUUAAUUUGGUAAAGCUUUGUCUGUAACUGUCUCGCACCUUAAAAAAAUUUCACAAUUAGCAGCAUUGGCAAUACUUGAUUAGAAAGCAGAAACCCUACAGUAUAUAGUUAAGUUGAGUAGCUGGGAAGACAAUUAGUAAGCUUUCAAUACUAAAGUUGAAUAUUGGGGAGACAAAUUACUAGAGCUUCAAGUUCAGAUAAAUAGGAUGAAUUUCUCUUAAGGGAUCCCCUUUCACUGUAGCUUGGAGUAGAAUUCAUUUUGACACAAUAUCAAUUAUCAAUGUAAACACGUUACUGAUGCACUAUUGACAAUAUCGAUGCACGUCAUAUCAUAUUUGUGGGAGUAAAUUUCCUCACGAGAAUAUUUGGUUCAAAAGAUUCCCCUUUUUUUUUUUUUUGCCGCCUCUUUCUCCUUGCAAAAUAGAACAAAUAAGAGGACCACACCCGGGGGGUGUUGGCCAAAGGCCCUCCGAUGCUAAAUUAGUUCAAGUAUUUGUAAGAAAAAUACUAGCUAACUAGGGUACAGAGGUGUAUUUAAGGUGUAAACCGGGCAGCCGAAGUCUUAUGUAAAAGAGAGAGAGAAAGGAGGUGGCUAGCGUUUGAGAGGAAUUUUCUGCAGAGUUUUUAGUAGAGAUUUCAGACGUACCUCAACCAUUGUGUGUGGCCAUCUUUUUAUAGUGGUCUUGGAGGCUAGGGUUUCAGAGGAAUAAUUCCGUAGAUGGAAAGGAAUUAUUCCUCCCCUAUUUGGAAUUGAUUUGAUUAAUUAGGGAUUUGAUUUAUUAGGGUAAAUCAAAUCCCUAAUUGUGGUAGGUAUCAAAUCAAAUCCUUUUUUAAUUAGGUAACUCCUCAUUUAAUUGGGAAUUGUGGUAGGAAUCAAAUCAAUUCUCAACCUAAUUAGGUAACGUUCAAUUUAAUUGGGUAAUUCCCAAUUAAAUUGAGUAACUCCCAAUUAGGUUGAUUAAUUCCCAAUUAGAUCAAAUAAUCCCCUAAUUGAAGGAAUUAUUUGACCUAGGGUCUGAUUUAAUUCGAUUCCCACAAAUGCCCCCCAGCUUCUGCAUGGUGCAUGGUGGCACGUAGGAGAUGUAAAUUAUCUGUUGGGCUGUCCAGCUGUAACUGGGCUUCCUUCGUGGACCUGGGCUCCCGAGUAGAGGAGGUGUUUGACUUGCCAAUUUUAUGAACACCCAAUUGGAAAGGGUUUGAGAUUCCUUGUAGGUCAAGGAAUUUUGCUCCUUAUAAAUGUAGGGCUCCUCCAAAUUAUUCUCGACAUCAGAAAUCUACUCCUCCAAAUUUGUUAGUGAGAGAGAGAAGACUUUGGAGAAUUUUUCAGCGUGCUUGAGACUUCAUCUUUGCAGCCCAUCCAAGGUAAUUUGAUAGGAAGAAUUUUAUUUUGAGUUGCUAUGACUUUUGGCAGCAAGCUGUGAGACUAAGGGCAUGUCUUGAGGUGCGCGCUAGGGCUUUAGGCAUGGCAAGAGACUCGGAAAGGCUAGCAGGUUCGUUUCCACCUACGCUGGGCUCAAGGAGAAGGCAACAGGGCUUCAGGCCUUGUGGAUGAAGUGGGCUUUCGCUGGGAGCAAGAGGCCUGGAGCUGAGGCAAGGAGACAAUGGGCCUGGUACGAGGUGUGGGCUGAGCAUGCCAGCUUUGGAGCAAGGGGGCCAGGACGACUGCUGGGCAGGAGGUGCGCUGGGCUGCAUGCGCGAGCUGCGCCGAGUGCUGGCUGGAGGAGCGAGCUGGGCUGCGCGCUAGGCCAUUCAUGCUGGGCUACUUCCGUUUUUUUUUUGUUUUUUUUUAAAUUUUAUUUGCUGUUGCUGCUUUUUUUUUUGUUUUUUUGUUUUUUUUUUGUUUGGUAUUCUAACUCGUAAUUUUUUUUUUCUUCUUACAGCUACUUGUUGAUCAACCAUGUCUUCCGGAGAUGGUAGCAAGGCUCCAAGCUCUUAGGUCCUUUUGUAUUUAUGGGGAGGCUCCAUAGUGCAUGGCAAGAAGUUUGUGGUCAACUUGCAUCGCGUCACGACUUAUGCUCAGUUCCAGAAGUGGCGGGCCACUUAUGCGUCUGCCAUUCCAGAUGACGUGCUGGUCAAGCUAUUGAAAUCUCAAACUGAUAACGAGCCUUUGGUGGACGUGAGUGAUCAUGAUGCUAGGAUCAUUACCUUCCGUCCUUUUUACUUCUCUUUAGGCUUCAAAUUCCCGUUGUCAAAGCUCUUCAAGAAGGUGUUCUGUGCCAUGGGGUGUGCUCCGAGCCACUGUACUCAUGUGCUUCAAGAAUUUGAGUCGUUUCUUCAUGUUGGAGCUGACGAUGCGAGAGUUCUUUUAUUUUUUUCGAAGUGAGGCACUUUGAGCGGUACGCCCAAGUUCGUAUCUACAAGGCCAAGCUGUUCCACGGUCUCAGUCAAGGAGAUCACGCUUGACAUGAAGAUGUGUUGGAGGUCAGCAGACGGUGGGAGGGUGACGUCGGUGACGGCCCACCUGUUCCCAUCACCUAUUGUGAUGGUAUGUCUCUUUACGAUUUUUGAUAUGCUCCUUUUAUUUGAAUUUCUUGAAGUGUGGCAGACUAACUUCUAUCUUCUGCUCGUAGUGAGUGACAUUAGCAAGCAAUUGGAGCUCCGACCAGACAUGGCUAAGGUCCGUCGUGCUUUGAACAUCCCUCUAAGGUUUCACGAGUGGCGCUGGCUGUUGAGUGAGUACCGGGAGGAAGACGGUGGUUUUCUCCUUGCCGAGGAUGUCGAAAGGUGGAAGCAGAACGAUCCUGACCCUGAUGAUCUGCUUGGCAGACAGGAAGAAUGUUCUGCUUAAUCGCUCUUAAAGAGAAAGGCUGCUGCCAAAUCUUUGAGAUGUGAAGCUACUUCUUCGCAUGCAAAGGAUGGGUCUCCAUCGAGGAAGAAACCAAGGCUCCCUUCUGCUGAGAAGACUCAAGUGGGGUCUGCUCCCUCAUCAUCUGCCAGGGUUAAGCAUCUCGUGGGUGCAGAUAGCAAGAAGGUUGGUGGUAUGCAUGGUACUCGGGGUGUUCUGCCCAAGCUUCCUGCUGACACGCUCGAAAACCAUGAUAUACUUCGUGAAGUGGCUCGUGCCCAACCUAGUUCUGCCAAGCGUCAAAGAGAUGUAGACAUUCCUCCUAGAAGUUCGAGUUGUCUGCAUCGGUCAAAAGAUGGAGACCGAAGCGGGAGGUCUGCUUAUGAUCCAGCAUUAUUGACUCAUUUGGAGAUGAGGUUGGCGAAGGCUAAGAAGGUGAAAGAGUCAUCUGCCCGGGUUAAGGGUUCUUCCUCGGCGUUGGUAGUUGGUCCCAAGAUGAACAAGUCUAGCUCUGUAGGGGAUGCAUGCGUAUCUGAUCUGCUCAAGAUGAACUUCCUAUCAAACCCGUCCUCUUGUGUUGAGUUGGUUGAUCACAUCCCUCAAGCGGGCGAUCUAGGCACUUUCUCGUGCCUUUCCUUAGAAAAAUGAAGGAAAAUGACAUUCCAUCUGAUUCAAAAAGGACUGGUUUUUGCUACUGAGACUAUUUGGAACUCAUCUGCUAUUGCCCCUCUUCUGUCCAACUCAGCGAGUUGGAGAAGAAGAAUGCUGAUUGGCUAGACAGCUUUCCGCCGAGCAGGCCCGUUACGAGAAGAAGAUGUCUGAUUUGAGGGCGAUGAUAUCUGAGCUGAAAAGCUCCCUUACCGAGAAGGAUUUCGAGCUCAACUCUUCUGCUGCUGAUUUGGCUAGUCGAAAAGAUACCUUCUUUCGUCUUGAGCAUAAGAAUGCUGACAUCUUCCUUAGCUAUAACAAACUCCUGGCUAGAUUUCAUGCCUACCAUAAGUCUGCUAAAGAAUCCAAGACAGAUGGAGCUGCUGAAGGCGUAGCCGGUCAGGUGGAUGCCGAAGAGGCUGCAGCUUAAAAGUCUUCUGCUGGCGUCUCAGAGUAGAUGAAGACUCUUUUUUGUUUCUUUUCAGCUUUUGUAGUUUGCUUUAUUGUUUAGAAUAACUGGUCUUAUUUGACCAUCUUCUUUUUGUUGAACUUGGCUGGUUGGUCUGUUUGUUAGGGAAAUUUCAGUUACAUUUUCCAACUUCAAUUUGCAUAUUUGACUUGUGAACUGCUUAAGUAACCAGCCUGUGUUUUGAUUGCACAUCCCCCUUUAGAGAUUUGUGAGUACCAGGGUCCCCCUUGGAGGACUCCGGCCAUGCACAGUAUAUCUCGUAGGAUGGUUCCCCUUAGGAAGUUGGCGAGUACCAGGGUCCUCUUUGAGAGACUCCGGGUGUGUUCUGCACAUCCCGUAUGAUGCCUUAAUCGUCGCCUUGCUUCUCCCGUAGGACGCUGCUUAUAGGCAACUAUAUGACUAUCCUGCCUUUCUUAGGAAACGGAUAGGAACCUGGAUAUUUCCCGCAUGAAGCAUGGAGACCUCCUUUUAAGAAAUUUUUGGUGCACCAUGCUUCUCCCUUAGGACGCUUUUUUCGCAGGCUGGGUCUCCAAAUGGACGCUUUUAGUCGUUGCCCUGCGUCUCCCUUAGGACGCUCCUUAUGGGCAACUGUGUGACUAUCCUGCCUCCCUUAGGAAAUGGAUAAGACUUGAAUAUUUCCCGCAGUAAGCAUGGCGACCCCCUUUUAAGAAACUCCUGGCGUACCCUGCAUCUCCCUUAGGAUGCUUUUUAAGAGGGCUGCUUCUCCAAACGGACGCUUUUAGUCGUUGCCUAUGUCUCCCCUAGGAUGCUCCUUAUGGGCAACUGUGUGACUAUCCUGCCUCCCUUAGGAAACAGAUAGGAAACUAGAUAUCUCCCUUAGGAAAUUCCUAGCGCACCUUGCGUCUCCCGAAGGACGCUUUUUUAGCUGGCUACGUCCCGAAACGGACACUUUUAGUCGUCGCCCUGCGUCUCCCUUAGAAUGCGCCUUAUAGGCAACUGUGUGACUAUCCUGCCUCCCUUAGGAAACGGAUAGGAACCUGGAUAUCUCUCUUAGGAAAUUCCUGGGGCACCUUGCGUCUCCCGAAGGACGCUGCUUAUGGGAAAAUAUUGUGUUUCGUGGGCAGAUGAGACAUUUUGGAAUGAGAAACUGAACUUAUAUUGAUAUUCAUAAGAUUACAGUCCUUUAUUUGAAAAUGGAAAUAACUUGGUUCAAAAACUUAGAACUUCUAGCAGCUACGAGGAAGCACUAUGGAUAAUACUUUCGGAGAUGGUGAGCAUUCCAUUGUCGUGGUAUUUCCUUCCUAUCCAUGGUGUCCAGUGUGUUGCUUCCUCUGCCCCGGACCUGCUGAUCACAUAAACGCCCUCCCAGUUAGGAUUCACUUUUUUUGACCCGUGUCUUGGUGCAGUAAUGAAAGCCUUAGCACGAGGUCGCCUGGUUGAAACUGUUUGACCUUAGCUCUUUUGUCGUAGUAAGACUUCAACUGCUAGUGAUAGGAGGCGACCCGAAUAAUGGUCUUCUCACGCCUGCCCUCAAGUAAGUUGAGGUUGAGCCUCAUCUGCUCGGAGUUCUGAUCAACACUGCCUACCUUAAGACUUAUAGAGAGGACAGUGAUGUGAGGUGGUAUGAUCACUUCUGUUCCAUAGGCGAGAGAGAAUGGGGUUUCACCAGUCGAUCUUCGCUUGGUGGUGUGAUAAACCCAUGGUACUCUGGGGAGUUCAUCCACUCAUUUCCCUUCAGCGCCUUCCAGCCUUUUCUUUAAGCAGUCCAAUAUGACUUUGUUGGAUGCCUUGGCUUGUCCAUUUCCUUGUGGAUACCUCGGGGUGGACAAGUGUUGUUUGAUCUUGUAUUUCACAAAAAAAGCGGUGAUCUGCUUGCCAAUGAACUGUGAGCCAUUGUCGGUAACCAACGACUGUGGGCAGCCAAACCGGCAUAUGAUGUUUCUCCAGAUGAAUCACUCCACAUCGGCUUCUUUAGUAAAUGAUAGAGCUUCGGCCUCGAUUCAUUUAGUAAAGUAGUCGGUGGGGACGAUCAUCAUUUCUUUCUUGGCGGGCGCUAGUGGCAAGGGAUCCACUAGGUCGAUGGCCCAUUGCAUGAACAGCCAUGGACUGUUUUGCGGAUGAUAGACUUCGGCAGGCAAGUUAGGGAUCGGCUUGUAUUGCUGACAGCGUCACAUUUCUUGGCACAUUCAGCACAGUCGUGACGUAUGGUAGGCCAGAAGUAGCCUAUGUUUAGAACUUUCUGGGCGAGUGACCUGCCCCAGAAUGGUUGCCAUACUCGUCGUCGUGAAUUUUACAGAUAAUCUCAAGUGUUUGAUGGUACUUUAUGCAGGUGAGAUGAAGGCCGGAGUAUGAUCUGUGGAUGAGCUUGUUGCCGUGCAUGUAGUAUCUCUCGGCCUUUUGCUGGACUUUUCUAGCUUCGGACUUGUCCGUUGGCAGGUUUCCAUUCGUGAAAUAGUCGAUGAUGAGGUCUUGCUAGCUGGGGUCCUCGUCAAUCUGCAUGGUAUUAAUCGGCUCUAUUUCUUCAAUGCUUGGUCGGUCAAGGUGUUCGACCUAGAUGGAGUGUUUGAACUGGGUAUCCAGCGUUGAACCUUGGCUUGCCAGUGCGUCUGCAUGCGCGUUCUUUGCCCGGGACACUUGUUGGAUAGUGAAGGUAGGAAAUGCCUUCAACAGCUCUUGGACUCUAUCAAGGUAUAAGAUCAUCCUUGGGUGCUUUGCCAUAUAUUCACCUGAGGCUUGAUUCGUGAUCAACUGUGAGUUUGAGUAGAUGGCUAGCUUUUUGAUUGCGAGCUCCUUUGCCAAGCGUAAGUCGGCGAGUAAUGCCUCGUAUUCUACCUCGUUGUUCGAGACCGAGAAGCCAAGCGUAAUAGCUUGCUCUAACAGGGUUCUAUCCAGGGUGGUGAUAACGACCCCUGCUCCAGCUCCUUUUUGGUUCGACGCUCCGUCUACACGCAACUGCCACAUGUCUCUGGGAUGGCUUGGUUCUGCGGAGGUCCUGUCUGCUUUUGAACUUCCCUCCUUUUGGUUGACUAACUUCUCUUUUUUGGCUGAUGGGGUGAAUUCUGCGACGAAGUAUGCUAAAGCCUGGGCUUUUAUUGCAGUUUUUGGCCCGUAGAGGAGGUCAUAUUGGCUUAGCUCUAUAGCCCACUUCAUGAGUCGCUGAGAAGCAUCAGGGCUGUGGAGGAUUGAUCUCAAAAGAAAGUCAGUCAUGACUAUGACUCGAUGAGCUUAGUAGUAGGGUCGCAGCUUUCUCGCAGAAACUACAAGAGCCAAAAUAAGUUUCUCCAAUUUCGGGUAACGAGUCUCUGCAUCGAGGAGAGCUUUUGACGUGUAGAAUACCGGAUAUUGGGCCCCUAUCUCUUCUCGGAUGAGAGCUGAACUGACAGCUGAGUUGGACUUACCUCACUAGGGACUGGAUUUGAGAGCAUGGAAGGUGAGGUGAGGUAAGUCUUCAGAUUAUGGAAAGCUACUUUGCAGUCCUCAUCCCAUUUCUCUCUUUGUCCUUUCUUCAAAGCUUUGAAGAGUGGUCUGCACUUGUCGGUUGAUCUCGAGAGGAAUCGGUUGAGAACCGCUGCUUUGUCCGUCAGACUUUAUAUCUCUUUCACCGUGGAAGGCGACUUCAUCUCUAGAAUGGCUUUGAUUUGACGUGGAUGUGCCUCGACACCUCGUUGCGUGGCUAGGUAUCCCAAGAAUCGGCCGGAGGAUACACCAAACAGGCAUUUACUUGGAUUCAACUUCAUGCGAUACUGGCGGAGCAAGCUGAAUGAUUGGGUAAGACUUCCGAUGUGAUCUGCACGUUUUGGGGCUUUGACCAGCAUGUCAUCCACGUAGACCUUCAUAGUUUUGCCGAUCUGCUUAUUGAAGAUUUUAUUCCCGAGCCUUUGAUAGGUUGCUUUGGCGUUCUUCAGCCCAAAGGGCAUGACCUUAUAGCAGCAGGUCCCUCUCUCGAUGAUGAAAAAAGUUUUUGCCUUGUCAUCCUCGUGCAUCAGGAUUUGUUUAUAGCUGGACUAGGCGUCCAUGAAGCUAAGCAGUUGAUUGCCAGAAGUGGAAUCCACGAGUUGGUCGAUUCUCGGCAAUGAGAAGUUGUCUUUAGGGCAUGCUUUGUUGAGGUCUGUGUAAUCGACACAAACUCUCCAUUUGCCAUUUUCUUGUUUUGCCACCAAAACAACGUUGGCAAGCCACUCUGAGUAGGAGGCCUCUUCGAUGAAGCCGACAGCUAGGAGUUUGUCAAUCUCGGCCUCGAUGAUAGCAAGUCGCUGGGGUGCGAAGUUGCGUCUCUUCUGCGCCACUGGCUUGCAGGCAGGGUUGAAGUGGAGUCAGUGACAGAUGAUGUUCUUGUCGAUGCCAGACUUGUCUGACGGCAACCAUGCGAACAUGUCUCUGUUGCUCUGGAGGAAGGUGGUAAGCUCCACAUUCUCUUCUGGCCUUAGGCGCGAACCGAUCCACUCUUUCCUAUCUGGUUGGUCAGGAUCCAAGGGUAUUAACUCGACGUCCUCCUUGGGUUUCCAUCCUUCUUCAGGAAAGACCUAUGGACGGAUUUCCUCGACUUGGUCCUGACGCUUUAAUUGCUAUAAGAUAGCAAGAUCCAGUUGCUCAACCUCCUCCAGAUCUGCCUGGCUCACAGGGAGAAACUGCGCUUGUUUACCUUUCUUUAGCCCUUGGGCGGAGCAUUUCCUCGCCAUUGCCUAAUCGUUGUUGAUUUGGCCGACACCGCCCCCAAGGAUUGGGUACCGAAUUUUCUAAUGUGUGGCGGAGGUGAUUGCAUUAAUUUUGCCAAUCGAUGGUCUGCCCAGAAUGCCGUUGUAGGGUAAGACCUUAUUAAUGACCAUGAAGGUUAUGAGCUGAUUAUAAGUGGGGAGUAGACGUCGAGGUCUAUCAUGCCCACGGUAACCGUUGUUGCACCAUUAAAAUCGCUCAGCAACCUAGCUAAUUUGUAAAUCUUUGUCUCCAAUCCCAUCUGUUGAAUGACCUCCAGUUGCAGGAUAUUGGCUGCGCUGCCCUCGUCUGUGUGGAUUCAGUCUACCAUGACCUGAGCAAUUUGAAUGCUGAUGACAAGGGCUUCGUUAUGUGGCAUGUAGAGGCCGAUCAGAUCUUUCUUUUGGAAGCCGAUUACAGGAUCGUCUUCUGCUGGUGGAAGGUCGGUCGAGAUUUGGGAGAUCACAGUGGUCUGUUUGAUCUUCCUCUUUUUUUCCUUUCUGGUCAGCCCAGACUCCUCGGAGUCAGCUAGGAUUGUGUUAAUUCUUAUGACCUUCUGAGGCGGCUCCUUGGCGAUGUCACGAUCUUCUAUCCGCUGGAUGACCUUCUUUGCAAUGAAUUCUGUGCAGUGACCUUCUCUCACGAGUUCUUCAAGAUGUGCUUUCCAAGCGAAGCAGUUGUUCAUAGUGUGUCCGUGCAUUUCAUGGACGGCACAGUAUUUGCUAGUAUUCCUUUUGUCCGGAUCUUCUUUCAAGGGUGGUGGUCUUCUUACCCAAGGUUGUUCUUCACUUGGGCUAAGAUUUGAUGUAUGGAGAUGGUGAACUUGGUGUAGUUCUCUCCUGCCGUAGCAUCCCCUUAUGGGUGCGACCUGCGCUUGUCCUUGUCCCUGUUGCUAAAUCCGUCGCUUCUUUGGCCUGCCCCCUUAGUCGGCUGAUCUUCCUGCUUAGUAGAGUUCUUUGCGGCGAUUCGAUCGUCAUCCCAAAGCGCAUAGCUUUCCGCGGUCUCGUAGACCUCUGCCAAAGUUUGGCUGGGAGUGAUGGUCAGCUCGUGGUACAAGUCGUGCUCAGUCGAAAGGUCUUUCUUGAAAGCAGAGGACGCAAUUUGGUCAUCACAUCCUACAAUGUUGGCCUUUUCUACUUUGAAUCUCUUGAUGUAAUCUCUAAAGGAUUCGUCGAACUUCUUGCGCAGGUUAUACAGGUGGUCAGGGUUCUUCUUGAUUGUUCGGUAAGAGGUGUAUUCUUUGGUGAAUAAGUAAGUCAGCUCCUUGAAGCUGCUGAUCGACCUGGAUGGCAGAGUAUGGAACGAGUCUUGGGCUUCCUCACAAGGUCAUUGCAAACACCUUGCACAUCAGCGCGUCGUCAACCUUGUGGAGGAUCAUGACACUUUUGAAGUGUUUUAGAUGGCUCUCAGGAUCGGAAUCCCCCUUGAAGUGUGUGAAUGUGGGCGUUGAGAAUCGCUUCAGGAGAGCAGCCUGCUCGAUUUUGGCAGUGAAAGGUGUAGAGUAUGCCUGGUCUACCUCAUUUCGUACAUCUUCGAAAUUUCCACCGGUCUUCAAGUCUCGAAGUUGGUCAUUCACAAGCUUCUCUACGUCUUCCGCACACAUUGCUUGUCGGCCACAUUGGCGACCUUCACGAAUUGUUCGAUGCUGACUGACUUCCUCGUUGAUUUCCGAGGAUCGACCUUCUUGUCUGCAUUGCCUAGGUGGAGUGUUGGUGGAUUGCGCCUACGAAAGAUUCUCUGUGGCUUGUCAAUGAGAAUCGGUUCUUCGAGAGUGAGUAACGAAGUGCCUUUCCUCAUGGUCCUUAUUGUGAGGGUUAUCCAGCUGACCUCCCUGGGGCCUAGCCUUUCCUGAAUGCUUCUCUGCGAGUAGACAGUUGAAUGCUUUUCUUCACGAUCCUCGUUGUGAUGGUUGUUUGGCUGACCUCCUUAGGGUCUUAGCCUUUGAUGUACAUUUCCCUGCCUGCCCAAGUAGGUGCGGACGUCGAGUCGUGGGCCCAGCCUUUCGUGCACGUCGUUCCUUAAACUCAAUCUGCUCUGAGUGUGGCUUGCAGAUGCUUGCGACAUGUCGGCAGGUCGAUCACGUUGUUGUCCCUCGACUUGUCUGCCCACUCUUGCUUGACCUGCUUGGUACUCGUUGAGCUGUCUACCGGCCCGUUCAUCCUUCCUUCUUUCCUCGCCUGGUUGUCCAAGGCCAAGGUUUUGAGCAAAGCUUAUUUGGUUGAGGAGCUGCCUCAUUAGAUUGUUUUGGUCGUCCAUUCUUUAAGCUAGCUGGUCAACUCUCAGAUUAAGGUCUGCUUGAUUUCAUGGAUCAGGAGGAGAGAAGUGUGUGGAGCUCAACUGCACAUAGGCUAGGGUUUCAUUAGAGGUGUAUGCGGGAGCGUGUGUCGAGCGUGGAGGCAAUAGAGGGAAUGCUUGGAGUUGCUCCAAGACCGGCCCUAGGUCGGCGGUGGUAACGAGUCCACCUUGAUGGGAAGUUCCACCAUGUUUGGCGGCAGUGACCGAUGCAGUGGUGAGAGGUGGUGGUGCCACCAUGUCGAUCGCGGGAUCGUUGGUGGAGUGGCUUUGGGCCGUCGCAAAUCUAGCCAUCAUGGCGGCUUUGCCUCUCGUGUUCAUGCUUCCAACCAUGGUUGUUUGGAAGGCUUAGGUGGAUUGGAAAAUUAGAGGAACGGAUUCCUUGAGCACGCAUUGAGUAUAACUCGUGCUCUCAAUGAAAGCACCAAUUUGUGGGAGCAAAUUUCCCCACGAGAAUAUUCGGUUCGAAAGAUUCCCCUUUCUUAUUCGCCGCCUCUUUCUCCUCGCAAAAUAGAACAAAUAAGAGGACCACACCCGAGGGGUGUUGGCCAAAGGCCCUCCGAUGCCUAAAUUAGUUCAAGUAUUUGUAAGAAAAACACUAGCUAACUAGGGUAUGGAGAUGUGUUUAAGGUGUAAACCGGGCGGCCGGAACCUUAUGUAAAAGAGAGAGAGAAAUGAGGUGGCUAGGGUUUGAGAGGAAUUUUCUGCAGAGUUUUUAGUAGAGAUUUCAGACGUACCUCAACCAUUGUGUGUGGCCAUCUUUUUAUAGUGGUCUUGGAGGCUAGAGUUUCAGAGAAAUAAUUUCGUAGAUGGAAAGGAAUUAUUCCUCCCCUAUUUAGAAUUGAUUUGAUUAAUUACGGAUUUGAUUUAUUAGGGUAAAUCAAAUCCCUAAUUGUGGUAAGUAUCAAAUCAAAUCCUUUUUUAAUUAGGUAACUGCUCAUUUAAUUGACAAUUGUGGUAGGAAUCAAAUCAAUUCUCAACCUAAUUGGUAACGUUCAAUUUAAUUGGGUAAUUCCCAAUUAAAUUGAGUAACUCCCAAUUAGGUUGAUUAAUUCACACUUAGAUCAAAUAAUCCCCAAAUGGAAAGAAUUAUUUGACCUAAGGUAUGAUUUAAUUCGAUUCCCACAAUAUUUAGAUGCAUAAUUGAAUGCGAAUAAACAUCACUCUCUCCAGUGUGAAAUGGCGAAAAUUCUCUUCAAUCAAAAGUGGGCUUACUUCAAAUUUAGUUGAAGAAUGAUGGUGUGUCUUGCCUGACAAUUGACAAUUAGGUUUAGGAGCGUUCCUCUAGUAGAAAAAUCUAAAUCAUUUGUGGUCAUCCACUCACUUGGUUAGUCUUCCAGAAUCAAAUACCAAAUCAACCCAAAGGAAGCUGCAAUUUUCUGAAUUGUAUACUUGUUUUAAUUCUUCCUAUCUUUUUCUCUCUUUCAUUUUUUUUGUCUCCCUCAAGUUAAUACUUAAGUGAGUUGCCAAAUGGGGGUAAAAAAGAGAGUAGAAGAGAUGAACCCCACAUUUGACUUUAAUAGACAAAUGCCCAAGAGAAGUACCAGUAAGAGCAUCUCCAAUUGGGAGGUGCUAUCCUAUAAUUUGACACACAUUUCUUUUUUCUUUUUUUUCAAUUCUAACAACAUGUCAUCUAUAUCGCAAUAGGCCGUUGUAGUUAAAUUUUCAAAUAACCAAGUUGCUCUCUAUUUUCCAAAGAAGACUAGAAAACAACUUACCAUCUAUCUGGUGCUGCUUCUUCCAAACAUUAGAAAAAACAGAGCUACACCCAGGAGGAGCCCAGGAGAUGACACAAUACUGCCUACUAUGAUUCUUACUUUCUUCACAUUCAAUGAGACUAUAAAAUAUAACCCAAGUGGUCUAACCCCCCAGGGCGGAAAUUGGGUUUAGCAAGUUUAGCACUGAUUGUUGUAUAGUCUUAAACAGUCCUGAUCUCUUGGACCCCUGUAGUCCAAGAGAUUUAUGGUCACCCACCGUUGGAUGUAAAUUCAACGGUUGACUUGAAUCGGGUAAUAAUAAUUUAUGUCAUAUUGCAUUUAUAUAUAUCAUUUUGAACCAUUGGAUUAAUAUCCAACGGUGGGUGACCACAAUCUCUUGGACUCCUGUGGUCCAAGAGAUCGGGACUGUAGUCUUAAAAUAAGUAGUUUAGCGAGUGCAAACUUCGACUUAAAAAAACUCUCAUGUAUAGCCGCGCGGCUAUACUAUUUACAUAUAAAUAUAUAAAAAAGCACCCCCUAGUCACGUGUCACAAAUAGUAUAGUCGAAAACAGUAGAGCCGCGCGGCUAUACUGUUUUUAAAAUAAAAAAAACCAUAUUCGAUUCUCCUUAUAUUUAAAAGGGGUAUAGCCGCAUGGCGAUACUAAUUUUUUUUUUUCAAAAAAAGGGACCCCAGUACUCCUUUUAUAUAUUAUAAUAUAUUGUCUAAUAUUUGGAAUAUUUACUCUAAAAUAAACAAUAUAUUAGGUUCUUUUUGUCUACAAAUUGACCAUUAAACUUCUUAAUCACUCUUAUACUUUCAAUUAAAUCUACUAGGCUAGGUUAUGAUAUUUUCACUAAAAAACUCCUCCUUUUUUUCUUCUCUUUCUCUUCCUGUUUUGUUUAACUUAAGCUUAAGUUUUGUAAUUUUUUUUCCCGCCCUUUUUACAUGUUUGAGUAGGGUACUUUAAUAUUGGGAUUUAUGAACUUUUUUUGUAUUUCUUCUUUAUAUUGGAAUAUAAAUUAUUAACUUUUGAGUCUUUAAUAGUGUAGAUGAUGAGAUUAUUAUUCAACCAUUUUAUAAUAUGAAAUGAAGGACAAUCAUGAUUGUGAUGAAUGGAUUAUUAAUCAAUAUGAAAUGAUAUUAUGAAGUGGGCUAAAUCGAGUAGUUAGUAUCGUAUUGUUGAGACCCAAAAAAUCCAAGGCUAGGCCCAAAUAUAUUAUGAAGUGGGCUAAAUCGAGUAGUUAGUAUCGUAUUGUUGAGACCCAAAAAAUUCAAGGCUAGGCCCAAAUAUAUUUCCGGUCCAAUGCGAUACCUUACCGAGAAGAAACCUUAUUUGGGCACGCGAAAGUUCGUCAUAUGCUCUUGCACACAUGCCAUGCCAAGCAAAUAAGCAACAUGCCACGCUACAAGCUUAAGUGGGCCCAAGCCACGUGAAUGCCUAGGGCCUGCUGAGUGGGUUGUGGUAUGGAUGGUUAUGAGUAUUCACGAGGCCCAUUGAUGGUCUAAGGAGUGGAAGUUUUGGGCUACUUGGGAGCACCAAAACUCAAGCCCAUUCAUUGAGCCCAAACAUAUGGGUAAGCAUGAGAUAAAACCUAGUAGCCCAUCACCUUAAGAAAUCCUAAUAGCCCAUAACAUGUGAGAAAAUCCCACAUCAACCAAAGCUUCCAGCAGUCUGACGAAAUCAAAGGGAACUCACAAGCCGUUGGAAACAAAACAACCCAACACUGUAACACCCCGACCCCAAAUUUCCCCAAAUUUAACCCUUAUUUAAUUAUUUAAGGGUAUUUUAGUCAUAUUUUUAACCGGAGAGAGUUUGGGGCAAUGACUAGUAUUUUUGGAUAGGUCGUACUGAGACGAGUUUAUGGACACGCAGUGAGCUCGAAUCGGAGUUGUAACGAGAGAGAUAUGGUCAAAAGAAGCCCAGUGGCACAAUCGUAAAUAUUUUGAAAUGAGAUUUUUUAUAAAAAUCUGGUUUUCUCUCUCUCUCUCUCUCUCUCUCUCUCUCUCUCUCUCUCUCUCUCUCUCUCGCUAGCGACCUCUCUCUCUCUCCCCCGUCGGUCUCUCCCCUCUUUCUCCUCGUAACUCCGGCCACCGGCCCCGGCUGUGGACGGGGCCGGUACCAAAAUGACCGAGGCGUCGUCCUCUUCCUACCCCAGCCACCUCCCACCGCCAGCCGUCGCGGAUUCGCCGGAAUCUGGAGAUGAAGCGGCCUACGUCGUCCAAAUUUCAAAGCUGCCGAUCUCCCUCCUCCGGCCACCAAUUCCGUCGACCCAGGUAUGGAUUUUGAACUUCUCGAGCUGCUCUAGCUGAUGGUUGGGUAGGAUUAGAUCGAUUCUUAGCUUAGACAACUCGAUUUUCAAAUUGAAAAUCGGCCGAACUUCGGCUGCCGUGAUCGGCCAUUUCCGGCCACUUUUUGGGGUAGGUCCAAGAACAAAAGUGGCUCCAAAUAGGGUGUUAUACCUAGGGUAGGAGUUUGGAGCCGUGGUUUUGAGAUUUUCCGGCGAAGCGUUAUCGCUUUGGGCACCCACGCGCUGCCGGUGCGUGCGGCGGCGCGUGGGCACUGUAGAAAAAGUAGCACUGUGUUCCGAUGAGAUCCUUAGGUUGUCACGAGUGCGUAGGAUUUUGCGGAUCUCAAUUCGGACGUCGUUUGACUAUCGAACGGAUAUUCGCAUAUUGCGCGUUAUUCGGGUUCGAUAGGUUGGGACCGUUGGAUGGACCCAAAUUUAAUAUAUGUUAAUCUAAUUAAUUCUAGGAUCGUGUAGGAAUUCACGGAUUGUGAAUCGGAGCCCCGGAUGUUCCGAAUAAUAAUUUUAAAGUUUGUAUUUUAUAUUAAUUGUCAGAUCGUGCGAUCGUGAGCAAUCUGACCGUUCGAUCUGAACCAAACUUGCAGGACAAGUGUCCUAUACCUUGUAGAACCCAUAGGGACCUUCGGAUCGGAAAUUGGAGGUCGUGGGUUCCGCAAGUCGGUUUGACCAGGGUUAGAGAAGUUUGACCCUUGGUUGACCGUGAGUCUCCCGGAGUAAUCUCACCUUUCUAGGGGAGAUUAUCGGGUACUAGAUGAUUGUGGACACAAUAUUAGAAUUAAUUUAUAUAAUUAUAAUUAUAUAUGGUUGUACAAGGGUACAACAGAGUCUAGAAUGUCAGUUUGGAGUGCUAUACGCACUACUUUAGGUACCUCCCCGGAUGUUGGGAUUUACUACAAGUACCACCAAGUGAAAUUGAGGUCCCGCGUGGCGUAGGUUAUCCAGCGUUGGGAUAGGUCUCAUACGUGGGGUUGGUUGUACCGGCGUAUGGGGAGAUUUGUGAUAUUAUGUUCAGGUCUCACGUGGCGUAGGUUAUCCGGCGUUGAGACAGGCCCCAUACGUGGUGUUGGUUGUACCAGCGUAUGGGGAGCUAUGUGAUAUUGUGUUGAGGUCGCACGUGGCGUAGGUUAUCGGGCGUGUCGACAGACCCCAUACGUGGCGUUGGUUGUACCGGCGUAUGGGGAGAUUUGUGAUAUGAAAUUGAGGUCCCACGUGGCGUAGGUUAUCCGGCGUUGGGACAGGCCCCAUACGUGGCGUUGGUUGUACCGGCGUAUGGGGAAAUAUGUGAUAUGAUGGCAUGGUCGCACGUGGCAUAGGUUAUUCGGCUUGUUGACAGGCCCCAUACGUGGCGUUGGUUGUACCGGCGUAUGGGGAGAUUAUUUGAAAUGCAGAGAAACGAAAUAUGGUAUCGCCCAAAUGUGGAAUUGGGUUUUAGGGAAGAACUACGUGUGGCUUGAUCCCUCAAGGAGGGUACGUAGGCAGCCUAAGGUUAAUAGGUGCAGCCGCAGACUAAAUGUUAGUCAUAAUUGAUAUUUGAAUUGUUUGGUAGUUGGUUAAGAAUUAUUGGAAGGCCGAAGGCCAUUUGUGUGAAUUGCAUGAAAUUAUAUUGUGCAUGCUGCCAGUUGGGAAUAUUAAAUGCGUUUUUAUGCAGGUAUAAAUUUUAGGAAAUGUCCAAUUUAUAGGGGAGACUCUGCCGAAUUUUCGGCAGGAAGUCUCAGUUUUUAGUAUCUGGGCCUGGCAUCGGGAGGAUGUCGGGAAUUCCAAAGGGUCGUCUCGAGUUCUGAAAAAUUCGGUGCGGGUCCUUUCAAACACCUUAUAAAAUAUCCAACGCCGUGCAUCUCUGUUAAAACCAGAUCACAGCCAAACCACCAAAACCAUGCAAACCCAUAUGCUGAUCACCAUUUUUACUAGCACCCUUACCCAUUCUUUCCUCUUCAAGCUUUGGUGAGAAAACAAGAAACAAAAGUGGGCGGAUCUUCACCCACAUGGAGAAAUCCAGCUGCCUGAGGGCCCUGGAACUCCAAAAAACUUCUUACCUACAUGCUCAGGCUAGGGAAGUUUCACCAAAUAAGCAAGAAUGGAAGAAAGUGAAGGAAAAGGGGAAAGGGUGGCUUGACGAAAUUAAGGUUUUCAGCACUUAUAAAAGGAAACACUUUCUAUCCAGCAAAAACAACUCACCCUGGUUGCUGCAAGCCUCCUAGCAACCAUGAGAAUUCAUUGAAGGCAAGCAUCCCCUUUGGAACCCUUCAAUUUCAUGCUUUGUUCUUCCAUCUUCCUCCUUUCUCUCUCUCUCAAAACCCACAUCCAGAGAGAGCAAGCAUCAUCUCUCAUCUUUGGAACCCUUCGAUUUGAAGCCUUGUUCUUCCAUUGCUUCCCAUUUUCUCUUCUGUCAAAUCACCUAGGAGCUUGACGAAACUUUCGUCAAGCUGCUGGAAAUAUGGUAAAGCCACCCAUGCUUCCAUCUUCUUCCUCUCUUUCCAUAAACACACAUCCAAAGAGCAAGCUUCAUCUCUCAUCCUCUAAACCUCUGCAAUUUCAAGCCUCAUUCCUCUAUCUUCUCCCAUUUUCAGCGGUAGUGAGAAUGAUUUCUGCGUGUGCAUGGGAAGGAUUGUAACUCAGAUGAGGAGGAGAUGGUUUGGAGUGGGGUGAGGCAGUUGGAUAGAGCUCUUGGCCUUUUCAAGUUUGGAUGGGAAAGAGCAGGGAUGAAAGAAGCUUUACAACUGCAAGGGCAUAUAUGGUGCGUAGGGGCUGAAGGCAGAACACUUACAUAUAGAGGAAACACAUUUUUUGUCCAUGGGAUUCAUGUUUGACAAACACUUGUCUUAGACUAUGAGUUCAAAUUUCAAAACCUUUUUUUUUUCUUUCUGAAAUCAGGACCAGUGUGGAGAACUAGCAAGGAUUGGAGAAACAGAUUUUUGGGCGUCACUUGACCACAGAUUGUUGAUUGCUCAAAUGUGUAGAAUUGGCCAUCUUAAAUGUCAAAAUGAUUUAUCAAUUGGGGUUUUUUUAGAAACGUUUAUGUUUGUCAAUAGAGACAGAAGUCAGAGAACAUAAACCUUUCUCAGCAAAUUGAAAUUCUCAGUGCAUGCUCUGUUCUUCCAUGGCUUUCAAACCUUCUCUGCCACGGUGAAAUGGAUCGAUAGAGAUAGUUUAGGCCGUUCCAUUUGUUUGAUGAAGCAUUCGUUCUAGGGAUUCUGUAUAUUCAUAACAAAAUCACUAGAAUGAUUCUUAGAAAUUCAUCACUGCUAAAGGCAAUGGGUUCAGCAUAAUAACUUCUUAGUCUUGCUUCUUGGUCCUUUAUUUUCUUUGCAUAAUACUCCAAGUUUACCUGGGUUCUACAGAGAAAAUCUCGUAGAUACCUCUUUUUGUGGUCUUCCAUGGCAUUUAAGUGCUGCUUUCCAUGGUGAAGUGGGCCUAUAGAGACUACCUGAGGUGUGUAGGCUUUGUCAUUUCCACGCCGUAAUCGCUCAGGAACUCUGUAGAUACACCUUCAAGGGGGACAAGGGAGACAAACUAUCCAAUUCCUUGCGCCUUACAAAUAGAUCGCAUGGGUUUUCUAUUUCAUCUGCAGCUUCAUCAAUUCCUUCCAUUUUUCUCCUGAUCAUCAUGCGCGGUGAUUCAAAUAUUUCAUAAUGAACAUUGAAAUGAGAUGCUACAAGCAAACUUAUGAAAAGAAACAGAAAUACCAAAAAGACAAAUCAAUGUAGAUGGUUUAGAAAAUCUAAACAUUGCAAUUAUACUCCUUUGCCCAACUUCUAGGAGCAAACGUACACAAAGACCUUAUUGCUUCCAACUUUUCCAACAGAAUUUCAUAUGAAUUGCUCCAAGUGAAAUCCGUAUGAAAAAUCGGUAGUUGGAUUUUCAUCCUGCUUUAAUAUGAUUAUUUAACUUCUAACAAAAAAACUCUUAUUACUUGAGCAAGUAAAAUACUAUUCCAGGUUUCUCCUAGUUCUAUAUGCGCUUAUAAUUGGUAUACUCUAUAAAUACCAUAAUCUGAAUUUCUCUGUUUUGAUUACUUUAAUUUAUUACUUAUGUUUUAAUUAUUGUUUACUUAGUGAAUUAUUAGUAUUUAAGAGAAGGCCUUCCAUCGAUUAGGCACCACGUGUCUAUAAUAAGUAAAGCCGUCCGGCUAUACUUAAAAAAAAAAAAAAUUGUAGUAUAGCCGACCGGUAUAGCCGCGCGGCUAUACUAUUUAAUACAUUAUAUUUAAACGGUAUAGCCGCGCGGCUAUACUAUUUAAUAAAAUAAAAAACAAAAGAAAAAGAAAAAUUACCCUCCUAUUUCAUUAGUUUGUACUUUAUAGAUACUAGCCCCUUGACACAUGCUCACGCAUGUGCCAAUUGGUUUUCUUUUUCUUUUUUAUUUUUAUUUUUAGAAUUAAGAAAAAAUAACAGGAUAGUUAUGUUCCAUAAAAGUAGGACCUAUUAUCUUAUUUUGUUUUUAAUUUUAAUUUUUUUAAUAUUAAAAAAAUAUGAAUUUACGAUAUUAUCCUCAUUUAAUUAAUAAUUUCAAUUCUUAAUGUUUGAAUUAACAAAGGGCAUUUUCUGGUAUUUUGAAUGUUUCACCAUUCUCUGCCUUUUGCUUUAUAUAUAUAGAUUAAUUUGCCAGUUUCAAGAUAUCCAAAGUACAUAUUAGACUUUCACUAUAUAAAUUUCAAUAUAUAUUUUUUAUAACAUGUGUUGUUCUUAUUCAAUAAUAUGUGAGAAUUAUUUGUAUAAUACGUGAAUUUUGUGUGUCUUACUGAAUUUUUUUAAAUACGUGUAUUAAACGUUACAAAUACGUACAUAUAUGUACAACACGACUAUUGUAAGUUUGCUAUAUAAAAAAAAGUGAGAUGUAUCUAGAACACGAAUGUAUUAUCGAAAAAUAUAUAUGUAUGUAUAUAUAUAUAUAUAUAUGUAAAAGCCUAUAGCCUCUCACCUAUACUAUUUAUUAAAGACAAUUUAAAAAUUACAACAACAAAAAAACCAGUACAGCCACAAAGCUAUACUAUUUUAAAAAAAAAAAAUAGAAAAAAUAUCAAGUACUACACAGGGCAAAGGCCCAGUGUAAAAUAGUAUAGCCGUACGGCUAUACGUUUUUAAGAAGAAUUUAAAAAACUAAGUAUAGCUCACCGACUAUACUAUUUUUUAAUAUAAAAAAACAACCCCAUCCAUUAGGCGCCACGUGUCAACAGAAGUUUAUUUUUAAAAAAAAAAAUUAAAAGACAAGGAGUAUAGCCGGGUGGUUGUACUAUUUUUUUAUUUUAAAAAGAAGACAGUCCAUCGAUUAGGCGCCACGUGUCCAUAAUAAGUACAGCCGCUCGGCUAUAUGUUGGAUAUUUUGAAACUAGCAAAUUAAUAUCAAUAGCCGGUCGUAACCUAUGCUGUCCACGUCACUCAUGUUUUACCAGAGUUAAAGCAUCCACAAUGAGCUCCCCAAACCAUCUCUUUAGACAAAUUUUAGGGAGAAAUUGGAAAAGUACAACUCCAACCAUGCUCCCUAUCCACCAACUAAAAUAGGGAGACCUCUAGGAGCUCCUAAAUCUGAGGAGAGGGAAAGGACUCUUAGUGACUCCCUAUAAUUUAAUGUUGCUUUGUUUUAUGCAUAUUUUAAACUUUUAAUUAAAUCAAAUUAUUAUUUUAUAUUAUUUUGUAUACAGAUGGACCAAUUAUAUUAAAUUAAAAAAUAAUUAAAGUAUUUGUGACUCUCUAAACUAAGGAGUAUGAUUAGAGUUCAAAUUUUAUAAAAAGCUCUUAAAAUAGCUUUUGUGUGUUUUUAGCUAAAUUUUAACUAAAAAAUUUGAAGAUUCUUUAUUUGGGUUUCUUUCAAGACGAAAACCAUAUCCACAACAGACAUCUUUGGCUGUUCAUCACAAUUGAGAGACAAUGAAGAAGACAUAAGGGAGAGGCUGCCAAAUACUUAUCACCUUAGCCACCACCAACACCACAAGACCAAUAUGUGUAGGCCAGGAGGCUUUCCAAUUUUAAUAUAUAUAUAUAUAUAUAUUAAAAAAUAAAAUAAAAAUCAAUCUAUUAUCAUAUAUAUUAUAAAAUAAAGAUUAUUGCUCCAUCCUCCAUGCACUUGCGUGCCCUCUUACAAAGUAUGAAGUAGAUUUUGUUAGCUGGAUUUAUAAGAUCUUUUGUUUUUUGGAAAUUUUCUGAAAUAAGGAAAAUCAAGUAAAAUUAAUAAAGCAUAAAUUGGAAAGGGAAAAUAUCUAGAGGAUGCAUUGUAGGAUUGCUCAAGCCAAUAAUUGUACCCUCUAAAUAUAUAGGGACAUAUUUUUUUUGUUUUCAUGACAUGUCGUCCUAAAAUUAUUGUUCUUAGCGGGCUCUCCACCCCCUCUCGAUUGAAAACCUAUUGUGUAAAUCUUCAAUCCUGAAUUAGAAAAGUACAACUCCAACCAUGCUCCCUAUCCAUCUCCUAAAAUAGGGAUACCUCUAGGAGCUCCUAAAUCUGAGGCGAGAGAAAGGACUCUUAGUGUCUCUUUAUAAUUUAAUGUUGCUUUGUUUUAUGCAUAUUUAAACUUUUAAUUAAAUCAAAUUAUUUUUUUAUAUUAUUUUGUAUACAAAUGGACCAAUUAUAUUGAAUUAAAAAUAAAUUAAAGUAUUUAUGACUCUCUAAACUAGGGAGUAUGAUUGGAGUUCAAAUUUUAUAAAGAGCUCCUAAAAUAGCUUGUGUGUGUAGGGGUCUUUUUCUUCUGGCAACUACAGAUGGGUUGGGCUACCGUAAGGAGCAAACUGAAGAAAAUAUCCCCUGUGUCUGAGUUCAAAGAUUCGGCCCCAAAAUAUUUCGAAAAGGCAGUAAAGCCUUAGGAAACACCUUAGUUACCUUCACCAACGAAAAUGACGGCUGCUUACAGGUAGAUUCUUAGUGCUUACAGAUGAAUUCUUAGCUUAGCAUGAGGAGAUCGUGGCAUGGAAGCAAAGUUAGCAUGAGUUUAGCACUAAAGAGAAAAUUAUGUGUUCUUGGGAGGAAGAAGGGGUGUCCAGGUAAAUGGGAAAAGGUUUUGCAAGUAGAUUUGGCUAAGAGAGAAGGGAGAGAGAGAAGAGGGUGGCUAGAGUGCUUCUUCCGGCAGCUUGACAGUGACUCUGUCAAAUGUUAGAGCAAUCUGCCAUAAGAGGGAAAAUGGGGAAGAAGGAUGAACAGUGCACAAAAUUGCUAGGUUUUUGCAAGUAAGAGAGGAAGCUUGCUCUCUGGAUGUGGAUGAUCCGUUGGGUAGAAGAGGCCCCAUUUUAUAGCCGCUGGAAACUAUCAUUUCUCAAGAAACCCUAAUAGUUUCUACCCAAUUUGGUCAAGCUUUUCCCUUCCUUUCUCAUCUCCUCCCUUGACUUUUCCUAUCUUGGUGAAAUUUCCUCUGUCUAUUUGCACAAAAUCAGGAGCUCAAGGCCUCCCUUUCCCGCAACUGUUCAAUGGGAGACUCCAUUCUUAGCUAUUUUUCUUCUUCUUUCCUUCCUCCUUCCCUGACCAAAUCUGAUGAAGGAAAGCAAAUAGGUGCACACAUUGGUUUGAAGGGUGCUUCUCCUUCUAGCAGCUUACAUGCCAAUAUCCCUUGGGUCCUUGCAUGUUUUUUGCUUUGAAACUUGUUUCUUCCUUCCCGUCAACUCACGUGGUCUUCCAUGCUUCUUCAUGGCUUUAUCUUUCAGCCAAAAGAUGGAGUUUUUACUGCUUGCUACUUUUAAUUGUAUGGGUCUUCUAGGAUAGGAAGUCAACCUACCAAACAAAUGGGCCACCUUUAUCAAAUAUUGGGCUGUUGGGGUUAGUUUUAGUGGGCCAUUUUGACUGGGCUUUUUGGUUGGGUUAUUUAAGUUAUUUUCCCUUUUGUGCUCACCCAUGUAUUUAGGCCUAAGAAAUGGGCUUGGGCUCCGAGUCUCCCAAGCAACCCGGAACCUCCAUUUCUUGGCCCAUUAAUGGGCCUCAUGACAACCUAUUACCAUCCAUACCACAACCCACUCAAGCAAGCCCCGGGCAUUUGAAUGGCUUUGGCCCACUUUAGGCUUGUAGUGUGAUUGGGUGUGGCAUAACGAUUUCUCGCUUGGCAUGGCAUGUUGCUUGGCAUGUUUUUUCAUUACGAUGCUUGAUGGAUUUGUAGAGCUACCUAUUUUUAUGAUCUUAAUCUUGAUUCCUAGCAUGACAAAUUUAUUUAUUUGGCAUGGCAUGCGGAGCGUGACUUGUGCGUGGCGAGUUUUGUAUGCUCCAACUUGGGCCUUUCCUAAAUAAUGUAUCAUUUUGGGUUAUGAAUUCUUUCGGGCCCAACCGUGAAUUUUUUGGGUUUCAACAGUGUGUUUUUAGCUAAAUUUUAACUAAAAAAUAGGGAGCAUGAUUGUAGAUCAUCUUAUAUACCUUAAUUUGAAGAUUCUUUAUUUGGGUUUCUUUCAAGAUGAAAACCAUAUCCACAACUGGCAGACAUCUUUGGCUGUUCAUCACAAUUGAGAGACAAUGAAGAAGACAUAAGGGAGAGGCCGCCAAAUACUUAUCACCUCAGCCACCACCAACACCACAAGACCAAUAUGUGUAGGCCAGGGGGCUUUCCAAUUUUAAUAUAUAUAUAUGGAGUGAAAAAAAUAAAAUAAAGAUUAUUGCUCAUCCUCCAUGCACUUGCAUGCCCUCUUACAAAGUGUGAAGAAGAUUUUGUGUGCUUCAAGUCAUUGACUAGAGCUGAAACAUGGUUAGCUGGAUUUAUAAGAUCUUUUGUUUUCUGGGAAUUUUCAGAACCAAGGAAAAUCAAGUAAAAUUAAUAAAGCAAAAUGGAAAGGGAAAAGAUCUAGAGGAUGCAUUGUAGGAUUGCUCAUGCCAAUAAUUGUACCCUCUAAAUAUAUAGGGACAUAUUUUUUUUGUUUUCAUGACAUGUUGUCCUAAAAUAUUUGUUCCUAGCGGGCUCUCCACCCCCUCUCGAUUGAAAACCUAUUGUGUAAAUCUUCAAUCCUGAACGAUGCUCCUAAAACUCAAGUGUCCCAGGCCAAUUAUUGCUCUCAUACCACUUGUUGCAAUACACAUCCACUCAUUCUCAGGGAAAGAAACCCAUCGAUAUUAUCUCAAAUUUAACCACUUUAGUCUAUUAUGAUUAACUAUGUAUUUUAUGGAUCAAUGCAGUUGUGAGGUUUUAUACCCAAUUAGAUCGACCAAUACAGAGAUCACAUGUGGACUGAAAAGCGCCAUCGGUAGGGGAGUGUUUGGCACCCUUUACUGCCGAGUGCAACACAAGACCCCUUACCAGGAACUUAUCUACUAGGACACGUGAAGCCACCACAAGUAAUAUCAACAGUCCCACAUCGAAGUUUAACAUAACAUGUACACUCCCCAGGACUGAUAAAAGUGGGCACAAGUCCCAAAAAUGGGGGAACUUGGACUUUCAGCAAUUCAUCCAUUAUUAUGUCCAAAUUACUAUACACUCCGUACUUAUUCUUACUUAAGCAUUGGAGAGCCUUCGGCCGGUACCACACCAGUGCCUAAGGGCUUACCGAGCGUUCUCUAUCUUGCAUAUUGAUCGCUCUACUGAAGCCCAUAAAGAGUUAAAGGUCAAGACAUCACUAAGUUGAGCCCAAAAGUGCUGAACCACAUCAAAAAUAUGUAUAGAUUGAAAAAAUAAAAUAAAAAUCAAUCUAUUAUCAUAUAUAUUAUAAAAUAAAUAUUGGAUAAAUUACUCAAAUGGUCCUCAAACUUAUACUCGAUUUACAUUUUGGUCUCUCAAUUAAAUUAUUUGUUCAAAUGGUCCAUCAACUCUAUAUUAUUUCUGCAAAAUCUACAAAGUGGUGGGAGGCAGACCAACAAAAAAAAUUAGCGAAGGCUUAUAACUCUGGUAAAACAAGAGUUACUUGGAUAGAAUAAUGUUACGUCGUACUGAAGAUUUUUGGGUUUCUUUAAUUGGUUAAGUGAAGAUUCUUUAUUUGGGUUUCUUUCAAGAUGAAAGCCAUAUCCACAACCACAACCACAACUGGCAGACAAUCUUUGGCUGUUCAUCACAAUUGGGCGACAAUGAAGAAGACAGAAAUUGGAGUACUGUAUGUUAUCACCCACACCACAAGACCAAUAUAAGGAGGAUGGGGAGGCUGCGGAAUACUUAUCACCUUAGCCACCACCUACACCACAAGACCAAUAUGUUGUAGGCCAGGAGGCUUUCCAAUUUUAAAUUAGAUAAAUCGGAAACUGUUUCGAUAUCCAAUUGUAUUCUAUAAAAUCAAUGAACACGGUGCUUCAAGAAAGUAAUAAAAUUUCAAUAAUUCAAUUGAGUGGUCAAAUUCAAGUGAUUUUUUGUAGUGAUGAUCUUUGAAUGAGUAUCUAUAAAAGAGACGGUUUGGAUUAGUGAAAUACAAUAUGGAGUGGGCCCUACCAGCAAUCCACGACAAAAUGUCUGCAAGCUUUCGUAAUAUAAGGAGGAUGGGGAGGCUGCGCAAUACUUAUCACCUUAGCCACCACCUACACCACAAGACCAAUAUGUUGUAGGCCAGGAGGCUUUCCAAUUUUAAUAUAUAUAUAUAUAUAUAUAUAUAUAUAUAUAUAGGGAUGUGAUUUCUCUACUCCCCUUUUCUCUACUUAUACUCCCUUUUGCUUUUAAAUACUUUUUAAUCAAUUUUUUUUCCGCUUUCCUAUUAAUAUUCUACCAUUUCCCUACAUUAAUUUCUUUUUACUUCACUUUUAUAUUAGUUCUUUUUCUUUAUACUUAAUUUUUCAACUUGCACUCCAUUUUCAUUAUUUUUUUCCUAAUCGAGUAAGAAAUUAAGUUUUUUUUCCCCAUUUAAUACUGAAAAUGGAGUGUAAGUUAGAAAAUUAGGUAUAAAGAAAAAGAAAUAAUAUAAAAGUAAAGUAAAAAAGAAAUUAAUGUAGGGUAAAGGUAGAAUAGAAAAGAGAAUGAACAAAAUUGAUAAAUAAAUAAAAAAGGUUUAAAAAGCAAAAAGGAGUGUAAAUGGAGAAAAGGGGAAUGAGGAAAUCAGCUCCAUAUAUAUAUAGAUUGAAAAAAUUAAAAUUAAAAUCAAUCUAUUAUCAUAUAUAUUAUAAAAUAAAGAUUAUUGCUCCAAGGAAAUGACAUCUUUUGUUUUCUGGGAAUUUUCUGAACCAAGGAAAAUCAAAUAAAAUUAAUAAAGCAUAAAUUGGAAAGGGAAAAGAUCUAAAGGAUGCAUUGUAGGAUUGCUGAUGCCAAUAAUUGUACCCUCAAAUUAUACAUGGACAUAGGGGUGGGCAUUCAAAUAGGCAAACUAGAAAUCCGAGCUGAACCGCACCUAGGAAAACCGGAAAAAAAACCGAGUUGACCAAAAAGUCAACAACUGGUCAAAAAUCGAACCGGACCGAUUUGGACUGGUUUUGGAUUCAGUUUAUAUGCAAUGCUACAUUUUUAGUCUCAUAACUAAUAUUUAUCCAAGUUCAAUUUCAAAACAUCUUUCUUUUUUAGCUUUAAUAUUUAUUUUUAUAUGAAAUUAAAUAAUUUAUUAAUUUUCAAGUAAAUAAAAUAAAAUUUCAGUUGAAAUUUAUAUUAAAAAAAUAAUUUUAAUAAUCCAGUUCAAAACCAAACCGGACCAUCCAGCUGUGAGGUACAUUUCUCCCACAUGCCACAAUUGUAUAUUCACAAUUACGUCUGAUACAUCACAUCAUGCCACUUGCCUCAAAUGAAUUUAAGUGAGUGUGGCAGUGGAAAGUAAUUAAGCUCUAUAUUGGUGGGUGGACUGUUACUUCUGGGUUCCCCUCAUCAUUCGUCUAUAAAAUGGUGAAGGCAGUUGCUAUUGUUACCAUAAGAGCCAGCUCCGACUUCCUUUAAUUUCUUGCUUCAUAUCCACUAGCUACAUCUGUUACCAAGUUAAUUUCAGUCCUAAUGGGGUUUCAUCUCCCACUCAUCUUUGCUCUUCUCAGUGUAAGCUCUGCAAUUUGAUUAACUUUUCCAUUCUCUCUCAUUGUACUCUAUAUAAACGAAAGUUUUGUGUUCCUAUAAUUCUCUCCGAUUUUAUUUAGUACGUACUUAAGUGUCGUCCACUAAUUAAUUACACUUUGUGAUUUGAUUUUAAUUUGAGUUCGAAUUAAUGUUGCAGCUAGCAGCAGUGGCACUGGCAAACCAUGCUGCUCAACCAGCACCUCAACUUUACUGGAACUCCGUCCUGCCAAACACACAGAUGCCAAGAUCUAUCAGUGAACUUCUGCAUCCUGGUUUGUGUUGAGCUCUUUAGAAUCUUAGAUAUCUCUUCUACCUGCCAUUUUACUAAAAUAUGUUCCACCACAUAUUUAUCAGUUAACCACUGUUAUUACAUGAGUGACACAUAUUCACAAAUCGGCUGAUCACUUAUUUUCCAUUAUGACGUUGAUAUAUAAUUUGCAGACUCCACAAAUGAAGAAAAGAGCACAAAUGACGUUGGCAAACCUGAAACUUUCCCAUUGGGCAAUAAACAUUACUCCAGUCAAAAACAUUAUGGAAGAGGCAAACCUGAAACUUUCCCAUUGGGCAAUAAACAUUACUCCAGUCAAAGACAUUAUGGAAGAGGCAAACCUGAAACUUUCCCAUUGGGCAAUAAACAUUACUCCAGUCAAAGACAUUAUGGAAGAGGCAAACCUGAAACUUUCCCAUUGGGCAAUAAACAUUACUCCAGUCAAAAACAUUAUGGAAGAGGCAAACCUGAAACUUUCCCAUUGGGCAAUCAGCAUUACUCCAGUCAAAAAAAGUAUGGAAGAGGUGCUUCUCCAUCCGACAAUCAACCACCAAUUCCAUAGAAAUUCAAACACGGCUACUUUCUUGCCACGAGAAAGCGCUCAAUCGAUCCCCUUCUCCUCUAACAAACUACCAGAAAUUUUCAACCAUUUUUCAGUGAAGCCAACAUCUGAGGAAGCCAAAACAAUUAAGCAAACAAUCGAAGAGUGUGAAGCUCCAGACCUUAAGGGAGAGGAAAUAUAUUGCGCCACAUCUUUAGAAUCAAUGGUUGAUUUUAGCACUUCGAAGCUUGGAACAAGAAACGUUGAAGCAAUCUCGACGGAGGUAUUGGAAAAAGGAGCCACCAUGUCCAUCCAAAACUAUACAACAAUGCCGGGACUGAAGAAGUUGGCAGGUGACAAAGUCGUUGUGUGUCAUAAGCAGAACUAUCCCUAUGCUGUGUUUUUCUGCCAUGCAAUAAAACAUACAGCAGCUUAUGCUCUCUCCCUGAAAGGCGAUGAUGGGGAGAAGGUUAAAGCAGUAACCAUCUGCCAUCUAGACACAUCAGAAUGGGACCCAGAGCAUAUGUCCUUCAAAAUCGUCAACGUUAAGCCCGGAACCAUUCCCAUCUGCCAUUUCAUUUCCACUGAUGCUAUUGCCUGGGUUCCGAACCACAAAUCUGCAUGAUCAUCACUUAGCACUAGUACUGUGCGUAUAAUAUGCCUGUAUAAUUAUCUCCCUACUUAUUUCUGCCUGUUCAUCAUGUGGUGUAAGAUAUAUGUUGAGAUGAAGUUUUUGGGAUUAGUGGUCGAAAUUAACCCGAUCAUGUUUUCUCUUGUAACUAUAUAGACUUCAACUUGUACUCAUAAUAAAGCAUGCUAUAUUUAUGAAGAGAUAUUAAUCUUCAGGCAAAUAGAUAUUAUGAAAACAUAUAUAGCAAUUUAUCCAGAAGAAAUAUUAUGAAAUGAAAAGAAUAAAAAGUAAAAAAACAGAAGGAAAGGAAUUCGCACCUGCUAUGUAUGAAAGGACCAAGAUUGUUUUCCCUUUGGUUAAUGACUAGAAAAGCUCACUUGCAGAUUGCUUUCUCUGACCGUAGAUGCAACAGAAAUUUUCUCUUAAUAAUAGCACAAUGAUCGGGUAAUUGUAAGAACAAGUUGAUUUAAAAUUCCUUGACCCAAAAAAAAAAAAAAAAUCAUUUCAAAUUCAGGUCAACCCAUAGAUUUCUUGCCUUUUUCUUCUUCAUCACGUUGGGCUUGUCUUCUUCUUGAGGAUUGUAUAGGCCCAGGAAAUGCUUUGAGGUAGUUUUUGGCCUUGGAAGUUGGGACCCAACCCAACUUCACAAAAAGAAAACAGAUUUGCCAAAAAUCAAAUUUCAAGUCUCUCCUCAGAUCACUAAUACAGAUCAAAUUUUGGAUUUGAUGAACUAAAGUGGUUUUACUUUCUCUGUCAGUGUUUGAUGACUUAAUUUGUUAUUUACUUCUUUUUUUUUUUUUACUUGAUCUUUGUAGGGGUUUUUUUCUUCCGGUAACUUAAACGGGCUGGGCUGCCGUAAAGGGUAGAUUGAUGAAAUUGUCUCCUUUGUCUGAGUUCGAAAAUCAAGCCCCAAAAGCGCUUCGAAAGGGCAGUAGAGCCUUAGGAAGCGUUCUAGUCAUCUUCACCAACUAAAACAACAGCAACUUACAGAUGAUUUCUUAAGGCUUACAGAUAAAUUUUCUAGCUUGGCAUGAGAGGCUUGUGACAUGGAAGCAAAAUCAGCAUGAGUUUAGCACCAAAGAGGAAAAUAUGGCUUCCUAGGGAGAAAUGGGAGUGUUUAAGGUGAGGAAGAAGAGGUUUGCAGGCUGAUUUGGCUGAGGAGAGAGAAAGAAAGAACAAUGUUCUUCCAGUAGCUUGACAAAGCUUCUGACAGAUGUGAAAGUCGUCUGCCAUAAGAGGAAAAUGAAGAAGAAUGGUGAAUAGUGCAUGAAAUUGCUGGGUUUUUGCAGGUAAGAGAGAAAGCUUGCUCUCUGAAUUUGAGUUGGUUUUUGGUUGGGUAGAAGAGGCCCCCUUUUAUAGCUGCGGGAAACCAUCUUUUUUCAAGAAACCCUAAUGGUUUCUAUCCAUUUUGGCCAAGCUUUUCCCUUCAUUUCUCUUCUCCUCCCUUGACUUUUCCUAUCUUGGUGAAAUUUCCUCUGCCUAUUUGCACAAAAUUAGAGAUUUUGAGGAGCUCAAGACCCCUUUCCCGCAGCUGCCUCAGUGGAGAAUCCCCAUUUUCAGUCAUCUUUCUUCCUUCUUUUCUCCCAUCUUCCAAGGUUAGGUCUGAUGAGGGAAAGAAAUGGGUAUGCACACUGGUUUGAAGGGUAUUUUUGCUUGAAACUUGUUCUCUCCCAUGUGCUGGAGCUUCCCAGCAACUUACACACAUGGAUAUUUUGGCUUUCAUCGUGGCUUUUGUUUUCAGCUAGGUGCUGGAGAUUUCGCAGAUAUUUUCAUGAGUUGCUUGGGCCUUCUAGGACAAUAGGUUGGUUUAUCAAGUGAAUGGGCUAACUUCAUCAAUUGUUGGGCUAUUUUGGUUGAGUUAAUGGACUAUUUUGGUUGAAGUAAUGGGCUAUUUUGGUUGAAUUAAUGGGCUAUUUUUCUCUCUUUGUGCUCACCCACAUAUUUGGGCCUAAGAAAUGGGCUUGAGUUCCGGGGCUCCCAAGCAACCCCGGGACUUCCAUUUCUCGGCCCAUCAAUGGGCCUCAUAUCAACUUAUUACCAUCCAUAUCACAACCCACUCAAGCAAGCCCUGGGCAUCUUGCGUGGCUUGGGCCCACUUAAGCUUGUAGCGUGACGUGUUGCUUAUUUGCUUGGCAUGGCAUGUGUGCAAGCGCAUAUGACGAACUUUAGCGUGCCCAAAUUGGGUUUAUUCUCGGUAAGGUAUCGCAUUGGGCCGAGAAUUUAAUUGGGCAGAACUGUGGAUUUUUGGGCCUCAACAAUCUUAUAUAUAUUGGUUUUCUUUUUUUCCUUAAUAUUCACCACCUUUCUGUUGCAUAAGUAUUUCAGUCUUAACGGGUUUCCAUCUACCACUCAUCUUUGCUCUUUUAAGUGUAAGCUUUUUUUUUUUUUUUUUAAGCACAAGAUUAGAGGGGAGGGGGAUUUCUCAAUGUAAGCUUUGCAGUUUCAUAAUUAAUAUUUCCAAUAUCUCACUGUUAGUAAAAUAUGGAACAGGAAAAGUAUGAAUAAAAUACACACAUGUUUUAUUUAGCAAAAUUUUGACAAGAUACAACUGAAAAGUUUGGCCACUAUAUAAUAUUUUGAUAUAAUUUCUACACUUCUUCUCAAAAGAUUAGAUCACUUCACAUCUUGUGUAUGUGAAAACUAAUGUAAAAAGUUGAAACUUUAUCGUAAAACCUCGACAAAAAUGAGCUCUACUAGAAAAUGUUCAAUUUGGAUUCGUUGAUUUAAAUGGCAAUUUGACACUUGAUAGAAAUUUUUACAUACAUGUGUUAGUGUUUGAUCACUUCACAUGUUACUUACUAUAUUUAUUCCACUCAAGUUAGGUAAAUAUUAUUAUCAAACAUUUCAAUUAAUUUGUGAUUUUUUUAUUAUUUAAUCAAUUAUGAAUUAAUGGAUUCUUCUUGUUGUUUUGAAGACCAAUAAAAAAAAAAGGGUAAGGAUGGCUUAUAACUCUGAUAAAACAACAGUGACGUGGACAGCAGAUGUUACACCGUACUGAAGAUUUUUGAAGAUUCUUUAUUUGGGUUUCUUUCAAGAUGAAAACCAUAUUAUCCACAACCACAAUGAAGAAGACAGAAAAUGGAGUAAUUCAGAUGUUACCAGCCAUCCACGACAAACUGAAGUCUGCAAAGCAUUCGUAAUCUAAAGGGAGACUUUGGAAAAGCCCAAAGGAGAGAGAAAAUUUUUAAAAGAAGCAAAAAUGGACAAAAUUGCCCUUAUUUAUUUUUUGAUUUCCUAAGAAAUCCUUUACAUUUGCAUGUCUUUGGUUUGAAAGUUGAGAGGUUAUUCUGUCUUUUUUCAAAAAGCUUUGGCUUUUUCCAAAAGUGAAAGUUUUUUUAUGGGUAAAACCUAAAUUUACUUAAUCCCUAAAAAGGAUGGGGAGGCUGCGCAAUACUUAGCCACGUGUAGGCCAGGAGGCUUUCCAAUUUUAAUAUAUAUAUAAAUUGAAAAAAUAAAAUAAAAAUCAAUCUAUUAUCCUAUAUAAAAUAAAGAUUAUUGCUUCCAUGGGCAGUGCUAUGCACAGGACAGUGCCUGCCCAGCACAAAUUUUUUUUAAAUAAAAAAAAAAAAUCUACAUAUGUUAUAAGCUCAUCCAAAAAAAUAAAAUAAAAUAAAAGUAAAUUCUACAUAUAUGUUGCCCAUCUAGGUGGUUCCAUAUCUUCUCUCUCCUUCUCUUUUGGCUAUUAGACUUCUUGUUUCUCUCUCUCUCUUUGCUACCUCACAUCAGCAAGUUUCUCCCUCUCUUUUUUUGGGGUCAAAUUCUUCCUCUAUUGACAAAAUCUUCUAUUAUCUUGGGUGGGCAACUUGGCAACAACAUCUUCUCUUCUCCUUUUGUCAACAACAAGUAUUAUUCUCAUUCUCUCAUUUGCUAUAUAUCUUUAAUUAUAGUUUUAAUUUAAAAUUGAGUAUUCUAGGGUUUAAUUAGGGAUGAAUUAUAAUUUUAGAAUUUUGUUGAAAUUAAUUAAGGCUUCGAUUAGGGGUGAAUUAUUCUACUGCUUUGGUUUGGAAUUUUGUUAAAAUUGAGUAUUAUAGGGUUUAAUUAUGGAUGAAUUAUAAUUUUUGAUUUUGGUAUUAUUGAGAUGUUAUUAUGAGAAUUUGUUUCAUUUUUUUAUUGGUAUAUUUGAUUAAAAUUCUUUCUACAUAUUAUUCAUAGGCUAUCUUUUAUUAUGUCGGAUCACAAUCGGAAUCCCAAGAGAACAAAGAAUUUGAAUAGUGUUGUUUUGUAUUGCAUUGCAUUUACUUUUGGUUUUAGUUUUGCUUUUAGUGUAAAUUACUCAAAUGGUCCUCAAAUUUGUACCCGAUUUACAUUUUGGUCCAUAAACUAAAUUAUUCAUUCAAAUGGUGCACCAACUCUUUAUUAAUCAGUGCUUUGGUCCUACCGUUAUGUUUUCUAUUAAAUUUAGUCAUGUGAGCAGCACAUGCUACAUUUGUAGGGGUAAAUAAGACUUUUGACCACUUUAUCACCUAUGUAUCACCACUUUAUAACCUAUUUGGAGAACAUAGGUCAGUUAUGGACGGUUUUACAAUUAUAUUUGACGGCAACAUUAACAUAAUGUAACAGUGGGAUCAAUGGAGCGAUUAAUAUAGAGUUGAUGGACCGUUUGAACGAAUAAUUUAAUUGAGGGACCAAAACGUAAAUUGAGUAUAAGUUUGAGGACCAUUUGAGUAAUGUACCCUUCGCUUUUAUAUUUGUUGAACUUUUAUUUAUGGAUAGAUAUGCAUUUGAGGGUAAGACCCAUUAUGUUCCCCCUGACUUGGUGUAUCUUUUUAUGUUUAUUAAUGAAAUUCACUCGAACUGUUGAGUUUAGUAUGUAAGUUUUGCCUAACCGGCUUUUGAAUCCUAGAACCGCCACUGUUGCUCCAUCCUCCAUGCACUUGCAUGUGCUCUUACAAAGUGUGAAGUAGAUUUUGUGUGCUCCAAGUCAUUGACUAGAGCUGAAACAUGGUUAGCUAGAUUUAUAAGGACCCAUCUCUCUAUUUCCUAGACAUAUACCCAUCUCUCUAUAAAUCUAUAUGUAAAACUCAAUUUCAAACUUAAAUGACCAGUAAGAUAUAAGAGGUCAUAGUAUUCCUAUGUUUUUACAUCGUUGCCACCAGACUUCUUAUUUUAUUUAUAAUUUAUUUCAAGCAUUUCAUUAACUGCCAUAAUUGUAAUUAAUACUCCAUAUUAAUAGCAUAUCAAUCACCCCAUUUCUUUUGAUUGCCAUUCCCUCUAACAUAUCGCCCCUUAAAAUUGAAAACCAAAAAAAAAAAAAAUGUAAAUUACAUAUCCAAUAAUGUACCUAUGAAAAAUAUAAAUAUAAAUAUAUACGUAUAAAAAUAUAGGUUUAUUAUUUACCAAAUAAAAAAUAUAAAAAAACUAGGUCAGUUGCUUUGUAAUUGAAAUUUCUAUACAUUUUCCACAAAUUAAAAAUAGGUACACAAUAAUUUAUAGAAAAUAUAGGUGCAUUAUUUAUCCAUAGGUAAAAAUACCUAUAAAUGCACAUAGGUAAAUUAUUUACCCAUAUAUUAUUUUUUUGCUAAGGAUUUACCUUAGUUUUUAGUAGAUUAAUUUACCUACCUAGAGGCAUAGGUAGCUUAAAAAAAUUGUAGCACCUUAGUUGGUUGCAUACUAAUUUACCUACCUAGAGGCAUAGGUUGCUAAGAAAAAAUGUAGGUAAAUUCAUGUACCUAAACACAUAGGGGUCAAAUAGAGAAUAACAUGUUAUUUCCCUUCGAACAAAUUAAUUUCAAACCAUAACAAUAAUUGAAUUCGGAAAUUGGUAUAAAUAAAAGGAAAUAAAUAAGCUAUCAAUUUGAAAAUUAAAAUAAGAAAUGAUCAAGUAGUCAUAUUUGAAAAAAAAGAAAAGAAUAUAUUCUUGGUUUUUAUAGGAACAACGUGUAUAUUCAAACCAAAUGGCAGUAACUACACCAAGCUUUAAUUACUUUUUUUUAAGGCCAAAAGUCACUUUUGGUCUCUGUAGUUUGACACUUCUAUUACUUUUGACGCUGUAGUUUCAAUUCCGUCAAUUUUGCCAUUGUAGUUUCAUAUUUGUAGCAAUUCAAGGACAUGUUAAUAUUAAUGUCAAUUUGUUUAAUGAUGCAAGGGGUAAUUUCGUCAUCCCAAAAUCCUUGAGCAUAAAAGCUUGUCUGAAAUUCUCCCCAUUUCAUAUUAGGGCUCGAAAUUCAACCACUAAUCCCAAUUUUUGAAGAACCCUAUACCCAAAUGACCAAUUUCAAGCCCUAAUAACAAAUUAGGGAAGUUUUAGAUGAGCUUUUAUGCUCAAGGAUUUUGAGUUGAAGAAAUUGCCCCUUGCACUGUCAAAGAAAUUGAUAGGAAUACUGACUUGUCCUUGAAUUGCUACAAAUACAAAAAUACAGGGUCAAAAUUAACAGAAUUUAAACUAUAUGGUCAAAAGUGGUUAAAGUGCCAAACUACAAGGACCAAAAGUGACUUUUAGCCUUUUUGUUUAAAUAAGGAAAAAACUUACCUAUUAAAUCCUUGGAAUCUAUACAAAAUUGAAACACAGUUAAUCAGCAUUGAAUUGCAGCUAAUUUCUUAAACAAGGGUAUUAUAGGAAUUUAAAAAGUAUAACAUUUAAUCCAUUGAGCUUGAUUAGGAAUCUUGAUGAGUUGGAUCCUAGUUAUAUAGUUUCUCUUAUAAAAAUCGGGUUUUAUUUAUAGACAAAUAAAACAAUGGGUUGUAGGUAAGAAAAUAUUAAUUUGAAGGGAAAGUGUCACAUCCUGGGAUCGGCUCCGCCGUAGCACGAUAUUGUCCGCUUUGGGCCCCCCUCUCUGCCCGCACGGUUUUGUUUCUGGGAGCUCACGAGCAACUUCCCAGUGGGUCACCCAUCCUGGGAUUGCUCUGGCCCCCAACUCGCUUAACUUCGGAAUUCCUAUGACUCCGAAGCCAGUGAGCUCCCAAAAGGCCUCGUGCUAGAUGGAUGCGGGUGUGUACAUAUAAGACACAUCACCCCCUCUCCGUUGGUUGAUGUGGGAUCUUACAGAAAGAGUCAAAUUUACUAAAUUAAUAAAGCAUAAAUUGGAAAGGGAAAAGAUCUAGAGGAUGCAUUGUAGGAUUGCUCAUGCCAAUAAUUGCACCCUCUCGAUAUUGAAAAACCUAUUGUGUAUUAUUAUCUUCAAUCAUGAAUGAUGCACCUAAAACCCAAGUGUCCCAAGCCAACCAUUGCGCUCAUACCACUUGUUGCAGUACACAUUCACCCGUUUUUAAAGAAAGAAAUUCUACCAAUCGAUAUUGUCUCAAAUUUAAUCACAUAGGUCUAUUAUGGUUAACCAUAUGUACUUUUAUCGGCCAUAUAGAGGUACCUUUUUCCAACGUGCAACAAUUGUAUUUGAUUCACAAUUAUGUCUGAUAUACAUCACAUCAUGCCACUUGCCUCAAAUGAAUUUAAUUGAGUGAGGCAAUGGGAAGUAAUUAAGCUCUAUAUUGGUGGGUGGAGUGUUACUUCUGGAACCCUCAUCAUUCGUCCAUACAAGGGAACAAUUCCCUUCCUUCUAUAAAAUGGUGAAGCCAGUUGCUAUUGUUUGUUAGAGUUUUAGGAUCUGAGUGUUAGAUUUUGUGAGAAGAGAGAAGAGAAUUUAGUGAAAACUUCCAAUACUGCUCUGCUAUACGUGUAGCAGAGAGAACAUUCUGUUUUGUUAUAUAUUUUCAGUACAACAACACACACUUGGUGUGAGAAGAAAAAUGACUGUUAUGCACAGUACCAGCUGGAUGCUUUCCAUCAAAGUAAUCUCAGCCAUUCACUAUCUAACCAAUCAAGCUAUGACACCUGGACUAAGUAUAAAGAAAUACAACUAAGCAGAAAACAAGACUCUUAAUCCUGAAAUCAACUUAAGCACUUAUAAUUCAACACUCCCCUUUAAGUCUUGAGGUGAUUUCACUCCAAGCAUGCCUCUGAGAUAAUUGAAUCUGUCUUUGGCCAGAGGUUUGGUAAAAAUGUCAGCCAAUUGUUCAUUUGUAGGACAAUAUUCCAGAUUGAUUACCCCUUCUUGCAAUGCAUCCUUGAUGAAGUGAUACCUCCUGUCAAUAUGCUUUGUCUUCUGGUGGAAUACAGGGUUUUUAGUGAUUGCAAUUGCUGAGAUAUUAUCACAAUGCAAUGGAGUAGCUUCAGUUUGAAGCUCUCUAAAGUCUUCUAGCACAAAACGGAGCCAAAUAGCUUGAGUAGUAGCCUCAGCUGCACUGAUGUACUCAGCUUCUGCAGUAGACAGUGCAACACAGUUCUGUUUCACUGAGGCCCAAGAAAAUACUCCACUUCCAAAACUAAACGCAUACCCUGAUGUGCUCUUGCAAUCACCAACUGAUCCUCCCCAAUCACUGUCACAGUAACCAACUAGAAUUGAUCUUUUGCCUUUCACAUAUUCAAGACCAUAGUCCAGAGUUCCUUUGAUGUAUCUCAAAACCCUUUUAGCUGUUCCAUAGUGUCUAUUUGUAGGACAGUGCAUGAAUCUAGCUAGCAAGCUUGAGGCAUACAUGAUGUCUGGUCUUGUAGCAGUUAAGUACAGCAAGCUACCAACAAUGCUUCUGUAUUGUUCUUCAUUUGCAGCUCAACUCCCAUCAUCCUUAGCUAGUUUCUCAGUGGCAACAAGGGGUGUUGUCACAGGUUUGCACUCAGUCAAACCAAACUUGCUCAACAAGGUGCUAGCAUAUUUCUUUUGAUGUAGAAAUAUACUAGACUCAGUCUGAAUAACUCCCAUGCCAAGAAAGUGAUGAAGUAAGCCCAAAUCAGUCAUCUCAUACUUAGCCAUCAUGUCUUCUUUGAAUUCAGCCAACAAUGCUUGACUGCUCCCUGUAUACACAAUAUCGUCUACAUAGAUAGACACAAUUAGAAUCUCCUUAUCUCCCCUUACUUUGGUAUAUAAGGUUGUUUCACUUAAGCUUUUCACAAAACCACAUUGAGUGAAGUAGCUGUCUAUCUCUCCAUACCAAGCCCUUGGGGCUUGCUUCAGACCAUAAAGGGCUUUAUGCAAACGAUAAACCUUGUCUUCUUUACCUUUAAUUACAAAACCUUCAGGCUGACUGACAUAAACUUCCUCUUGCAGCACACCAUUAAGGAAAGCAGACUUCACAUCAAGCUGGAACAAUUUCCAAUCCUUUUGAGCAGCUAGAGCAAUAAGUGUUCUAAUGGUGUCCAAUCUGGCUAUAGGUGCAUAAGUCUCAUUAUAAUCCAGUCCAGGCUUCUGAGCAUACCCCUUAGCCACUAAUCUUGCUUUAUUCUUUUGCACUGAGCCAUCCAAAUUCAGCUUUGUCUUGUACACCCACUUAACUCCAAUCACUGGUUUUUCAGUUAGUCUAUCUACCAAUUCCCAUGUUUCAUUCUUUUCAAUCAUCUGCAGUUCAUCUUCCAUAGCCUUAAGCCAAGAUUCAUCCUGAGCAACAUCAGCAUAUUUUUCUGGUUCCAUGAUACACAAGUUACACUGAGCUAGAACAUCAUCUAGCCUUCUCCAUUUUAGAGGGGUGUGAUCAUAAGCUUGAGUUCUCCUUUCUUCACUGCUUAUAUCACCUGGAGUUGAUGAAAUGCUCUCUUGCAUAUCCAAAGUUUGAGGUGUACCAGUAGAAUUCUCAUUAGAACUGUCAGAUUUCAAGUCCAAAUCAACUUGGUUUUCAAUUGAGUAUGUUGUCAUAACUGAACCAUUUUUGUUUGUCCAAUGCCAAGCAUUUUCUUCAUCAAAUGUCACAUCCCUUGAUAGUAAAAGCUUGUUAGAAACAGGAUCAAAAACUCUAUAUCCUUUUUCACAAGUUGCAUAUCCCACAAACACUCCCUUUGUACUCUUAGGAUCCCGCUUGUGUCUCAAUUCAGUUGGCACAUGAACAUAACACAGAGAACCAAACACUUUCAGAUGUGCAAUUCCAGGCUUCCUUCCACUAUAUGCUUCGAAUGGAGUAAUGUUGUUGAGAGCUUUGGUAGGACAUCUGUUCAGCAAAUAGAUAGCUGUAUGCACAGCUUCUGCCCAUAGGAAAUAAGGCAUUCCCUUCUCAUGUAACAUUGAUUUUGCCAUCUCAAUGACAGUUCUAUUCUUCCUCUCAACUACUCCAUUCUGCUGAGGAGUAUAGGCCAUUGUAAGCUGCCUUUGAAUGCCAUUAGCUUCACAAAACUCCAAAAAAUCAGUAGACAUAAACUCUCCACCCCUGUCACUUCUUAUGCACUGAACCUUGUGUCCAGUUUGUAAUUCAGUCAUGGACUUGAACUUCUUGAAACAAAAGAAGGCUUUUGACUUGUUUCUCAAGAAGUAUACCCAAAUCAUUCUUGUGAAAUCAUCUAUAAUCAGCAUGAAAUAUCUGUUCCUUGCAACAGACUCAUUUCUCAUGGGACCACAGAGAUCCACAUGUAUUAGCACUAGUACUUUGCUUGCUCUUUGAGCUUGAUCUUUUGGAAAAACAUUUCUGUGCUGUUUUCCAAAUUGGCACCCGUCACACACACCACUUUGUUCUUCCAAUUUUGGUAAACCAUGUACCAUUUCUUUAUCACUUAGCUGCUUCAAUCCUCCAAAAUGCAGAUGACCAAAUCUCUUGUGCCAAAUCCAUGUGGAUUGAAGAAAACUAGUCUUCAUUAGUAACUGUUUUUCAGCUAGAAAAGAGACAGGAUAGCAUCUGUUACUCUUCAUUUGCACCUUUAUGAUGAGAUAAUCCAUGGAUGGGCUAUCAAAUACCCUGCACAUCCCUUCUCCAAACACUAGACAGUACCCAUGUUCAUCCAUCUGCCCAACACUUAGCAGAUUUUCUUUCAAUCCUGGCAGAUACAUUACUUCUCUGAUGUAUUUCCUGCCCUUUGCUGUAUCAAUACUCAGUGAGCCAAUACCAGCUACACUCACUAAUGCACCAGUUGGCAUUUGUACUCUCCCAGCUACAUUAGUUCUCACAUCAACCAGCAAAUCUAAAUUUCCUGUCAUAUGAUUGCUGCAGCCACUGUCAAUGUACCAUUCAUUGGUUUUGAUCUCAGUGGUUGAGCAAUUGGCAUAAAACAGGUUUCCUGUAACCUCCAUUUGAUUUACACAAUUAGCCUUCUGCACAUUUUUGCUCACUGUACAGUCUCUAGCAAGAUGUCCAACUCUGUCACAGUUAUAGCAUUUUGGUUUUCCCUUAUACCUGCACUCACCAAAAUGAUGCUUUGAACACACCUUGCAUUGAGGCUUUGUGUUUUCCUGAUUUGAGAACUGUGUUGAAGUGUGGUUCUGUGCAGAAUAAUUAUUCUGCUGUGUCUUGUCUUUUGCCUCCCAUGACUUCCCUUUAGAGUUCCAGCUUCUCUGUGACUUAGAUGAACCAGACUGAGAAGCAUUUUUGUUCUGACCCUUUGAAUUCACAGUGAAUGAGGCAAAUGCCUUCUCAGCUGUAUCAACACUAUGCAUUUCAAGCCUUUGCUCCCGACUCUUCAAAAUGGCAGUUACUUCCUGCAAAUCCACAGUUUCUAGUGUCUUUGUGUUUUCAAUCACAAUGCAUAUAGGGUCAUACUUCUUACUUAGACUAAUUAACACCUUCUGAACCUACCUCUCAUUUGACAGAACUUCACCAAAUGUUUUCAUUUGGUUAAUCAAUUCAGUUAGUCUAGUAAGAUAUUCAGAUAAGGUUUCACUAUCACGCAUCCUACUGUAUUCAAACUCACGUCUAAGGUUUUGAAGCUUUACCGAUCUAACAUGCUCUCCACCAUGAUAUUCUGAGUACAGCAGAUUCCAAGCCAUCUUUGCAGAGUCAGCAUUGGCAAUUCUGGGAAAAAUCUGAUCAGAAACAGCAUUUUGAAUGAUACCCAAGGCCUUCGCAUCCUUCAUGAGAAUCGCAGCUGUUUUCUCAUCAACUUCUUCUUCUGAACCAUCCUCAGAUUCCUGCUUCGUCUUUGAAUCUGGGAUUAAAAACCCCUUCUCUACCAAACCCCAUAAACCAUAUGAUCUGAAUAUGGUUACCAUCUUAAUCCUCCAAAAUUCAUAGUUCUCACCUGAGAAAAUGGGGAUUCUAGCCUCUGAACUUCCAGAUCCAGCCAUUACGAAUUUCAGAUUCGCCUGGAAACAAGAUGUUUUCAGAUUUGACCCUUGAUCGAGCUCAAUCAGCUUCGUGAGCUUAGAAUGAGCUCACCUCGAUCGAUUUUCUUCACAGAACAACGCCCAGCUUCAGAUAAUCAAACUUGGCUCUGAGGCCAUGUUAGAGUUUUAGGAUCUGAGUGUUAGAUAUUGUGAGAAGAGAGAAGAGAAUUUAGUGAAAAUUUCCAAUACUGCUCUGCUAUACGUGUAGCAGAGAGAACAUUCUCUUUUGCUAUAUAUUUUCAGUACAACAACACACACUUGGUGUGAGAAGAAAAAUGACUGUUAUGCACAGUACCAGCUGGAUGCUUUCCAUCAAAGUAAUCUCAGCCAUUCACUAUCUAACCAAUCAAGCUAUGACACCUGGACUAAGUAUAAAGAAAUACAACUAAGCAGAAAACAAGACUCUUAAUCCUGAAAUCAACUUAAGCACUUAUAAUUCAACAUUGUUACCAUAAGAGCCAGCUCCGACUUUCUUUAAUUUCAGUCCUAACGGGGUUUCAUCUUCCACUCAUCUUUGCUCUUCUCAGUGUAAGCUCUGCAAUUUGAUUAACUUUCCCAUUAUCUCUCACUGUACUCUAUAUAAAGGAAUAAGUGUCGUCCACUAAUUAAUUACACUUUGUGAGAUUUGAUUUUAAUUAGAGUUCGAAUUGAUGUUGCAGCUAGCAGCGGUGGCACUGGCAAACCAUGCUGCUCAACCAGCACCUCAACUUUACUGGAACUCCGUCCUGCCAAACACACAAAUGCCAAGAGCUAUCAGUGAACUUCUGCAUCCUGGUUUGUGUUGAAUAAAUAUAGUAUGUUACUGGAGUACGUAUGGCAACAUAUUCACAAAUGUGUCACGUAUUUUCCAAUAUGACGUUGAUAUAUAAUUGCAGACUCCACAAACGAAGAAAAGAGCACAAAUGUCAUGAAUGCUGUUGGGAAUGGAAAGCCAAUUGACCACAAGGGCAACCUGAAAAUACUGUACUACCACAGCUUGCACGACGCCCAUUUUCUUACAAGAGUGAUGAUCGUCCCACUGACAAUCAACUCCAUUAUAAAAACGUAGCUAUUUUCUUCUUGGAGAAGGACAUGCGCCCUGGCACAACAAUGAGCUUCCAAUUCCCUAGAAAUUCAAACACGGCUACUUUCCUGCCACCAGAAAGAGCUCAAUCGAUCCCCUUCUCCUCUAACAAACUACCAGAAAUUUUCAACCAUUUUUCAGUGAAGCCAACAUCUGUGGAAGCCAAAACAAUUAAGCAAACAAUCGAAGAGUGUGAGGCUCCAGGCAUUAAGGGAGAGGAAAUAUAUUGCGCCACAUCUUUAGAAUCAAUGGUUGAUUUUAGCACUUCGAAUUUUCGAACAAGAAACGUUCAAGCAAUCUCGACAGAGGUAUUGGAAAAAGGUGCCACCAUGUCCAUGCACAAGCAUACAACAAUGCCGGGACUGAAGAAGUUGGCAGGUGACAAAGUCGUUGUGUGUCAUAAGCAGAACUAUCCCUAUGCUGUGUUUUACUGCCAUGUAAUAAAACCAACAGCAGCUUAUGUUCUCUCCCUGAAAGGCGAUGAUGGGGUGAAGAUUAAAGCAGUAGCCAUCUGCCAUCUAGACACAUCAGAAUGGAACCCAAAGCAUUUGGCCUUCCAAAUCCUCAAAGUUAAGCCCGGAACAAUUCCCAUCUGCCAUUUCCUUCCCACUGAUCAUAGUGUCUGGGUUCCGAACCACAAAUCUGCAUGAUCAUCACUUAGCACUGUACGUAUAAUAAGCUUGCACCCCUGUAUAAUUAUCUCCCUACUCUACUUAUUUCUGCCUCUUCAUGUGGUGUAAGAUAUAUGAUGAGAUGAAGUUUUUGGGAUUAGUGGUCGGGUUGCCUUAAAAACACAGAUUACAGAAACUGCUUGAACUUAACCCGAUCAUGUUUUCUCUUGUACUCGUAAAGCAUGCUGUUGUGGUUCUACUUAAUUUCGUUCUCCCCAAUGUUUGAGUGUUUAAUUGUUACGUUGGAUAAUGCUUGUAGUUAGAGAAGCCUUCAUUUAUAUCAAAGUCCUCAACUUGUAAAGAUAUCAAUGGUCCUAGUGCUGCCACGUGUAAGAAGAUUGAAGAAUAAAGCUGUUGAGAUAUUGUUAGACCUGUUAUGCAGUUUAGGAAAACUGUUAGUAUUGAUAAGAGAAGGUUAGAGAUGUUAGAGAGGUUAGAAAACACGUGAACAAGGCUUUAACUCAGCUGAUAUAAAGUCUGUAGUUGUGCUCAGUUGAACUUAAUGAGAAAUACAACAAGUCUCUUCUCUAUCUCUGAAAUUCUCUCUGCUCUCUCUGCUUUACUUCUUUUGUCUCUGCUCUACAUUUUUUUUCAAUCUUCCUAUCUUAACAAAACUAUCAAGAAUUAAUGCAUCCAGAAACAUAUAUACCAAGACGCAAAACAACAUAUUUUUCAUGCUCUGUCUGUAACACCAAAGCAAACUUCCUUUAUCACAAAAGGAUCAAAUUCCAGUACUAAUCUAAUCCAUCAUGUAAAGCAUACAAUCUACAAGUGCCUCCCUUAAUUUGUCCAUUGGAUAUAUAUGUCACUUUUUGGUAAUUUGGUAUAGCAGCACCACGUAGUCUUGAAAUAGUAGUGCGGCUAUACCAAAUAUACCAUUUGCCCCUGCAUUUAACAGAAAAGUAAACAAAAUUGACGGUAGAACUAUUUGUCCUAACGAAACUGCAGUUGAAAGACCAUGAGAACGAUUUUGAAAAUUGAGGGACUCAAAUGAAAAUUGGGUCUAAGUUCAAGAACCAAUAAAACGAUUAACCCAUAGAUUUUGGAUCCAGUACCACAUCCCAAAGAGAAAACCACAAGUUUGCAAGCAAGUUUGUCCAUAAUAACACUACGUACAGUAUGGGCAGUGCGCUAGACUCAUCUCACUUUCUCAACCUAUCCUAUAGUUGUCUAAAAGAGUUUCUAAUUUAAUGUACUGAGAUUUACGAAAGAAAUAUCAGAGAAACAAUUUUCAGGCAAUAAAAAAAUGUCUUGGCAAGAAAAUGUACAAUUUGUUACAUAACUUAUUAAAUAUGAACAGUUGAAAGAAAAAAGAAUCUGGAUGAGGGAUUUGCAAAUUCCUAUGGCCCAAUUACCUUUUUUUCUUUGUUGUUUUUUUUUUUUUUUUUUUGGUUCUUUUGAUCCAGUAGCAUAUUCCAAAGAAUGAAAACCACAGGCAUGCAAUGCAAGCUCUUUUCCCACGUUUUCCUCUGUUUUUCUCCUAUCAUGGAAGUGAUUAAAACACACCUCUAAGCUUGUUUUGCGUUUGGUAGCCGAGUGUAAAAGCUCAAUGCAAGAUAGUUUGAGGUAGAAUUUUCUCCUAUUUUAUUAGGACAAUGAUAAUUAAAAAAAAGUGUGAUUCAUUGAAUAUUUGCGGGGUUUUGUUCAGACCUGACAAAGUUCUAAGUCAACACAUCAAAUUCCUUUUUCCAACAUGCAACAAUUGUAUUUGAUUCCCAAUUUUUUCUGAUAUACAUCACAUCAUGCCACUUGCAUCAAAUGAAUUUAAUUGAGUGAGGCAAUGGGAAGUAAUUAAGCUCUGUAUUCGUGGGUGGAGUGUUACUUCUGGAACCCUAAUAAUUCGUCCCUACAGGACUCUAGAACUCUCAAACUUCUUACAAGGACUACUUAACUCUAUAGCUUAAUGCAUAUAGCAUAUAUAUGCAAACACAAUUAGAAAUUCUACAACAGAAGCAAGAUCAAUCUCACUAUGCCUUCUAAACAAACAAACAAAUAAAACAAGCAUAUUAAUUGCUUUAAUCACUCUACUAACAUCAACACAGCACACUUAGUUUACUAACAGAUGAUAUAGAAAGGAAAAAAAAGGACCAAUAGGGAGAAAAUGGUGAACUAAGGAGAGACUAAUACUUCUGGUCCUUAGAAGGCAUAACAGAAAUAAUAGAGCACACUGCUUGAAUGCAAGUCAGUAUUAGGAGCAAAACAGCUGCAAUGAAAGAAAUAGUUGCCCAAGGUGUAUUGAAAUAAUGUUGCCUCAAAUUUGCCUUCCAUUUGUUCCAAGGCUUUCUGCAGUAGCUAUUAAGGCGCUCAGAAAGAAUAGCAAAGUAGAAGCUUUCACGAUACACUGCAAUUCCUUUUCCGAGGUUGUUAAUCAGAGUGCACACCUCAUUGUAGUCACCAAGCAUAUUUUUGACAAUCCCAUCCUUCAGAAGGAACUCCACAUCCUUUUCGGUGUUCACAAACUCAUCCAUGAGUGAAACAUAAUCACUUAUGUAAUUCUUACGGCAAUGGCACUAUUCAAAGGCAAUGAGGUUACGGAGUGUGAGCUCUGUGUAAUCGUGUAUUUUUAGUUUUGGAAUUUCUAGAAUCCCAUCGUUGAAUUGUGUUAACGCAGCUUUCCUUUCCUAGCCUACACGGAAGUCAACUUCACAAUCUCCUCCUAGCAAUUAGUCUUUCCUGCUGUAAAUCAGAUUUCCUACUGUAAAUCGGAUUGUAUUCAUGUCUAUAUUAUUUCCUACUUUAAGUAGAUAUCUUGUACUAGUAUAAAUAGGGACUUUGUGUAAUCUGUUAAAUACAAGGAAAUAUAUACUCUGCAUGGUAUCAGCCUAACCUAGGGUUCUCUCUCUCUCCCUUAUUCGAUCCUCUUCUCCUUUAGGUCCACCUCAUGGCUUUGUCUGAAUCCACCAUCUCCCUCCCAAGCCCCAACUCUUCUAUUUUAUCAAGCUUAUUGACUCCAACUAUCUUCUUUGGCUCCGCCAACUCAAACCCUUUUUAGUCGGCCAUGACCUCUGGAAAUUUAUCGAUGGCAUUCAUAAACAACCUUCUGCCCACACCUCCACCUCUACCACCGCAACACCCACAACCACCACCACUCUUACCCAAAUCAAUCAUGCCCAUGCUCAGUGGUACCAACAAGACCAACUCAUUGUUAGCUACAUCACCAAUACACUCUCUGAGUCCAUUCUCUUUCUCACUGUUGGUUGCACCUCUGCCCGGGAUCUCUGGGAGUGUCUCCAACGCCACUUCUCUCAAUCCAGUAUGGCCAGUGAAUCUACUCUUCGUUUUAAACUCAUGGAUUUGCAAAAAGGCUCUGAACCCACUUAUGCUUACAUUCGUCAUGCUAAGUCCUUUGCCGAUUCACUGGCUGCCAUCAAUGAACCUGUCUCCCCAAAAGAACUUGUCACUACUGUGCUUUGGGGUUUAAGACCCUAUUGCAACAUCCUCGUCACAGCAAUUCUCAAUUUCCCUCUGCUUCCUAACUUUGCUAAUCUUCGUGCUCGUUUGUUAGCAUUUGACGCACAGACUCCUUGAAUCUCUCCUGAUCAAAACACAGCGCAAAUGGCCACCCAAUCCUCUCCUCACACCACCGGUCAUACUUCCUUCCCUUCUCACCGUGGUGGUGGCUCUUCCAACAACAGGCGUGGUGGCCUCGGUGGCUGGCGCAAUAGCGGCCGGGGUGGCUGGCGCAGCUUCUCAUCUUCCUGGAGCAACCCGUGGAAUGGCUUCCAGCAGCUCCAAUGACCUAAUCAACCAUGGCCUCCUUUUGCUCCAAGUUCUGGAUCUCAAAGCAACUGGCCUUCCUUUCAGCCUCCUUGGGCCUAAUCUGCCGCUUCUAUCAAACACUUUGCCCGGCCCAACUCAGCUCCUGGUGUCUUGGGACCCGCUUGGUGCACUACCUGCAAUACCAAUCACAUACUACUACAAUAUGUCCUCAUCGCUACAAUGGCCCAGAAUCCUUUCUUUGCUAGGGCUCAAUUCAUGUAGCCACCUGACUCUACUUGGUACCCUGACACAAGUACCACUCAUCAUAUGAUUGGUAGUCCUUCUAAUCUCCAAAAUCAAUCCUUCUAAUCUCCAAAAUCAACAGCCAUAUCAGGUUCAUAAUUCUGUAUUUCUUGGUAAUGGAGAUUCUCUCCCUAUCUCUCAUACUAGCUCUCUCUUUUGUCUUCCAUCUCUUCGUACUAAUCUUCUUUUUGUUGCCCAUUUUACUUGUGAUAAUUUAGUUUUCUUUGUCUUUACUCUUGACUUUUAUCAAAUCUAUGACUUAUGUACUGGUUCGUUACUCUUUCAGGGCCCUUCUAAAGAUGGUCUUUACCCACUUUCCAUCUCCUCUCACUCAUCCAUAGUCCCCCAUGCCCUUACCACCGUGCACUCUCCUGCUUGGCAUCAUUGCCUUGGCCAUCCAUUCCAUCGUGUGCUCUCUCAUUUAGCGCCAUCUCUAGGCUUUAAAGUUUCUCAUGCUUUCUGUAAGGAUUGUGCACUUAGCAAAUCCACCAAACUGUCAUUUCUUAGUAAUAAAACCUUUGCCCCAUCUCCCUUUUAUUUAAUUCACUCUGAUGUAUGGAUGUCCUCGGUCAUUUCUGUCACUGGUUAUCGCUAUUAUGUCUUGUUUACAGAUGACUUUUCUCGUUACUCCUGGAUCUAUCAUAUGCACCGUAAAAAUGAGGUCUUUUCUCACUUUCAAACCUUUCUUGCUAUGGUUAAAAAUCAAUUUCACACCACUGUACAAAUUCUUUAAAGUGACAAUGGCACUGAAUAUGUUAAUAAUGCUUUCUCUGAUCUUUGCAGUCAACUAGGCAUCCACCAACGUUUCACAUGUCCCCACACUCCCCAACAAAAUGGCCUAGCUGAACAUAAACACAGACACAUUGCCACCAUGAUCUGUCCCCGGUCAUUUAUUCAACCAUCUUGACCUUUUGCUUGAUCAUUUUCCACAAGCAACCGUCCACGUACCCCAAUAAUUUAAAAGGGCUGAUGAUCUUUAAUUUGGUGAAAGCUUCUAUCUACCUACCGUGCUAUAUAUGAGCUAUGCAAUCGUGACCGUGUUACAUGACGUCCCAAUGUCGUAGGGAUAAAAAAAUAAUAGUCAUGGUUUUCUUAUUAAUGUCAAUACAUUCAUAGCAAAGAGCUUGUAGCUCUAGUGGUUAAGAGCAAUUACCCAUGCACUUGAGAUAUUUUGUGUUUAAAUCCCCUCUUCCCCAAUAUUUCUUGUAUAAAAAUAAAAAUAACAAUAAUAAUGACAUUAAUGUUGUAUUCUAUAAAGUGUUGGACAUGUUUUAUACCCCUUUCUUGCAAAUUACAGUUUGCCACGUGUACAAAAAUAAUAGAUAAGUGUUGGACAUCAAGAGCACUUACAUAUAGGUUUAAUAGGUAAGUUUUGAAUAUUUCUGUAUUUAGCUUUAAAUAUUGAAAAUCAACCUAUUAGCAUAUUAAAGAUUUGUCCAUAUUCGACGUACAUUCUCUUAUUUUUCUCUCAUUGAAGUAAAUACAAAACUAAGCACAUAGUGGGAAAGUGCGUCACGAUUAGGGGUGGGUUUAGUCUAGGUUGGUUCAUUUUUGGGCUCAAUUUGAACACCGAACUGUAAGCUUCGGUUUGGCUAUUUUGGAAACCGAAACCAAACCAUAAUUGAUGAAAACCGACCACUUCGAUUACCUUCUGGUCUUCCAACCAGAAGAAAACUCAAAACUUUAACCAUACCAAGUGCAACAGAAUUACACCAGGCUGGAUUCAAGUUUAUGAUGGUUAAAGAUAAAAACUUAUUUGACAUACAAUUUGAGAAUGGAAUCCUCAAAAUUCCACACCUGCGAAUACGGGGUUUAACAGAAAUUUUCUUCCGCAAUCUUAUUGCCUAUGAGCAGUGUGAGCUUCAUGAUCAUUACAUCAACGACUAUGUCUUCAUCAUGGACCGCCUGGUCGACAGUGCCAGGGAUGUGGAAUUGCUUGUGAAGAGUGGAAUUCUUGAAUCUAUGCUACCGGACAGCGAGGCAGCAGGGGAAUUUAUUAAUUCUCUUGACUUGGGGCCUAUUUUAGGCAAGCUUGAAACAAGACUAUUUCAGUUCACCAUGGGCUGGCCUGUCUAUUAUUGUAGCCGCUAUACUAGUUGUGCUCACAUUUAUUCAAACAGUGUGCUCCGUAAUGGCGCUGUAGGUUCUUCAUUUCCUCAAUUUCAUGUUUAGUGGUUGCAGAUUUGUUGCUCAUGUACGUGUUUAUCUAAAGUUAAAUAAGAGUGAUUGACUGGAUUGACUGUUAGUCUGUUAGUUUGUUUUUCUGGGGUUUUUCCCCCCUGUUCGUCAAAAAAAAAAAUAAAAGAGUGAUGGCUUGUGCCUAUGAAAAUUACUUAGGAGUAUGCUCCACAGAGCCAAAAUAAAUAAACUAGGGAAGUGGAGGUUCUUCUGUUUGUAUAUAAAUGAGCAAUUCAAACUCUCAGUGCCAAGGGAGUUACCCUUGAUACAUUUGUUAAAAAUUAUAUAUUUGGUCUUACAUCAAACAAAUAAUUUGAAGGGCUUUUUUGACAACUGCUGACAGCGUUUGGCAGAAAAGUUUAGAAGCGCUUCUACGCUUCUAGAUCAUAAAAGUGCUUUACCAAAAAGCACUUAGAUUUCUUAUGAAAAUUUCAACAUUUUUAUAAUAAAAGCGCUUGCUAGAAGCACUUAUAAGCAGAAGUGCUUCAUAGAGAAGCAGUCCCAAACGAGCUUGAUUUUCAAAUGUGCUGCUUAAGAAGAAAUUUAAUACGUUUUGAAAACAAAAAAAAAUACGAAAUUUAAUACGUUUGUUUUACAAAUUGUAUUAAUUGUUAUCAAUAAUACUUGUGCACACCCACAACAUACUUCUUUCUUUCUUUAUUUUCCUUCAGUACAGUUCUGCCUUUCUUUAAUUAUUUUUAACGAAUGCAAAGAGUUUGUCACAAAAUCAAGGAUUGAAAAAAAAAGAGAGUAAAUUAUGUGCUAGAGAAACUUUCCUGCAGAAAUUGAAGAACAACUCUAGUUUCUCUCUUUCGCCUUGUACUCCCGCACUGAGGUUAGUAUUGUUAUAAUGUGCAGAUUAUACGGUCACUCUUGUAUAAUGGCGAGAAGGCUCUAAUUAUAUUUUUGAACCUCUUUGACAGGACCCGCCCCGAAUUUCCCGAAACCCAAGACGAAUUCUGUGGAAAUUCCCUACAUCACCCCGAUGUUGGGCCCACUUCUAAAACUAUAUCAUUUUUCCUAAAAAGGAAUAAGGGCACGAGACUUUCUACCGAAAUUUCGGCAGAGUCUCUCCUGUAAAUUGAACAUUUCCCAAAAUUUCAACCUGCAUAAAACACAUUUUAUAUUACCCAACUGGCAGCAUGCACAAAAUAAUAACAUGCAAUUCACAUAAACGGCCUCUGGCCCUCCGGUAAUUCAGAGCAAUGCAAACUAGCAACUCUAAACCUAAUAAAACAACAUAAGUAACAUUUAGCCAGCGGCUGCACCCAGGCACUACCCUAGGCUACCUACGUACCCUUACUAAGGGAUCAAGCCACACGUAGUUCUUUCAUACAAAAUUUCCAAAUCCAUCAACAUGCAAUCAAUUACAGAAUCCCAAACAAAAUCUUUCUCAAACAUCAUUAGUUCCCAACUCAGUAUAAUAAUCCUUAAUUCAUCUCUGUAAUAAUCACAAUAUCUCCCCAUACGCCGGAACUACCAACACCACGUAUGGAGCCUGCCUGUACGCCAGAUAACCAACGACACGUGGGACCUCAUCAUCAUAUCACAUAAUCUCCCCAUACGCCGAAACUACCAACACCACGUAUGGGGUCUGUCAACACGCCGGAUAACCUACGACGUGUGACCUCAACAUCAAAUCACAAUAUCUCCCCAUACACCGGAACUACCUACGCCACGUAUGGGGUCUGUCCACAUGCCGGAUAACCUACGACACGUGGGACCUCAUCAUCAUAUCACAUAAUAUAUUAACGAUCAAGAAAUAUCACUACGGUCAUUUAAUCCUCCUGGGAAGGUAAAACUAUCUCAGGAGACUCACGGUCAACCAAGGGUCAAACUACCUCAUACUUGGACAAACGAGCCCACGGAGCCCACAACCUCCGUUUUACUAUCCAAGAGUUCCUAUAGGUUCUACAAGGUUUAGGAUACACGGCUUGCAAGUUUGGUCAAGAUCAGACGGUCGGAUCGCUCACGAUAGGACGGUUACUGCAAACCUAGCCCUAGGGUUGGCAUUUUCGGAGUAUCCGAAACUCCGUUUUACGAUCUGUCGAAUCAUAGACGAUCCUAAGGAUUUGCAGACUAACUAUAAUAAAUUCAAGACCAUCCAACGGUCUAAACCUAUCGAACCCGGAUAACGCGCAAUAGGCAAUAUCCAAAUUGAAAUCCGAGCACACCUACGCACUCGUGAGGACUAGGAGAUUACAUCGGGACAUAGUGCCCUUUUUCUACAGUGCCCAUGAGCCGCCGCACGCACCAGCAACGCGUGGGUGCCCAAAGCGAUUAUGCAUCGCCAAAAAAUCUCAAAACCACGGCUCAAGACUCCUACCCUAGGUAUAACACCCUAUUUGGAACCACUUUUGUUCUUGGACCUACCCCAAAAACUGAUCAGAAGUGGCCGGAAUGGCUGAAAUGUAAUUCAAAAAUCAAGCUACCAACGCUCAAAAUCGAUGCAAUCCUACCCAACCAUCAACUAGAUUAUGAAGAAUGGAUAAAUUUCCAUACCUUGAUCGCCAACAAUGGCGGCCGGAGGAGAGAGAUCUGAUCCGGCGAAGUUCGAGUGAAAACGGCCAAAAAUCAUCUUUUUCAGGCGGCUGGAGGGCGACCGAUGUCAGGGAAGGGCAGGGUCGUGACGCUAAGGCUGAGCCUGUCCUUUUGGCACCGGUCCCUUCCGCAGCCGUGUCCGGUGGCUGGAGUUUCGAAGAGAGAGAGAGAGAGAGAGAGAGAGAGAGAGAGAGAAAUCUGAUUUUUAUCAAACCUUUUUGCCAAAAUUACGGUUAUGCCACUGAGGGUAUUUUGAUAGUAUCUCUCUCGUUACAACUUCGAUUCGAGCCCACCACGUGUGUACGGACUCAUCUAACUGUGUUGUACGCAACGGUAUAGUCGAAAUUCCCAAAUUAUUUCCUUGUCAAAAAGUCAACUUUAAACAUUAUAAAAUAUUUUAGGGAAAAAAUGGUAUUUUCUCUCAAUAAAUUAGUAACUAAUUUAUUUAGGACUGGGUCAUUAUACUCUUUUUCGCUUCAAUGGAUGGGAAAAAAUUUUAUGUAAUAUCCCACAUCGACCAACGAAGAGGGGGCGAUGUGUCUUAUAUGUACAUGCCCGCCUCCAUCUAGCAUAAGGCCUUUUGGAAGCUCACUGGCUUCAGAGUCAUGGGAACUCCGAAGUUAAGCGAGUUGGGGGCUAGAGCAAUCCCAGGAUGAGUAACCCACUGGGAAGUUGCUCGUGAGCUUCGAGAAACAAAACCGUGAGGGCAGAGAGAGGGGCCCAAAGCGGACAAUAAGGCCUCGUGCUAGAUGGAGGCGGGCAUGUACAUAUAAGGCACAUCACUCUCUCUCCGUUGGUCGAUGUGGAAUGUUAGAAUGGAAUUGUUACCUUUGGUGUGGAGGUGUUCUAUCAUUUGAGCAAGAAAUUCCCACAUAUUCUUCAACUAUUUUUCAAGCAUGCAUAUUCCUCCCUAUCAAUCUUUGGUUUCUUCCUUUACUGUGCAUAGUAAGGAUCCAGUCAGGGACGGACCGUCGCUAUGACUAUCCUGGGCUAUAGCCCAGGCAAAUUAUUUUUUUUUCUAGUCUAAAAUAGCAAUCCCACCGCUUGCUGUAGUACUUGUUCAGUUCGUCACAAACAUGAGCAUAAUAGAAGUUAUCAACAUCUAUAUAGGAACCCCAAUGAAAAGGCUGUUAACUAAUAAUGAAGUUAACCCGUCAAUUUUUCCGCAUAUCAGAUAUCUCUCAGAAUAUGCGAUUCCAUAUUCAAUAAGCCACUCCACAUGCCCUGAGGUUUUCAUCAAACCACCCAUUAAGGAAACAUACUGACUCAUGUAAUUAUCAUUACUCAUCGGGUAAUGCAAUUGUUCAAAGGCAAGGACAUUUCUCAUUAUUUAUGUAGCGAACCCCAAUGGAAAUGGUGGGAUCUUCAGAACCCCAUCGGUGCUACUGAAUUGUAUGUCAAAUAUGUUUUCACCUUGUCACGCCUCAAACUUGACUCCAGCGUGCUGUAAUUCUGUCAAGCUGGGUAUGGAUGAUGGGAGUUUGAUGCAGGAGCAUAGGGGUGGAUCAAGAUAGAUAUUUACUAUUUAAUUAGUUAUUUCAUGAUAUAUUGUUAUUUUCUUAUUUAGGUAGUUUUAUGAUAUCUUUUAUUAUUUAUGUGUGAUUUUAUAAUUAAUUAGUAUACUUUUGGACCAAGUAGCCUUGGUGCUCAAGUCUUGUAAAGCCUAUAAAUAAGGCUAAUGUAAUAGUUGUAGAAUAGAUGUCGAUGAUUAAUAAAAUCGUUUAUUUGUGGCAUGGAUUUGCUACGAUAUAUGUGAGUUUGCACUAGCCCUAGAUUUCAGUGCUCGUGUAUGUGGUUGGUGACCUGUGUCCGGAUCCCGAUCCCCAUCAAUUGGUAUCAGAGCUAUGGCUCAAGAUCUGCUAUAUCGGGGAGGUUUUUGGAUGGAGGGUCGUUUUAACAACUACAACGACAUGGAGGAAAUUAGGAGGAUGCUACGGCAACUUAUGGAACACAUUGCUCGCAUUGAAGCUCGAACCCAGAUAGGUAAGAGUUCUGACGGGGAGGGAUGUGUGAACCCUUAUCUGAACCGAGUAGCUCGCAUCGACACUCUAAGCCGUGAGAGUCUCGACGGGGAGUACGAGGGAGAUAGCCCUUUUCAUUAUUGUGCUCCGCUGUGUGAGUCAAGUGAAGAGGGGCACGGUUAUUCUCAUUGUGUCUUUGAAGGUAUAAAUGAAUUUAGUAAUUUUGGUGCAUCUUGUUAUUCAUCAAAGUUAUUAAAUUUGGAUUUACCUCCAUUAUUUGAUCCUUGCAAUUGUGAAAAUUGCAAUAAAAAUUGUUUGGGUGUUCAAAGCAAUUUUGAUAAGCAAUUUAUUGACCAGAACAGUGAAGAGAUGAGAAUUGAGAAAACUUUCGAAGAUAUUAUUGAUUUUAUGGGCAUUAAUAUUUUCACUUGGAAGGUUGCCAAAAAUCUGGUUGAUUUUGUCAAUCGGUUGAAGAUUCUAGAGAGAAACAUUUGCAUUGCUAGAGGGAGUAAGAAGUCAAGAAUAACGAAAUAUUCCAAAUAUCUUUUUAUUUGGAAAGGAAGGUUUCAAUUGGAUGCUAAAAGAUCCAAAAUUAAUAUGCAGCAAUUGAAGAUUCUACUCGGAUUUUCCUUAAUCAAAGGCUUGAAUUCGAGGACGAAUUCUUUCCAACUAUGGGAGUCUGAUGCAGGAGCAUAGGGGUGGAUCAAGAUAGAUAUUUACUAUUUAAUUUGUUAUUUCAUGAUAUAUUGUUAUUUUCUUAUUUAGGUAGUUUUAUGAUAUCUUUUAUUAUUUAUGUGUGAUUUUAUAAUUAAUUAGUUUACUUUUGGACCAAGUAGCCUUGGUGCUCAAGUCUUGUAAAGCCUAUAAAUAAGGCUAAUGUAAUAGUUGUAGAAUAGAUGUCGAUGAUUAAUAAAAUCGUUUAUUUGUGGCAUGGAUUUGCUACAAUAUAUGUGAGUUUGCACUAACCCUUGAUUUCGGUGCUCGUGUAUGUGGUUGGUGACCUGUGUCCGGAUCCCGAUCCCCAUCAGAGUUCCCCUCCAGCUUUUGAUUCCAACGGUUGAUAGAGUUUAAAUAUUUUCCUGAAAAGAUCAAUAAUAUGUGCCACUGAUCUAAAAGUCUCCAAAUUGUCUUCCAAUUUGUCAACAGGCAAUAGAUGUUCGAAGAAACUGAAAGAAAUACAAAUUAUUGAAAGCCCCUCAGUAAUGCUGUUAUUGUCAGCAUUAGCAGGGAGUGUAAUUUUCUGUGGGUCGAAAAGAUCCUCGAGAAUGAAGAAUGGCAACUGAUUUUCAAGCAACCACGUAUCUGUCCAUGCAUCUUGCAACAUACCUGGUUUGUCAAAUAUGCGGUCAUUUUCGUCCCAAAAUUUGAAGUAGUCCUUCAAUAAGGGCUCAAUAACGAAGGCGGCGCCCACUAGAAUGAUUGUUACAAAUUCAUCACUGCUAAACUUGAUGGGUUCUCCAUAACAACGUCUCAAUCUUGCUUCGUGGUCCUUUAUUUUCUUAAUAUAAUCCUCCAAACUCACAUUGGUCCGACCUAUAAAAUCUUGCAGGUAUCUCUGUUUGUUCUCUUCCAAUACGACAUUCAAGCCUUCCUUUCCAUGGUGAAGUGGACCUAUAGAGACCGACUGCCUGAGGUGUGCAGAGCUUUUCAUUCACACAUACGUAGAUAAAAUGUCUGGGGGCUCAGAGAGUGAUGAAUGUGCAACAGCUAAUGGGAGGGUUUAUAUUCCUGAAGUAAGAAAUGAGGAAACACCAGCAGUUGGGAUGAAGUUUGACUCGCUUGACCUCGUUUACAAUUUCUAUAAUAGAUAUGCAUUCUUGGCUGGCUUUGGUAUUCGACUUCAUUCUAGCUUUUGGGGGAAAAAUAAGAAAGAGAUUUUGAGGAAAGAAUUUGUAUGUUGCAAACAAGGUGCAUACAAGAAGGAUGAAACUCGGGAGAGAAAAAGACAACGGGGAAUAAGUAGAUGCAAUUGCAAAGCAAAGAUUGUGGUUGUGAAGACAAAUGGGAGCAAGAAGUAUACCAUUUCUCUUUUUGCAGAGGGACACAAUCAUAAGAUGACACCCUCAGAAAGAAUGCAUUUAUUGAGAUCACACCGUCAUAUUUCAGAUUCUACAAAAGUACUCACAAAACAGUUGGGUUCAGUUAAUAUUCCCAUUCAUCAGAAGGUAAGUAUAUUCGAGGUGCAAUCCGGAGGAAUGGAUAAAAUCGGUUUUAUCAAAAAAGAUAUCUACAAUCUUGAAUGUAGUGUGAAUGGGAAGCUGAGGAACCACGAUGUUGAACUAGUGACCGAGUAUUUUAUGGCUGAACAGAAAAAAAAUGAGGCUUUUUAUUUCAAGAUUGAGGGAGAUGGGCAUGACAGGUUUAGUCGAUGUUUUUGGGCAGAUGCAACUUCUAGACGGGCGUAUGGGUUUUAUGGAGAUGUUGUUGUAUUCGAUACCACAUUCAACACGAAUCGAUACGACUUGACAUUUGCACCAAUGUUGGGAGUUAAUAACCAUGGUCAGACAAUUGUCUUAGCAUGCGCAUUUUUGAGCAAGGAAACGACUGAGUCGUUUGUUUGGAUGUUUGAGGAGUUUAAGAAAGCCAUGCCAGGUGGGGAACCUAAAACGAUCAUUACAGAUCAAGAUGCGGCAAUGGCCAUAGCGAUUUCAAUAGCCUUCCCGAGUACAUUUCAUCGACUUUGCAUAUGGCACAUCACAUCAAAGUUCUCUGUUAAGUUACCACGUGACGCUUAUAAGGAGUAUUGGCCUGAAUUUCAGAAAGCCAUAUGGGAUACUGACAAUAAGGAUGAGUUUGAUGCAAAAUGGAAUAUUGUGGUUAUAAAGGCUGGUUUGACUGACCAUCCAUGGCUAAGUUCAAUGUUUGAUUUAAGGGAAUCUUGGGUUCCAGCCUACGCACGACAAUUUUUUGCCGCUGGAAUGUCAAGCAGCCAAAGAGCGGAAGGUUCUCAUGGUUUUUUCAAGCAAUACAUAUCAAGGAGAAAUUCGUUGAUGGAUUUCAUAAUACGAUUUGAGAGGGCAUUUUCUCAUCAACGUGAAAAAGAGUUAGUUGCUGAUCACGUAGAUGCAUUUGAAGUGGCUCAAUGUCUUCUACCGAUGCCAAUGAACAAACAAAUGGCUACCUUGUACACAAGGACAAUGUUUCAAAAGUUUGAGCAAGAACUAAUACAAAGUACAGCAUGUUUCCUAGAGCUCAAAACAGAGGAUGCAUGUAAAGUUGUGUUCAACGUGAGCGAAAGGAAAAAUUGGGAAACAAGAGUGGCAGAAGUCGUAUAUGUCAAAGAUUCUGACCACGCAUCGUGUAGCUGCAAAAGAUUUGAAUUUGUUGGAAUUAUUUGCAAGCACAUCCUAGCAUUGUUCAGAAGGGACCAGAUUGAAUAUAUGCCCGAUAAAUAUAUUUUGAAGAGGUGGAAGAAAACUGCGAAAUGUGGAUUGGUGUCAGAUGCAAAUGGCAACGAAAUUAAAGACUGUGCAGAUCCUGGCCUUCUAAUAAAGCGGAGUACAAUGUCUCGACUUGCUUCAAAUGUGGUUGAGGAUGCAUUAAUGAGUGAAGAAGGAUGUGAGCUACUGUCAGAGACUCUAAAAAGUUUGCAGGUGAAGUUGAAGUUGCUGAAGGAUGGACCAAGUAAUAACGAAGUUGGAGGGUCCAGCUCUCAAACACAAUAUAUGAAAGACCCUAAGAGAGUGAGGUGCAAAGGAAGGUCGAAAGGAAUAACGGGAGCAAAGGAAAAGGCAAUGAAGCGAGGGAUUAGACACUGUCGGGAGUGUGGACACAUUGGUCAUGAUAGAAGACAAUGCCCAGCCUUGAACACACCGUAAGAUGCUACCACUAUUUGUAAUAAUAUCUAAAAUAUGAAAAGGUAAAAUUUUUAUGUGCUUGUGUUUGAUGUUUAUGCAGGACAUCACCGUCGAACAAUGACAAAUCAACUCCAAUACAUCGUAGUGACCCAUUAUUCGACGAUUUUGACAAGAUGCACAGACCAACUGAAUGAUUGAUAUUUGUAUUAGACGAAAUGUGGUUGUUAUGAAGAUUAAUGAUCAAGUGAAGUUUUAUAGAUUCAGUUUUUGAAUGUUAUUGUGUUUUUGUUCAUGUCCACCGAUGAGCUCUUACUAUGUCCACUGGUAAUUGAAAUGAAAAUUUUCUUGGUUUCAUUCUUCCAAGACAUUUGGAGACAUGUUAAUUUUACGUCUUCUCCCUAUUUAUAAAUUUUCAUAGACAUUUGAUCAAGUUUGAAAUUUGUAGUUAUGUGAAGAAGCAAUGACUCUUACCAUGUAAAAUGGGCAGUUUAGGGUGAAAUUUGUUUUAACAGAGAUUCAUUUUUCAAUUCCUCAGGGUAAUGCAGCAAUUACAGCAGCCAGCUGUUGUUUCCAUUACCAGUAAUCAUUUCCAGCAGCAGCCACUUUUUCCGACUGGUUAUUAGGGGCACGAUUUUGUACACUUUUGUAAGUGAAGGAUACUCGAAGCACUUUGUUGGAACAGAGCAAAUAGAAACCAGCGGGUAAAAAAAAAACAUAACAUUGCAGCUAAUUACAUUUCGAUACAUAGGUGAAAAAUAUUAAAGGGUACACUAACUUACAUAAAUACUCAUAAUUCCACACACAAAAGAACAUUUGAUUGCAAAACAUAUUAUGUGCUUCCUCAUAGCAAUACCACGAUCUCCCCAACCAACUGAACAACGGUAGCCACAAUCACUGGGUCGUACUCGUCAGCUUCUUCUUAGCAGGUCUCACAUGCUUAUGGCCACUCAUAUCCCUAGUGAUAUACACGAAAUAAAUCUUCAGCAAUAUUUGGAAUUUUAUUAUAUAUAAAUAAACCAUAAACCAUUCAGUAAACAAUGUAUAGCACAUGUUAUGUAACUUAUGACUCACGUGUCAGUUUUUUUUUUAACACAUUAGUACUCCAGCUCUUUAAUGUAAAUGGACAUGAUAAGGAGCAUUUACUGAUUCCCGGCUUUCUAUGAUAUUGACUGCUUCUUGAAUAAUAUUUCCAUAUUUGCAAAAUAUAAUGUUAGACAUUAUAACACAUGAUGACUUGCAAUACAUAGUCCCAAUAAUUAUAUAUCAAGCAAAUGAAACUGAUAUUUGUGUUAUUUUAAGUUAGAUAAUGACAUUAAGGGAGUAUAUGUGCAAUACCACGGUCACCCUCAACCAACUGAACAGCGGUAGCCGCAAUCACUUAGUCGUAUCGGUCGGCUUCUUCCGAGCAGCUUUGACGUGCUUAUGCUCAUUCAUGUCACCCCCAUCGUCUAGUAUCUCUCUCACAGCAUCAGGGGACACAUAGUUCCAAUCAUAACUUGUAUGAGUAGUUGCCGCAAAUGCUCGGAAUUUGUCGAAUCCUUCGUUGAAUGCCAACUCCAGUUCAGUAUGGUGCUCUUCGCAUCGCAUAUGGUUCAUCAAACAACCUUUGAUUUCAUCAUUCAUUACUGUAUCCAACUCCUCAGCUUUCAGCUUCCUGCUAUGACUCAGCUUCAAGUACUUGUUCUUUUGGGAUAACGCUUUGUUCACCCUAAUGUUAAGAUCAGCCAAAAUUGCCUCGUCUUCAACACAUUUCUCGUGCCAUGAAUUGAUCAGUCUGGAAUUAUAAUCCAGCUUGCCACUGACUGCAUGUAUUGCCUGUAAUGGAUCAUCGGAGUCCCCCUCACUCCCAAAUGAUGUUGAAAAAGGAAGGGGUCGGCGAGUACAAUGUGGAAAUAGAACCUGCCACUCCAAUUUGUCAUCUUCGAUUGUGUUGUUGGCGCCUGAAGAGGUUGACAUGCUUGAAUAAUCCUCUUUGUUUUGGGAGGAUGAGGAUUGCAUAUGCAAUUUCGUUUGAGAAAGGGAACAUAGGUUUAUAGACCAACAUACCAAAGCUUGUGUGUAGUCAACAUAUGUACUUUUUGGCGGGAAUUUUUUAAAAAUAGGUGUUAGGUUUUGCUUUUCAAGCAUGUCAACCUCACACUCUCCUGACACCACUGCUAGUGGUUGAAACAAAGUCAAUGGAAGUGACAUCUACUUAGUUAACUCAACCAAACUAGUUAGGAUUAAACUUAGAUUGUAUCAGACCAAAAAAUAAUUUCUACUUUGUCAACCAAAUAUUUUUUGGCGGGAACCCUUUUCUUGGUAUUACUAUCACCCCUUUCAUAUAAAAUCUCCUUCCACACAAAACUCACUCCUCCACCGAAUCUGUCUCCAUCUACCGAUACUCUCUCAAGCAAACAAACUCAUUCCCCCCAAAGAAUGAGCAUAAGCACAACCAAGUUUGAUGUGAGCAUAAUAAACACCCCUCCAAACAAAGACCGGCUUCGACACGCAAGUGAGUCACCGGACAAGCAAUGUCACAUUGCUAGACAGAAUGACCAUUUUGUUGGAAGUUUUGAGUCUGAAAGAGUUGUUGCUUUUUGGAAGGAGAGGCAUCUUCAACUUGGUGAUGAAAUCCAAAGGGCAAGGGCACGUUUGGAAUUUGUGGAAGGCCAAAUUGAAGAUGACAAAAGGCAGGCCAAUCUGGAUAGGGCGAAGUUGUAGCGCAUGAAGCGUAGACACAAACGACUUCGGAGUGUAGCUGUUCAAAAAUACAAGAACUCAUCUAAUGUAGUGGAGUCAAAGAAGCGUGUGAUGCAAGCUGGAUUCGACUACUUCCGAUCCUAUGCAAAACUCGUCGUACCCGGGUUUGAUUGGUCAUCUAUUACCGUUUCCGACGUCACCAAAUAUACUCAGCAAGGGAAGUAACCAUUUUGGUUCUCGUGUUUUAGCAGAGGCAAAUAAGUGGAAUUGGAAUUUUGGUUACACUCUGCUUCAAAGCUAUUUUGAUGCUAACUACUAUGGAAGAUUUAAACCUUAAUAUUUUGAUGUCUUUAAUUACGAAAACAGAAGAUGCAAAGAGCUCAUCUACUUCAGCCAUAUGUUGCUGCCAUGUCCAUUUGUUUUUGAUCACUUAUCAGAUUUGGACAUGGUUGCAUCAUAUGCAAUGUUGCCUUUAUUUAUUAUAUGUUAGGACAAGGUUUAUGGAAAAGCUUUUGUGAGUGCGUUUGUGACAAGGUUAUGGAAUUAUUAUGUACACUUUAUAUAUUGUUUUUUGUACUGGUUCAUUUCCUACUAUUUCUUGCUUUCUUUAUAUUUUAUGUUUGUGGAAUCCCUCUCAAAGUUAACAUAUACUGUGAAAAAAAUAUUAUGCAACUGAUUAUAUAAUCACUCAUAUAGACUAGGACAAAUAUUCACUAAGGGUUUUAAACUUGCUUCACUUGUGUGAUGUUAUUGACAAAAAGUAUGGCAUUAUUUAUGUGAUUUGACAUGAUUGAAAAUAUAUUACUGAUUCCCAAUGCGGCGUCAUAUGGACAACGUAUUGAAUACCUGUGACGUGUUAAUAACUCAAGGUGCAGUUGCAUGUGGACAACUUCUUGAAUACCUCUGACGUGUUGAAAACUCUAGGUGCAGUUGCAUGUGGACAACUUAUUGAAUACGAACUGACGUCUUCAAAGCUCUAGGCGUAGUUGCAAUGAUGGCUUCAAAGCAUGUGCAAUUAUUUUUUAUGUACAUUAUUAUAACAAAACAUAUUAUUGUAUAUAGUGAAACUAAAUAUUGUAUUAUUAGAAAUUAUAUUUCGAAUAUUAUCCGAAAUAUACGUGUUAACGUGAAUUUGGGUUAAGAGGAAAGUGAGUUAUGUACAAAUAAUUUUCAUUUUCUCAUUUUCCGGGCAUUUUUUGGAUUUUCGUAGAAUUUAUUACCUAUGUCCACAGAUUGUUGCACUAAAAAAGCCAAAAUAAUAGCAAGAGGACACCUGGAGCGAUCUCAGCCCGUCACUGAUGACUACUUGCACAAGUGUACGUCAGUCAACAUGGCCACACCCUCCCAUUUUACCCUAAAUUAUUAUUUUAUUACUUUUCCUUACAAAAAUCAGAACUAAUUACACACAAAAUAAAAAAAUUAUCCGAAAAUUGCUACGAACUCAUUGACACUCCAUCUCCGUUGCUGAAUUCUCCGAUUCAUUGUUACGUAUUUGUAAAAUUAAUUCCCAACAUUAACGGGAGAUGCUUGUUGAAGUAGGUUAUUCAAGUUGAAGUUAACAAACAUCAAUACUUAGGGUUAAGAGGAAAGUGAGUUAUGUAACACAAUUUGGAUUAUUUCAUUGCGAGACGAAUGAUUUAUAGGUUCUCCUAGUUUUAUGACGUCACAAGUAGGCCGGAGUAAUUUUUGGGGCAUUUUUACGAUUUUCCUACUAUUUUUUACCUAGUUUCAAAGAUUUUUGAACAAAAGAAUCCAAAAUGUAAAAGAAGAUGACACCUGGCGCGAUCUCAGCCCGUCACUUUUCACUACUUGCACAAGUGUACGUCAGUCAACAUGGCCACAUCCUCUCAUUUUACCCUAAAUUAUUAUUUUAUUACGUUUUGUCUUGGAAAAUUCAUAACUAAAUACACAAAAAUUCAAAAUUAUUUCUGAAAAUUGCUACGAACUCAUUGACACUCCAUCUCCGUUGCUGAAUUCUCCGAUUCAUUGUUACGCAUUUUUAAAAUUAAUUCCCAACAUUAACGGGAGAUGCUUGUUGAAGUAGGUUAUUCAAGUUGAAGUUAACAAACAUCAAUACUUAGGGUUAAGAGGAAAGUGAGUUAUGUAACACAAUUUGGAUUAUUUCAUUGUGAGACGAAUGAUUUAUAGGUUCUCCUAGUUUUAUGACGUCACAAGUAGGCCGGAGUAAUUUUUGGGCCAUUUUUACGAUUUUCCUACUAUUUAUUACCUAGUUUCAAAGAUUUUUGAACAAAAGAAUCCAAAAUUAACAAGAAUAUGACACCUGGCGCGAUCUCAGCCAGUCACUUUUGACUACUUGCACAAGUGUACGUUACCGAACAUGGCCACAUCCUCCCAUUUUACCCUAAAUUAUUAUUUUAUUACCUUUUUUCUUGGAAAAUUCAUAACUAAAUACACAAAAAUUAGAAAAACGAUCCGAAAAUUUCUACGAACUUAUUGCGAUUUCAUCUUCCUACUGCAUUCCCUGUUUAAUGGUUAUGCUACAUUAGUAUUUUAUUAUUAUUUAUCCACAAUUAUUAUAAUUAUUAUGAUAUUACUUUUUAGGCUGUCCAUUUGUUAAUUAUACCACAUCCAACUUGUUGAAAACAAUUUUAUUUUCCGUGCGAAUAGGCCAUUUGUAGUGCUUAUCGGUUUCUCUGUUCUUCAAUUUGUUAAUUUUUUUAUUUUUUAGGUUGAAGGGAUGUUUUGAAACAUAAUAUGGAAAUAUACAAGUCAUCCAUUGUACUCCUUCCACACAAAAAAAUAGUCUACGUCAUUCACUGUUCAACACCCUAGGUUAAGACACGUGUAACCAAAUCCGUUCGGAUAUGCUAAGUGGGAAAAUGUCAUUCCCAAGCACUGGUGAAAAGACACUUAUUUACUCCAUGCAUGACUUUUGGUUUACCAAAUAUGAAGAUUGGGGUCGGUGAGCAAAAUAUCUGUGUCAGUAAAAUGUCAUUCCUAGCCAUCUAUGAUGUAAGUAAUAAUUCCGCUAUAUAAUAAAUAUUAUACAUUUAUAUAUAAAACGGUUUAUGACAAAAUACCAACAUUUGAACAACAUUUAAACUGAGAUAGGUAUAACGUAGCCAGCCAACCUAGAAGUGAAGAGAAGCAAGUCCACAAUGCAUCAAAACUGUAAAUUCGUACUAAAACUAAUGCAAAAAUACGUGAUUCCCUCGCACAACUUACUCACGCAGGAUUUUGCACCAAAAAAUACUCUCACGGUGCCAUUUGCAUCGGUUGCAGCAAGUCCAAAACGCAGGAUUUAUCUUGUCUUCACUAGGCCACCCUGGAAUAACAAAAUACCAUUCAUUGUUGUUACAAGCGCUGCACCGAUUGAACUUAAUCUUCCCAUAGUCAAACAUAUCUACGAUAUGUCUUGCAACAAAUGCUCCGCGACAUCUUCCUGUUAAAGCAUCCCUGGUUCCUUUCAUAUCAAUGUUGUUACGUUGAUUCAAAGAACACAAGAAUUGUAAUGCAUCCUCUUUUGACUGACCAAUUCCGGACAUACCAAGUAGUCCAACUACAUAUGCCGCUUCCAUAUGGCCUGCCGUGGCUGCAAUGCGCAUCCCAUACAACGCUUCCACCUUACCGUCUGUGAAAAAACCUUCGAAUGCUUCUCUAAAUAUGGACUCAGGGUUAUCGCAAGCCCUGCAUUGUUGCAAGAAAUGCUGGACUGCAGGUUUGGCACGGUAGCAGAUAGGAUGGUGUGGGUACUUUGCCAUUGAAAUGGUGUUCCACACUUGUGGACUGUUUGCCAAAAUGUUGAACAAUCGGCACACACAUGCCAUACGGAAGAGAUCUUCCGAUGAUUCGGUUGCCACGUAUAACAUCACUUGAAACCAAGCGGACUCCGGGAUAAAGGCUUCGGGCAUAUCGAAAUGGAGAUGCUUCCUUCUCUUUCCUCCGACUGUAGUGAAGUGUUUCGAAUUCAUUGAAAAGUUUUUGGAAUGGAACGAUUUGAGGAGUGGCAGAGGGGAUAAAUGAUAAUAUUUGGGGUACACGUUCUACUUCCGAGCCUCUGUUUAUAGUGUUUUGAAAAGGUGUUUCCAGUUGGGGUUUUUCCAAGUUGACCCUUUUGAAAGAAACUGAAUCCAAGUGAAUUAAAACUUAAGACAAAAGAAGGGAAAACGUCAUAACGGUGCAUACAGAGUCAGACAGUUAAAAAGUUAAUUAAAUGGCUAUUUGCAUAGCCAUUUUUGGGUUUAUCCCACUAUCAAAUUCAUUGAUACAAAUGUGAUGGAUUACUGACUAGUGACAGAAGGUCCCAUCAUAUACUUUUUCAUUUUCGCACACCCAACUAUCCCUAGUAAUGUUAUUAAAAUGGAACCAAUAAUGACGGAUUCUUAUCCAACUAGUUGCCUUAAUGAAAUAUAAAUAAAUUAAUAAAAUUGAAGCAGUGUCCCGUCAUUAGUCAGAAAAUAUAUUUGGUAGUGAAGUAGUUUCUAUUGCUUUUCGGGCUAAAAGAUGUCACAAUGCUGACGGUACAGGUGUCGACAUCGUGACCAACCCACCAAAUGAUCCCAAAAAAAAGUAAUAUAACUCGAUUUGGGCAGAGAUGAGAGAGAGCUGAGUGACAAGUUUAGGGUUAUGAGUGAAGGGGUAUGAAUGACAACUAUGAGUGAGAAGGUAUGAGUCCGAAGAGGUUUCAGUGAGAAGAUUUGAGUGAGAAGAGGUACAACUGAGAAGAUUCAACAUGUCUUCGUCUUCAUCUCCUGCUCAAACAAAGAGGUGUCAGUAUUGUGGAGCUACAAUGGUGCUUCGGGUUUCAAAAUCUGAAAAAAAAUCGAGGGAAGCCAUUCUGGAAGUGUCUAACCUCCUAUGUAAGUUUUAAUUUAAAGAAUAUGUAUGUGGGUGAAAAAAAACCUAUGUCUAACUCUGACAGAAUUAUAUUCCAUAUAUGAUGCCUGCAAUUAGGGAGCCACCAGUUGCAAUGGAUUCGAAUGGGUUGAUGUAACCUCCGCUGAAGCAGAACAUCAAGAUGACACGUAUGAUGUUAGAGUGCUGAACAUGCUGAAGUCCAUUAAGGACUUGGUAUUAGUUUUAUUAGUUGUAUUAAUUGUCAUUUUAUUUGUUCUUUUAAUGAUCAUUUAACUGCACGGUUUAAAAGAUUGUGAAAGUUCUCUCGCACAAGACAUAUUGCACGCACCACCAAUGAGACCCUAAACCCAUUUUGUAAUAUUUGGUAACUGCAUGUAUUUCGCAUGUUAUUGAAUGUUUAUUGAAGGUUUAUUGAUAGUUUGCUGCAUGUAUAUGGAAUAUCAUUGCCCCAAAAUUGGAUGUUUAUUGGGGCCACAAGUAUCACUCAAGUAAGAAUGAAGGGGAGAAACGGACCUUAUUCUUUCUUAUAGUAGGAAGAACAACUGUUAAGUUUAAUAUCCUAUUCAAUACGACUUCCCUAUGGUUGGUGUACUUGGGGACUGAAGUAUAUUGCAUCAUUAUUGUGGGCAAGGGCAUGUCUAUUGUGUGUGUUAAGGGAGUAUUGUGUGGGCAAGGGCAUGUCUACUGUGUGUAUAUUGCAUGUCUACUGUGUGUAUAUUGCAUAUCUAUUCUCUGUAUAUGGCAGGCCAAGUUUGUGUAUAUUGUUUGUCUGUUGUGUGUGUAUUGCUUGUCGGUGCGUUUGUGAAUUGUGGUUCAUUUUGUGUAUAUUGUCUUUGUUUCUACUUUUAUGCUACUGAGCUGCGGAAAACCUCGCAUGUUUAGACACCUAUUAUGAUGCAACACAUUGCGAUUAAUGGUGGCUUGCAUCAACAAUGACAUAUCACUUUGCAAUGAUGUAAUACACUUAAAAAGCCGUCUUCAAAUCCCAAUUCACAUAUGCAGUCUUAAAAUUCUAAUUCAAUGCAGUUUGGUUAACAAACAUGUAAAUGUCAUGAAGGAGUUAGCGGUAGAAUUCGAUAAGGACCCGUACGUCUCUAUUGUGUAUUUACAUUAGUUUGAGAAUGGACAUUCCCAAAACCUUCUCAUGUACCAUUUGUCAUCUUCAACCAAUAUCAUGGGAAGUAAGCAUCUCCCCUUGUUAUCUCCGCAGCCAAUUUCAACCGAAAAAAAGGCAUGUUGUGCGAGGUGCAAGUAGCUAACGGAAGCUUAGCGCUGAAAAGCUCAAUGUACUUUAACACAAACAUGCCACAAUCGCCUCUGAAGCAAAACAAGAACUCGAUCAAUUCAACUAAUGACAUUCUAAUGUAAUUGACAAUUGAAAGUAAUAAAAUUAAAUUGCAAGUUGUGCUUACUCAUUAGACUGUUGUGGAACAUCCACACGCUCUAUUGGCCACGGACACCACCAAUCUCGGCUGCAAUUGUUUGCAUAAACACCUUCUUCAUAAAAGUCGAUGGUGUUGAGAAGAUUUGGAAGCGUAAUUGAUAGCGGGCCGAGUUCUUCCUUUACGAUGUCAUCUGGAAUUAGUGAAACCUUUGAAUCGUACACUUUGAUUCACACAAUACCAGAUCAAACANNNNNNNNNNNNNNNNNNNNNNNNNNNNNNNNNNNNNNNNNNNNNNNNNNNNNNNNNNNNNNNNNNNNNNNNNNNNNNNNNNNNNNNNNNNNNNNNNNNNNNNNNNNNNNNNNNNNNNNNNNNNNNNNNNNNNNNNNNNNNNNNNNNNNNNNNNNNNNNNNNNNNNNNNNNNNNNNNNNNNNNNNNNNNNNNNNNNNNNNNNNNNNNNNNNNNNNNNNNNNNNNNNNNNNNNNNNNNNNNNNNNNNNNNNNNNNNNNNNNNNNNNNNNNNNNNNNNNNNNNNNNNNNNNNNNNNNNNNNNNNNNNNNNNNNNNNNNNNNNNNNNNNNNNNNNNNNNNNNNNNNNNNNNNNNNNNNNNNNNNNNNNNNNNNNNNNNNNNNNNNNNNNNNNNNNNNNNNNNNNNNNNNNNNNNNNNNNNNNNNNNNNNNNNNNNNNNNNNNNNNNNNNNNNNNNNNNNNNNNNNNNNNNNNNNNNNNNNNNNNNNNNNNNNNNNNNNNNNNNNNNNNNNNNNNNNNNNNNNNNNNNNNNNNNNNNNNNNNNNNNNNNNNNNNNNNNNNNNNNNNNNNNNNNNNNNNNNNNNNNNNNNNNNNNNNNNNNNNNNNNNNNNNNNNNNNNNNNNNNNNNNNNNNNNNNNNNNNNNNNNNNNNNNNNNNNNNNNNNNNNNNNNNNNNNNNNNNNNNNNNNNNNNNNNNNNNNNNNNNNNNNNNNNNNNNNNNNNNNNNNNNNNNNNNNNNNNNNNNNNNNNNNNNNNNNNNNNNNNNNNNNNNNNNNNNNNNNNNNNNNNNNNNNNNNNNNNNNNNNNNNNNNNNNNNNNNNNNNNNNNNNNNNNNNNNNNNNNNNNNNNNNNNNNNNNNNNNNNNNNNNNNNNNNNNNNNNNNNNNNNNNNNNNNNNNNNNNNNNNNNNNNNNNNNNNNNNNNNNNNNNNNNNNNNNNNNNNNNNNNNNNNNNNNNNNNNNNNNNNNNNNNNNNNNNNNNNNNNNNNNNNNNNNNNNNNNNNNNNNNNNNNNNNNNNNNNNNNNNNNNNNNNNNNNNNNNNNNNNNNNNNNNNNNNNNNNNNNNNNNNNNNNNNNNNNNNNNNNNNNNNNNNNNNNNNNNNNNNNNNNNNNNNNNNNNNNNNNNNNNNNNNNNNNNNNNNNNNNNNNNNNNNNNNNNNNNNNNNNNNNNNNNNNNNNNNNNNNNNNNNNNNNNNNNNNNNNNNUUUUCCUCUCCCUCAUCUCUAUUAUUUGGCCCUUCACCCCCUUCAAUCCCUUCAUCUUCUUUUUCCUCUCCCUCAUUUCUGUUACUUGGCCCUUCAUCCCAUUGAAUGUCAUCCAUUUCCCCAUAUCCCUUAAAUAGAUGUGAGACGACACAACGAUUCGUCCUCUGUUUCAGUAAAGCUAGGUCCCUCCUUACUUCCUGCUCAAACUGAGGACCUAAACAUUGGUCCAAUAGUUUUUCCAUCCGUAUGACCUUUAAGUGAAGGACGUCUUUUUCCCGCUUUUCUUGAAACAACUCGGACCUCAACAAGCUUACCACCUUGUUCAACUCAUCAAGAUCACCACAUGAAGAAGGAAUUGACUCUGCCGAGACAACAGCAGGGCGAUCCUGUGGCCAACUCCAAUAUGGCUGUCUCAUUUCCUCUUCACUUAGACAUAGCGCCCGCAACUGAACUGACUGUUUCAGAAUACAGACAAGAGUCAUAUUAAAUCAUUCUACUUCAUAAUUUCAUUCAAUCUUAUCAAUAGUUCUAAGGGCUGCAAACCAAACCUCUUUGCUCUGGAAAAAAUAAUUGUUCAACUUUCUCAUCUCUGGAACAGACGUAGUAGUUCUCCAUCGCAAAAUACGCGGGACAGCGGUCGGAUCAACAACCUUGCAGUAAUUCAGGUCCGCCAUUCUAGGAAUUAAUUCAUAUACCCAAAUCUACACAAUUCACAGGACAAAAGUCAUUAUUUAUGUUUUAAAGAAAAACAAAACAUAACUGACAUGAACAUUAUUACCAUGUACCUGGAAAGCAUACGUGAAACCUUUAAAACUCCAGCCACUCCUUUGCGCUUCACUAUGCUUAUCCUUCUUGCCCUUCUCAUUUCUCCGGCUUGUUCCCGUUACCUUACUUUUCCCCUUCCCUCUUCCCUCUUCAUUUUCCAAGCUUUUCACAUACUUUGUUGGUGCAGAAAAUAGACUGUCUUGGGUUUUGUCAAAGGACACCGAACCCCACGGAUACCUGUUGAACGCAUCCAAGUCCUCUACAAGGGUCAGGUAAUUUAGAUUGAUGUUCAAAUGUUUGUCCCUUCCCAAAACCACUAACUCAGCAAAGUAAACAAGAGGUAGCUUGAAGAUGUCAUCUUCCUCUGUGCACCUCACAAAUGCUUCUUCUAAAGCAUUGCAUGUAAUUCCUUCGUCUAUAAAAUAUCUUUUCUGAAGUCUGAUUUCAUUACUCUCUCCACUGGAAACUUCAGGCACUUCCCCAAAACGAAGCCCUGUGAUCAAACAGAAAUCCUGACGAGUGAACUGAGCAACGUCACACCCUAAUAAGAAACUCAGUCCAUCCAAGUCUUUCACACCCUGCCCCGCUACUCUACGCAACACAACCCCAUGCACAAUCUGUCCGCUAAACUGAAUCUUAUCUAUAUUCAGAAGAUGGCCAAAGCAUGAUGUCUUGAAUUGUUCUAAUUGUUCCGCACUCAACUUCGCUCGAAUUGCAGCUAGAGAUGAAUUUGCAUGUGAGCAGUUGUUCACCCGUGAUGAAUAUACCUCUGCCUCUGGCCAUACCAGCUCCACGUUGGAUCCCAUUUCCUCAAAUACAAUGUGAAAUAACGUGAACAUAUAUACUACCACGUAUUUGCACAAUCACAACUAGUCAACCAGGCACAUUACAACUUUUACAAAGUACAUGAGCAUAUGGAUUACUCAUCACAGGCUUUAACAUCAUCAAAGCAAUAUGACAAUUUUUGUGCAAAUACCUGUUAAUGCAAUGAUUAUGUGAAUUACAAACAAUUUCACGUGUUUUAUUUAUGGAUCCAUACUCGUGUGAGUGCAAUGUAGGCAAGUUCUGCACUUCACACACAUGACAAUUAUUGUCAUCUCAUACACAACCCAAAAUAAAUAAAUAAGAAAUAUAGUGGAAGGAAGCAAAGCAAAGCAUGUACUCUGCUAUCUGCUUGCUAAGCAAUUGCCACAUCCUUCUUUCUUUCUACCUUUUUCUUCAGUCACCCACAAUCGUCAUAGAUCAACCUUCAUUUCAAAUGCUUUGCACUUUUAUUCAUGAGUUUAUUAUUAUCUGUUCUCAUUUCUCAUAGGCAAAUUUAGUAACAAAUGAAAUAAUAUUUAUUUCACAAAAUAUAUAAAUUCUAGUGCCAGAGAGGUACUCUUCACUCUGCACUGCUUCAAAUGUGGAAGGUUUUGAGAUGUUAUUGACAUGUGAUUGACUUUAUUUUCAUUCGUUUUUUAACAUAUACCCAAGCAAAAAUUAACAUGCAAUUGAAGCACAAAUAAGAGAUGCCAAAUCCAACAACAUUGAUGGUACAAAUUGGGGAAAACCAUUACUCUAACCCUAAACUCAAAUUCCUUACAUUACUCAUCAAAUGCUUUGCAGUUCUAUUCAUGAGUUUAUUAUUAUCUGUUCAAAUGUUUCUCAGGCAAAUUUAGUAACAAAGGAAAUCAUAUUUACUUCAUAAAAUAUAUAUAUAUAUAUAUAUAUUCUAGCGCCUCUUCUUAAUCUGCACUAUGCACUGCUUCAAAUGUGGAAGGUUUUGAGGGCCUCCUCCAAUUCAACACCAUUAUCUUAUUCAUAUCAUUAUUGACAUGUUAUUCACUUGUUAUUGACUUCAUUUUCAUUCUUUUUUUAACAUAUACCUAAGCAAAAAUUAACAUGCAACUGAAGCACAACGAAGAGAUGCCAAAUCCAACAAAAUUUAUGGUACAAAUUGGGGAAAACCAUUACUCUAACCCUAAACUCAAAUUCCAUAAAUUACUCACCAAAUGCUGGUUAUUGCAAGGUGUCUGUGUGGGGUCUUUCUGUUUCUUUGCUCCACAAAUGGAACCUACCACUUCCAACGAAUACAGCUUUUCCCCUUCCCCUUCCACUGCUUCGCCUCUUCACUGAUUUGGAAUCCACACCUUUGCCCCUUCUACUCCAAAUAAAUACUUUCUCGGGGUCUGGAGAACGGAGUGGCGAAUCGUUGCCUUCAACUGUCGUUAGCCGUUGCCUUCAUUGGGUAUCUCAGACCUCUGUGUUUUAGAGAGAUGAGUUCUUUCUGUUCAAACUUCGAACUUGCCUCUUCUUCUUCUUUUUCGGACGUGUUUCCCUCUUCUUCUUCUUUUUGGACGUGCUGGAUAUUCAAUUCGGGUUUGGGUUCCUUACCUACCCAAUUGUGAAACUUUAACUCAAUUCUCCCCAGCCCUUGGAUUAAUCUGAUGGCUAUAAAGUGAACCCCUUAUAACUUACCCCUUAUAACUUUCCACUCAUUAUAGUCUUGGCCAGGUAUGGCGGCCAUGCUAGUAAGUGUUGGGUCUUUGACCCAACUUAAGCUAAAUGGGUCAUAAGAUGACCGAUCAUCUUAUCUCAUAAGGAUAUAUAAGUCAUGUUAUGAUUUAGGAUUUUAUAGGGUUUCCUUUGUAAGAGGUAAGAGAGAAACAAGCUCUCUCUCUCUCUACACAAGGAGGUCAGCCAUAGCAAGGGAAAGGCUCCUAGCACUCUCCUCUCUCUUAUUAUAUCAUCCUUCCAAGGACAGCUUUGGUAUGGUAAAGUUGGAGGUUGCACACUUUGUGCACUUUGGUAAGAACUCAUCCAAGGGAGCCAAGAUUAAAUUGGUUAGCUGUUGGAUUAAAUUGGUUAGCACGAUUCAACGGUUAAUAGAUAAAACUUCACAUAAAAGUCAUAUAUAAGGCCCUCACUAUAGAAUGACUCGUUAGUUUAGUCUCUUGUUACAUAUCAAAUGUUAGAGAUAUUUUUUAAUAAGGAUCUGCCAUACCACAUAGUUGGAUAAGACAUUAUACACGGCUUUUGUAAGAGCAUCUCCAGCGCUCCAAACUAGCCCAAGCAGCAGGGGGGCCUAAGUCUAGGAAGCAGCUCCAGCUCGCAAGAUUCAACCCAGGCAAGGUGUGGAACCCACGAGGAGAUCUAGCCCGUCACCUUGCCUUUGGGUUUCAGUCAAGCUGAUGUCAACGAAAGAAUUUCAAAUUUUUUUUACCGUUACAAUGUACGCGCCAACGAUAAAUUUUCUUUGGAUUUCUUGCAUUGAUCCACAGCUACCAAAAACCAACAGCUACAAGCCACGUGGCUUCUCCAGGAGCCUCCGAUCCAAAAAUCAUGUCAAAUCUAACGGCAGUCCAUUUUUUGGCUAAAAAUAUCAAAAAAUUAUGGAAACAUGUUCUAUAAAUUCCUACAAAUAUUAUUCACUUCCCACACCAAAUCUUCAUACAAAUUCAUAUCCUUUCAAUAUUUUUCACUUUCCAUACAAGAUUUUCUACUACUAAGUUUCGUUUGUGUAAAAAUACAAAUGACCUCUUCUAUCGAAGCCGGAGGCGCGUGUACAACCGUGGAAGAUAUUUUGUUGCGUGAGUGUUGGGUCAAAGUUGGUCAUUCCCUGAUCACGGGCAAUGAGAUGAAGUCCUCUCGUAGGAGUUUCUGACAUCGCAACGAAAGUAAGAUGUGAUAUGAAAAUGUAAGGAAUUUGAUGAGAGGAAUGGGAUUUGAGGAGUUUGAUGUAGGAAUUGAUGUAGGAAUUGAAUUUGGGAGGUAUGUAUAUAAGAUUUGAGGGUAUGUGUUUAGGGAUUUUGAUAAGAGGAUUUGAGGAAUUUAGAUUUGAAGGAUUUGGAUUUGGGGAAUUUAAAUAUGAGGAAUUUGAUUAGGGUUUGGGUUUGAAUAUGUGAAAUUUGAUAUGAGAGUUUAGAGACAACAGAUGAUCGAUUGCUCUGAUACCAUGCUAAAAUAUGAUAUGGUUUGAAUACUUUAGGUUGAGUUUUAUUCUUUUCCAUAAAAAGGUAUAUAUAGGAGUUUACAUGAGUGCUUUACAAAGAAAUAGAUACAAUAAUCAAUUAGGAUAAUAUCUCCUAAUUAUACAAUAAUUUGUCAACUAUAUAGAAUAGGAAAGUAAAUUCCUUAAUUAAUCAAGAAAAUAAAUCUCAUUGAUUAAUUAGGAGACUAACGUCAACAUUUAUAAGCCAUAAAAGAGCAGAAAAAGAGGUACUUAGGAGAUUUUAUACGUCGGACUAAGGUAAGCUUAAAGGACUAUAUCAAAAAAAUAAGGGACCAAGAAGCAAGACAGAGAAGUUGUUAUGCAAACCCAUUAAGUUUAGCAGUGAUGAAUUUGUAAAAAUCAUUCUAGUGGAUUCUGCCUUCACUAUUGAGUUCUUAUUGAGGUUCUAUCUGAAAGGAUCUGGACAUGAAGGAGACCGCUUAUUAAACAAACCGUGGAUGUUUACAGCCUGACAUGUGGUUGCUUGAAAAUCAGCUCCCAUUCUUUAUUCUUGAGGAUCUUUAUCACACAUACAUAAUAACCGACUCUUUUAGGAAUUAUUACAGUACUCAUGAUCAUGAGAGGCUUUCAAUAAUUAAUAUUUCUAAGAAUUUCUUCACAGCCGGAAUAUUGAAUUUGGAGGGGAAGGGAGACAAAUGGAACAGAAUAUCAUCUUCUUCUAGUGUUGGAAAUUUUAUAUUAUUUAAUAAUAUUUAAUUUCUAUUGUGAAUGAAAAAUAAGUUUCUUUAAGAAACGUGUGUCUUAGGCCAGUUUUUCUAACUGGUCGGCUUCCUUAGAUUUGUGCCUAUUGCUUUUCAAAGUAUAAUGAUGCAAUGGUUGUAUCUCGUUCAGGCAAAUGGAAGGUAUAUAGCAAUUUAUAGAACAAUACAGUAAUCCAGAAGAAAUAUUAUGAAAUGAAAAGAAUAAAAAGUAAAAAAAGAGAAAGAAAGGAAUUCCCACCUGCAAUGUAUAUGUAUGAAAGGAAGGACCAAGUUUGUUUUAAAAUGGUAAGAACAAGUUGAUUUUAAAUUGGGUUCAGAUCAACUCAUAGAUUUCUUGCCUUUUCUGUUCUCCUUCCUUGGACAUGAACUGUUUAAUCUUGGACUCUUCCCCAUCAUGUUGGGCCUGUCUUCUUCUUGAGGAUUGUAUAGGCCUAGGAAAUGCUUCGGGGUAGUUUUUGUGUUUUGGGCAUUGGGACCCAACUUCACAAAAAGAAAACAAAUUUGACCAAAACACAAAUUUGAAGGACAUUGAAAUUGUACCCGUAGGAUAGAUUAAAACACUAUAAGGGAGGUAAAUAGUACGUUUACAGAGUUUAAGUGUAAUAAAGGAAUAAAAACAUGCCCAGAGAAUUGAUAAGUGAUAUCAAUUCUUGAAUAUACGUGAAAAUUAUUUUAUGUGGUUAAACCCCACCUCUGGGGAAAAUCCACGGAACUUCUUAGUCCAACUUCUAUCACUUAUCCUAGACACAUUCUAGAUAAUGUUUGCCAACCUCUUCGUAACUCAACUUCUGUCACGAGAUGAUCUUUCAACACUUUAUGUCGAACGCAAUACUGGUCACGAUUUCUUCAAGCUCGCCGGAGUUCUUCCAAUUCUCCUUAUAUUGAAUCUGAUACUAGUCACGAUCGAUUCAAGCUCAUCGGAGAAAAAUCGCCACAACAAUCUUGGUGCCCUCAACCGUAUGAGUCACUGAACAUGCAAAUGAAUACAAUAUGAAUGAUAAAAGUGUUUGAUAAAUCACCAAGUUAUGGAACACUUGAUGAUUUAUCUCAAAUAAAAAUUCAGCUUUCCAAAGUUUAUGAAUUGAAAAUAUGACCGUUAAAGCUCUCUAAACAAAGAAGACGAAGGUCUUAUUUUAUAGACUUUUACUUUACAAGAAAGAAAACACGUUGAAAACCAAAUCUCCAAUUUCCAAGGCUUGACAGAAAAUCACAAAAUUAUCUUUCCUAUUCUAGAGAUUGGUCACAUGAAGUCCAACCAAUAGGAAAUGAGAUAUUUAAGAAAGGAAGAUUUUGAUCAAUAUCAAUAUCAAAUGAAUUCUUAUACGCCUAGUCAAUUGUUAUGGGUAUCUUGACUCCUUGAUAUUGUGAUAUGAUUGAAACAUGAUUUCCACGUUAGAAAAUUAAGGGGAUGUUAAAACAUGAAGGUAAUAGGAGAAUCAAAUUGAUUUGGGCCAAAAUUGCCUAAAAAGAAAACACUCCUUAAUAAACUUCAAUUUACUUUUAAAAAUAGUAAAACGUGAUUGAAUCGUUCUUUAAAACAAUUCCCUAAUAUACAUGCAUGAUAGUGAUAUCACUUACCUUUGAAUCAGAUGGCUUUCACGGGUCAAGCCACAAGUUUUUGUCUUGGGGAUUGCUGAGCUUCAUCAAUCCUGCCAAUGUCAAUUUUGCCCCUAAGCUCUCUCAAAGCACGUUUACAACCUAUGCUAACAUAUAUUAGAGUUUAUGUUAGUAUCAAGAAAAUGCCAACACUAAUUUCGUAACACGUAGAAAUUGUUAGAGAUUGAAGUUUUUAUCAUUUUUUCUUCCAGACUCUCCACCACUCACUAAUAUAGUUUACUCAUGUGAUGAGUUUACAAAACCUAUUUCUCUACUCUCACAAAGACUAUACUUAGGGGGGUGUAUUCAAUUAGGAUUCUAAAGCGUUUAAAAAGAUUUUGUUUAAGUGCCAGCUUUCAUAGAACUUGAUGGAACUUUAUAAUUCGUAUAGAACUUGAUAGACUUUCAGAAGACUUCUGUAUAAUUUUUUAAUAAAACUUUCUUAAGCUUUCAUAGAACUUGAUAGGCUUUCAUUCCAAACUUAUGUAGAUGGUAUAUUUCAUUUUAUCCCCAUCCUUGACAUUUAAAGAAAGAAACUUGAAUUUUUUCAAUCAAAUUUGUUUUUGUUACCAAAGCAGCAAAAACAAAAAGUACUUGUUUGCGAUGGAAGAACAUAUGCACAGUUCAAAAUGAAAAGAAUAAGAAGCAAAGUACCUAUUUGACCAAUGAAUGCUGUGUCAACUAGAGAAGCAAUUGGAUCGGCUGUCAAAGCCAAUGCUGCAGGCAAUGCAUCGAUGGUCCAAAUUGCAAUAAAAAAAUAUUUUGAAUAAUGGCUCUUGCAGACAAAGACCACAUAAAUUCUGAACUGGUCUAGCUUGAAUAAUAAGGUUAGAUUAGCCAAUUGAUGAGAUUAAAAGCAAAGCAAGUUGAUGAAUUUAUCAUCAACUAUUUAAUAACCACAGUCCUGAUCUCUUGGACCCCUGUAGUCCAAGAGAUUUAUGGUCACCCACCGUUGGAUGUAAAUUCAACGGUUGACUUGAAUCGGGUAAUAAUCAUUUAUGUCAUAUUGCAUUUAUAUAUAUCAUUUUGAACCAUUGGAUUAAUAUCCAACGGUGGGUGACCACAAUCUCUUGGACUCCUGUGGUCCAAGAGAUCGGGACUGUUAAUAACCAAUAGAGUAUUUAAACAUAAACAACAAUGUUUGAUCAACAAAACAAAUAGUCCAAAUAUCAUCCAAAAAACAAUAACAAAAAAUCAAUCAUUCCAAACAAACUAGUCAUUCUCAAAAACUCUCAAAAAACCCACUCAUUCCAAAUUGUAGGAUAUCCAAUUUGAGCACUCCUCAGGAGACAUUUUCAAAAAUGCAUCCUUUUUUGUGUUACUAUGCAACAAAGAGAGUGCUUUAUAACGAGCAUGUUCAUCCAAAUUUGGGGUCUCCUUAAUGGCAUCCCAUAUAUAACUCCGCUGCUCUCUCUCUUUUUCCCUUUUUGCCAAUAGGUUAUGGACCUCCCGGAAGUCGAUGACAAUUGAAUCAAUGCUAAGGCUAAUUCUUCCCAUAGCUUGCUGGGUGGUCACAUUUGAGAUAGCAUUCCCUUCCAAAUAUGUUCUAGUUCGUUUCCUCUAGUAACAAGCAUAAAUCCUAGUAACAAGCAUAAACCCUAACCCCAACCUAUAACCUAAUAACAAGAAGAAAACCCAACGAGGUAUUGAUCAAAGAAAAAUUAGGGAGCAUACCUUCACAGAUGGAGGAAGGAAGCUGUUCGUCUUCGCAGAGAGAAAAUCUAGGGAAAGAGAAAAACGUCUUAUGAAAUACUUGGGGGGGAGGUUGGAUUUAUUUUGGUCUUUUUUAUUUAUAACUCUCCCCUUAAAACCUACGUAAAUUUAUCACUUAAUGAAAUCCUUCCAAAUAUAUGACCUUUCGAAUACACCUAGAUUUGAUUCAACUUUUUUAUAAUCAUAAUUGAAUACACCCAUAUUUGAAUGGACUUUUUAAAAGUUCAUAUAGGUCCGAAAUGAAUAUACUCAAACUUGUAAAACCUCUUUUAAAGUUUGUAUAAAUCCAAAUUGAAUACACCUGGAUUUUUAAAAUCUUUUUAAACACUUUAUAAUCCUAAUUGAAUACACCCCCCUUAUUCUCAAAAGACUAUAUUACUUUACCUCUAUCUCUGUGAAAUGUAAAAAGUUGAAACUUUAAUGUCAAACCUCAACAAAAGAUGAACUUUCAUCAGUUACGUUGAAUUUGGAUUUGUUGAACUUAAGUGGUUUUAUUUUCUUUGUCAGUGUUUGAUGACUUAAUUUGGUAUUUAUUUCUUCUUUUUUUUCCUUGGAAAUGUGUUCCACCAACGUGAGGAAGAAAAAUAUGCACAAAUUAAUAUAUUUAAUAGAAGCCCAAGAUUUCGGAUGCAUAUAAUUUCUACAAAAAUCUACAAAGUUUUUUACUUUACAAACUUCUUAUGUCUACCAAUUUCUACUAAAAUUAAUUUCUCUGUGGUGCUCAAAUUCAUCAUAUGUGUGUCGUUAAUUUUAUUGAAAAUUGGAAGUUCCCAUCAUUUUUGUUUUUUGGGAAUUUUCUGAACCAAGGAAAAUCAAGUAAAAUUAAUAAAGCCUAAAUUGGAAAGGGAAAAUAUCUAGAGGAUGCAUUGUAGGAUUGCUCAUGCCAAUAAUUGUACCCUCUAAAUAUAUAGAGACAUAUUUUUUUUGUUUUCAUGACAUGUGGUCCUAAAAUUAUUGUGUAAAUCUUCAAUCCUGAACGAUGCACCUAAAACUCAUCCACCCAUUCUCAGGCCAAUUAUUGCACCUAGUGGGCUCUCGACCCCCUCUCAAAUUUAACCACAUAUUUUAUGGACCAUCCAGCUGUGAGGUACAUUCCCCCCACAUGCCACAAUUGUAUAUUCACAAUUACGUCUGAUACAUCACAUCAUGCCACUUGCCUCAAAUGAAUUUAAGUGAGUGAGGCAGUUGGAAGUAAUUAAGCUCUAUAUUGGUGGGUGGAGUGUUACUUCUCGGUUCCCCUCAUCAUUCGUCUAUAAAAUGGUGAAGGCAGUUGCUAUUGUUACCAUAAGAGCCAGCUCCGACUUCCUUUAAUUUCUUGCUUCAUAUCCACUAGCUACAUCUGUUACCAAGUUAAUUUCAGUUCUAAUGGGGUUUCAUCUCCCACUCAUCUUUGCUCUUCUCAGUGUAAGCUCUGCAAUUUGAUUAACUUUUCCAUUCUCUCUCAUUGUACUCUAUAUAAACGAAAGUUUUGUGUUCCUAUUGUUCUCUCCGAUUUUAUUUAGUACGUACUUAAGUGUCGUCCACUAAUUAAUUAUACUUUGUGAUUUGAUUUUAAUUUGAGUUUGAAUUAAUGUUGCAGCUAGCAGCAGUGGCACUGGCAAACCAUGCUGCUCAACCAGCACCUCAACUUUACUGGAGCUCCGUCCUGCCAAACACACAGAUGCCAAGAUCUAUCAGUGAACUUCUGCAUCCUGGUUUGUGUUGAGCUCUUUAGAAUCUUAGAUAUCUCUUCUACCUGCCAUUUUACUAAAAUAUGUUCCACCACAUAUUUAUCAGUUAACCAUUGUCAUUACAUGAGUGACACAUAUUCACAAAUCGGCUGAUCACUUAUUUUCCAUUAUGACUUGAUAUAUAAUUUGCAGACUCCACAAAUGAAGAAAAGAGCACAAAUGACGUUGGCAAACCUGAAACUUUCCCAUUGGGCAAUCAACAUUACUCCAGUCAAAAACAUUAUGGAGGCAUACCUGAAACUUCCCCAUUGGGCAAUAAACAUUACUCCAGUCAAAAACAUUAUGGAAGAGGCAAACCUGAAACUUUCCCAUUGGGCAAUCAGCAUUACUCCAGUCAAAGACAUUAUGGAAGAGGCAAACCUGAAACUUUCCCAUUGGGCAAUAAACAUUACUCCAGUCAAAAACAUUAUGGAAGAGGCAAACCUGAAACUUUCCCAUUGGGCAAUCAGCAUUACUCCAGUCAAAAAAAGUAUGGAAGAGGUGCUUCUCCAUCCGACAAUCAACAACUCCAUUAUAAAGACUUAGCUAUUUUCUUCUUGGAGAAGGACAUGCGCCCUGGCACAACAAUGAAGUUCCAAUUCCCUAUAAAUUCAAACACGGCUACUUUCUUGCCACGAGAAAGCGCUCAAUCGAUCCCCUUCUCCUCUAACAAACUGCCAGAAAUUUUCAACCAUUUUUCAGUGAAGCCAACAUCUGAGGAAGCCAAAACAAUUAAGCAAACAAUCGAAGAGUGUGAAGCUCCAGACCUUAAGGGAGAGGAAAUAUAUUGCGCCACAUCUUUAGAAUCAAUGGUUGAUUUUAGCACUUCGAAGCUUGGAACAAGAAACGUUGAAGCAAUCUCGACGGAGGUAUUGGAAAAAGGAGCCACCAUGUCCAUCCAAAACUAUACAACAAUGCCGGGACUGAAGAAGUUGGCAGGUGACAAAGUCGUUGUGUGUCAUAAGCAGAACUAUCCCUAUGCUGUGUUUUUCUGCCAUGCAAUAAAACAUACAGCAGCUUAUGCUCUCUCCCUGAAAGGCGAUGAUGGGGAGAAGGUUAAAGCAGUAACCAUCUGCCAUCUAGACACAUCAGAAUGGGACCCAGAGCAUAUGUCCUUCCAAAUCGUCAACGUUAAGCCCGGAACCAUUCCCAUCUGCCAUUUCAUUUCCACUGAUGCUAUUGCCUGGGUUCCGAACCACAAAUCUGCAUGAUCAUCACUUAGCACUAGUACUGUGCGUAUAAUAUGCCUGUAUAAUUAUCUCCCUACUUAUUUCUGCCUCUUCAUCAUGUGGUGUAAGAUAUAUGUUGAGAUGAAGUUUUUGGGAUUUGUGGUCGAAAUUAACCCGAUCAUGUUUUCUCUUGCAACCAUAUAGACUUCAACUUGUACUCAUAAUAAAGCAUGCUAUAUUUAUGAAGAGAUAUUAAUCUUCAGGCAAAUAGAUAUUAUGAAAACAUAUAUAGCAAUUUAUCCAGAAGAAACAUUAUGAAAUGAAAAGAAUAAAAAGUAGAAAAACAGAAGGAAAGGAAUUCGCACGUGCUAUGCUAUGUAUGAAAGGACCAAGAUUGUUUUCCCUUUGGUUAAUGACUAGAAAAGCUCACUUGCAGAGUGCUUUCUCCGACCAUAGAUGGAAGAGAAAUUUUCUCUUAAUAAUAGCACAAUGAUCGGGUAAUUGUAAGAACAAGUUGAUUUAAAAUUCCUUGACCCAAAAAAAAAAAAAAAGUUCUUUUCAAAUUCAGGUCAACCCAUAGAUUUCUUGCCUUCGUCUUCUUCAUCACGUUGGGCUUGUCUUCUUUUUGCGUUUUGGGCCUUGGAAGUUGGGACCCAACCCAACUUCACAAAAAGAAAACAGAUUUGCCAAAAAUCAAAUUUCAAGUCUCUCCUCCGAUCACUAAUACAGAUCAAAUUUUGGAUUUGAUGAACUAAAGUGGUUUUACUUUCUCUGUCAGUGUUUGAUGACUUAAUUUGUUAUUUACUUUUUUUUUUUUACUUGAUCUUUGUAGGGGCUUUUUUUUUUCCGGCAGCUUAAACGGGCUGGGCUGCCGUAAAGGGUAGAUUGAUGAAAUUGUCCCCUUUGUCUGAAUUCGAAAAUCAAGCCCCAAAAGCGCUUCGAAAGGGCAGUAGAGCCUUAGGAAGCGUUCUGGUUACCUUCACUAAUUAAAACAACAGCAACUUACAGAUGAUUUCUUGAGGCUUACAGAUAAAUUUUCUAGCUUGGCAUGACAUGGAAGCAAAAUCAGCAUGAGUUUAGCACCAAAGAGGAAAAUAUGGCUUCCUAGGGAGAAAUGAGAGUGUUUAAGGUGAGGAAGAAGAGGUUUGCAGGCUGAUUUGGCUGAGAAAAGAGAAAGAAAGAACAAUGUUCUUCCGGCAGCUUGACAAAGCUUCUGACAGAUGUGAAAGUCGUCCGCCAGAAGAGGAAAAUGGAGAAGAAGGAUGAAUAGUGCACGAAAUUGGUGGGUUCUUGCAGGUAAGAGAGAAAGCUUGCUCUCUGAAUCUGAGUUGGUUUUGGUUGGGUAGAAGAAGCCCCCUUUUAUAGCUGCGGGAAACCAUCUUUUUCCAAGAAACCCUAAUGGUUUCUAUCCUUUUUGGCCAAGCUUUUCCCUUCCUUUCUCUUCUCCUCCCUUGACUUUUCCUAUCUUGGUGAAAUUUCCUCUGCCUAUUUGCACAAAAUUAGAGAUUUUGAGGAGCUCAAGGCCCCUUUCCCGCAGCUGCCUUAGUGGAGAAUCCCCAUUUUCAGUCAUCUUUCUUCCUUCUUUUCUCCCAUCUUCCAAGGCUAGGUUUGAUGAGAGAAAGAAAUGGAUAUGCACACUGGUUUGAAGGGUGUUUUUCCUUGAAACUUGUUCUCUCCCAUGUGCUGGAGCUUCCCAGCAGCUUACACACAUAGAUAUUUUGGCUUUCAUCGUGGCUUUUGUUUUCAGCUAGGUGCUGGAGAUUUUGCAUAUAUUUUCUUGAGUUGCUUGGGCCUUCUAGGACAAUACGUUGGUUUAUCAAGUGAAUGGGCUAACUUCAUCAAUUGUUGGGCAAUUUUGGUUGAGUUAAUGGACUAUUUUGGUUCAAGUAAUGGACUAUUUUGGUUGAAAUAAUAGGCUAUUUUUCUCUCUUUGUGCUCACCCACAUAUUUGGGCCUAAAAAAUGGGCUUGAGUUUCGGGGCUCCCAAGCAACCCCGGGACUUCCAUUUCUCGGCCCAUCAAUGAGCCUCAUGUCAACUUAUUACCAUCCAUACCACAACCCACUCAAGCAAGCCUCAGGCAUCUUGCGUGGCUUGGGCCCACGUAAGCUCGUAGUGGCAAUGUUGCUUAUUUGCUUGACGUGGCAUGUGUGCAAGUGCAUAUGACGAACUUUCGCGUGCCCAAAUUGAGUUUCUUCUCGGUAGGGUAUCGCAUUGGGCCGAGAAUUUAAUUGGGUAGAACCGUGGAUUUUUUGGGCCUCAACAAUCUUAUAUAUAUUAGUUUUCUUUUUUUCCUUAAUAUUCACCACCUUUCUGUUGCAUAAGUAUUCCAGUCUUAGCGGGUUUCCAUCUACCACUCAUCUUUGCUCUUUUAAGUGCAAGCUUUUUUAUUUUUAUUUUUUUAUGCACAAGAUUAGAGGGGAGGGAGAUUUCUCAAUGUAAGCUUUGCAGUUUCAUAAUUAAUAUUUCCAAUAUCUCACUGUUAGUAAAAUAUGGAACGGGAAAAGUACGAAUAAAAUACACACAUGUUUUAUUUAGCAAAAUUUUGACAAGAUACAACUGAAAAGUUUGGCCACUAUAUAAUAUUUUGAUUUAAUUUUUUUUAUUUUUUUAAUAUAUAUUAUUUUUAUUCAAUAAUAUGUGAAAAAUAGGUGUACAAUAUAUGAAAUUUGUAUGUAUUAUUGAAAAAUUCGUAAAAAAAAAACAUGUUAUUAAAUGUGAAAAAUAUGUACGUAUAUGUAUAAAACAUGUAUUGUACAUUACUUUUUAACAAACUUGUAUUUUACCUAGUCUUUAAACCGUAUAUGGAAAACGGAAGUAUUAUUGAAAAAUACAUAUGUACGUAUAUGUAUAAAACAUGUAUUGUACAUUACUUUUUAACAAACUUGUAUUUUACCUAGUCUUUAAACCGUAUAUGGAAAACGGAAGUAUUAUUAAAAAAUACAUAUGUACGUGUAUAAUAUGAGUAUUAAACAAAAAAAUGUGCUAAGUACUUAUCUUUUAAUUUAAUAAUUCAUUUCAUUUUGUGAUCUCAUACGUAGUAAUGAGAGUUCAAAUUAAUGUUGCAGCUGACAAUGGUGGCUCUGGCAAGCCAUGCUUGAUGCAGGAGUAUAGGGGUGGAUCAAGAUAGAUAUUUACCAUGUAAUUAGUUAUUUCAUGAUAUAUUGUUAUUUUCUUAUUUAGGUAGUUUUAUGAUAUCUUUUAUUAUUUAUGUGGGAUUUUAUAAUUAAUUAGUUUACUUUUGGACCAAGUAGCCUUGGUGCUCAAGUCUUGUAAAGCUUAUAAAUAAGGCUAAUGUAAUAGUUGUAGGAAAAGAGAUGUCGAUGAUUAAUAAAAUCGUUUAUUUGUGGCAUGGAUUUGCUACGAUAUAUGUGAGUUUGCACUAGCCCUAGAUUUCGGUGCUCGUGUAUGUGGUUGGUGACCUGUGUCCGGAUCCCGAUCCCCAUCAAUGCUGUUCUCCCAGUACCUCAACUUUACUGGAACUCUUUCCUGCCAAACACAAAUGCCAAGAGCUAUCAGUCAACUUCUGCAUCCUGGUUUCUAUUAAGGGACUUUUCGUGAGCUUAUCAUCUACCCAAAUUUUACUCAUCCGACGUAAUUUUAAAAGUGAUUUGAUCCUUUGGCAAAGUAAUCUUGAACUACAAAAAAGGAGGGCACUCGAAUAGGCAUGCCAUUUGGUAUUACCCACCUCUAAUUUCUUUUAAAAUUUUAGUAAUUGAUUUUUAAGAUUAGAAAAUGGGAAAGUUCAAAACCGAAAAAGUUGUUUCAGUUUUGGCAAGUAUCGGAAAAGACUAAAAUUUUCCGACUUUAUUAUUACUAGAAACAAAGUCGAAGUAUUCACCAAUCAUGUGGCCUUCCAAGUGCUCAAGGUUAAGCCAGGAACCGUUCCUAUCAGCCAUUUCCUUCCCAAGUAUGAUCAUGUUGUCUGGGUUCCAACCCACAAAUCUACAUCAGUACCUGAACUAAUCAGUUCUACAUGAAUAUUCAUUCAUGGCAACCUUGGGCUAAGUAUUUGAAUUUAUGCUCAUAAAGCUUUAAUGCUUUUGAGGGCCAAUCGUUGUCUACAUAUGGUAUUGUAGCAUCUUUAGAUGGAAGAGGUCAGGGGUUCAAUUCUUGUUUUCCACUUCUUUAUUUGUUGGUUUAUCGAGUGUAGAGUGGAGUUGCACCUAUAUGUUCGUCUCUCACCCCAUCAUUUACCAUUGAUAUAUAUUUAAUAGAAGCCUAAGAUUUCGGAAGCACAUAAUUUCUACUUUACAAACUUCCUGUGUCUACCAAUUUCUACUAAAAUUAAUUUAUCUGCGGUGCUGAGAUUCAUCAUAAUUUUAAUAGAAAUUGGAAGUUUUCAUCAUUUUUGCUUUAAGUCUCUACUCCACUCACUAAUAAAGAUUACUCAUGUGAGUUUACAAAACAUUUUUUUUUUCUACUCUCUCCUGAAGACUACACUUCUUCUCAAAAAAUUAGAUCACUUCACAUCUUGUGUAUGUGAAAACUAAUGUAAAAAGUUGAAACUUUAUCGUAAAACCUCGACAAAAAUGAGCUCUACUACAAAAUGUUAAAUUUGGAUUCGUUGAUUUAAAUGGCAAUUUGACACUUGAUAGAAAUUUUUACAUACAUGUGUUAGUGUUUGAUCACUUCACAUGUCACUUACUAUAUUUAUUCCACUCAAGUUAGGUAAAUAUUAUUAUCAAACAUUUCAAUUAAUUUGUGAUUUUUUUAUUAUUUAAUCAAUUAUGAAUUAAUGGAUUCUUCUUGUUGUUUUGAAGACCAACAAAAAAAAAAAAAAGGGUAGUGAUGGCUUAUAAUUCUGGUAAAACAACAGUGACGUGGACAACAGAUGUUACGCUGUACUAAAGAUUUUUGAAGAUUCUUUAUUUGAGUUUCUUUCAAGAUAAAAACCAUAUUAUCCACAACCACAAGCACAUCCGGCAGACAAUCUUUGGCUAUUCAUCACAAUUGGGAGACAAUGAAGAAGACAGAAAAUGGAGUAAUUCAGAUGUUACCAGCCAUCCACGACAAACUGAAGUCUGCAAAGCAUUCGUAAUCUAAAAAGGAUGGGGAGGCUGCGCAAUACUUAGCCACGUGUAGGCCAGGAGGCUUUCCAAUUUUAAUAUAUAUAUAGAUUGAAAAAAUAAAAUAAAAAUCAAUCUAUUAUCAUAUAUAUUAUAAAAUAAAGAUUAUUGCUCCCAUGGGCGGUGCUAUGCACAGGACAGUGCCUGCCUAGUCCAAAUUUUUUUUAAAUAAAAAUAAAAAUCUACAUAUGUUAUAAGCUCAUCCAAAAAAAAAAAAAAAAAUAAAAGUGUUGUAAAUUAUAAGGUGGAGCCCACAUGUUGGAAGGCUUUGCCUACAAAAGGGUUCACACCCUCCCUUUGUAAUUAGACAUUGAGAAUACUAAGGAAGACAGAAAUGAAUAGAGAGAAAACAUUCCCUUCUCUCCAUCUCAAUUCCCUCUCCAAUUCCUCUAGAUUUAUAACACGUUAUCAGCAGCACGAAUCGCUUUCAAACAAUACCAGCUGAAUUUUAUGAUGAAACCCAGAUCUCUCAUCCAUCUCUGCUGCUCCACUACUUCAAAAUAAAUCCCACAGAAAAAGAAAAAGCCUCAAUGCUCUCUCUCUCUCUCUGUCUCGCUUGGGAGACUUGGACAAUUCCUCAUCCCCGUUACUGACAAUUUCAACAGCUUCAGGGGAAGCUAGUUUAUCUUCCUCUGCUCACGAAACCAUGACUCUUUCAGAGCCAAACAACAACACAAUAGACAACGCAUGGAGACCAGACUGGAGCUCGUCGGCUAAGGCACCGACGAUCCGACCCUACCCGUAUGGACCUUCCGGAUGUGGUUCCUGGGUCUUGUCUCAUGUGCCCUCCUCUCAUUUCUCAACCAAUUCUACAAGCAGCAGAGCUUCAAAUCAAACAGAUCAUGGCAUCGCUUUCACACCUCCCCAUCUUCCUCUUCCUCCUGUUCACCGCUUUCUAUUCUACAGCUUCGCAGUCCUUCAUCGGCGCAUCCAAAGGCGACAUACCGGCGCUCGCCUCAGAUCCGAACGCGGCGGCUCAGUGGGUGAACUCGAAUGUCCUCGCCUUCUACUCGGCCAGCAACAUCGACCUCAUCAACGUCGGCAACGAGGUCCUUUUUCUCCAACGACCAGGGCCUCAUCUCGCAGCUCCUCCCCGCCAUGCGAAAUGUCCAAUCUGCCCUCUCCGCCGCGUCCCUCGGCGGCAAGGUCCGUGUCUCCACGGUCCACUGCCUCGCCGGAUCGGGAUCCUUCCUUCAAGUGUUUCUCUGUCUUCGACUUGAAAAAGAAGGUCAUGGCAGGCCUAUGUAAAAAUUGCGAAAAGGAAGGCAAUCUUCAACCUUUUCUCCUGUCUCUCUCUUGAUCAAUUCAUGGAAGGCACAUUUGGGUCUUCCGGGGGCUCAUCAAAUGAGUCAGCAAUGUCAAAGGUGGAGGUGGUGGAGCAAGACUACGUGGGGAUGUCAUAUGAGGCAACCUCAUACCCAGCUGAGGCAGAGCUUGUGCUGGGCCUGGGCCUUGGCCUGAGCCUUCGUGGUGGUGGUGCAGGGAAGCAGCCAAAGCCAUGUGCAUGGGGUGAGCGUGGUAGAAUCUUGACUGCUAAAGUUAGGUGCUGAGUUACACUGUGUUCUCUGCUACUGACCCUAAGAGGAGUGCUAGAAACUUCCAUGUUCCGCCAUCAUUUCGCUUUCACUGUUACAAGGCACUGGAGUAUGUUUAAUUGAAAAGUGAGAUACACAGCAAGUUGAUCAGCCUAGUGGAAAGCAAAGGAUUAUUGCCAGGGAUAUGAACACCCACCGAAAUAAAGGGAUAAGUACUCUUUUUCCCUUCGACCAGUUUUUUUUUGUCCCACUGGGUUUUUACUGGCAAGGUUUUUCACGAAACAUAUUCCGUAUCAUUUGUGGUCUCUAAGAGGGAGUGUUGUAAAUUAUAAGGUGGAGCCCACAUGUUGGAAGGCUUUGCCUACAAAAGGGUUCACACCCUCCCUUUGUAAUUAGACAUUGAGAAUACUAAGGAAGACAGAAAUGAAUAGAGAGAAAACAUUCCCUUCUCUCCAUCUCAAUUCCCUCUCCAAUUCCUCUAGAUUUAUAACAAAAAGUAAAUUCUACACAUAUGUUGCCCAUCCAGGUGGUCCCAUAUCUUCUCUUUCCUUUUCUUUUGGCUAUUAGACUUCUUGUUUCUCUCUCUCUCUUUGCUACCCCACAUCAGCAAGUUUCUCCCUCUCUUUUUUUGGGAUCAAAUUCUUCUUCUAUUGACAAAAUCUUCUAUUAUAUUGGGUGGGCAACUUGGCAACAACAUCUUCUCCUCUCCUUUUGUCAACAGCAAGUAUUAUUCUCAUUCUCUCAUUUGCUAUAUAUCUUUAAUUAUAGUUUUAAUUUAAAAUUGAGUAUUCUAGGGUUUAAUUAGGGAUGAAUUAUAAUUUUGGGAUUUUGUUGAAAUUAAUUAGGGCUUCGAUUAGGGGUGAAUUAUUCUACUGCUUUGAUUUGGAAUUUUGUUAAAAUUGAGUAUUAUAGGUUUAAUUAUGGAUGAAUUACAAUUUUUGGUUUUGGUAUUGUUGAGAUGUUAUUAUGAGAAUUUGUUUGAUUUUUUGUUGGUAUAUUUGAUUAAAAUUCUUUCUACAUAUUAUUCAUAGGCUAUCUUUUAUUAUGUCGGAUCACAAUCGGAAUCCCAAGAAAACAAAAAAUUUGAAUAGUGUUGUUUUGUAUUGCAUUGCAUUUACUUUUGGUUUUAGUUUUGCUUUUAGUGUAAAUUACUCAAAUGGUCCUCAAAUUUGUACCCAAUUUACAUUUUGGUCCAUAAACUAAAUUAUUCAUUCAAAUGGUCCACCAACUCUUUAUUAAUCGGUGCUUUGGUCCUAUCGUUAUGUUUUCUAUUAAAUUUAGUCAUGUGAGCAGCACAUGCUACAUUUGUAUGGGUAAAUAAGACUUUUGACCAGUGGCGGAUCCACGUUGGGACAAGAGGGGUCGGACGACCCCUUGGAAGGCUGGAAAUUUGGCAAGGGAGUCCAUGAAAGCCCCCUUGGACAGCUGCUGGAAGCCCCCUUGUAUGCACACAAUGUGCUCGACGAAAUGCCCCAACGAAAUGUCCUGCGCAGCUGUGCUGCGCCUUGCGCGUAAUUUUUUUUUAAAACCAGCCUUGCCAAACGACGUCGUUUGGUCAAGGCUCAGUCAAAUUUUUUUUUAAUUAACCUGGCCUCAAAACGACGUCGUUUUGGGCCAGGUUUAAAAAAAAAAAAACAGAACAGUACACACGCACAGCAGCUCUGCACAGAUUCAUUUUCUCCAAACCUUUCAUUCCCAAUUCCACAGCCCCUCUUCCCAUCCUCUCAAACCCUAACCUCCCAACCUCCCAACCUUGGACAACCUCCAUCAACUCUUCACCGGUGGCCCAAUGCCGAUCACCACCACCUUCUACCGCCGUCCGCCGCCCAUUUUUUAAACUACAAGUAAGUAAGCAUGGAAAAUCUGAUAUUAAUAAUUAUAGUGAUAAUAUAUAUUGUUGAUAUUGAUAUUUUUUUUUUAUGUAAUGAAAUUUAUGGAUAUGAAUCAUAUUGAUUGAUUGAGUUUAUGCUUGAAAUUUAUGGAUAUGAAUCAUAUUGAUAUUUUUUUUUAUGUAAUUAAAUUUAUGGAUAUGAAUCAUAGUGAUAAUCAUAUUAAUGUAGAUUGAUUGAGUUUAUGCUUGAUUGAUAAUAUGAAUUGAUUGGGUAUAUUAAAUAUUGAUUGCUAUUUGAUAUGAUAAUUUGGUAUAUUGAAUAUUGAUUGAUAUGGGUUUAGGGAGUAUAUUGAAUAUUGAGAGUGGGUUAUUGAAAUUUUCAUAUUCAUAUGAUAAUUAGGAUAAAAAUUAAUGAUUGAUUGAAUUAAUUGAUUUGUAGAUUUAUGGAACGAUUCUUUAAAAGAAAAUUAUCUACGGAUAGUUCUUCUCUGUCUAAUCCGGGUAGUUCAAAUGCAAGACCAAUUGAAGUAGAUGAGAUCUUAGCUAAUCUUCAAGCAGACCCUGGACUAAGAACUCGAAUGGCGGAUUAUAGUCCUAAUAUUAGGGAUGAGAUCCGAAGAGCAUAUCUACAAAAGGGACCUUGUCAACCUAGAAGUUAUAAAUUCCCACAAACUAAUCAAUCAGGAAUUAAUAGACGCUUCAUUGCUCAUUGGUUUGAUGAUCAUGAUUGGUUGGAAUAUAGUAUUGCUAAAGAUGCUACGUUUUGUCUUCAUUGUUAUCUCUUCAAAUCUAAUUUUGAUCAAGUGGGUGGUGAUGCAUUCACUGGGGUAGGCUUCAAUAAUUGGAAGAAGGCGAAAGAAAGAUUUAACCUUCAUAUUGGACCGGUUGGUAGUGUUCACAACCAAGCUAGAGAAGUUGCUUACAAUUUGAUGCAUCAAACUACACACAUUGAAACAAUUGUGCUCAAGCAAACAAGCCAAGCUCGCACGGCUUAUCGCACUUGCUUGAAUGCAUCACUUAAGUGCACUAGGUAUUUGUUGCGGCAAGGGCUUUCUUUUCGUGGUCAUGAUGAAAGUGCACAAUCAAGUAAUAAAGGGAAUUAUUUAGAGCUCUUGCAAUUUCUUGCGGAUCAUGAUGAAAAAGUUAAGGCCGUUGUAUUGGAAAAUGCUCCGGGAAAUUUAAAGUUAAUAGCUCCUUCAAUUCAAAAAGAUCUUGUCAAUUCUUGUGCCAAAGAAACCAUUGAUCUUAUCUUGAGUGAUGUAAAAGAUAGAUAUUUUUCAAUAAUGGUGGAUGAAGCACGUGAUGUUUCAAUAAAGGAGCAAAUGGCAAUGGUGUUGCGUUAUGUGAAUGACAAAGGACAAAUAAUUGAAAGGUUUGUGGGGGUUCAACAUGUAACCGACACUACUUCAAGUGCACUAAAGGAAACAAUUGAUGAAUUCUUUUCUUCCGCGAAUUUGAGCUUUUCCAAGCUACGAGGACAAGGUUAUGAUGGAGCUAGCAAUAUGAGAGGUGAGUUCAAUGGCCUUAAGAGAAAGAUUUUGAGAGAACAACCUUGUGCAUUUUAUGUUCAUUGCUUUGCUCAUCAACUUCAACUAGCUCUUGUUGCGGUAGCAAAGAAAAACAUUGAUGUCAACUCUUUUUUCACAACGGCUAAUAGUUUGGUUAAUGUGGUUGGAGCAUCUUGUAAGCGUCGCGAUGCACUUAGAGCACAAUACCAAGAAGAGCUUGUGAGAGCUUUUGAAGAUGAUUGUCUUAUAACGGGGCGGGGCUUAAAUCAAGAAAGGACUCUCAAACGUGCCGGCAAUACACGAUGGAACUCACAUUAUGGUACGUUGAUUAGUAUCAUUUCUAUGUUCCCAUCUGUGGUGAAUGUGCUUCAAAUGAUUGUUGAUGAUAAUCUUAAUGAUAGUUCGGGUGAAGCCUAUAAGUUAAGGAGAGAAAUACAAUCUUUUGAGUUUGUGUUUCACUUAUUUGUAAUGAAAGCUAUAUUGGGAAUAACAAACACUUUGUCUCUAGCAUUGCAAAAGAAAGAUCAAGACAUUGUGAGUACAAUGAAUUUAGUGAAAACAUGCAAGGAAAACCUGCAGUUGAUGAGGGAUAAUGAGUUUGAAGAAUUGGUUGGGCAAGCAUCCUCGUUUUGUUACAAAUAUGAUAUUAUAGUUCCUACCAUGGAUGAGGAAUAUGUAAUUCCAGGGAGAUCAUGGCGUAAUGCUCCAAUGAAGACAAAUUAUCAUCGUUAUCGUGUGGAGAUCUUUAUUCAUGUAAUUGAUGGGCAACUUGCGGAAUUAAAUGAUCGCUUCAACGAGGUAAGUACUGAGUUACUUACUUGUUUGGCAUGCUUGAGUCCAAAAAAUAACUUUGUGACUUUUGACAAACGAAAGCUAGUUCGUCUUGCUCAAUUUUAUCCUUAUGAUUUUUCGGAUAGAGACUUAUUGAUGCUUGAAGAUCAACUUGGUGUUUAUGUUCAUCAUAUGCGUUCGAGUAGUGAUUUUUCUCAAUUGGAAGGGAUUAGUAGUCUUGCGGAAAAAAUGGUGGAGAAAGGAAUGCAUGAAAUAUUUCCUUUUGUAUUUGCUUCUUACAUUGGCUUUGGUUUUACCGGUUGCAACUGCAUCAGUGGAGAGGGCAUUUUCCGCUAUGAAUAUUAUUAAAAAUCCACUUCGCAACAGAAUGGGAGAUCAAUGGUUGAAUGAUAGCUUGCUUGUUUACAUUGAGAGAGAUGUUUUUGCUUGUAUUGAUAACGAAAUUAUAAUGCAAUGUUUUCAGAAUAUGAAAACUCGUCGUGGACAAUUGUAACUUGUAUUAUUGGUUUUGUUAUGAAUUAUGAAUGAAAGUACUAUCUUUCUAUCUUUUUAGCAUUAUUUUCUUUGUAGAAAAAUUUCAGAACUUUUACACUAAGCCCCCUUGGCUACAUAAUCCUGGAUCCGCCACUGCUUUUGACCACUUUAUCACCUAUGUAUCACCACUUUAUAACCUAUUUGGGGAACAUAGGUCAGUUAUGGACGGUUUUACCCUUACAUUUGACGGCAACAUUAACAUAAUGUAACAGUGGGAUCAAUGGAGUGAUUAAUAUAAAGUUGAUGGACCAUUUGAAUGAAUAAUUUAAUUGAGAGACCAAAAUGUAAAUCAAGUAUAAGUUUGAGGACCAUUUGAGUAAUUUACCCUUCGCUUUUAUAUUUGUUGAACUUUUAUUUAUGAUAGAUAUGCAUUUAAGGGUAAGACCCAUUAUGUUCCCCUGGCUAGGUGUAUCUUUUUAUGUUUAUUAAUGAAAUUCACUCGAACUGUUGAGUUUAGUAUGUAAGUUUUGCCUAACUGGCUUUUGAAUCCUAGAACCGCCACUGUUGCUCCAUCCUCCAUGCACUUGCAUGUGCUCUUACAAAGUGUGAAGUAGAUUUUGUGUGCUCCAAGUCAUUGACUAGAGCUGAAACAUGGUUAGCUAGAUUUAUAAGGACCCAUCUCUUUAUUUCCUAGACAUAUACCCAUCUCUCUAUAAAUCUAUAUGUAAAACCUAAUUUCAAACUUAAAUGACCAGUAGGAUAUAAAAGGUCAUAGUAUUCCUAUGUUUUUAUAUCGUUGCCACCAGACUUCUUAUUUUAUUUAUAAUUUAUUUCAAGCAUUUCAUUAACUGCCAUAAUUGUAAUUAAUACUCCAUAUUAAUAGCAUAUCAAUCACCCCAUUUCUUUUGGUUGCCAUUCCCUCUAACAUAUCGCCCCUUAAAUUUGAAAACCAAAAAAAAAAAAUGUAAAUUACAUAUCCAAUAAUGUACCUAUGAAAAAUAUAAAUAUAAAUAUAUACAUAUAAAAAUAUAGGUAUAUUAUUUACCAAAUAGAAAAUAUAAAAACCUAGGUCAGUUGCUUUGUAAUUGAAAUUUCUGUACAUUUUCCACAAAUUAAAAAUAGGUACAUAAUAAUUUAUAGAAAAUAUAUGUACAUUAUUUAUCCAUAGGUAAAAAUACCGAUAAAUGCACAUAGGUGAAUUAUUUACCAAUAUAUUAUUUUUUUGCUAAGGAUUUACCUUAGUUUUUAGUAGAUUAAUUUACCUACCUAGAGGCAUAGGUAGCUUAAAAAAAAUGUACCACCUUAGUUGGUUGCAUACUAAUUUACCUACCUAGAGGCAUAGGUUGCUAAGAAAAAAUGUAGGUAAAUUCAUGUACCUAAACACAUAGGGGUCAAAUAGAGAAUAACAUGUUAUUUCCCUUUGAACAAAUUAAUUUCAAACCAUAACAAUUAUUGAAUUUGGAAAUUGGUAUAAAUAAAAGGAAAUAAAUAAACUAUCAAUUUGAAAAUUAAAAUAAGAAAUGAUCAAGUAGUCAUAUUUGAAAAAAAAGGAAAGAAUAUAUUCUUGGUUUUUAUAGGAACAACGAGUAUAUUCAAACCAAACGGCGAUAACUACACCAAGCUUUAAUUACUUUUUUUUAAGGCCAAAAGUCACUUUUGGUCCCUGUAGUUCGGCAUUUCUACCACUUUUGAUGUUGUAGUUUCAAUUCCGUCAAUUUUGCCAUUGUAGUUUCGUAUUUGUAGCAAUUCAAGGACCUGUUAAUAUUAAUGUCAAUUUGUUUAAUGAUGCAAGAGGUAAUUUCGUCAUCCCAAAAUCCUUGAGCAUAAAAGAUUGUCUGAAAUUCUCCCCAUUUCAUAUUAGGGCUCGAAAUUCAACCACUAAUCCUAAUUUUUGAAGAACCCUAGACCCAAAUGACCAAUUUCAAGCCCUAAUAUGAAAUUACGGAAGUUUUAGAUGAGCUUUUAUGCUCAAGGAUUUUGAGUUGAAGAAACUGCCCCUUGCACUGUCAAAUAAAUUGACAGGAAUACUGACUUGUCCUUGAAUUGCUACAAAUACAAAACUACAGUGUCAAAAUUAACAGAAUUUAAACUAUAGGGUCAAAAGUAGUUGAAGUGUCAAACUAUAAGGACCAAAAGUGACUUUUAGCCUUUUUGUUUCAAUAAGGAAAAAACUGACCUAUUAAAUCCUUGGAAUCUAUACAAAAUUGAAACACAAUUAAUCAACAUUGAAUUGCAGCUAAUUUCUUAAACAAGGGUAUUAUAGGAAUUUAAAAAGUAUAACAUUUAAUCCAUUGAAUUUGAUUAGGAAACUUGAUGAAUUGAAUCCUAGUUAUAUAGUUUUUCUUAUAAAAAUCAGGUUUUAUUUAUAGACAAAUAAAACAAUGGGUUGUAGGUAAGAAAAUAUUAAUUUGAAGGGAAAGAGUCAAAUUUACUAAAUUAAUAAAGCAUAAAUUGGAAAGGGAAAAGAUCUAGAGGAUGCAUUGUAGGAUUGCUCAUGCCAAUAAUUGCACCCUCUCGAUAUUGAAAAACCUAUUGUUUAUUAUUAUCUUCAAUCCUGAAUGAUGCACCUAAAACCCAAGUGUCUCAGGCCAACCAUUGCGCUCAUACCACUUGUUGCAGUACACAUUCACCUGUUUUUAAAGAAAGAAAUUCUACCAAUCGAUAUUUUCUCAAAUUUAAUCACAUAGAUCUAUUAUGGUUAACCAUAUGUACUUUUAUCUGCCAUCCAGAGGUACCUUUUUCCAACGUGCAACAAUUGUAUUUGAUUCACAAUUAUGUCUGAUAUACAUCACAUCAUGCCACUUGCCUCAAAUGAAUUUAAUUGAGUGAGGCAAUGGGAAGUAAUUAAGCUCUAUAUUGGUGGGUGGAGUGUUACUUCUGGAACCCUCAUCAUUCGUCCAUACAGGGGAACAAUUCCCUUCCUUCUAUAAAAUGGGAGCAAUUCUCUCACUGUACUCUAUAUAAAGGAAUAAGUGUCGUCCACUAAUUAAUUACACUUUGUGAGAUUUGAUUUUAAUUAGAGUUCGAAUUAAUGUUGCAGCUAGCAGCGGUGGCACUGGCAAACCAUGCUGCUCAACCAGCACCUCCACUUUACUGGAAUUCCAUCCUGCCAAACACACAAAUGCCAAGAGCUAUCAGUGAACUUCUGCAUCCUGAUUUGUGUUGAAUAGAUAUAGUAUGUUACUGGAGUACGUAUGGCAACAUAUUCACAAAUGUGUCACGUAUUUUCCAUUAUGACGUUGAUAUAUAAUUGCAGACUCCACAAACGAAGAAAAGAGCACAAAUGUCAUGAAUGCUGUUGGGAAUGGAAAGCCAAUUGACCACAAGGGCAAACCUGAAAAUACUGUACUACCACAGCUUGCACGACGCCCAUUUUCUUACAAGAGUGAUGAUCGUCCCACUGACAAUCAACUCCAUUAUAAAAACGUAGCUAUUUUCUUCUUGGAGAAGGACAUGCGCCCUGGCACAACAAUGAGCUUCCAAUUCCCUAGAAAUUCAAACACGGCUACUUUCCUGCCACGAGAAAGAGCUCAAUCGAUCCCCUUCUCCUCUAACAAACUACCAGAAAUUUUCAACCAUUUUUCAGUGAAGCCAACAUCUGUGGAAGCCAAAACAAUUAAGCAAACAAUCGAAGAGUGUGAGGCUCCAGGCAUUAAGGGAGAGGAAAUAUAUUGCGCCACAUCUUUAGAAUCAAUGGUUGAUUUUAGCACUUCGAAGCUUCGAACAAGAAACGUUCAAGCAAUCUCGACGGAGGUAUUGGAAAAAGGUGCCACCAUGUCCAUGCACAAGCACACAACAAUGCCGGGACUGAAGAAGUUGGCAGGUGUCAAAGUCGUUUUGUGUCAUAAGCAGAACUAUCCCUAUGCUGUGUUUUACUGCCAUGUAAUAAAACCAACAGCAGCUUAUGUUCUCUCCCUGAAAGGCGAUGAUGGGGUGAAAGUUAAAGCAGUAGCCAUCUGCCAUCUAGACACAUCAGAAUGGAACCCAAAGCAUUUGGCCUUCCAAAUCCUCAAAGUUAAGCCCGGAACAAUUCCCAUCUGCCAUUUCCUUCCCACUGAUCAUAUUGUCUGGGUUCCGAACCACAAAUCUGCAUGAUCAUCACUUAGCACUGUACGUAUAAUAACCUUUACCCCUGUAUAAUUAUCUCCCUACUCUACUUAUUUCUGCCUCUUCAUGUGGUGUAAGAUAUAUGAUGAGAUGAAGUUUUUGGGAUUAGUGGUCGGGUUGCCUUAAAAACACAGAUUACAGAAACUGCUUGAACUUAACCCGAUCAUGUUUUCUCUUGUACUCGUAAAGCAUGCUGUUGUGGUUCUACUUAAUUUCGUCCUCCCCAAUGUUUGAGUGUUUAAUUGUUACGUUGGAAUAGGCUGCUAAUGCAUGUAGUUAGAGAAGCUUUCAUUUAUAUCAAAGUCCUCAAACUAUCAAGAAUUAAUGCAUCCAGAAACAUAUAUACCAAGACGCAAAACAACAUAUUUUCCAUGCUGUGUCGGUAACACCAAAGCAAACUUCCUUUAUCACAAAAGGACCAAAUUCCAAUACUAAUCUAAUCCAUCAUGUAAAGCAUACAAUCUACAACUGCCUCCCUAAAUUUGUCCAUUGGAUAUAUAUGUCACUUUUUGGUAAUUUGGUAUAGCAGCACCACGUAGUAUGCAUUUAACAGAAAAGUAAACAAAAUUGACAGUAGAACUAUUUGUCCUAACGAAACUGAAGUUGAAAGACCAUGAGAACGAUUUUGAAAAUUAAGGGACUCAAAUGAAAAUUGGGUCUAAGUUCAGGGACCAAUAAAACGAUUAACCCAUAGAUUUUGGAUCCAGUACCACAUCCCAAAGAGAAAACCACAAGUUUGCAAGCAAGUUUGUCCAUACUAACACUACGUACAGUAUGGGCAAUGUGCUAGACUCAUCUCACUUUCUCAACCUAUCCUAUACUUGUCUAAAAGAGUUUCUAAUUUAAUGUACUGAGAUUUACGAAAGAAAUAUCAGAGAAACAAUUUUCAGGCAAUAAAAAAAUGUCUUGGCAAGAAAAUGCACAAUUUGUUACAUAACUUAUUAAAUAUGAACAGUUGAAAGAAAAAAGAAUUUGGAUGAGGGAUUUGCAAAUUCCUAUGGCCCAAUUACCUUUUUUUCUUUGUUUUUUUUUGGUUCUUUUGAUCCAGUAGCAUAUUCCAAAGAAUGAAAACCACAGGCAUGCAAUGCAAGCUCUUUUCCCAUGUUUUCCUCUGUUUUUCUCCUAUCAUGGAAGUGAUUAAAACACACCUCUAAGCUUGUUUUGCGUUUGGUAGCCGAGUGUAAAAGCUCAAUGCAAGAUAGUUUGAGGUAGAAUUUUCUCCUGUUUUAUUAGGACAAUGAUGAGCUAUAUGUGACAACAAAUUGCUUUAAUAAUGAAAAUUAAAAAAGUGUGAUUCAUUGAAUAUUUGCGGGGUUUUGUUCAGAGCUGACAAAGUUCUAAGUCAACACAUCAAAUUCCUUUUUCCAACAAUCGUAUUUGAUUCACAAUUUUGUCUGAUAUACAUCACAUCAUGACACUUGCAUCAAAUGAAUUUAAUUGAGUGAGGCAAUGGGAAGUAAUUAAGCUCUAUAUUGGUGGGUGGAGUGUUACUUCUGGAAUCCUAAUCAUUCGUCCCUACAGGACUCUAGAACUCUCACACUUCUUACAAGGACUACUUAACUCUAUAGCUUAUUGCAUAUAGCAUAUAUAUGCAAACCCAAUUAGAAAUUCUACAACAGAAGCAAGAUCAAUCUCACUAUGCCUUCUAAACAAACAAACAAAUAAAACAAGCAUAUUAAUUGCUUUAAUCACUCUACUAACAUCAACACAGCACACUUAGUUUACUAACAGAUGAUAUAGAAAGGAAAAAAAAGGACCAAUAGGGAGAAAAUGGUGAACUAAGGAGAGACUAAUACUUCUGGUCCUUAGAAGGCAUAACAGAAAUAAUAGAGCACACUGCUUGAAUGCAAGUCAGUAUUAGGAGCAAAACAGCUGCAAUGAAAGAAAUAGUUGCCCAAGGUGUAUUGAAAUAAUGUUGCCUCAAAUUUGCCUUCCAUUUGUUCCAAGGCUUUCUGCAGUAGCUAUUAAGGCGCUCAGAAAGAGUAGCAAAGUAGAAGCUUUCACGAUACACUGCAAUUCCUUUUCCGAGGUUGUUAAUCAGAGUGCACACCUCAUUGUAGUCACCAAGCAUAUUUUUGACAAUCCCAUACUUCAGAAGGAACUCCACAUCCUUUUCGGUGUUCACAAACUCAUCCAUGAGUGAAACAUAAUCACUUAUGUAAUUCUUACGGCAAUGGCACUAUUCAAAGGCAAUGAGGUUAUGGAGUGUGAGCUCUGUGUAAUCGUUUAUUUUUAGUUUUGGAAUUUCUAGAAUCCCAUCGUUGAAUCGUGUUAACGCAGCUUUCCUUUCCUAGCCUACGCGGAAGUCAACUUCACAAUCUCCUCCUAGCAAUUAGCCUUUCCUACUGUAAAUCGGAUUGUAUUCAUGUCUAUAUUAUUUCCUACCUUAAAUAGAUAUCCUGUACUAGUAUACAUAGGGACUUUGUGUAAUCUGUUAAAUACAAGGAAAUAUAUACUCUACAUGGUAUCAACCUAACCUAGGGUUCUCUCUCUCCCCCUUAUUCGAUCCUCUUCUCCUUUAGGUCCACCUCAUGGCUUCGUUUGAAUCCACCAUCUCCCUCCCAAGCCCUAACUCUUCUCAUUUUAUCAAGCUUACUAACUCCAACUAUCUUCUUUGGCUCCGCCAACUCAAACCCUUUUAGUUGGCCAUGACCUCUGGAAAUUUAUCGAUGGCAUUCAUAAACAACCUUCUGCCCACACCUCCACCUCUACCACCACAACACCCACAACCACCACCACUCUUACCGAAAUCAAUCCUACCUAUGCUCAGUGGUACCAACAAGACCAACUCAUUGUUAGCUACAUCACCAGUACACUCUCUGAGUCCAUUUUCUCUCUCACUGUCGGUUGCAUCUCUGCCCGGGAUCUCUGGGAGUGUCUCCAAUGCCACUUCUCUUAAUCCAAUAUGGCCAGUGAAUCUGCUCUUCGUUUUCAACUCAUGGAUUUGCAAAAAGGCUCUCAACCCAUUGAUGCUUACCUUCGUCAUGCUAAGUCUCUUGCCGAUUCACUAGCUGCCAUCAAUUAACCUGUCUCCCCAAAAGAACUUGUCACUGCUGUGCUUCGGGGUUUAGGACCCGAUCACAAAAUGCUCAUCACAGCAAUUCUCAAUUUCUCUCCGCUUCCAGACUUUGCUGAUCUUCGUGCUCGUUUGUUAGCUUUUGAUGCACAGACUCCUCGAAUCUUUCCUGAUCAAAACACAACGCUAAUGGCCACCCAAUCUUCUCCUUACACCACCGGUCAUACUUCCUUCCCUUCUCACCGUGGUUGUGGCUCUUCCAGCAAUAGGCGCGGUGGCUGGUGCAGUAUUGGCCGUGGUGGCUGGCACAACUUCUCAUCUUCCUAGAGCAACCCGUGGAAUGGCUUCCAGCAGCCCUAAUGACCUAAUCAACUGUGGCCUCCUUUUGCUCUAAGUUUUGGAUCUCAAAGCAACUGGCCUUCCUUUCAACCUCUUUGGGCCCAAUCUGCCGCUUCUAGCAAACACUCUGCCCGACCCAACUCAGCUCCUGGUGUCUUGGGACCCGCUUGGUGCACCACAUGCAAUACCAAUCGACAUACUACUACAACAUGUCCUUAUUGCUACAAUGGCCCAGAAUUCUUCCUUUGCUGGGGCUCAAUUCAUGCAGCCACCUAACUCUACAUGGUACCCUGACACAAGUGCCACUCAUCAUAUGACUGGUAGUUCUUCUAAUCUCCAAAGGAAAUUAAAUGAAGGAGUCCUACGAAGGCUCAAGGCUCGAAAGCACACGAUCCGGCUCUGCUGCGGAGCUCACUCAACUACUGGCUGAGGGGGCGCAAAACAGAAAAUUGUGAGUGGACAAAAAUAAAAAUUCAGUUCAGUGUAAACCAACGUAAUAUAACCCCACCGUUUAGAAAACCAUGCAAGAAAUCCAAAUGCAUCUCAAAACCAUCAUAAUCAUCAAAUCAAAAUCAAAUACUGGAUGCCAAGUCCGAAAUCCAUAAAGAAAGCUUUACAAACCCACCAUCCAAAUCUUACAAUCCCACAACUAAACUCUCGAAAGCGUACCCAUUGGCAGUACCAGCAAGGAAGUAUCCUCACCGAGAAACAAGAACAAAAGAAUAGCUAUAUAUAUAAUUAUAUAAUAUAACCACACCUAGUUGUACCGGGAAAACAAUCCAACCGGGGGAUUGUUUGACUAGUCACCAUGGCAGAGUCAAAGUAAACAAAUUCCUCAAUUCACCAUGUGACUAGGGAACGAGCUGUCCAACUGGGGGACCAACUCUCAGCCAGCAUGUACCGUCGAUAGCCUCAAAACCCGUACGUCUGUGACCAGUCCUACGCGUGCAGACUACCCAAUCAAGGGUUUACAGCAACAUCCCAUCAAGGAUGCCCUAGGUUCCCACAAUUCCAAGUAUCUCAAGUUUGCGUAUCCAAGUUCCAAAUCCGGGGAGGUACAUAGGGUAGUGCUUAUAGCACUCCAAAUUGACAUUCUAUACUCAUCACUUUCCACAAUCUCAUCUCAACAACCUAAGUACCCCACACAUAGCCAAACAUAUAUAGAAAUUCUCAAAAUCCAUAUAUACAUACUCAAGAUACUCAAAUAUGUCAAAAUCCAAAAUAUAUUUCCAAUGCAUCAUAAAAAUAUCACUUUUAACAAUUGAAUAAAUAAUAUAUAUCCAAUAUACCAAUUAAAACAUCAUGCAUAAUAUUUCCCAUCAUAAAAUCAUGCAUAAGAUUUGAAAACAAAGUCCACUCACAAGUAGUCCCACACUGCUUGACCUUGAGAGGGUCCCGCCUACUGCGUAUGCGUGGUUGGAGUACCUAUUUCAGAAUACGUAUACGAGAUUAAUAAGAAGCGUUUCGAACGAGAACUUUGAAUUAAAUAUCCUAAUUUCCCAGGUUUCUAGUAAGUGUACUAGGAACGAGACGUUCUAAGGUUCCACUACCCAAUUCGAACCAUGGAAGAGCUUCGGGAGACACUCGGUCAACCGGCGGUCAAAUUCCCAAAUCGGGUCAACUGGCCCACGGGACCCACGACCUCCGUUUUUAAAAUCCGUAAGUUCCUAAAGGUUUCACAAUGUCUAAGAUACUACUAUCACAAGUUUGGUCCGAAACGGACUGUUAGAUCGCUUACGAUCGCACGAUCAGACGGUUAUUGUAAAACGUAAACUUUAAGUUAUUGAAUCAGAACAUCCGGGGCUCCGAUUCACGAUCCGCGAAUUCCUACACGAUCCUAGGAAGGUCUAGAGUAACAUAUAUUGGAAUGGAGUCGAUCCAAAGGUCCGAACAUAUCGAACCUAGACCGGAUAACUCCUAAUAUGUGAGAUUCGUUCGGGGUUCGAACAUCAACCAAAUUGGAAUCCUAAGGUACCUACGUGCUCGUGACAUUAAGGGGAUCAAUUGGGACAAAAAUGCCCCUCUGCUACAGUGCCCACGUGCCACCACACGCGGCGGUAGAGAGUGGGUGUCCAAAGCGAUUUCUCUUCGCCGGAAAAUCUCCAAAUUACAAGCCACUCUCCUGGCUACAGGUUCUACUCAACGAGUGGAACACUUUAUUCAACUACAGCCAAGUCCAAUUCGGACGGCAAGUGGCCGGAAACUCACGGUUUAACCCGGAACUUCAUGGCUUGGAUUGGGCGACCAUCGUCACCAUUGUCGUGGCACAACCUAGGAAAUAGCUAAAAGGAGAGGAGGGCUACCUAUUCCAAGCGAUGGCGCAGCUCGCGGUAGCCGAAAAUGUAGCCGAUGACGUUGGCAGUUUUGGCCGGUUUUUCACGUCGUUGCCAUCGCCGUUUGUCGAGUUUUCGAUUGGAGAAAAGGGGUGGGGUGAGUAGAGGAGGAAGAGAGGAAGCUUUUGCAAGAAAUGACACUUGUCAGGGAGGGGGGGGUUGGGGGAAGAGAGAGAGAGAGAGAGAGAGAGAGAGAGAAAAAAAAAAAAUUUCAGAUUUUCAUCCAAACCCUUUUCGAAAUAUUUACAAGUUUGCCACUAAACUACUUUUGGUUGCCAAAUCUUCGUUAUAACUCCGAUUCAAGCCUACCACGUGUCUACGGAUUCGUCUCAAUACAACCUACCCAAAAAUACCAGUCACUGCCCCAAACUCUUUUUGGGUAAGAAAAUGACCAAAAUACCCCUACCCCAAGGGUAAAUUCAUAAUUUCACUUCAAUAAUUUAAUAAAGAAUUAAAUUUGGAGUCGGGGUGUUACAUUAACUACCUGUUUAGUAGGUGUGGGGUUUUAUACAAAAAGCAUCGAUGUUAUUGGGAGUGGAACCACUUAUUAUAAGUUGUGAUUUAUUUAGUCAAGUUUCCUAUGUGGGAUUUUCUAUUCUUCAACAAGCCCCCUCAUGUGGGACCACCACAUAGUGGGCCACAUGUAAAGCUAAGUCCACAUCGGAGUCAAUCAUUCAAGCCCAAUACCUAAACACCACGUAUUGUGUGAGGGGUAGGGGUAAACAUUCAAGCCCAACAUGUGAACCACCAAAUAUUAAGUAAGGGUAAAGGCUCAAUUCAGGCCCAAUCAAUGAACCCAUUAUGAUAUCAUGUUAAAUUUCAGAUAGACGGGACUGUGGCCCACCACUAGCAACAUUGAUAUUGUCCCCAACUUAACUACAUGUUUAGUAGGUGUGGAGUUCUAUACAUAAGGUCUCGAUGUUUUUAGGAGUGGAACCACUUAUUAUAAGUUAUAAUUUAUUUAGUCAAGUUUCCAGUCAACCUGACUUUGAUACCAUGUUAAGAUUUUAAAGGGACGAACUCUUGGCACUAUUAGUAACAUCGACAUUGUCCCCAACUUAACCACCUGUUUAGCAAGUGUGGGGUUUUAUCCUAAAGGCCUCGAUCUUAUUAAGAGUUGAGUCAUUUAUUAUAUGGAACUUUCUAUUUUGUUAACUCUGUGUAUUCUUCAUCAAUGUGAACACCCCUAAACCAAUCAUACCUGAUACGAAUUGAAACACAAGUUUGUUUUUUGCCUUUGGUAGAUGAGUAGCUAGAAAAGCUCAAUGCACUUGCUCUUCUGCUACAUUUCAAUAUAAGAACAAGGUUUGGAAGUCAGGUCAACUCCUCAUAGCUUCCUUGCCUUUGCUUUGACAUGUCUAUGCACUUCUUGGGGAAGUUUGAAUAAUCCAUUGCAGGCCCCAUGACAACUAAGGAACCAACAUUUUGUAGAAGGUUUUGUCUAUACCUUUUGACUAUAAGUAAAAUCUUUUGUAUCUGCUCUUAUGUUUCGGUGAAGUUUCUAUGUGUCCUUUGUGCCGAGUUUCUAUGCGUCCUUUGUUGAACCAAAAAAUGAGGUUGUUUCUUACUAGAUUCAAAUACUUAAAAGAAAAAAAGAAAUUGUUGUUUCUUAAUGGAUUUUAUGAUGAACAAUAUCAAACUCUCCUCUUAUACGUCUGUUGGUAAAUUUUAACAACAAUAUUAAAACCUUGCAAGUGCACAAAUCAAAUGAUAGUAUAGUAAGCAAGCAAGGGUCGAUCCCACGGAGAUUGUGAUCUAAAGAGAUGUUUAUCAAUGUCACGCAAUGAAAAUCAAAACAAAGGACUUCCAAACACACGCCAACACCAAGGGGGGUUUUGAUUUGUUUUUGUGAAUCAAACAAAAUAAGGAAAAGGAAACAAAAGAGAAUUUAAAUUAGAGUUUAAGAGAAAUUGGUUUAAAAUCAAUCAAGAUCAAUAGCUAGGACUUACUAUCCACCUCCAAACAAUCAAUCAAUCCAUAAACAACAAUAGAUAAUCAAUUUCUAGUAAGCACACUACUACAAAAAAGCAAAAAGACGACGGUAAAUCACCGUCGUGUAUUCGGUUUUUCAAUGGUCGUGGAAUCCACCGUCAUCUUUUCCCUCAUAAACCACGACGCUAAAUCACCGUCGUUGUUACAAUAUACAACGUCAUCAACAAAUACAAAACGACGUCUUUGUACUGCAAAAAGAUCUAAAAAAGCAAUCGAUGAUGAGAAAAGACGACCAACUCUCUAAACAAACCGUCGUUAAAAAGAAAAAAUAUGACACAUAUUAACAGAACAUGGCCGCAAGAUAGACAUACAACGACGAAAAUUAAAAUAAGACGCCGUUAAAUAUCAUUUUCACGACAAUAAAAAAUAUGUCGUCUUUAAAUACAUUAGAAGACGACGUUAUUGAUACCUACUACGUCGCCUAUAUAAAAAUAACCGUCGUAAAAUAAAUUUUCCACUUCGAUUUUUCUAUAAAAGAUGACGUGGAAAUAGUUGUCAGUGUCAUUAUUUACGACGUAUGUAUUUAUAGAGUAGACGUUGAACAACGAAACAACGUCGGUUACAAAUAUAUGAGAGUCGUAUUACAAAAUUUAUACGUCCUAUUUUCAGAAACAAACAACGACGAUAAAUAUUAGACGUUGUUAAAUAAAACAACGUCGAAAACAAAUAAAAACAGACGUGUUUAGUCUGCUAAAGUUCUAAAAAAUAGUCGAGGAUGAGAAUAGACGACCAACUCAAACAAAUCACCGUCGUUAAAAAGGAAAAAUAUGACACAUAUUAAAAGAACAAGGCCGCAAGAUAGACAUACAACGACGACAACUAAAACACUACGCCGUCAAAUAUAAUUUUCACGACAAGAAAAAAUAUGACGUCUUUAAAUACAUGAGAAGACGACGUUAUUGAAAUAUACUACGUUUCUUAUUUACAAACAACCGUCGUGAAAUAAAUUUUCCACUUCGAUUUUUCUAAAAAAGAUGAUGUGGAAAUAGUUGUCAGUGUCAUUAUUUACGACGUAUGUAUUUAUAUAGUUGACGUUGAAAUGCGAAACAACGUCGGUGGCAUUUAUAUAGUCGACGUUGUAUUUAUAUGUAUUCAUUACUCACGACGCACUUAUUAAUAUAGACGACGUUGAACUUCUAAACAACGUCGGUUCCAAAUAAAUGAGAGCCGUAUUACAGAAAAUAUAGAUGGCGUUGAUUAUGAUGAGAGCCGUAUUACAAAUAACGUCGUUUAAUUGAUAUUAGACGGCGGUUAUAAUGAAUUACCGUCGGAAUUCAUUUCGUUCCUCUUCGUUUAUAAAAGAACUUGCGACGUGGAAAAUGUAUGAUGACGUCGUAUUUUUUAACGUUCAGAUUAUAUAUCUCGUUUUUUAGACGUCGGUAUUAUGGGAUUGGAGUCGUGUUAUUUUGAAUUACAUGGCGGUUCUUAAUCCUUCCCCGACGUGAUAUCCUGAAUAAUUGCUUCAUAAUAGCGUCGUGGUUCUUCAUUGUUACGUUGCUUUAAGACGUCGGUAAAUAUGCUGAAUAACUGGUUCACAAUAACGUCGUGUUUUAUUUGAACGUAGAAAGUGAAGAAAUCACAUUACAAUAUAUUACAAAAUUAAUGUCAUACACUGCCAAUUACAUAAGCAUCAUUCAAUCCAUAUAUCUUCACACCCAUCUCGAAUAUUUUGACCGCCUAACUCACCCACCAGUUCAUCAAAUGUGUCAACAUUUGGCAUCCCUCUAGUAAAUGGCUCACACUCAAUUAUCACAUCACCUAAGACUUCAUCACCAAUAACAUUAUUAUAUUCUCUAUUAGGCAUUGAUAACACUACCGACCAACCACGAUGCAUCGGGUCGUCAACAAAAAAUAUUUGUUUGACUUGAGAAGCCAAAACAAAUUGGUCAUUCCUAUGUCCAAUUUUACUCAAAUCUACAAGGGUAAAUCCAAGUUCGUCGACUACAAGACCAGAACUAUCUAUCCAAUCACACCUAAAGACUGGGAUUGUAAACUUUUGGUAGUCAAGGUCCCAAAUUUCUUGAAUGACACCAUAGAAACCCAUAUUUGAGAGAAUUGAGUUUUUAUCCUUGGCACUAGCAACUUGCAUGGUAUGUGCAAGUAAAUAAACUCCACUAUUUUGAGUUGUCCGCACAUCAUCUUGUGCCUUGAUAUUGAAUUUAAUACCUUUAAUAAGAUAGCUCCUAUAUAAUGGCACAGCCAUGUUUGGACCAGCUGCUAGCCACCUUAAAUUUUCUGAUACGCCAUGAUUGUCUUCCUCAAGUUCACUUUGAACCUGCAAAUUAAUCAUAUAUCUUAAUGCAAUCUAACAUAGAAAUAAGAAGAAAAUUAAAAGAGAAAUAUGUUAUUCAACAACAUAUACCUUGAAGCGUAGCCAUUGAAUGAAAGUGUUAUUGUGCUUAUCCUGCAGCCACUUUGUGAUUUAAGGUAUGACAAUCAUGUGAUUUAAGGCCAAGAAGUCUUGAAUCUUGUAAAGAUACAAGAUUUUUAAUAUUUGAAGAAUAACCUUCAGGGACCUUCAUACCAUAGAAAGAAUUGCAAACCUCUCUCUUCUCUGCUCUUGACAAAUUCCAAGGCCCAGGAGGCAAACGAGUACGUCUUUCUCCAUACUCGGGUUGCAAAUCAGUUUUGACCCCCAUGUUCAAUAAAUCUAAUCGAGCAGCAAUCCCAUCUUUAUUUUUUCCAGGGAUCUCCAGCAAUGUACCAAUGAUACUAUCGCAAACAUUCUUCUCAAUGUGCAUAACAUCUAGGGCAUGCCUCACAGGAAGGUAUUUCCAAUACUCGAGAUCAAAGAAUAUUGAUUUCUUCUUCCAACAAACUCUGUCACCAUUUUCAACCAUGUGCAGCACUUCUUCUCCGGUUAAUGGCUCGGGAGGUAUGCCAUAUUCAGGUUUCCCAUUAAAAGCUGCACGUUGCCUCCUAUAUGGAUGAUUGAUUGGUAACCAUUUUCUAUGCCCAAUGUAACAAAUUUUGUGGCCAUUUUCAACCUGUGACUAGGUGUAUCAUCGCCGCAUAUUGGACAAGCUUUAUAUCCUUUAACAACACAACCAGAUAAGUUUCCAUAGGCGGGGAAAUCAUUAAUUGUCCACAUUAAUGCAGCUCUGAGUGUAAAGUAUUCUCCAUUAUGUGCAUCAUACACUCCUCUAAUCCCAUCCCACAAAGAUUUUAAAUCAUCAAUCAAAGGCUCCAAGUAGACGUCUAUAUCAUUUUCGGGUUGUUUAGGACCGGAAAUCAAUAAGGUUAACAUCAUGAACUUUCGUUUCAUGCACAGCCAUGGAGGGAGAUUAUAUGUAACUAAGAUAACCGGCCAACAACUAUAUCUGCUACUUAGAGAACUGUGGGGAUUGAAUCCAUCAGAUGAAAGAGCCAAUCUCAAGUUUCUCGGCUCAUUACCAAACUCAGGCCAUUUAUCAUCAAGAAGUUUCCAAGACGGGGAAUCCGCCGGAUGAGACAUCUGACCGUCAAUUGAUUUUCUAGCAGCAUGCCAAGUCAAACUCUUAGCUGUCUCAUGUGAUUGAAACAUCCUUUUAAACCUUGGAAUUGGAGGAAAAUACCACACCACCUUCGCUGGCACAUCCUCUUUCAAGAUUGAAUCUUUGCCUUCCUUCCACCUUGAGAUACCACAAGUAGGACAAUUAGUUGAAUCCUCAUACUCCUUCCUAUACAAGAUGCAAUCAUUGGGGCAUGCGUGCAUUUUCUCAUAACUCAGCCCCAAUGCACACAAAGUCUUUUUUGCCUCAUACAUAGAGGUUGGUAUUGUAUUUCCUUCUGGAAGCAAAUCGCCUUGAAGUAUCAAUAAUUCUGUAAAACAGACAUCACUCAUCCCAUGUUUUGCCUUCAAAUUAUACAACUUCACUAAUGCCGAUAACUUCGUGUACUUUCUACAACCAGGGUACACUGGUUGAUCUCCAUCCCCAAUCACAUUGGCAAACUCAUACGGAUCGGAACCAAAAUCACCAAAAUCAUUAUCAUCCAUAUCAAUUUCUUCAGACACAAAACUGUACCUACUAUGGCCAUCAUCUUCUUCAACAUUUCUACUAGCAUUAGUAGUUGCUUCCCAAGGUUCUCCGUGAAAUGUCCAAUUCUUAUAGCUUUGGUCAAUUCCAUUAAAGUAUAAGUGAUCCCUUAUAAUUCCAACCCCAAACAACUUCAAAUUAACACAUUUAACACAUGGACAACGGAUAUGUGUUGUAGUUAGAAGAUUUUCUACAGCAAAGUUCAAAAAUGCUUCCACCCCAAACUCAUAUGCCUUCGAUCUUCUAUCCGAGUGCAUCCAUGACUUAUUCAUCUCCGACACUAUAACCUAUUAUCUAUAAUAAAGUGAAAAUACAGGCAAUGACCAUCACUAUAGCAGAUUAUACAAAGAUCUAAUAGCAAGUAAUACAUAACAGAGACGACGGGUUUUAAACAAAAACAGACGUAUUUGGCAUAUAUAGACGACGGAUUUUCAACAGACGUCGUCUAAUAUAAGUAAUACAAACGACGGUUUAUGAAAAAACCGUCGUGUAUAAGUAAUACAACGACGGUUUUUUCAUAAACCGUCGUGUAAUCGUCGUCGUAUGCCUAAAAAGGCGUCGUGUCUCAGUUUAUUUUCAAGAACCCAAAACCCAUUAAGAACACAACAUAUAUAUGAAACCAAGCAAGAAACCAACAUAUACAUGAAGCCAAGCAUGAAAACAAUAAAUCCAUUCCCAAUUCAACAUAACAUAGGGUGAUUAAAAGAUCCGACAAAAUUAAAACCAUUCCCAAUUCAACAUAACAGAUAAUGUAAUCCAUGAACCCAUUAAACAGAAAAUCCAUGAACCUAUACCUAUAAGCACAUUAUUAACAGAUCGCAAAGCAUAUACCUAAAACCCUUUAACAAAACAACCUAAUAUCAUUCAAUGAAUUUACAAAGGGAAGAUAGGGUUUGUACUUACAGGUUGGACGAGCUCACAGAUUCGACGAAGCCUGGAGAGUGCAACUUUUAAUUAGAGCAGAAGUGAGAGAGCGAAUGUUAUGUUGCGCGAAAUCUGAAAAUUUUAGGGUUCAGGGUUAGAAGUAUAAGAAUAAGAGCCAAAUAUAAAAAAAUUUAGGGCGCGCGAAAAUUUUUAGAGCGCGCGCUCUUUAAAACGUCGAAAGAAAAACCAUGGCGAAAGUUCUACAAGAACCGACGUAAAUGUAAUAUUCCACGACGAAAACACUUAACGUAACGCCGUUUAUUUUGACGUUCAUUUUUCGGAUUAAUUUUAAAUUUAUUUUGAAUAUUUUGAUAUAAAGACGACUGAAAAACCACGUCGAAGUUAAGAAAUUGAAAACGUUGUAAAUUAUAAUAGACGACUUACAUAUUAAAAUGACGUCGUUUAAAGUGGAAACCAUGUCGGAUAUUUUACUGCACGACGUAACAUAUGUAUUCCACGACUCAACCACCGUCGUUAACAAUUAAUACCCUAAACCCUUAAAACUAAAUUAUAUAAUUUUAAAAAUUAAGUUUAUAAAAGGGUUUAUGGUUUUACAGCCUAAUAUAUACCCUAUACUACCCAAAAAUUAUACUUUAAAAAUAAACCCCAAUAAAUAACAACCCUAAUCUCUAAACCCUAGACUCUAAACCCUAAACCAUAAAACUAGAAGUGAUUUUAUGACUCAUCAAAACAAUUUUGUUUUGGAUGGUCAUUUUAAAUUUUUUUUAUUCAAAAUGAAUUUUUUCAAGGUUUAGGGGGAAGAAAAUAUAUCAAUGACUUCAUAGGAGUUGACUUUUCAUUUUUCUGAUUUAUUUUAAAUUUAUUUUGAAUAUUUUGAUAUAAAAAUAAUAAAAUAUUCUUAUCACAAUAACAAACCACGUCGGUGUUAAUAAAUUUUAGACGUUGUAAAUUGUAAUAGACGACUAAGUUGUUAAAAUGACGUCGUUUAAAUGAGAAACCAUGGCGGAUAUUUAACUAUCCGACAUAAAAUAUAUAUUCCACGACUUAACCGCUGUCGUUACAAAGUACUACCCUGAACCCUUAAGAAAUUGAAGACGUUGUAAACCAUAAACGACUCAAUUGUUCAAAGAACGUCGUCUAAAUAUCCUUUUACGUCGGAUUUGGUUAAAACGAAACAACAAAAAACGACGGCUUUUGACUUUAUUACGUCGUUGGAAAAGUAUUACACGUCGGUUACGCAAUUUGUAUGUUUGUUUUUUUUUUUAAUUUAAGAAAACCUCAACAAAUUUUUACAUUAUAUAUUAUAGACAAAAUUUGUACAUUAUACAUAAAUAUCAAGUGUUCAAUAAUUCCCCUAUUCCAGGUGAAGGCAAACAAACUCUGACCAUUCAUUCCGGACUUCAUCAAUUGCUUCUUGGGGGUAUGGCGCUUCCUGUUUUCCCUUGGCAUACUGCAUAAACAAUGACUAUUAGGGUUUAUAAAUAAAAAGAAAUUCAAUCACAGACGACGAUAUUUUUCAUAACCGACGUACUAUAUCUAUUCAACGACGGUAAUUUUACAUGACCGUCGUUGAUAAUACAAAAAACGACGUAAAAUGUAUGAAGGUAAUUUCUUCUUACCUUCUUCUCAAACCCCAAGGAAGGAUCCAUGAUGAUGUCCCUCAUGAAGCGCAUCACAUAAUACCCGCAUUCGACAUUGCUGGGUUGCUUUGGUGUCCCUGACAGAGUUUUCCAAAUGGCUGCCUUACGGCCUGGUCUGGCUAUGUGAGAAUUAUAAAUUUUUAUAGCACUGUUCACAAUGUUUUUGGCCUCUUCAUCGACCACACGAUUUCCUGGCAGAGGAUCCAGAAAAUAGACGGUUUCUCUCUUUGCUCUUACAAUCAGCAAGAUCCAAUGACGGCUGCACAAAAUUAAUAUAAAAACGACGGUUAUUUACAAUAACGACGUAUUAUAAUGUUUCACACGACGAAAUAAAGUAGCAAUCGACGACAUUUUACAUUUAUCACGACGAUAAAUAACUACCGACGUGGUUAGUAGUUUCAAACGACUCAAUAAAAUAAAACACCGACGUGGUUAGUUUAUACGCUGUAAUUUAUUGAAAAUCAUAAAAACAAAAUCCUGUUAAGGAGACUAACCCUGGAUUGUAAGGCAUCAGGAAAAUCUGUUCACCGUCAGUCUUUUGAAGUCGAGCUGCUAGUAAGCGUGAUCUGUCAGCUAUUGUGCCAGAGUUGGCACUAACUGUAGCAAGGUCGAUAAAGCCAACCAUAUUGCACAUAUUUGCUCGUUUCAAAACAUCGUGCAAGUGCCUAAAUAUAUAAAAUAAUAUAAACAAGUCAGCACAAAAAAACACACGACGGUUAUGUAUAACAAAACGACGUAUUAUAAAAUUUCACACGACGUACUGAAAUAGACAACGACGUUAUAAUAUAUUUAUCACGACGGUAAAUACUAACGACGUGGUUAGUUAGUUAAGACGACGUAAUAAAUAAACCAACGACGUAUUAUUUUAGAAUGACAAACCUCAUAUAUACAAAAAAACACGACGGUUAUGUAUAACAAAACGACGUAUUAUAAAAUUUCACACGACAUACUGAAAUAGACAACGACGUUAUGAUAUACUAACGACGUGGUUAGUUGGUUAAGACGACGCAAUAAAUACACCAACGACGUAUUAUUUUAGAAUGACAAACCUCAUAUAUACAGCAAUGACAGUGGCUCCUAUUUCUUCCAUGCCUGCAAAUUGUGUAAUAUCUUCAGGCAGGAGGAAGGUAUCGCGCUCUAGACCAAACACCUCCUUAUCAAUUGUAAAGUGCAGGGUCUUAUCCUGAGGCACGAGUGUCGUUUCCACAUAACGACAAAGGGAGUUUAAAGAAGAUGGCGCCUCCAUAUUUGAAUAAUCAACAACUUUAAUAACCUGUUUAAAGAAAUAUAAAAAAUGACGUGGUAAUUCAAUAAAAACGACGGUUUAAGGAAUAAAACGUCGUCUGAAAAGAAUUUAAACGUCGUCUGAAGAAACCGUCGUGGUGAAUAAUUUAUUACGUCUUAAAAAAAAUUCCGCCGUCUAAGUUGUAAACAAACGACGGUUUAAAGAAAAAUAUCGACGUCUGGAAUUUUGAAAAACAAAUAAAAAAGGCAAAGUUAUGUGAACAUACCUGGUCGUCAUCUUCUUUCUCCUUUUCAUCAUGUUUUUCUUCUGUCUUCCCUUCAUCUAUUACGUCGAGAAUGACUAACUCCGUCGUCUAAAAACCACAAAGUUUUAAAAUAACGACGUUUAAUGGCGUGUAAAACAAGUAAACUAAAUACGACGUGGUAUUGAAAUACAAACGACGGUUUAUGUUUAAAAUCGUGGUGGUAUGUAUUUCAAACGACGGUUUUAUUAAUAAUAACGACAUCUAAUGGUUUUUAAAAAAACAGAGAAUUCAAAGUUCAGAUAUGUUACCUUUUCUUCCUGAUGUUUCCCAUUUUUGGCAGUAUCAUCCUCAAAAUGCUGGGAUCUCACAUCACCUCCAGAGCAGCUUGCUUUGUCAGACAUUGGAUUUUUGGGACUUUGGCUAAUUCUGGGUUUAAGCAUGCUUGGAUCAAAAUUGGGAAUUAAUUGGGAAAGCUGACUCAGGAAAUGCUCCCUCUCAGCCUCUACCAAUUGUUUCGUUCUAGCCUCCAUCCUUAAAGCCUCUUCCCUUGCCUUAGCUUCCAUCUUUUUAGUCUCUUCUUGAAGGAGAACUCUUAAACUGUCCUUCAAACGGUCGUCAAAGCUCACUCUCUGUGGUUUGGGUAAAUUGAAAUAUUGCCUUGGUGAGAUCCCAGCACCUACUCCUCUCACUCUGCCUGGAUGCUCGGGGCCCAAAGCCAUGGUCAGCACAUCAUUGCUGCCAGAAACAGUGACUUUGCCUUCCGAGACUUGUUUUUGCAAUUCAUCCUAAAACAAAGAUAUAUAAAAAAGUAAGAACAAAAACACACGACGGUUAUUUAUAUACAAACGACGUAUUAUAUAAUUUCACACGACGCAAUAACAUAUAAAUCGACGUUAUUAUAAUUUAUCACGACGGUAGUUUUUAAACCGACGUGGUUAGUUUUUAAAACGACGAAAUGAAUAAACCACCGACGUCUUAUGCUUUAUUUACAGAUAACAGAGGGAUGAUUCAAUAUUCACACCUUUAACGACCUUGUUUAAAAUAUUUCGACGUAGUAAUUCAAUACAAACGACGCGAAAAUGAACCACCGACAUCUUAUGCUAUAAUUACAGAAAACAGAGUAGUGAUUCCUGAUUUAGACCUUUAACGAUGUGGUAAUAUCAUUCACACGACGCAAAAUAUAACAUAAGACGUAAUAAGAAUUAUUCACAGUUUAAUAAAAAUUUAAAACAGAGUGAGUAGGCUUACAAUUAAUUUUGCUUUCUCUGCCACCUUUGGAUCCGGGAUGUUACCAUGUUUGUCCUGUCUAGCUCUCUUCCAUAAGGUAGAUCGAUCAAUUUCUACCCCAGGCAUGGUUUCCUCCAAUUGAUCCUCCAAACCAGCAUAUCCUUUUCGAGACAAUCGAUGAUUGUACUCAAGUUUCUCCCUAAUCUGUGCAUGUUGAGAAUGCACAGACUCAAAAUCUUUGGAUAACCUUGAAGCUACAAAGGCAUCCCAUUGUGCUUUCUCUAUGAAUUUAUAUAUUUCAGGGGGUUGGCUUAAUCUCUCCCUGUCAUUAGUGUAUGGAAGGAUAUAUUGCCUCGUUAGUGUAGACUUGAAAUCCUUCCAUUUCUUGGCAGCAGAAGCUAACACAGAGCUCUUGCCCCCUUGACCUACCACAAAAGCAAUGUCAACUGCUUCCCAAAUCUGCUCCUUUAUAUCCUUGGAGAUUUGAGCCUAUUUCAUGUCCACAAGUGGAACUCUGGAGCGUGCCAACACACCAAUGUAGGACUGCAUCUCACUAUGUGCUUGGCCAAUUCCUUUCCCCCUUUUAUUGUACUCAACAAUUGGCCUCAGUUUCUGAAGUUUUCUCUUCACAACAUGAGGCAUUGUGCUCAUACCUCGACCAGACUUUGAAUCAUCAGAGAUUGUUGUCGUGCUGGUUCGUUCUGUCUCAGCAGAUGAUGAAGCAAACUUCAUCUUCUUCGAAGGCUUCACUUGAGGAGGUACCAUUCCAAGGUCCUUACCUCCAUUUUUCUUGGAGCCAGAAUCCUUACUUUGGUCUUAGUGAGAAACCAUUUUUACAGACAAAACUGCAAGUGAAAAUAUUUCAGGAAAAGAUUAAGAACACAAACGACAGUUAUUAAUAAAAUACGACGUAUGAUAUGAUUUUAAACGACGCAAUGAAAUAAUCUCAGACGUAAUAAAUGUUUAAAACCAAGGUAAUUAAACAACGACGAAAUAAUUAACUAUAAACGACGUGAUAAUUAACUAUAAACGACGAAAUAUUUAUAUAACGUCGUGGUAUUGAUGUUCACACGACGUCAGUCGUAAUAUACCGUCGUCUAUAUAAGGAUCCAAAACCCUUCUUUCUUUCUCUGUGAAUGUUUGAUUGCAGAUUUGAUUUUUCUGAACCAUGGUUUUUGUUUUCUAAUUUGAUAAAAUACAAGGCCAAGAAAGAAAGUUUUGGAAUCUUAUAUAGACGACGGUAUUUUAAUAUGACGUCGUGGUAUUAACAUUCACACGACGUAAAACAAUAAGAUACUGUCGUCUAUAUUAGAUACCAACCCUACUUUCUUUUUCUUUAUAUUUUAUCAAAUUAGGGAAAAACAAAAACCAUUGUUCAGAGAAAUCAAACCUGCAAUUAAACAAGCAAAUAAAAAAAAGACUAUAAUUUUAAAAACAACUUUGUCAAUUUUCAGACGACGCUAGAACGACUGACGAACCGUCGUGGUCUACAUAUUUAACCACGUACAUAAGAAGCUACCGUCGUCUUAUUUAGUUGAGGUAGUUGUCUUCAAAGUUGGAAACUUUCCCUCUUUGUCUGUAUAUUUUAUUGAACUUGGAAAGAAGUAAAAUGAUUUUGGCCAGAAAAAAGGUAAAAAGAUUUUUCAAACAAAAAACGUAUGAGCAUGCAAAACAACAACCAAAAUAGUGAAAAUGAAAGCUUACCUUUUGCGUGCAAUGAAAGCAAGAGGAAGAUUAUGUUUAAGUUCAGAGACGACGAAGAAGAAGAGAGGAAGACGAUGAGAUACUCUGACAGUGCUCUGACAAGGAAAAAAGUCUAAAAGUUUUCUCUGGGAGAUUGAACUUUUUAAUCGGGUUUGAAAACGGCGCAUGUGUAUGUCAGGUAGACGAAAAGUUGCUUACAUAUAAAACCAUUUCAAAAAAAUAAUACGGCGGUUACAUAUAACUACGACGUAUAAAUUACAAAAUACGACGGUACAUUUAACUUCGGACGUGGUAAAUAAAUACGACAGUAGUGUUGUAGGUACCGUCGUAGUAAACUCAAAAAUUAAAGUACAUAAGUAAUAACUCGCGUCAUGGUAGAUUAUUUAACACGUCGUUUUUAUUAAUUUACCGACGUGGAUUUCUGUAAUAUACGUCGAUAAUACCGACGUUGAUUUUACAAUUUAAACGGCGGUUUUUUUGUAAGGACCGCCGUUGGUUUUAAAAAUUUAUUCUAUAAAUUUGUCGCUUUCAUUCAUUUUCGGUUUACAUUUAAGGUUCCAAGUUCUUCCUCUCUCAGUCUCUCACGUCUCAAAGACAAUAAUUUGGAUGUCUUUCUCAAAGAGAAAUUGAGCUUACUCGCAUCAAAUAUAUGUCCACAAGAAGAAGCUUGUCAACUAGCCUUCUCACUUCCUUGAUCAAGCCUGAUAGGACACUUAGUGCUUCUGAAUACUCCUUGCUUUCCAUCAAAAGAGAUGCAAGCCUGGCCUCCACUCGCUGUCGAAGGAAAGUUCGCUUCUCAGGGAAAUCUUCUUGAUUUUCUUGGCUAAGAAGAUCCGUCAGAUUUGUGAUAGCCUCUUCCUUUAUCCGUAGAGCUUCAGAAGAAGAAGAUGGGUUUCAAGAAUGCGAUAAAGAAUAGAAAUGGCUUCAGAUGGCCUCUAAAGCAUGAGCAAUCGAAUCAGUAGUUGUUGGGAGAUAUGAUGAAGACAUUGUCAAUGCUUUGAACUAUACAAGUCCUGCAGAAAGAUAAAGGACCAAACUGUUAAAGAAACUGAAACAAUGGCGGUUUUCUGUUCUACCGUCGUCUUUUCUCGUCGUCUAUAUUAAGGUAAGAUGGCGGUAGAUUUAUAAUUACCGACGUAGAUUAUUUUGUUAAACGUCGUUAAGUGUACUACAACCGACGUGGAUUUUAUUUUUAAAUUAUAAAUAGAGUUUUUUUUCCCCUAUUCUUUCAGUUUUAGUUUUCAAUUACAAAGCGUGAUAAAUAGAUUUUUCUUUCCCGAGGAAAUUUAAAAUGAGGGAAAUUAAUGUUCUAGAAUUUGUAAACUAACACGACGCAAUAUUUGCAAAUCUGUGUCAUCUGUUAAGAUUAUGAUGUGGAACAGAGUUCCAUCUGGUAAGAUUUCGUAACCCUUGGGAUCUCAGACAAAUCUGAUUAUGUCGGCGGUUUUCUAUAUAAAUCGUCGUGGUUAUUUCAAUUCUUGUCAUUAAGUAGAUCUACCGACGUAGGAUAAGAAAAUCAAAGAAAAAAAUUGUUAACAAAAAUUCUUAUUAAGACGACGGUUAAAAUUAAAGGUACGACGUAUAAAAUGAAUAAAUACGACGUUAAAUUUUAUUGUACGAUUUAAAGAUAACGUCGUAGAACUAUAAGAGAAUGACGUCGAUAUAUUUAUAUUUUCCGUCGUUGUACAUUAAUUUAAUACGGCGAUAUUUUGUAUUUUAAAGCCGUGGAUUUGUUUGUAAUUAUACGGCGUCUUAUACGAAAACCUCGUCGUGUUAUUUUAUGAGUAAAAACGGCAGUUUUUAUUGAAAUCGUCGUCUUUACUUUCUACGUCGGUCGAUUCAUAACUUCUGCCGUUCUUUGUUGGCAUUGAUUUUACACUGCGAAAAUCUGUUUCAAAUAGACGUCGGUUGUUUAAUUAUGUACGUUGUUGUUUUUGAACAGCCAUUUGAAUCUCCAUUUUUUAGUUGUCUAAGGUUGUAUUACACGACGGUGUUUUUAGAACCGUCGUCUUUUUAAAAACCACGACGGUUUUCACUUAGACCGUCGUUGUUUUCUGGUCGUCUUUUUCACUUUUUGUAGUAGUGGCAUAUGAUGACGACACUCACAACAAGAUCAUGGCAUUUGACUCGAGUUGUAUGAUUCUCUCUUAAGUGUAUGUAAAGUGUAUGACAUUUACAUCAAUACGUGUAUUCUUAAUUGAAAUCUACUAUGGCAUUUACUCAAAUUAACAAUCAAGAAUCCAUUAAGAUCAAAGAGAAUAUGAGUGUCACAAAAACCCUAAAACAUGGCAUUUGUUAUUAGGAAUUCAAGAAUCGAUUUCUCAUAACUAGUUCUUAACCCAAUUAUUCGUUGCAAAUAAGAACACAUUCAAUAUGGCAAUUGACCUAUGUUCUACAACAAUUUAAUUCCAAUACAUGCUUCUAAGUUAGCUACUCAAAGAAACAAAAUAUCAGAAUUCACAUAACAUAUAGAAACCGAAAACAUCACGCUUGUAGAAACUAAAAAUCCAUUAACCUUGUUUAUAAAAUUGAAAUCAUGUUUAGGGCUUCAAGAUUAAGCCCUAACUAACAAGAAAUUAGUUACUCAUGGUCUUGGAUGAACUCAAAAAUAAAUACAUAAGAACUGAAAAUUAAAGAAGGAAGGAAAAGAAAGAACUCGUUCGCAGCUUUCUCCUCUUGCGCUGUUGAUCUCUUUAGGACGUGAAUCCUUUUUAUCAGCCUUGCCUCGUCUUUUAUAUCACUUAUAUCAGAGUUCUAAACCCUAAAAUUGACUGAAAAGUCGUCCAAGAAGUCUUGGUAAACAAGGAAUCCAAAUAGGAAAGUAAAAAUCACAAUUCCUAACUCCACUGGGAAAUACAGCUCAGCCCAAUGUUCACACGAUUUUGGGAUCUUCGACCUUGUAGAAAAAUCAUUAAAAAUAUAUUUUAGAAAGAUAAAUGUCUUAUCUUUCCAACCAUAUAUAGCACGUAACUUGAAAAAUUCGGAAAGGCUUCCGUUUCUUCACAUUCACGUAGCAUGUACGAAACUGUCCUGUCUGCACGUGGGCUAACUUUACUUGUAAUACUGUACCAAUUGGCUCGGUAGAAAAUUCUAGAAAAAUCAUAGAUUGAACUUCAAGAUGUUAGCUUUCAUCUCCAAUCAGGGGCGGCCUUGGGGAGGUGCAAGUGGCGCCACCGCACAGGGCCCCCGAAAAAAAAAAUAUUUAUAUUAUAUAUAUAUAUUAAUAUUAUAUGAAUCGUAUAUAUAAUAUAGCGUCUGGAUAUUUGCACAACAGCGUGUUCAGGGGAGUUGGAUGGAGCACAUCUCUCUUUGGCAAAAGGGCCCGAGUUCGAUGCUCCUUGAUGUCGUUCUACUGGCUAGCCUUUUGUGAUAUUAUUUUUGCAUUCAAACUUUACAUAAUUAUUGAACCAUUGGAUUAAUAUGCAACGAUGGGUGACCACAAUCUCUUGGACUCCUGUGGUCCAUGAGAUCGGGACUGAUAUUACAUGACUUAUUUUAUUAAAUUAUUAUCAUGUUGAUGAUUGGUUGUAUGAGAAUAUAGUUUGUAGAAAUAUUUAUCUAUUUCUUGUUGGGGUUUUCUUCCAGGUUAUAGGGUUUUGGAAUUUUUCUUUGUAAUCUAAACAUGCCACCUACUAGAAAAUACGUUUAUGGAUAUACAAAACGGCUUAGAAAAAGAAAAUUCGAGGAAUUGACUCAAUCUCAAAGAGGAGCUCUUGAUAGAUUCAUUGUUAGAGAAUCACAUGCUACAAUUGAUGAAAAUAUUUAAAUUUUUAUGAAUUUAAUUUCUGAUUUUCAUUGCAUAUUUAUUGAUGGUGAAUUUUAGUUAUAAAAAAAAAUUGUUUAUGACAUUAAGUUAUGGCAAAUUUUUAUAGUAUUUUCGUAUUAGAUUAUGCAAGGCCCCAAUUUAAGUUUCGCACAGGGCCCUCAAAAUCUCAGGGACGGCCCUGUCUCCAAUUGGUCUUGUGCUAAAAUUCCUCCGAAAAGUUGAUUUUCCCUUAAAAACCUUCUAAGAGUGCAGAAAAGCUGAAAAUCAGAAAAAUAAAGUAAUAAGCCAUUUUUAAAUCUAAUUCUCUUACAAAACCAAAGUAAAAAGAGUACAUAAAUGAGUAUAUUUAUGGACUUAUCAACGUCUUCUUCGUUGGACUUGGGGUUGUUUUCCUUAUAUGUCCCCUAUAUAUAUAUAUGGCCUUUAGUUGAGCCCACAAAUACCUUCAGUUAGUUUUUGGGUUUAGGGGCCUACAGAACCUGCACUAAACAAUAAAAGAAAAUACCUAAUUAGUUUAGUACGAAUUUAUAAUGAAGGCUUUAUUAGGUGAAGUUUUAUUUCUUAAUCGUUAGAUCAAAUUGGUUAGCAUCUGAAGUCGCCCAAAGAUUUGAGAGGGAUUCCACAAACAUAUAAUAUAAAGAAAGAAAGCAAUAGUAGGAGAUGAACCAGUACAAAAAACAAUAUAUAAAUAGUACAUAAUAAUUCCAUAACCUUGUCACAAACGCACUCACAAAUGCUUUCCAUAAACCUUGCCCUAACAUAUAACAAAUAAAGGCAACAUUGCAUAUGAUGCAACCAUGUCCAAAUCUGAUACGUGAUAAAAAAAAAAGGACAUGGCAGCAACAUAUGACUGAAGUAGAUGGGCUCUUUGCAUCUCGUGUUAUCGUAAUUAAAGACAUCAAAAUAUUAAGGUUGAAAUCUUCUAUAGUAGCAAGCAUUAAAAUAGGUUUGAAGCAGAGUUUAAAGAAAAUUCCAAUUCCACUGAUUUGCCUCUGCUCAAAGACGAGAACCAAAAUGGUUACUUCCCUUGCUGAGUAUAUUUGUUAACGUCGGAAACGGUAAUAGAUGACCAAUCAAACCCAAGUACGACGAGUUUUGCAUAGGAUCAGAAGUAGUUGAAUCCAGCUUGCAUCACACGCUUCUUUGACUCCAUUGCAUUAGAUGAGUUUUUGUAUUUUUGAACAGCUACACUCCGAAGUCGUUUGUGUCUACGCUUCAUGCGCUGCAACUUCGCCCUAUCCAGAUUGGCCUGCCUUUUGUCAUCUUCAAUUUGGCCUUCAACAAAUUCCAAACGUGCCCUUGCCCUUUGGAUUUCAUCACCAAGUUGAAGAUGCCUCUCCUUCCAAAAAGCAAGAACUCUUUCAGACUCAAAACUUCCAACAAAAUGGUCAUUCUAUCUAGGAAUGUGACAUUGCUUGUCUGGUGACUCACCUGCGUUUCAAAGGCGGUCUUUGUUUGGAGGGGUGUUUAUUAUGCUCACAUCAAACUUGGUUAGUAAAUCCAUUCUAUGGGGGGAGUGAGUUUCUGUGGAGGAGAGAGUUUCAGUAGAUGGAGACAGAUUCGGUGGAGGAGUGAGAUUUUUGUGGAGGGAGAAUUUCUAUGAAAUGGGUGAUAGUAAUACCAAUAAAAGGGUUCCCGCCAAAAAGUAUUUGGUUGACAAUGUAUAAAUUAAUUUUUGGUCUGAUACAAUCUAAGUUUAAUCCUAACUAGUUUGGUUAGUUUGGUUGAAUUCACUAACUAGAUGUCACUUCCAUUGAGUUUCUUUCAACCACUAUCAGUGGUGUAAGGAGAGUGUGAGGUUGACAUGCUUGAAAAGCAAAACCUAACACCUCUUUUUUUUAAAAUUGAAAGAAAGUACAUAUGUUGACUACACACAAGCUUUGGUAUGUUGGUCUAUAAAGCUAUGUUCCCUUUCUCAAACGAAAUUGCAUAUGCAAUCCUCGUCCUCCCAAAACAAAUAGAAUUAUUCAAGCAUGUCAACCUCUUCAGGCGCCAACAACACAAUCAAAGAUGACAAAUUGGAGUCGCAGGUUCUAUUUCCACAUUGUACUCGCCGACCCCUUCCAUUUUCAACAUCAUUUGGGAGUGAGGGGGACUCCGAUGAUCCAUUAGAGCUAAUACAUGCAGUCAAUAGCAAGCUGGAUUAUAAUUCCAGACUGAUCAAUUCAUGGCGCGAGAAAUAUGUUGAAGACGAAGCCAUUUUGGCUGAUCUUAACAUUAGAGUGAACAAAGCGUUCUCCCAAAAGAACAAGUACUUGAAGCUGAGUCAUAAAAGGAAGCUGAAAGCUGAGGAGUUAGAUACAGUAAUGAAUGAUGAAAUUAAAGGUUGUUUGAUGAAUCAUAUGCGAUGCGAAGAGCACCACAGUGAACUGGAGUUGGCAUUCAACGAAGGAUUCGAAAAAUUACGAGCAUUUGCAGCAACUACUCAUACAAGUUAUAAUUGGGACUAUGUGUCCCCUGAUGUUGUGAGAGAGAUACUAGACGAUGGUGGUGACAUGAAUGAGCAUAAGCACGUCAAAGCUGCUUGGAAGAAGCCGACCGAUACGACUAAGUGAUUGCGGCUACAGUUGUUCAGUUGGUUGAGAGUGAUCGUGGUAUUGCACAAAUUAGAAGUAUAUUCCCAUAAUGUCAUUAUCUAAUUUAAAAUAACACAAAUAUCAGUUUCAUUUGCUUCAUAUUGUAACACCCCGACCCCAAAUUUCCCCAAAAUUUACCCUCAUUUAAUUAAUUAAUUAUUUAAGGGUAUUUUAGUCAUAUUUUUAACCGGAGAGAGUUUGGGACCAUGACUUGUAUUUUUGGAUAGGUCGUACUGAGACGAGUUCAUAGACACGUAGUGGGCUCGAAUCAGAGUUGUAACGAGAGAGAUAUGGUCAAAAGAAACCCAGUGGCACAAUCGUAAAUAUUUCAAAAUGGGAUUUUUAUAAAAAUCUGGUUUUUCUCUCUCUCUCUCUCUCUCUCUCUCUCUCUCCCGCGACUUCUCUCUCUCUCCCGUCGGCUCUCUCUCUUUCUCUCCUUGUAUCUCCGGCCACCGACCACGGCUGUGGGCGGGGCCGGUACCAAACUGACCGGGACGACGUCCCCUUCCUUCCCCGACCAUUCCCCGCCGGCAACGCGGCCGUUGCUGGCCGGAAAAUGCAGAAAACCGCCGGGAGGUCGUCGAAACUUCAACGCCGUCGAUCUCCCUCCUCCGGCCACCAUUUUCGUCGACCCAGGUAUGGAUCUUGAACCUCUCGAGCUGUUCUAGCUGUUUGUUGGUUGGGUUUUGAUCGAUUCGAUCUCUAGAUCACUCGAUUUUCGAAUUGAAAAUUGGCCGAAACUUCGGCCGCCGUGAUCGGCCAUUUUCGGCCACUUUUUGUGGUAGGUCCAAGAACAAAAGUGGCUCCAAAUAGGGUGUUAUACCUAGGGUAGAAGUUUGGAGCCGAGAUGUUGAGAUUUUCCGGCGAAGCGUUAUCGCUUUGGGCACCCACGCGUGCGGCGGCGCGUGGGCACUGUAGAAAAAGUAGAUGUGUUCCGAUGAGAUCCUUAGGUUGUCACGAGUGCGUAGGAUUUGGCGGAUCUCAAUUCGGACGUCGUUUGACUAUCGAACGGAUAAUCGCAUAUUAUGCGUUAUCCGGGUUCGAUAGGUUGAGACCGUCGGAUGGUCCCAAAUUUAAUAUAUGUUGAUCUAGGUAUUUCUAGGAUCGUGUAGGAUUUCACGGAUCGUGAAUCGGAGCCCCGGAUGUUCCGAAUAAUAAUUUAAAGUUUAUAUUUUAUAUUAACCAUCAGAUUAUGCGAUCGUGAGAAAUCCGACCGUCUGAUCUGAACCAAACUGGCAGGAAAAGUGUCCUGUACCUGGUAGAACCCAUAGGGACCUUCGGAUCGGAAAUUGGAGGUCGUGGGUUCCGCAAGUCUGUUUGACCAGGGUUAGAGUAGUUUGACCCUUGGUUGACCGUGAGUCUCCCGGAGUAAUCUCACCCUUCCAGGGGGAAUUAUCGGGAGCUAGACUAUUGUGGAGGGUUACACAAUAUUAGAAUUAUUUAUAUAAUUAUAUAUGGUUGUACAAGGGUACAACAAAGUCUAGAAUGUCAGUUUGGAGUGCUAUACGCACUACUUUAGGUACCUCCUCGGAUUUUGGAUUCGCUACAAGCACCACCAAGUGAAAGUUAGGUCCCGCGUGGCGUAGGUUAUCCGGCGUUGGGACAGACCCCAUACGUGGCGUUGGUUGUACCGGCGUAUGGGGAGAUUUGCAAUAUGAUGUUCAGGUCUCACGUGGCGUAGGUUAUCCGGCGUUGAGACAGGCCCCGUACGUGGCGUUGGUUGUACCAGCGUACGGGGAGAUUAUGUGAUAUGAUGUUGAGGUCCCGCGUGGCGUAGGUUAUCCGGCGUUGGGACAGGCCCCAUACGUGGCGUUGGUUGUACCGGCGUAUGGGGAGUUAUAUGAUAUGAUAGUAUGGCAUGGUCGCACAUGGCGUAGGUUAUCCGGCGUGUUGACAGGCCCCAUACGUGGCGUUGGUUGUAUCGGCGUAUGGGGAGAAUAUGUGAAAUGCAGAGAAAGGAAAUAAGGUAUCACCGAUGUGUGGAAUUGGGUUUUAGGGAAGAACUACGUGUGGCUUGAUCCCUCAAGGAGGGUACGUAGGCAGCCUAAGGUUAUUGGGUGCAGCCGCAGACUAAAUAUUAGUCAUAUUUGGUAUUUGAAUUGUAUGGUAGUUGUUUGAGAAUUAUUGGAAGGCCAAAGGCCAUUUAUGAGAAUUUGCAUGAAAUUAUAUUGUGCAUGCUGCUAGUUGUGGAUAUUAAAUGUGUUUUUAUGCAGGUUGAAAUUUUGGGAAAUGUCCAAUUUAUAGGGGAGACUCUGCUGAAAUUUCGGCAGGAAGUCUCGGUUUUUAGUAAGUGGGCCUGGCAUCGGGGUGAUGUCAGGAAUUCCAAAGGGUUCGUCUCGGGUUUUGAGAAAAUUCGGGGCGGGUCCUUAAACAUAUAUAAUUAUUGGGACUAUGUAUUGCAAGUCAUCAUGUGUUCCUUCUGUCUAACAUUAUAUUUUGCAAAUAUCAAAAUAUUAUUCAAUAAGCAGUCAAUAUCACAGCAAGUUGGGAAUUAGUAAAGCCCCAUUAUCAUGUCCGUUCACAUUAAAGAGCUGGCGUACUUUUUCUCAAAAAACUGACACGUGAGUCAUAAGUAACAUAACAUGUGCUAUACAUUGUUUAGUGAAUGGUUUAUGGUUUAUUUAUAUAUAAUAAAAUUCCAAAUAUUGCUGAAUAUUUGUUUUUUCUAUAUCCCUGGGAACAUGAGUGACCAUAAGCAUGUAAGACCUGUUAAGAAGAAGCUGACUAAUACGACCGAGUGAUUGUGGCUACCGUUGUUUAGUUGGUUGGGGAGAUCGUGGUAUUGCUAAGAGGGAGCACAUAAUGUGCUUUGCAAUCAAAUUUUCUUUUGUGUGUGGAAUUAUGAGUAGUUCAAAUGUUAGUGUACCCUUUAAUAUUCUUCAACCGUUUGAAAUGUGAUUAGCUGCAAUGUACUUUUUUACACGCUGCUUUCUAAUCACUCUGUUCCAACAAAGUGCUUUAAGUAUCCUUCAGUUACAAAUGUUUACAAAAUCGUGCAUCUAAUAACCAGUCGAGCUCAGAUCUUAAUAACAAGUAAAACACUAGAACAUAACAUUCGGAAAAAGUGGGUGCUGCUGGAAAUCAUUACUGGUAAUGGAAGCAAGAGCUGGCUGCUGGAAAUGCUGCAUUAGCCUGUGAUAUAAUCAAUGAAUCUCUGUUAAAACAUAAUUCACCAUAAACUACCCAUUUUACAUGGUAAAAGUCAUUGCUUCUUCACAUAACUCAAAAUUUGAUACUUUAUCAAAUGUCUAUGAAAAUUUCUAAAUAGGGGAAAGACGUAAAAUUAACAUGUGUCCAAAUUUCAUGCAAGAAUGAAACCAAGCAAAUUUUUAUUUCAAUUAUCAGUGGACAUAGUAAGAACUCAUCGGUGGACAUGAACAAAAAAAUAAUAAUAUUAAAAACUGAAUCUAGAAAACUUCACCUGAUCAUUAGUCUUCAUAACAACCGAAUUUCGUCUAAUAGAAACAUAAAUCAUUCAGUUGGUCCGUGCAUCGUGUCAAAUUCAUAGAAUAAUGGGUCACUACGAUCUAUUGGAGUUGAUUCGUCAUUGUUCGACGGUGAUGUCCUGCAUAGACAUCAAACACAAGCACAGAAAAAAUUUACCUAUUCAAAUUUUAGGUGUUAUUAUAAAUAGUGUUAGCAUCUUACGGUGUGUUCAAAUUUCUUGCGCAUUGUCUUCUAUCAUGACCAAUGUGUCCACACUCCAGACAGUGUCUAAUCCCUCGCUUCAUUGCCUUUUCUUUUGCUCCCGUUACUCGUUUCGACCUUCUUUUGCACCUCACUCUCUUAGGGUCUUUCAUAUAUUGUGUUUGAGAGCUGGACCCUCCAACUUCGUUAUUACUUGGUCCAUCCUUCAACAACUUCAACUUCACCUGCAAACUUUUUAGAGUCUCUGACAGUAGCUCACAUCCUUCUUCACUCAUUAAUGCACCCUCAACCACAUCUUAAGCAAGUCGAGACAUUGUACUCCGCCUUAUUAAAAGACCAGGAUCUGCAGAGUCUUUAAUUUCGUUGCCAUUUGCAUCUGACACCAAUUCAGAUUUUGCAGUUUUCUUCCACCUCUUUAAAAUAUAUUUAUCGGGCAUAUAUUCAAUCUGGUCCCUUCUGAACAAUGCUAGGAUGUGCUUGCAAAUAAUUCCAACAAAUUCAAAUCUUUUGCACCCACACGAUGCGUGGUCAGAAUCUUUAACAUAUACGACGUCUGCCACUCUUGUUUCCCAAUUUUUCCUUUUGCUCACGCGAAAGACAACUUUAGAAGCACCCUCUGUUUUGAGCUCUAGGAAACAUGUUGUACUUUGUAUUAGUUCUUGGUCAAACUUUUGAAACAUUGUCCUUGUGUACAAGGUAGCCAUUUGUUUGUUCAUUGGCAUCGGUAGAAUACAUUGAGCCACUUCAAAUGCAUCUACGUGAUCAGCAACUAACUCUUUUUGACGUUGAUGAGAAAGUGCCCUCUCAAAUCGUAUUAUGAAAUCCAUCAACGAAUUUCUCCUUGAUAUGUAUUGCUUGAAAAAACCAUGAGAACCUUCCACUCUUUGGCUGCUUGACAUUCCAGCGGCAAAAAAUUGUUGUGCGUAGGCUGGAACCCAAGAUUCUCUUAAAUCAAACAUUGAACUUAGCCAUGGAUGGUCAGUCAAACCAGCCUUUGUAACCACAAUAUUCCAUUUUGUAACAAACUUAUCCUUAUUGUCAGUAUCCCAUACGGCUUUCUGAAAUUCACGCCAAUACUCCUUAUAAGCAGAAUGUGGUAACUUAACAGAGAACUUUGAUGUGAUGUGCAAUAUGCAAAGUCGAUGAAAUGUAGUCGGGAAGGGUAUUGAAAUCGCUCUGGUCAUUGCCGCAUCUUGAUCUGUAAUGAUCGUUUUAGGUCCGCCACUUGGCAUGGCUUUCUUAAACUCCUCAAACAUCCAAAUAAACGACUCAGUCGUUUCCUUGCUCAAAAAUGCGCAUGCUUAGACAAUUGUCUGACCAUGGUUAUUAACUCCCAACAUUGGUGCAAAUGUCAAGUCGUAUCGAUUCGUGUUGAAUGUGGUAUCGAAUACAACAACAUCUCCAUAAAACCCGUACGCCCAUCUAGAAGUUGCAUCUGCCCAAAAACAUUGACUAAACCUGUCAUGGCCAUCUCUCUCAAUCUUGAAAUAAAAAGCCUCAUUUUUUUUUUCUGUUCAGCCAUAAAAUACUCGGUCACUAGUUCAACAUCGUGGUUCCUCAACUUCCCAUUCACACUACAUUCAAAAUUGUAGAUAUCUUUUUUGAUAAAACCGAUUUUAUCCAUUCCUCCGGAUUGCACCUCGAAAAUACUUACCUUCUGAUGAAUGAGAAUAUUAACCGAACCCAACUGUUUUGUGAGUACUUUUGUAGAAUCUGAACUAUGACGGUGUGAUCUCAAUAAAUGCAUUCUUUCUGAGGGUGUCAUCUUAUGAUUGUGUCCCUCUGCAAAAAGAGAGAUGGUAUACUUCUUGCUCCCAUUUGUCUUCACAACCACAAUCUUAGCUUUGCAAUUGCAUCUACUUAUUCCCCGCUGUCUUUUUCUCUCCCGAGUUUCAUCUCUCCUGUAUUCACCUUGUUUGCAACAUACAAAUUCUUUCCUCAAAAUCUCUUUCUUAUUUCCCCCCCAAAAGCUGGAAUGAAGUCGAAUACCAAAGCCAGCCAAGAAUGCAUAUCUAUUAUAGAAAUUGUAAACGAGGUCAAGCAAGUCGAACUUCAUCCCAACUGCUGGUGUUUCCUCAUUUCUUACUUCAAGAAUGUAAACCCUCCCAUUAGCUGUUACACAGUCAUCACUCUCUGAGCCCCCAGACAUUUUAUCCACGUAUAUUAUUGAUCCACUUCUAUAUUAUUGCAUAGCAAAUAUUAAUUCAUUAAUAAAUCAUUACUGCAUCACAACAUAUCAAUGCAUUCCACUUACACAAAACAUUGCCCAAAUUGACACAAAACACGCAUAGCCUAACUUGUUGGAUUCCGAUUACACAAAACGCAAGCAAAAUUUAAUAAUAGUUACGUCAUCUCUUGUGAAAUAAUCUAGAAAAAAUAACAUUAGAACCAACAUGUUCAACUAAGAACACAAAUGCAAUUCAAACCAGCAAUCACAUAACUUCACCCAAUAUCCUCUCCAAAUGCUUACUCCUAAUGUCAUUAAGCCUAAGUUUAGGAUCUUUUACCUACAUUUCAUAAUUUUUCACCCCCACCAAAAAUAAUCAACUAAGUAUACUGAAUAUUCAUAAGGAAAUGACGCAUUAUUGAUGCCACAAAUGACGAAUUUCCUACCCUCACAAAAAACAAAUCAAACCCAAUUAAAUCAAUCCAGCAAGAGUGAACUUACCUCUCAAAAUCAAUCGGGAGCUCCGAAGUCAGUAAGCUUGAGAGAAUGUGGUGGACAUUAGAGAAGACUCUUUGGUAUUGGAGACUCCAUCUCUACCAAAAUCGAGGAACGAACUGCUGCUACGGCGUCUAGCUACAGAAAAAGAUAUGCUACUUUACUUUCAUCUGGAAUCUUGUUUGCUGAACGAAAAAGAGAAAGGGUUUUCACUUGAGCCAUAGAAUCAAAACAAGGCAACAUCUAGGUAAGAGCCAUUAAUCGUCAUAUCGAGGAUACCAUAGAUCGCAGGCCUCCCAAGGAGCUGAUGACAAUGGAGCGACUAUAGGGUUUGGGAGCUUUGGAUCCUUCUAAUUGUGGGUUUGCGUUACAUUCAAAAAAAGAGGAGUGUGUUGUUGAGUUUUUCACAUAGAGGGAAAGAGGGAAAGAUCUUCAACUGAAGUUGGGUUUCCAACGGGUCAAAUUUCAACCCGGUUCUACAUGCACCCUCUUUUAAAAACUCACCGUUGGAUUUCAUCCAACGGCUCGUACAUACCCCUCAAAAACACCCCUUAUAACUUUCCACUCACUAUAGAAGCUCUCCCCAGGAAAUGCUUCGAGGUAGAUUUUAUGUUUUGGGCCUUGGGACCCAACUUCACAAAAAGAAAACAAAUUUGACCAAAAAACAAAGUUGAAGGACAUUGAUAUUGUACCUGUAGGAUAGGUUAAAACACUAAAAGGAAGGUAAAUAGUACGUUUACAGAGUUUAAGUGUAAUAAAGGAAUAAAAACAUGCCCAGAGAAUUGAUAAGUGAUAUCAAUUCUUGAAUAUAUAGAACGUAAAAUAAAGGAAUACGUAGAAAAUUAUUUUAUGUGGUAAAACUCAAUCUAUGGGGCCACGGGACUUCUUAGUCCAAAAAAAAUCCAUUGAACGAUGAUUACAAGAAGUACUCACACACUUAUCCUAGACACAUUCUAGAUAAUUUUUACUAACAUCUUUGUAACUCAACUUCUGUCAUAGGAUGAUUUUUUGACACUCCUUAUGUUGAACGCAAUACUGGUCACGAUUUCUUCAAGCUCGCAGGAACUCUCCUUAUAUUGAAUAUGAUACUAGUCACGAUAGAUUCAAGCUCAUCGGAGAAAAACAGCCACAACGGUCUUGGUGCCCUCAAUGGUAUGAGUCACUGAACAUGCAAAUAAAUACAAUAUGAAUGAUAAAAGUGUUUGAUAAAUCACCAAGUUAUGGAACACUUGAUGAUUUAUCUCAAAUAAAAACUCAGCUUUCCAAAGUUUAUGAAUUGAAAAUAUGAUCGUUAAAGCUCUCUAAACAAAGAAGACGAAGAUCUUAUUUUAUAGAAUUUUUCUUUAUAAGAAAGAAAACACAUUGAAAACCAAAUCUCCAAGGCUUGACAGAAAAUCACAAAAGUAUCUUUCCUAUUCUAGAGAUUGGUCACAUGUAGUCCAACCAAUAGGACAUGAGAUAUUUAAGAAAUGAAGAUUUUGAUCAAUAUCAAUAUCAAAUGAAUUCUUAUACGCCUAGUCAACUAUUAAGGGUAUCUUGACUCCUUGAUAUUGUGAUAUGAUUGAAACAUGAUUUCCACGUUAGAAAAUUAAGGGGAUGUUAAAACAUGAAAGUAAUAGGAGAAUCAAAUUGAUUUCGGCCAAAAUUGCCUAAAAAGAAAACACUCCUAAAUAAACUCAAUUCACUUUUAAAAACAGUAAAACGUGAUUGAAUUGUUCUUUAAAACAAUUCCCUAAUAUACAUGCAUGAUAAUGACAUCACUUACCUCUGAAUCAAAUGCCUUUCAUAGGUCAAGCCACAAGUCUGUGUUUUGGGGAUUGCUGAGCUGCAUCAAUCCUGCCAAUGUCAAUGCUGCCCCUAUGCUCUCUCAAAGCACGUUUACAACCUAUGCUAACAUAUACCCUAAACCCUAGUAUCAAGAAAAUGCCAACACUAAUUUCGUAACACGUAGAAAUUGUUAGAGAUUGGAAGUUUUUUUUCUUCAAGUCUCUCCACCACUCACUAAUACAGAUUGCUCAUGUGAUGAGUUUACAAAACCUAUUUCUCUACUCUCACAAAGACUAUACUUCUUCUCAAAAGACUAUAUCACUUUACCUCUAUCUCUGUGAAAUGUAAAAAGUUGAAACUUUAAUGUCAAACCUCGACAAAAGAUGAACUUCCAUAAGUUACGUUGAAUUUGGAUUUGUUGAACUUAAGUGGUUUUACUUUUCUGUCAGUGUUUGAUGACUUAAUUUGGUAUUUACUUCUUCUUUUUUUCCUUGGAAAUGUGUUCCACCAACGUGAGGAAGAAAAAUAUGCACAAAUUAAUAUAUUUAAUAGAAGCCCAAGAUUUCGGAAGCACAUAAUUUCUACAAAAUUCUACAAAGUGUUCUACUUUACAAACUUCAUAUGUCUACCAAUUUUUACUAAAAUUAAUUUAUCUGCAGUGCUCAAAUUCAUCAUAUGUGUGUCCUUAAUUUUAGUGAAAAUUGGAAGUUUCCAUUAUUUUUGUUUUACGGGAAUUUUUUGAACCAAGGAAAAUCAAGUAAAAUUAAUAAAGCAUAAAUUGGAAAGGGAAAAUAUCUAGAGGAUGCAUUGUAGGAUUGCUCAUGCCAAUAAUUGUACCCUCUAAAUAUAUAGGGACAUAUUUUUUUUGCUCAUACCACUUGUUGCAGUACACAUUCACCCGUUUUCAAAGAAAGAAAUUCUACCAAUCGAUAAUGUCUCAAAUUUAAUCACAUAUUUUAUGGACCAUCCAGCUAUGAGGUUUUAUCUCAAAAACCUUCGGUACAUUUCUCCCACAUGCCACAAUUGUAUAUUCACAAUUACGUCUGAUACAUCACAUCAUGCCACUUGCCUCAAAUGAAUUUAAGUGAGUGAGGCAGUUGGAAGUAAUUAAGCUCUAUAUUGGUGGGUGGAGUGUUAGUUCUGGGUACCCCUCAUCAUUCGUCUAUAAAAUGGUGAAGCCAGUUGCUACUGUUACCAUAAGAGCCAGCUCCGACUUUCUUUAAUUUCUUGCUUCAUAUCCACUAGCUACAUCUGUUGCUCUUCUCAGUGUAAGCUCUGCAAUUUGAUUAACUUUCCCAUUAUCUCUCACUGUACUCUAUAUAAAGGAAUAAGUGUCGUCCAUUAAUUCUCUCCGAAAGUGUCGUCCUGAUUUUAAUUAGAGUUCGAAUUAAUGUUGCAGCUAGCAGCGGUUGCACUGGCAAACCAUGCUGCUCAACCGGUACCUCAACUUUACUGGAACUCCGUCCUGCCAAACACACAGAUGCCAAGAUCUAUCAGUGAACUUCUGCAUCCUGGUUUGUGUUUGAGCACUUUAGAAUCUUAGAUAUCUCUUCUACCUGCCAUUUUACUAAAAUAUGUUCAACCACAUAUUUAUCAGUUAACUACUGUCAUUACAUGAGUGACACAUAUUCACAAAUCGGCUGAUCACUUAUUUUCCAUUAUGACGUUGAUAUAUAAUGUUGGGAAUGGAAAGCCAAUUGACCACAAGGGAAAACCUGAAAAUACUGUACUACCACAGCUAGCACGAAGCCCAUUUUCUUACAAGAGUGAUGUGGGGACCAAAUCUCAUGUAUCAUAGCUUAACCCAUAUGCCACAACUAAAAGACGUGGGAUGAUCGAACAGCAUACCCACAUGGUCAUGGAUCUCUUCAGAUAAUCAAUAUUAAACAACCCAUAAACUUCUCCCUUUGAAGAACAAAUUAAAACCAAUUUCUAGAGGAAGGUUACAAAACAUUUUAGCCCGUGAAGAACAAAUCAAGACAAUAUAACCCAUUUGAUAACAAAAUCAAAAUGAGAUUUACCAAUACUAGAUGACCACGGCGCCAGUAUAAUGGUACGACGGCGGCGUUAUUGUAACGGUGGAGAAGUGGAUGGUAUGACGACGGUGUUAGUGUGACGGUGGAGGAAACGAUAUUAUGAAGGAGGCGUUGCUAUGUUCGGUGGAGGAGUCGUGUGUUUCACAGUUCAAUAUAUCCUUUUUAGUCAUUUUAUAUUAGGGUAAAUCAGUAAUUCAAUAAAUAAUUUGAUAGUAUGGUGUACUCAGUUAAUAUUAGGGUUCAUUUAACAGCACUCAAAUUAACUAGUGUAGAGUCUAUCUAUAUUAUUAAUACUAAAAAUAAAUAUAUGACUAAAUAACUCAAAAAAAAAAUAAAUCUACAAUCUUUUUUUUAAAAAAUUUUUUUUAUAGAAUUUUAUUAGAUUAAUAGGCACUACUAAAAAAUCUCCUUAUAAACUACAAAUACACGCAUAACUUAUACUAAUGUGAGCUACUGACACCACCUGCCACAUGACAGUUGUCCAAGCAUAGUGUUGUCAUUCAUUAUUCCCCACAGCAACUAACAUCCAAUAAAGGGUUGGGGCCCACCCAUACUCCACCUCUCUGUAUGUAGCUCUUUGAGAAUACAGAAGAAAUAUUUUUUAGGGAAAUAGCUUAAAAUGAUACCCAUUUCAUAAUUUUAAUUAAAAAUACCACCCCUUUCCAAUUUUUGUACAACUAUCACCUAUAAAUAUAAAAUUAUUGUCCACUUAUUGCUGAUUUUUCACAAGUUCAGAAAUUUUGGAAAGAAGAAGCUCACACAGCUCUCUCUCUCUCUCUCUCUCUCUCUCUCUCUCUCUAGCACAACUCUCUUUCUUUGGUAUCUGUCUAUCACAGCUCUCUGUGUCUCUCUUGGCUCUCUCUAUCUUGGCUCUCUCUCUCUCUAGCACAACUCUCUGUCUCUCUCUUUGCUCUCUUUCUCAUAGCGCAGCUGUUUCUCUCUCUAGCUUCGUUAUGUCUCUUUCUCCCCUAUUCGAUCUCUUGCUUUCUGUUUGGAAUCGCGAACCCCUCCCUUUAGCUAUGUCUUCUGAAUAGCUGCUUGCAACCUUGAAGCUCUAGUGGAUUGCCGACCUCGAAAAGGUAGUGUUGAUGGUUAUUUUCUUAAUAUCAGUGGGAUUAUGUGAAAUGGGUUAUAGUUUGAUUGUUUGGGUUUGUGUUAAAUUCGUUUUGGCUUUAAUUUCUUUGGGUUAGGUUUUGUUGAAUAUUCAUACUCAUUCAUCUGGGUUUGUACCAAUUGCAUUUAGAUUGGUCUGGAUAUGUGAAUCUUGAAACUUGGGAUUUUCUAUUUGAUGUAGUAGAUCUGUAUAGUGUGAUUCUGUUGUGUUCCUCUUAUUUUACAGUCGUAUUGCUGUUAUAUUGUCAUUAUAUUGCUUAUAUAUUGCUGUUAUAUUGUGGUUAUAUUGCUAUUGUAUUGUUUGGUUAUUGUGGUUAUAUUGUGUUAAUGAAAUGUUGUUUUGUCAUGGUCAGAAAUGGAGACAAUUGUUAUUCUCGUGUGCUACAAUGGAAAAUGGGUCACCUCGAAGAAGAUGUGCAAAUACGAAGGGGGUGACUCAAAAGGCUUAAUAGUUCCACGGACCAUCAAAUUUGUUGAACUGUUGGACCGUGUGCAUUAGAUUGGUAAUACAAACAGCAGGGAAGACAAGGUUUGCUUAAAAUUCUCAGUUUUGGUGGCCUCGAAUGAGUGGAAGCACAUAAAUAUUGAGGACGAUGAUGAUAUCAAUUUUUUUAUGAAGUACAAUUCCGAGGUAACACCUUCAAAACUAGCUCCCUUACUCGUGAGUAUAGAAGAUAAAGGAUUGACAAAUGAUGUAGUUCAUAGUAUGCAUAUCACGACAGAUAGUAGUCGGAUGGGUCAUUCUUCAGUUGCCAUUGUUGAAAGCAAUGAAGUAACUUGGAAUAAUACGAAUGUCACUGAUGUGGGAGGUGAAGUAGGGACAGAUUUUGUGGAUAUGAUUGAUUUUAGCGAGGUGUAGGAGAUGCAUGGUGGUGAUAAUAGUACUGAAAGAAAUGAAGUGUCAGUGUACUCUGCCCCUCCUAAUUUGGGCUGCUUCAACAUAGCUGCCCAGUUGCCAAUAAUGCGUUUAGGAGGAGAAUCUGAACCCACUCGUCAACAUUAUUGGAGUCAAAUAGGUGAACAAAAUCGGUACAAUGCAGCCGGUGUAAAUGAUGAAGAAGCAUAUUUGGACAGCGGGUUUUCACGAAGUGAUUGGAAUCCGAAAAUUACAGUUGGGCAAAUUUUCUCUAGUAAGAAAGCAUUGUUGACGGAGUUACGGUUGACGGCAUUAAGAGGCCACUUUGAAUUUAAGGUGCAAUUCUCUUGCACUAAAAGGUUGCUUGUGGUUUGUUGUCAACGUCCAUGCCCAUGGCGGGUCCGAGCAUCGAGAAUUGGAGAAUACAGCUUCAUGAUUGUGAGGUGUACAACUGUCCAUGAAUGUGAUUUGAGGUUCGUAAGUGACAAGCAUCGUCAAGCAACCGCAGCACUUGUAGCCACUUCACUUAAAAGGAAGUGACAUUAUGAGAGAUGUGAAACACAACUUUGGUUGCACCAUCCAUUAUUCGAAAGCUUGGAAAGCAAAGGAGUUAGCUCUAUUGUCCAUUAGAGGAUCAGCGGAGGAGGCAUAUUAUAUCCUUCCAGCUUAUUGCUAUGAAUUGGAGCGUAUGAAUCCCGGCACAAAAACACACAUCCAAACUGAUGAGAACAAUCACUUUGUGUAUUUAUUUAUGGCGGUUGGCGCAUGUAUUAGAGGGUUCCGUUCUUCCAUGCGCCCAGUGAUAGCCGUGGAUGCCACUCAUUUAAAAUCCAAGUACAAGGGUGUUAUGUUUGUAGCAAAUGCAUUCGAUGGUAAUUGAAAUAUAUAUCCUCUUGCUUUUGGGAUCGGGGAUUUGGAGACGGAUGCAUCAUGGCAUUGGUUUUUCACUAAACUUCAUGAAGCCAUUGGUGAGUGUCCCAAUCUUGUUAUUAUUUCUGAUCGCAAUGUUAGCAUAGAGAAUGUGUGGAACAAAAUUUUUCCAACUGCACAACGUGGCAUAUGCUUUUAUCAUAUGAAGGGGAACAUGAAACGCACUUGCUAGUUGAAAAAGCGUGAUCACAUACUUAUGCACUUUGAGCAGGCUGCGAAAUCUUAUUCCAUUGCUGAAUUUGAUUGUCAUUUUUGCAAGAUCAAGCGAAAGGAACAUGUUGCUCAAUAUCUUGAAGAGACAGGGUUACAUAAGUGGUCUAGAGCUCACAUGGAUGGACGCCGCUACAAUGUAAUGACAACAAAUAUUGCAGAGUCAAUCAACUCAGUCCUUAGGUUUGCAAGGAUGCUGCCAGUGGUUCAUUUGAUAGGGGAAAUUGUUAAUCUCCUUGUGAAAUGGUUCACCGAACGUUGUGAGUUGGUUUUGAAUUGCACAACAACAUUGUGCCCCAAUUUUGGAGAGAAGAAGUUGAGGAACAGGUUGGAGGAUGCUGCAAGGAUGAAUGUGGUUAAAGUAAAUAAUGCACAGUUUAAUGUUUUGGACGGUGAUAUGGACGGCCUCGUAGAUUUGGCGAACAGCAGUUGUAGUUGUAGAAAGUUUCAGCUUGAGCAGCUACCUUGCAAGCAUGUAGUUGCAGUUUGCCGCUUCUUGAAAGUAAAUGUAUACGCAAAGGCUUCUCGGUAUUACACUCAGAAAACCUGGAUGAUGCUUAUUCGGAUAGCAUCUACCCGGCACAACCUCACGGAAUGUGGGAUAUUCCUGAAGAUGUUCGAAGUCGAGUUGUGCUGCCUCCCAUGGCAAGGGUCAUGCCAGGCAGACGAAAGAAGAUCAGAAUUCCCUCGCAAGGAGAGGGCACCAUUAGAAGAAAGUGCUCAAGGUGCGGUUCCGCAGGCCACAAUAAAAGCACAUGUAAAAACAAUAUUCCAUUGCGCAAUGUAUCUUAGACAAUAUGAUUUGUGUUGCUUUGGUAGGUCAUGUAAACUCUACUUUUAUUUGUGGUGGGUUUCGUGUUAUGUUGAAUGGGAAUUCUUUUAAAUUUGCAUAAUUUGGGUUGCAUUGCUACAGCAUGCUGUAUUGCUGACAGAUUGCUAUUAUAUUGGACUUUUAUUGUACUGGUAUUGCUUCCAGAUUGCUAUUAUAAUUUGAGUGCGAAAUUAAAGGGACUGGAAUGUAAUUCCAAAUGGAUCCAAAUCAUUAAAGUUCUUAGAAUUCCUAUAUUACACAGUUACUGUGAUACUCCGACUAUACCUUCUUUUAUGAUUACAAAUUCGGCCAAUGCAUAGGCCAGAUGUGGGGCAAAUACAAGGUGAAAUGUCCUAUGUGUUUGACUACAUAUACUUGUUGAAGGAGCAUUACGAAUGCUAACCUCAAUAGAUUGCUCAUGUCUUGCCAAGAACACUCUUGAAUUUAUGCAAUGUGCCCAAGCCAGUCCCAAAGCUGGACUCACCCGUCUGCCUGAUGUGUCCAGGGACUCCAAGUUUCCCAACCUCACCUCAUUCACUUUAUCAUGUGGCCCAAUAAAAUCCACCACUUGGUUGGUGACAACCACCGCCAACCCAAACUUAUUUGCUAAACCCUUCAAUGUCCCAGAUAUGUUGAAAAAUAUUUCAAACCGCCAUUUCAAAUCUGCUGGUGUUGUCUGAUACUGUGAUCGGAACAAUGCAGCAAUGGAAUCAAUGACAAUGAGUUUCACAGGUAGGUGGGUGUGAUCAAUGGCAAUAAAUGCUUCUAUGUCUCCAAGGACAUGGAUGAGUUGUUGAGCAUCAUGAACACCAUGAACAUAUAUGUCUUCCAAUGGCUCCAACCUUAUUAAGUUGGGGUAUGAUGCAUGAUAAAGGUUGCCUAGUUGUUGCAAUCGACGAAAUGGGAAGCUGAAUUCUGUGAAUAUGUAGACGGUGGAGCCCUCUAGUCCGCCAUGUGAGGGUGGGAGCUGAGCUGGUACCGUAAGUUGGAGACAAAGUUGCGUCUUCCCAGAACCACUCUCCCCUACCAAUUCUGUUAUAGAGUUGCAGGGUAUCCCACCCCCCAAGCAGUCAUCUAGUAUUGGGCAUCCAAUGGAUAAUUGAGGGGUUGAAAGAGGAAGGAGCAUGAGGUUUUAGGGUGUCAUAUUUGUGUAAUUUAGGGGGGGAUGUGAUGGUGCUACAAGGCAUGCAUUAUAUAUAUAUAUAUAUGUAGAGUUCAUUUUGAAGGUCUGUAUUGUAGGCCAUAUGUCUUUUAAGGGAUGUAUAAUCCAUCCUUUUUUCAGGUUGUAAUUAAUUUUUUGUUUAUUUAUUAGUAUUUUUUUGGACCAAAUAAUUUAAAAAACAUUAUGAUGCAGUACGUACUGUAAUAGGAUCAUAUUGUAACUCUAUCAUCACUCUAUUGUACUCUUAUUGACAUAAUAUUGCCGUUAUAUGCAUGUUUAUUAUAUAGUUAUUACUGCUAUAUCGCCACUGAACUGGACACCGAUAAACUGUAUACGCACAAAUACAAAAAGAGGCUUCAUCAUUCCAUAAAAUCCUAUUUCCAAACUUACAUAAUACAACAACAGGCCACCCCAUCGUUACAUAAUACAAAAAUACGCCACCUCAUAGUUCCAUUUCCCUACUGUUGACAAAUUCGAAGUUGCAUACUCUUCAAGUGCGGUGACCGCGACGCAUGAAAUUCAUGACCCCGGCCACAGUGAUGUUGGCCUAGUUUCCUGCCGGAUCCACUAUUUUUGCAAACUUACGAAAUAGUUCGAAUCCGCUUUCCACUUCUUCUUGCUUCAACUUGGCCGUUGCUUCUGAUUCCUUGAAUACCAUAAUUGCAGUGGUAGGGGCAAUUUCAAUUUUUGCUUUCAUUGUCUUUAUAUGUAGGAGAUGCAUGCGCGCAUGAUAACGAGAGCGAAUUGUGCGGUUUUUUAUGACACCCCAUCUAGUUUGGCCCUCCACAAUUUUGAAACUAUGUCUGCAUGAAGAUUUUUCCAAAACAUGGUAUUGCCUCGACAUUGCUGCAUGCCAUGGACCAAGUCUGCAGGGAGUGAAUUGGGUGACUUGGCUUGUGUUUCAGUCUUCUCUCCUUCAGUAAUUGAAAGUGUUGGGUGUGGUGUGAGGUUAUGGUCCAUGGUCUUCGAUAUUUAUUGUAGCCUAGUGUACAACUUAAUUGGAAAAAAAGGGGACUAAAUGCGAUGGGAGUGAAAUCAGUGGGGAAGGUAGUGGCUGUAAGCAGGAGUUAAUGUGAUGGAAGUUUUCAUUUCAAACAACUGGGUUGAUUAAUAUAGGCAAGUUUUAAUGACCUGGAGUAACUCAGAGAGUUAUUGGUGGGAGGGAUUAGAGGGAGUAAUUGGCGGGAGGGAUUGGCGGGAGUCUUAGGCGGGAUAGUAUUGGGCGGGAGUUAUUACCCAGUUGACUGUAUGCCUUUUUGUAAUAUAUUUGUAUGUUGGACGUUCCAAACUUGGUAAUUUUCCCAUUAUGUAAUUCAAAUAAGGGAUUUGCCUAUUUGCCUAAUUGACCAACUCAUUCAAAUUGACCAAUAUGGUUAUUGUCUUAUUUCUCAUUUCAGCAAUCUCAAUUCGUUUCCAUUUUUCCAUUCUUCAUAUUUUCCUAUUUUCCAUGUGUCAUCCAAUUUUCCAAUUUUCCAAUUUUUCAUUAUUUUUGCCUAUUUUUUCCUAUUCCCUAUUUUCCUAUUGUGCAAUUUCCCAAGUUUCCUUUUGUUGUAUUUCUAGUUUUCCAAUUUUUCAAUGUUCCCAUUUUCCCAUUAUGUAAUUUAAAAAAAGUUGCCUGCUUUGCCUAAUUCAGAAAGUAAUUAAAAUGGUCCAAUAUGGUAAUUGUCUUAUUUUCCAUUUCCACAAUUUCAAUUCGUUUCCAAUUUUCUUAUUUUCCAUGUGUCCCUAUUUCCUAUUUCCAUUUUUCAAAUUUUAAGUUUUUGUCCAAUUAUCCAAUUAUCUUUUUUCCAAUUGGACUAUUUUCUAAGUUUCCUUUUUUUCCUAUUUCCAAUUUUCCAAUUUUUCAAUUUGCUAACUUUCCUUUUGUUCUAUUUCCAAUUUUGCUAUUUUCCAAGUUGCCUUAUUUCCUAUUUUUCAAUUAUCCAGUUAUCCAAUAUUCCAAUUUUCCAAUUAUCCAAUUUUCAAUUUUCCAAUUUGCGAAUUUGCCUAUUUUCCAAGUGUCCUUUUUUCCUAUUUCCUAUUUCAAAUUUUCCAAUUUUCAUGUUUUCAGAGUUUCCUUUUUUUUUCCUAUUUUCCAAGUUUCCUUUUGUCCAAUUUCAAAUUUUCCAAUUUUCCAAGUUGCUUUAUUUUCCAAUUACCCAAAUUUCCUAUUUUCCAAGUGUCCUUUUUUCCUUUUUCCAAUUUUCCAAUUUUCCAAGUGUCAUGUAAUCCUAUUGCCUAGUUUCCUCUUUCCAAUUUUUCCUUUUUUCCUAUUUCCAAUUUUCAAUUUUCCAAAUUUCCCAAAUUUCCAACUUUCCAUUUUUUCGUAUUUCCGAUUUGCCAAUUUUCCUUUUGUUCUAUUUCCAAUUUUCCAAGUUUCCUUAUUUCCCAUUCUCCAAGUUUUCACUUUUCCUAUUUUUCAAUUUCGCUAUUUUCCAAUUUUCUGUUCUGAAAUUCGCAAUAAAUGCUUAGUUACACAGUCCUAUUUUGGGUUGAAAUCCACAAUUUUCAAUUUCCCAUUAAGGUUUGCUUUUUUGUCGUUUGGAAGCCAAUUUUAUUGUUGUUAAUGUAAUGUUGUACUGUUGUAAAUUACAGCCAAUGAGUUAAUGAUGUAGUUUGCAAUCCCAUCAAUUGAAUGCACCAACUAAAUACCCAAUAUACUUCAUAUAAGUUCGUACAUAUAACUCAACCUUCCUAUACAGAACUGCAACAGAGGCACCUUCUUAACGGGAAAGGUAAUUAGUCUUACUAAAACGCAAAUAUUCUCCACUACAGCUAACCAAUUGUCGUUUACAACUGGAGACUGAAUCUACCUUUAUUUGUUUUGUUGCAGGCAACAGCUGUGAAUUGUCCCCGGCAAUACUUAAAGAUGUCGGAUGUACGCCCUCCAAAUGAGCAUGUCACAGUUACCCGGGGGACCAGCCGUGGCAUGUGCCAUUCCCAUCUCCACCUCGGACUCCCAAUCAUGAUCCCACUUCAUCUGGAAGUGAGGCUGAGAGCAAUGAUCCGCUUGACAAAAUCUCUGCCGUCAAGCACCACCUCCAAUAUAUGUCAAAGGCAACGGAUUGGUGGGAGAGUAAGUGCGAUAUUCAUGGCCAAGUUAUGGGAAACUUGGCCAACAAGUUGAACAAAGCAUACGCUGGAGAGGUGAAGCAAACUCUAAAAGCAAAAAGUCGGAGCAAAGAGUUAGAGUCCUUGAAGUUGAAAUUGGAAGAGAGAAAGAAAAAUGCUGUCGAAAAAUUCACACAAUCUGAAGAAUAUAACCAUGAAAUGGUUGAAUGUUUCAACAACGGCUUUGAAAUGUUCCGAGAUUAUGCUUCGGUCAUCUCACCAGACUACAAUUGGAGUGAAAUUGAUGUAGCUGGUGUUUGGCAGGUGCUGAAUAUGGGUGCUGAGGGAAUGGCUCAUCAUAGCCUCGUGCAUGCAGCAAGGAGAAAGGACAAAGACUUGGAUCUUUUGAUGGACCUGUAGUAACAGUGAGUGCUGCUUCAGUUCAACUCACCUGAGUACAUGGAUCUUUUGUUGCCUUCAUUUUCCCUUCGCAGGCUAGUAUUGUUAAGGUUCGGUGGCGAUUUCUUUUGCAUGUGUAAAAUGUUGUCUGUAAUGUGUAUGUAUUGUAUGUAGAUUGACUUAAUAUUGUAGUUCUAUUGUAUGUAUAUUGCCUUAAUAUUGCCUUUGUAUAGCAUAGAUAGUGUAUGCAUAUUGCCACCGUAUUGGAUGUAUAUUGUAAAACUAUUGGUAUCGUAUUGCCCUUAUAUUGCUCUAAUAUUGCCUCUAUAGUGCACCUAUAUUGACCUAAUAUUGCUCUUAUAUCGUAUGUCAAUGGCAUGUGCUCUAAUAAGUCUCCAGUUCGUUGAAAGUAAUCCUGAAUUCAAAUAUGAUGGACAAGACAAUUGUUAUCCAUCCUUAUAUUACCAUGAAUUGAUUUGGACCUUUCAAAUGAUAGUUGGAGUUGCACAUGGAUUCAUAUUCAAAAGGAAAGUAAUUCUCUCCCUCAAUGAAUUGUCGUUCAAAAGAAGGCAGCUAUCAAAUUUUGGGUACAAAAAGGCAACAUCCACGGUAAAUUAAUUGGGCACAAACCACAUAUUACAAAACCAGGAUGAUUUUUGGCAUGCUUCAAAAGAGAAGGGCCAAAUACAACAGAAAAGAAAAUCCAUUCAAGCUUGUACAAUAGAAUGCACAAUAACCCUUUUACAUGUCCUUCCAACACCAGUGUUUUGCCUACUUUAGAGUCGCAGGAGGAGAGCUUAUUGCCAUUGUGCAAUUCGAGGGGGCAGUCAAUUUGGAAUGGUGGCAUAAACAUGUUUACUCCACGGAUCACCUAUAUGGGACAGAGCUUCCUUCUUCCCUUGUCGUCUGUAGGUUUCAACUUCACACUUUUUAUAUACAUGUAUGAGAACUUGUGGCUAUUUAUUUAUGGCCUUCUAACACUUGUUCUGCCAUUCCAAAGUGGGUUGGAGACUUUUUGAGUUGAAUGACUGGAAAGACUUCAGAUGACAGAAACUAGAGAGUUUGAAGAAAAAGGGUUACCAAGAACAGCAGUCAUGCCCACGACAUAAACUAAACAUGCUAUAAGCUCCACAGUAAUAUUUACUUCAUCUCCAUAAUCAGAAUAUUGGGAAAAAAAUACCACGGAGAAAUACGUGAAAUGAAAAACAACUCGGCAGUUACUGUGAGAUUGUGUACAUAAAACUUGGAACAACCAAACCAAUUAAAGCUAAGCCAUCUCAUACGUAUACCUACAUCAAAUAACAGUGUAUGGUCAUCUUGUUUAGAAUAUUGCAAUCAACACUUGGUUGAGACCGACCUGCAAAAACAACUGGGUUAAGUACAGAUGAAGCCAUUUAUGAAGGGCAGUUCCAGAAUUAAGACCUACGUUAAUUUGUAACUGCCACCGAAUCAGUUCAUAGUGCCAAAUGCAUCUACCAAGCACACAGAUAUGACCAGCCAAAAGAAAAAAAAGCAAAGUAAAAAAGAUAAAAGAGGCAUGCCAUAAAUGGGAACCUCAGCAGAAAUCAUCAGAUAUGCAUACAAGCAGAUUGAGUAACAUCUCACUAAGUAGAGGUCAUGUUGGUAAUCGCAUGUUGUGUUUGCACACAGACAUUUGGUUUUUGCAAACACAACAUGCAAUUGCAUUCCAUGAUGUGUGUGUUGUGUUUGCACACAGACAUUUGGUUUUUGCAAACACAACAUGCAAUUGCAUGAUGUGUGUGUUGUGUUUGCACACAGACAUAUGGUUUUUGCAAACACAACAUGCAAUUGCAUAUUGUGUGUGUUGUGUUUGCACACAGACAUAUGGUUUUUGCAAACACAACAUGCAAUUGCAUAUUGUGUGUGUUGUGUUUGCACACAGACAUUUGGUUUUUACACACACGAUAUGUAACAUUUAGUUUUACCCUUUUAUUCUUAUUUUCUUCGUUCAAACAUGGUGGUGAGAAAAGCACCAAACCAUCCCAUCAUAUAAAGCAAAACUCAUACAAUAUUUUAGAUGCAAAAGUUAUAUAUUUUAUAUAAAUGCAUCAUCCGCAUGGCUUGAAAUUACAAAUUCACGUUCACAUAUUACUUUUCACAAGCGCACAGACUAACAAUAAUAAUAAUCAACCAAGUAGUUGCGACAUUCAUCCUAUUACGUCCAUAUUGAUAAUGUCAGAAGUUUCAUCGAUAAGCCUCAUCAAACUACAAGUUUUUUAAUUUGAAUUAUGAAUUCAGAACUAAAAGCUCAUGAUAUGCAGAAAAUGACAUACAUUGUCCACAAUCGACUUUUCGAUAUAUUUCUGCUCUAGCAAUUUAUCGUCCAAAUUCUGGACUCUCUGUGUCAGGUGCUUCUUUGUGUUCUAUCCAGCAUAAGAAUAUUUAAUAGUGUGAUUUCAAUUGUUUAUACAAAUUCUAUAAGUAAUAUUGAUGAGUGCUGUAAAUCUAUUUGAUAUUGGGAACAAACAUGGUCCCACUAACAGAAACUCAAACAAAACAGGAAUUUUUUUUUAUUUUUUUUGGCAUAGACAGCCGAAAAGAAACUUACAGCAAUAGCCUCUGUCACGCUCUCCAGACGUUUAUGCAAUUUUGAAACAGCAGCAUUCAUACUACGCUUUGUCACAUACAGAAGAUCUGAGAAUUUUAGACCCUAACCAUUUGUGAAGAGCAAAUAUUAGAUUUGCUUAAAGAAGACAACAACUCACAGAACCAAUGGAUGAAAUAAUAUGAACAUAAAUAUAUCAUUUGGAUACCUUCCACCACAUGUAACCAUAACCCAAUGCCCCCAAGGUAGCUGUUGGCAUUAUUAGUGAUGUCAAACCUAUUAAAAAAAUCAAAAAAAAAAAUAUAACCAAGUAUAAAAUGUUUCUAUUGCAUUAUGAAAUACAUACGUGUAAGGAAUUAAUCGUUUUACAACUUAACCAAAAAGUCAAGGCAGGAGCAUGCAUUCAUUGAGUGGUUAUAAGCAAGAGGAAAAAGCACAAAGCAUGCUAAGAAUUCAUUUGAACACAGAAGAGAAAGUAAGCUACCUUGGAAUUUGGCUGUCAUUCCCCUUCAGGACGGCUCUCUGUAGUGACGAGUCUAGUUGUCGGACCUCAGCUGCCAGUCGGCGCACCUAAAACAAAGUAACACAGGAAAAUUGAUAUCCAUUACAAAAAACAAAAAUUGAACACGAGAAAGCAUCCUUCGACACUAAAUUUAUAGCAGUUUUUCCAAUACCUGUGAUGCGAUCGCAUAAAAGUCACCUUCUGAUUGUUCUCCGGUUCCAUUGAACAAAGGCUGCAAACAAAACAGAAAUAGACACAAAUCCAUCAAUUUUUUGAGCAACAAGACACAAGCUCCGAAAUAAAUAAACUAUCUAACUGAUCAAAACCCUAGUUUACCAAAUGCAUUACAAAAUUAAAAACUCAUACAAAAAUAACACCAAAUACAAAUGUUCUGCGAGUUCCACUAGCAAAGCAGAGUACAAAUCAUGAAAAUGGUACCUGAAGUUCACCGAUCAAUUCAGAUAAUUGACCAUUCUUACGCAGGAUGGUGCUCGUAUACCCUGUAGAAAGAGAACAAUCACUCAGAUCAAAUGUAGCUAAAUACACAAGGAAACUAAUCCAGUAUGCAAGAUGAAAGAGGAGUGAUUGGUACCUACUCCAGCGAAGAUCAGCAAACACAGUAUGAGGUUCCAAAUUCAAAUAACAACAUAAUGCUAAGCAGAGAAGUAGAAUUGCUGCCGAAAUUAUUUAAAACGAACUAAGUCAAAACUAAAUGGAGAAAUGUUAACAAAGUUGUAUGCUUCAGUAAGUCCAGUAACAGAUUCCCAAAACCACAGAGACAAAAUGUGAACAAUGGCUACAAAAGCAUCCAUAAAGAGCAACUAUGUUUAUAUAUGGAGGUGUACAAAAUAGUUAACCUUCAAAAUCGAAACAGUGUGUGUGCCAUGUAAGGCAAUUAGCCACUGCUUCUAGACUAUACAAUAUUACACCUCACAAUAAUAACUAAACCAACUAGCUCUAGCAAAAAGGCAGGAUGACCAUAUAAAGUACCCCCAGCAAAGCAUCUACGUCUGCAUCUUCAUAUCAAGGAGUUCCUGACAUAAGUAAUGAGCAAAGUGAAUUCCCAAGUCAUAAGUCCAGAAUGAGGUGAAUUCACGGACAUUAAAACAUUUACCUCAUAAAUAUGCCUCCCCCCUUAAACCCUCAAUUGCAAGCCUCAGCCGGUAAUAUUUGAUCUUCAAAGGGUCAACUUUAUCUACCGAAAUCCCAGCACUGAGAUGCUCGAUGAAUUUGACGGUCAUGAUUCCGCAAGACGUACUGUGAGACCAAUAAGUUGGGAAAUUAGAACUGCAGUUAUGUAAGAUUUGGAUAAACUGCACUAAAUUCACAAAGCUUACCCAUCUCGUUGUUGUGGCACAUCUGCAAUGCUGCAAACUGAGAAUGGCGUAAACGUCAACAUCUUCAGCCCCUUUUGCUUAACCUUUUCAACCUCAGAAUCUUCAUAAAAGUGCAUAUCGUACAGCACUCGUGCCAGCGUAUCGCUAAUAGGGUGCAGAAGUGUAACCAGCUUCGAACAUUUGGUAAAAGCAACAUAUGAGUCAUACACAGUUGCAGUAUGUCAGACGAAAUCAAUUUCGAUUGCAACCCAGUAAGACCCUUUAAGAUUAUAUGGAAUAUAGACCUUCCGGACUUUUGUCCAAGCUUGGCCAUACCCGUGUUGCCACGUACCGCGUACAAAGUAAUGUAUAUUCUGCAGCUUGCUGGGUGGAAGGUCAACGGUGUUUGAAGCAACUGCCUUCUUCGAUCCACGUUUCUUGGCAGUCGGUUUGAACGGAUCUAGAAAUUGCUGCAUAAAUUGAAAUGAAGGCAUAUUAGAAAAUCACAACCGAAAGCAAAUGAAGCAGCGAAUGUAACAUGGUAACAUGUUUACCUGCAAGCAACAAUCUGCUGUUGUCCAGUCAGUUCCAAAUACCAACGGAUGAGAGAGUUGCCUUUUCCAGAUAAGAAAGGUUGCCAUGUCCAGGUGCUGAAAGUUGACACACAUAAUAUCAGCACAAUUUCAUACAACUGUACACUUAAAAAAGGUGAGAAAACAAUUUAAUUAUCGCAAUAAAGUAGAGCUUUGUGUAUUCUUACCCUUGAGCUAAUCCAUUCCGUUUCAUCGAUAAGUCUGUAGAAAAAAUCAGCGCCCACUGAAAAUAAUUCCAGCUGCACCUCCGCACUACAAAAGGCAAACUUGCAAUGGUUACUUUUAUAGUCAUCUCAUAAUUCUGACUUUGUUGAUGACAAAAAUACACAUGUAUAUUAAAGCAAACUCUACGUUUUCUCAUUAGUCUAUGACUACAUACUAGAAUAGGAUGAAGAUUGGAAUUCAAAGGUAAAGAAUCCUAACCUGAUAUCGUUUUUCCAGGCAGUACAAAACUCUAUUACUGCCUUCACAUCUUCAAUGGGCACGGAUUUUGAUGGAUCAAAACAUGGCGGGGUUGCAGUCGCAGCCAACACACUCAUCGUCCUCUUCUUCCUCAAAGGAUCAGUAAAUGGGCUCAACAAUGUCUGCGCCGGGCGCUUCUGUCUGCACCCUUUACCUUCCACUUCUUUUUUUUCCACACUCGAACUACCUUCUUCAUCACCAGCCAUACUAACUGUGGGUAGACUUGGAGGAUUCAUCGGACCUCCCGAUGGCAUACUCUUAGUCACUUUCCAAUCUUCUAACAGAGACAACACUUUUUGGCAGAUUUCGUCACACCCGGCCACAUCUUCCGGGGUAGGCAGCUUCUCGGAUUGUGCCUGCUCAGCUGCUUCAUGCACUUGUAAGUGAGGAACUGAAGCGGCCAUUUCUGCCUCUUCGACUACCAUGGCUGCGGAAGGUUCGGCUCCAUCACCGGGAACUUGUGUUUCCAUUACCGCCGGUUCUGUAGGCGGACUAACAUGGUCAUGUAAUGGCGACAAGUGAUUGUCGCCUCCUUCAUUCAUAUGAGGACUACUGAGGUCCUCAUGUCCUUUCCCACCUUCAUUCACCCCACCAUUUCGUUUUUUCAGCUGCUCUAUCUCCACAUUAAAAUAAUGCUCCAUUAAAGCCAGGGUGUUGCGGAAAUCCUCCACACACUUUUUAUUUUUUUCGAACUCUCUUUCAACUUUCAAUGACUCCUUCCGUACCAUGUCUUCCAACUGAUGCACUCUGUUGCGAAGCGCUCGAUUUGAUAUGGCAACUUUGGCCAAUUCAUCCUUUGUCCUUUGAAAGUCACGCUUCAAAGUGCGUAACUCUCUGGACGCGACUGUACCCUGCAUUCAGUUAUAAUGCAAGUGUUACAAUAUUUUCAAAAUAUAUUGCAACAAUACAGCAGUUAUUUUCCUAUUGUAUUAUGACGUAUAUCUUGGAAAAAAAUGUAAUGCUUGCCUUAGAAGACGACGGAAGGCUAGCAGUUUCGUCAAUGUCCUUAUCUUUUUCUUCUACAGAGGCAGAAGUGCUGGUUUUUUGUUCAGCGUCAUCGCCAAACAACUGAACAAGUUCUUCAGUGUCGUCAACACUGUCACCCCAAGUCCAAUACGGCUGCUGCUUGUCGAUUACAGAUGGCCGGAGAAGUUGCACAUCAACCUGCAAUUUACACAUACAAUAUACAUAUCAGUAAACUUAUUAUAUUAUAUUUUCAUAUGCCUAACAUUAUCAUUAAAAACUUAACUAACCUCACGGUUCUCGAAUACUUGGCUCAUUAGCUCAUAAAAACACGGCGAACUAUUGCUCCUCCAAUGUAGUAAACGAGGGAUGUAGGCAUUAUCUUCGUGCACCACCAAAUGUAGUGCAGCCAACGCUGGAAAAACCUCAUAAGCCCAAAUCUGGUUUGAGGAAUAAAACGUGAGUCACUGUAAACAAAUGAAAUUUAACUUCAACAUGAAUGGAAAUUUGCUCACCUGAAGUGCAUAGGCAAAACCUUUGAGGUGGUACUCUCUUGGUCUACCAGUUGCCGUUGUUUUUGCUUUCUUUUCAGAUUUUUUUGUUUUUGCAGCUUUUUUGGGCACUUUCACUCGCUGGUAAUCUGUACAAAGUGCCCUCAGAAGUGACACAAUUGUCUUGGCAUAACACACAGCACCCCAUGGAUACUUCCCAAACUCUUCAAGGUCUUCCACCAACUUCAAAUAUCGCAUGUCAAUCUGGACAUGUUUUUCACUGCCCAACAGCACAAACACAGCAAAGUAUACAAAUCUGAGCUUCAAUACAUCGUCCGCAUCAACGCAUUUGAGGAAGGCCUUUUCUAAUUCCAAAACAUUGACAGUUUUAUAGUUGCCAAAGUACUUCCUUUUCAAUGAGCAGUUCUCAUUAGUGGGAAUCGGAAUAAAGGGAAGGUUUCCAAACCUUAGCCCUGUCACGAUGCAAAAUUGCUGCGCCGUGAAUUGGAUCACCUUAUUGCCAACGAUGAAUUUGAUCCCGUUGAGUUGGGAAACUGUCUUUGGAUCAGCUUUCCUCAGCAGCAAGCCGUGGACAAUUGGCGAAGUCCACUUGAGGUCCUCAAUCAGUAGGAGAUGCCCAAAACAACUCUCUUCAAACCUUUGUAGCUGUUGUUCACUGAAUUUCUCCUUUAUCGUGCUGAUUGCAGUCUUCGUAUGGGAUAGGGACAAUGCUUUUCCUUGGAACUUUUCUUCCUCUGCAAUCAUCAACUUCAUUUGAGCAACCAUCUUUCCCUGCAUGCCAAUAUUAUAAAAAAAAAUUCAGUCCGUUGCAAUCUAGACAAUAACAAGCAAUAAACAAUCAGCACUUAUCUACAGCCUAUUAUAGGAUAUUAAGUGAAAACAAAAAAACAAAAAAUACAGGGCAUAAACAAAACCCCAGCUAUUUACAACUGACCUACUAAUUCAAUAGCUCAAAGCCACAUCCCAAGACACCCAGUACUCUACCACUCUUGCAUAAUAUAAUAUCUAAAGACACAUCUCAACACACCAGAUAAUCAUGACACAGCUUCAGCUAGAAUGGGAAUGUGCGGUAGCACAAGCCUAAUUGAGAACAAUUCAAGACUAACGAUAGAAAUCUAUCUGACUAGAAAGAGUUUUAAAAAAACAAGAAGACAUCGGGAAAGAAUUGAUUGACUUCAAGGUAUAAUGUAAUGGAACAUCCUAUGAAUUAGUGGCAACCAUAAUAAUGACUCCACUAUGGCCCUCCUUUCAAAUGUAAGAAAAUGAAUGAAAUUGGCACCAUCCCUUCAGUUUUUUCUUAACAAAAUAAGAGAUUUGUAUGUAUUCUCUGCUUUAUCGAUAUCAAAGAUAAAUUAAUAAAUAAACCAUCAAAACUGUAUAAAAUGUUUGUUAGACAUGUACAAUUACAAAAUUAUAAGUUCUCCUCAGAAACAAAGUUCUCUAAGUACGCAAACAAGAAAAGCAAAAGCUUAAAGAGUUAGCUUAUAGCAAAAUCAAUGUCCCCAUUUCUCUAAACCACACCUGCUGGUGGUAGGUUCCCAUCUUCACUCAUUUCCCGCUUUCUUUUAAACAGACAAUGAUCAAGCACAAAAGAGCAAACUUUUAAAUAACUCAUAUUACACCACAAAUAGUUCUAAAGAAAACUUAUUCAUAUCCAAUAUGCAACCCCUAAAGUUAGUAAACAGAGUUAUAAAAAAAUAUGUCAAAUUAACAAGCAUUAUUCUCAAACAAAAAGUAUGAUAUGGUUGGGAGUUUACAAGUUCAAAAUGAUAUACACAGGUUAAUUGUCUUAGACUUUAGAUAUCAUCUUCAACAAAGAAAAUAGAUACCGAUUAGACUUGUAAGAAGGUUAAAUGCAAUGGUCAUAAAGACCCAUAGUAAGCCACCAAAUACCAAUCAAUAACUGCUAUAAAAACCAUAAUAAAACCAUAAUAAACUAAAAAUACAACAGCACUAAAAUGCCAACACAACAUCACUACAUUAGCAAUAUAGUAGCAACAAAACCACAAUACGACAUCAAUAGCAACAGCAAAACAACAGCAGUGCAAGCAUCAGUCCACAAAGAACAAACCCAUUCACUGUUUCAAACAAGGAAUCAUCAUACUAAGAUCAUUUCAGAGAAACCCCAAAACCAAUUUCAGUGAAACCCCUAAACCAAUUUCAGAGAAACCCCUAAACCAAUUUCAGAGAAACCCCUAAACCUUCAACCAAUUUCGAACAAAUCCCUGAACCAAUUUCAUAGAAAUGCAUAAACCCUAAACCAACUUCAAAGAAACCCUAAACUGUAAGAAAAUGACGAUGAACAGUACCUGUUCAAGGUGAACGAUGGAGUUGAGCUUCGAUGAACAAAUUUCGCUCGGAGAGGAAGAGAGAAGAGAGAGUCAGAGCUGAGCGACGAGAGAUUAAGGGCUGAGCGACGAGAGAGUGAGAGCUGAUCGACGAGAGAUGAGAGAGUGAGAGCAAAGUGACGACAGAGUGAAGAGAAAUUGAGAGAAGGAGCCAAGAGAGAGAGCUGAGAGAGAACUUCAGCAAAACUGAUAGAGAACUUCAGCAAAAGUGAUAUGUGUACAAUAAGGGGACAAUAAAUAUAUAUUUAUAGGUUAUAGUUCCAAAUUUUUUUAAAAAGAGUGGUAUUUUCAGUUACAAUUAUAAAAAUGGUGGCAUUUUGAGCUAUUUCCUUAUUUUUUAUUCAACAUGGACGCAGAAACUGUUGCUAAACUGCAAACUUCUUAAAAUAUUUGUCUCACUUUCUCAACCCUAUAUUUGUCUAACUUUCUAGAUCCAUGUACUGAGAUUUAUUAGGGAAAUAUUGUAGAAACUGAUUAUUUUGAAAUAUUAAAUGUGAAAAACUGAACAAAAAUUUGAUGGGUUACAUAUUUCAACUCAUUUCAGCAGCUUAGAUUUUGAAGACCUCGGAAGAGGCCAUGCAGUGAGCCUAGCUAGUGCACUGUUGAUCACUUCAGUGUCUACCGAUCUGUAAUUUUUCCAGAUUGGUUAUAUUUUCCUUUACAUAUUCUUAUAUUAUUCCCAGCUGUAAGUGUUUUACACACUUGUCUAUUAGAAAAGGGGAGACUUAUAAAUAAAUCCAAAAUGGGUACAGUAUUUAUAAAGAAUGACAAAAUUAAAGUGUUUGGGCAAUAAUGCCCUUAUUCAUUUUGAGAUUGCCUAAGGAAUAUUUUUUCUGAUUUUCAGAAGAUGCCAAAGGACCGUUGUUUGAUGAUUGCCGUAAGGAGCUAAGAAAACUUGCUUUGAUAGUUUUGGACAGAUGCAUGCUACUGUUGCUGGGAUGAUCUCUUCACGUGAAAUGAGGAUGAUGAUGCUUCUACACUACACAAUCCAACGAAUUCACAUGUCUAUUUCAGAUACAAGUAUAAACUAACAAGGCUUUAAAAUAUGGGCUGAUGCACUGUUGUUGAUGUUGCUGACACUGUUACUGUGUUGUUGAUACUGUCACUGCGUUGCUGUUGGAAAAAGCACAAGGACUUCACAUGUUGCUUUCGUCUUUUGUGGAGGAGAGAGACCUAGGACUUGCAUGUCUUAGAUAUUUAAGAUAAGGGGCUUUCGUUCCAUUUUGAAAAUACUUUGGGUGUUUUUGAAAGGUGAUUGUUUCUUUUGGGUUUCUCACUAAAUUUCGCUUUAGAAGGGAAAAUAAUAAUAAUAAUGUCAAACAAAGUAGGGUAAAUAUUCAGAUAUGCUCAUAUUAUUAUUCUUCUCCAAUAUUGAGGUAUUUAUACAAGUACAAAGAUGUGUUAACCCUAAAUAAAAUAGGAAAUAUAUCUAAAUUAUAAUAGGCAGUAAAUCUCUAUUACAAUAGGACUAAAUAAUAAUUGGUAAGUAACCAAAAUUCUAAUGAAAUAAGGAAUCAAAAUCCUAACUAAGUAAGGACUCGCCAACACUCCCCCUCAAGUUAGGGCAAACAUAUUUCGCAUGCCUAACUUGACAAGCGAGUCAUAGAACACCAUACUUGAGAAGCACCAAUUGUAGAGAAGGUCUUUUCGUCAACCACGAGUGAAACAAGUGACAAACUAAAGCAAAGUUCGCAGCGGAAACACAAGAGCGAAUCCUAAAAAAUAGGGCACAUAGCAGAACACAAAAAUCCUGGAGCACGACAGUAGAUAAGGCAGAACACAGAAACCCUGUUAGCACGGCAAUAGGUAAGGCAGAAAAAGUCAAGAGCAAAGGCAAGGUCAACAGGCGUGACCACAACGAAAACACACCAGCAAAGACAUGAGCAACAAUAUUAGCACCAUAAUAGACAUGAGCAACAAUACUGGUACCAACAACAGCAAUACAAGGCACUGGCACCAGCAAGAGCAACAAGGCAUGGACAUAACAUGCAUAAUCAAUAGUAAUCAACAUUGUCCCCAACAAGAGUCAUAAUAGGCAUGAGCAAUAACAUUGUCCCCACUAAGAGACUUAACAGGUAUGAGUAACAGUACUGGCACCAGCAAAGGGCAUAGUAGUCAGCAGCAAUAACAAUGACAAAUACUUCUAUUAUUGCAGAGACAACUUCUCUUCACUCCCCAUCUCCCCUUGAAGAGAAGGGGUCAUCGGAACCAUAAGAAAAGUGGCACUUAAGAAACAGAAGUUGACUGACGCUCAAAUGUAGAAGAAUCAGCCAUGGCAAAUAGGUAGCUGAAUUGCAGCGGAAUAGAUGAGCAGCGGUGUCACUCCCCCUCAUAUCUGAUAAUGUAUGAGAGUCGAGAUUUGGAGAAAGCAAUAUCGAAAAAUAAAGUUGCAGAACCCAAAUAAAGUUGCAUCUAUCUCCCCAUCAAAUCCGACACUGGUAAAGGGUCGAGAUUUGAAAGAGGAGAAAUUGAAAUAAUAGUAAAGAGACUCAAACAUGCAGUCUCAUGGCAGAAACAAAUGCAAGAGGGGAAGAUGGUAGCAUACGGUUGUCCCAUGAAGAAAAAACUUCAGAAAAGGAGAAUAGUAAGGGAGGAAACCUAGCAAAUCAUGAACAGAGACAAAGACAAAGAUGCUCAAACUGAGAAGCGGAAAGGCAACUCAAGAGAGCAACCGAAGAAGACAGAGGCCCGCAGAACAGUCAAAGUUAAGGCUCGGCGAGUGGUGACGAUGCUCGCGGAGGAAAGCAACGGCUCGGUGAGCGGUGAUGAGGCUCACGGAGUAAAGAGACUUGUUAUGAAGUUUCAAAGAUAGAGAAGCUGAGACAUCAAGAAAGACCAUCUGGCAUACAAAGAUGAAAAAUAAAAAUUUUGGAACAGUAGCAAAGAAGCAUGUGAAGGCUGGUGCGGUGAAAACACAUAUGAAAGGAUGAACAAAAGAAGAUGACUAUACAAGAUGAAGACCCAUGAUGGGUUAGGAAUGAGGAGUGCCAACGACUCUCAAUUUGGCAGAGGUUAUCGCAGGUUAGGAACCUGGCUCUGAUACCAUGUCAAACAAAGUAGGGUAAAUAUUCAGUUAUGCUCAGAUAUGCUCAUAUUAUUAUUUUUCUCCAAUAUGGAGAUAAUUAUACAAGUACAAAGAUGUGUUAACCCUAAAUAAAAUAGAAAAUAUAUCUAAAUUACAAUUGGAAGUAAAUCUAUAUUACAAUAGGACUAAAUAAUAAUUGGUAAGUAACUAAAAUUCUAAUGAAAUAAGGAACCAAAAUCCUAACUAAGUUAGGACUCGCCAACAAAUAAUAGUACAACUCUUAUUAGCAACAGGUUACAAACUUCUUCUACAACACACCAACAUGAAUCUAGCCCUGAUCCACUCUUUUACAUACUUGAAAACAAAACAAAACACGAAAAACAAAAAACAAGAAACAAGAUAGGGAGAAAAUGGCUACGGAGAGACUUCCUGCUAAUCAGGGGCGGCCCUGGGGUGGUGCAAGUGGCGUCACCGCACAGGGCCCCCGAUUCUUAAGGGCCCCCAAAAAAUAAUUCUUUAUAUUAUAUAUAUAUAUAUUAAUAUUAUAUGAAUCGUAUAUAAAGUAUAGCGUCUGGAUGAUAAAGAGACUCAUUAUCAUUAUCUUAGUCAUAAGAUUCAAAAUGAAUUGAUACUUUUGUUAGCUUCUGAGCUCAAAAGUGCAAUCAUUAAAAAGAUUGAAGAAGCUAAAUAUUUUUCUGUGAUUCUUGAUUGUACUCCAGAUGCUAGAAACCAAGAACAAAUGAGUUUGAUAGUAAGAUGUGUGGAUGUCUCUACUAAUUCAAUAAAGGUUGAAGAAUUCUUUUUGGAAUUUUUGAUUGUGAAUGAUACAACAGGACAAGGACUUUUUGAAGAGUUGCAAACGGUGUUGCAAAAACUUAAGCUUGAUAUUGAUAAUGUGAGAGGACAAGGCUAUGACAAUGGAUCAAAUAUGAGUGGGAAAUAUCAAGGUGUCCAAAGAAAAUUUUUGGAUGUAAAUCCUAGAGCAUUGUACACACCUUGUGGUUGUCAUAGUCUUAAUUUAACACUUUGCGAUAUUGCAAACUCUUGUGGAAAAGCAAAAGAUUUUUUUGGAAUCAUACAACGUAUUUAUACAUUGUUUGCUAAUUCUACAAAGCGGUGGAAGAUAUUGAAAGAUAAUGUUAAACACUUAACUCUGAAAUCAUUGUCAGUUACACGUUGGGAAAGUCGUAUUGAAAGUGUGAGAGCAAUAAGAUUCCAAGCUGCAGAUUUAAGAGAAGCUUUACUUCAGUUAGCAGAAAGUGACGGUGACUCCAAAAUAACAAGUGAAGCUAAUUCUUUGGCAACAUAUGAACUUGGAAAUUUUGAGUUCUUAUUGGGCAUGGUUAUUUGGUAUGAUAUAUUAGGUGGUGUCAAUGUAGUGAGCAAAAACUUACAAUCUGAAGACAUGCUUAUUGAUGUUGCUAUUGAUAAAGUGAAAGGGUUGAUUACUUUUUUUUUGAAAAGUAUAGAGAAAAUGGGUUUACAGAAGCUAUGUGUACUGCUAAAAAAAUUGCUACUGACAUGGGAAUUGACCCGGUGUUUCCUGAGAAGCGAAAAAUUCGUAGAAAAAAACAUUUUGAUGAGAAUACUUGUGAGCUAUCCCAAUCAGUUCCUGAAUCAACUGAAGAAAAGUUUAGAAUUGAUUAUUUCUUGUAUUUAGUGGACCAAGCUAUUGGUUCUUUACGAAGAAGGUUUCGACAAUAUCAAGAGUAUGAGAAUUUUUGGGUUUUUGUUUACUUCAGAGAAGUUAAAUUCAUUGGAUGAUUGCGAUUUGAAGAAUAGUUGCAGUCAUCUGGAAAGCAUUUUGAAAAAUGACAAGUUUUCUGAUGUCGAUGGGGAGGAUUUAUUUGUUGAGUUGAAAGUUUUACAAGAGCUUUUACCAAAAGUAAAUACCACAGCUACUGCAAUAUUAAAUUUCUUGAAAAGAUUAAAUUGUUUUCCAAAUGCAUUCAUUGCAUAUAGAAUCCUAUUGACUAUUCCUGUUACUGUUGCAUCUGCGGAAAGAAGUUUUUCAAAAUUAAAAUUGUUAAAAUCAUACUUGAGAUCAACUAUGUCGCAAGAAAGAUUAAAUGGACUAGCUUUGAUUUCAAUUGAAAGUGAACUUCUUGAAAAACUUGAUUAUGAACAUUUGAUUGAUGAUUUCUCUUCUAAAAAUUCAAGAAGAUCAAUUUUCAGACAUUAGUAUUGUACUAGCUGUGUUUUUUUUUUUCUUCUAGGGUAAAAGCUCUCAUAAUAAUUUUAAUUCUUCAAAUAAGACAGCAAAUACAAUGUGAUGAAUUUUGGAUAAUCAGGUAUGUUUUUGUUGUUGCUUUUGUGUUUAAUGCAAUAUAAUCUAAUUUUUUUAAUGACAUUUGUGUGCAACUACUCUUUGAUUUGUGAUUGCCAAUUUUUUUUUCUUUCUAUUAAACACAGAUUGCUUAUUGGAGGCAGCAAGAGACCUUAUAGGGGCACAAGGAGCUUAUUUUUGUACAAAACAUUUAACUUUAUCAAAUGGAAACAUUUAAAUUUUUAUGAAUUUGAUUUCUGAUUGUCAUUGCAUAUUUAUUGAUGGUGAAUUUUAGUUAUAAAAAAAAAAUUGUUUAUGACAUUAAGUUAUGGCAAAUUUUUAUAGUAUUUUCGUAUUAGAUUAUGCGAGGUCCCAAUUUAAGUUUCGCACAGGGCCCUCAAAAUCUCAGGAACGGCCCUGCUGCUAAUACUUGAUCAAUAACAGAGAUAAUAGAGCACACUGUUUGUAUGACAAUGAGUAUCAGAAGAAUAAUAGCUGCAAAGAGAGAAAUAGCUGCCCAAGGUGUGUUGAAAUACUUUUGUCUCAAAUUUGCCUUCCGUCUGUUCGUGGUCUUCUUGCAGUACUCGUUUAGUUUGCCAGCAAGAUCACCAAAAUAGUAGUUUCCGUGGUUCGGAGCAACUUUACUGCAAAGCUUGUUAAUCAUAAUGGAAACCUUAUUGUUGUCACCUAGCGUGUUUACAACAAUUCCAUUGUCAACAAGCAACUCUACAUCCUUUGGGGUGUUUACAAAUUUAUCCAGGAUGAAAACAUAAUCGCUUAUGUAUUUAUCCACGCAAUGGCCUUGUUCAAAGGCAAUGAGAUUUCUAUGUGUAAGCUGUGUAAUCAUGUAUUUCAAUUUUUGGAAUUUCCAAGGUGUUUUUCUUGAACUGUAUAUCGAAUAAGUUCUUGCUUGAUCCCACGUUAAACUUAACUCCGGCCUGGUGUAGUUUUGUCAUGCUGGGUGUACUUUGGAGCCCUCCAUUUUUUUUUCUUUUGGCAGAUGUAAAGUUCUAAUAAAAUCAACAAAAUGUAAAGGUUUUUUAGGAUCAGGAGGCAUAAAAGACUUACGGAAGGCUGGUGAGUUCUCCAAGUUUUCUAAACGCAGUGCCUGUUGGAAGAACUUGUAAGAGAGUUCAAUUAUUGAAGGCUCCCCAGUCUGAGCACCUGUGAGAUUGUAAAGAUCCUCGAGAAUGAAAAAUGGCAGCUGAUUUACGAGCAUAAGCAUGUCAGGCAAUAUAUUUUGUAGCACCCAUGGUUUUUUAAAUAUCCAAGCAUCAUCAUCCUGCAAUUUUUCUUCCUGAAAUUUUUCUUCGGAUUUAUUCCUCAACAAUAGCUCAAUGACAAAGGCGGCAUCAACUAGAAUGAUAUUCACAAAAGUAGCAAUGUUAAACUUCUUAGGGCUAGUUUGGCGGCGUUGUGCUUUUAAAAAAAUAUGCUUCUGCUGUGCUGUGAAAAUAAUUAGCUGUGAAAAAAAGCUACUAGGCGUUUGGUAAACUGUUUUUGAAAAACUGCUGUGAGUAGUCAAAGUGUUUGGUAAAUUUUUAUCAGAAGUACUUUUAGUGUGUAUAAUGACCAAAAAGGACAUGAUGAUGAAAUUGUUUGUUAUUUUCUUCAUUCUUUUUCUACUUUAAAAAAAAAAAAAACCCAAUUUCACUACAUAAAUUUUUAUUCUUUUUUAAUUCACACCUUUUUAUCAAAAAAUUUAAUCUACAAUUAACAUACAUAUUUUACCAUAAAUUAUAAAUUACUAUUAUAACAAAAGUAAUUCUAAAUAUUGUUAUAUUAAUAUGGGCUUCGGACAUGACAAAAAUACAAAAAUUGUUCAAUUUUAAAAUGCCCCAAUAGAUCACUACAAUAUAAAAGAAGCUAAUUAGAUGCAUUCAUUAAACUUGUAGCGAUGCUAUUUCUUAAUGCAUUCAUUAGCUUCUUUUUUUGGUUUCCAAUGGUUCUCUAACAAUUUUAACUAAAAAAACAACCAUAAUGCUUUGUGAACAAUAAAUUCAAGUCCAAAUCUGCUAUUGCCCACACCAUACAUAUAUACAUAAUUGUUCCUUUCAUAAAACUUGAAGAUUCAAUAGUAAUUACACAGUUUACCAAUCUUGAUUCCAACUAUAUCCAUAAAAUUAAACUAUAAUUAGAAAUAGAGGAGCUACAUGUGAUUACUCAUAAAUGCUUCCCACUCUCAUCAUCAUCAUCAUCAUCAUCUUCCUCCUCUGUACUUUGCCUUUCACAAAUGGACAAGACCAGAUGGUAACGUACACGACAUGGUCCACAUAUAGAUAAAUUUUGGGUUCACUGGAGAACAUAAAAGAGUUUUUACACGAAUACAAAGUUAGUUAAGUAGUGAAUAAAGUAAAACUAUUCUGUACAAUUCUAGCUGAUGCAGUCCAAAAAGAAUAUAUGUCUAAUAACUUAAAUAACAAUAAAGAGAAACAAAAGCCUCAUGAAAAAUGCUAGAGUAAAAGUUACAUAACUGAAUCGAUGGACAGAGAACUCCACAGGCAGAGAAACAGCAACAAAAAUUGUCAAAACAGUAGCAAGACCAUGUUGGAGUCAAGGCCAAAGAUCAUAUUUCCUGUGUAUCUUCUUCCAUUCUGAAUUAUUCUCGUAUUCAAAUACUGUAACUCUAUUUCAAGUGCACCCCAAAAUACUUAUCUAAGGCCAGUACAUAGGACUUCAUAAAGGGUGCGAUAAAAAAUAUUGCCCCUUAAUUGAUAAACAGAACCAAGAUCCCAACAGCACACCAAAACUAUACCAACCACACCUACAUAAUAUGGACAGAAAAUCCUGUUGUUCCGAUCUCUAACCACACCAAUGACAUUCAUUAGGAAAAUACAAAAGAUGGGUACCCUGCAUUUCUAACAUUUAAGAUAAAAUUCACUGCCAGCUAAUCACAAAUUUGAAAAGAUGGCAAGAAAAUUGGCUAAGCUUUAACAAAAACCAGAGCAGUCCUUGCAUAGACCUGACUUUUUGCUCCAAGCUUUAGCAGAUCACUUACUGGUAGAGAGCAGAGAACAUGUAUGUGAAUAUCUGAAGUUGGAAGGGUAAGCCAUCACAAACACCAAGAGAUCUGAUUCUCAUCUCUUGUUACAACAACAAAUCACAAACACCAAUACAUCUGAUUCAGAAUCUCAUAAACAAUGGAGGAACAAACACAUAUUCACACACAUAUAAAUCCCUAAACAGAAAAAAUAAAAAAUAAAAAAAAAACCAUGAAAGUCAUAGGAGAAUCAAAUUGAUUUGGGCCAAAAUUGCCUAAAAAGAAAACACUCCUAAAUAAACUUCAAUUCACUUUUAAAAACAGUAAAACAUGAUUGAAUCAUUCUUUAAAACAAUUCCCUAAUAUACAUGCAUGAUAAUGACAUCAUUUACCCCUGAAUCAAAUGCCUUUCACUGGUCAAGCCACAAGUCUGUGUUUUGGGAAUUGCUGAGCUGCAUCAAUCCUGCCAAUGUAAAUUCUGCCCCUAGGCUCUCUCAAAGUGCGUUUACAACCUAUGCUAACAUAUACUAGAGUUUGUUUUAGUAUCUAGAAAAUGCCAACACUAAUUUCGUAACACGUAGAAAUUGUUACAUAUUGGAAGUUUUUAUCAUUUUUUCUUCCAGUCUCUCCACCACUCACUAAUACAGAUUACUCAUGUGAUGAGUUUACAAAACAUAUUUCUCUACUCCCACAAAGACCAUACUUUUUCUCAAAAGACUAUAUCACUUUAUCUCUAUCUUUGUGAAAUGUAAAAAGUUGAAACUUUAAUGUCAAACCUCGACAAAAGAUGAACAUCCAUCAUCAAUUACAUUGAAUUUGAAUUUGUUGAACUUAAGUAGUUUUACUUCUCUGUCAGCGUUUGAUGACUUGAUUUGUUAUUUACUUCUUCUUUUUUCCUUGGAAAUGUGUUCCAUCAACGUGAGGAAGAAAAAUAUGCACAAAUUAAUAUAUUUAAUAGAAGCAAAAAUUAAUAUUUACAAAAAUAUGCACAAAUCAAGUAAAAUUAAUAAAGCAUAAAUUGGAAAGGGAAAAUAUGUAGAGGAUGCAUUGUAGGAUUGCUCAUGCCAAUAAUUGUACCCUCUAAAUAUAUAGGGACAUAUUUUUUUUUGUUUUCAUGACAUGUGGUCCUAAAAUUAUUGUUCUUAGCGGGCUCUCCACCCCUCUCGACUGAAAACCUAUUGUGUAAAUCUUCAAUCCUGAAUGAUGCACCUAAAACUCAUGUUGCAAUACACAUCCACCCAUUCUCAGGCCAAUUAUUACUCCUAGUGGGCUCUCCACCCCCUCUCAAAUUUAAGUGGUCCAUUAUUAUUAACCGUAUAUUUUAUGGACCAGCCAGCUGUGAGGUUUUAUCUCAAAAACCUUUCUCCCACAUGCCACAAUUUAUGUCUGAUACAUCACAUCAUGCCAGUUGUCUCAAAUGAAUUUAAGUGAGUGAGGCAGUGUUACUUCUGGGUACCCCUCAUUAUUCGUCUAUAAAUUGGUGAAGCCAGUUGCUACUGUUACCAUAAGAGCCAGCUCCGACUUUCAAAAUAAAAAUUCCAACAACGGUCUUAGUGCCUUCAAUUGUAUGAGUCAUUGAACAUGCAAAUGAAUAAAAUAUGAAUGAUAAAAGUGUUUGAUAAAUCACCAAGUUAUAGAACACUUGAUGAUUUAUCUCAAAUAAAAAUUCAGCUUUCUAAAGUUUGUGAAUUGAAAAUAUAAUCGUUAAAGCUCUCUAAACAAAGAAGACGAAAGUCUUAUUUUAUAGAAUUUUUCUUUACAAGAAAGAAAACAUGUUGAAAACCAAAUCUCCAAUUUCCAAGGCUUGACAGAAAAUCAAAAAAAUAUCUUUCCUAUUCUAGAGAUUGGUCACAUGUAGUUCAACCAAUAGGAAAUGAGAUAUUUAAGAAAGCAAGAUUUUGAUCAAUACCAAUAUCAAAUGAAUUCUUAUACGCCUAGUCAACUAUUAAGGGUAUCUUGACUCCUUGAUAUUGUGAUAUGAUUGAAACAUGAUUUCCAUGUUAGAAAAUUAAGGGGAUGUUAAAACAUGAAAGUAAUAGGAGAAUCAAAUUGAUUUGGACUAAAAUUGCCUAAAAAGAAAACACUCUUAAAUAAACUUCAAUUCACUUUUAAAAACAGUAAAACAUGAUUGAAUCAUUUUUUAAAACAAUUCCCUAAUAUACAUGCAUGAUAAUGACAUCACUUACCCCUAAAUCAAAUUGUCACGCCCCGGACCUGGGGGUCAGUGGAAACCCCACGUUCGGUGCGUGAGAAAAUAAAAAGUAAAAUAAAAUAAAAAGAAUGCCGAAACAAGGGUUUAAAAUAAACUUCUCUUAUAAAAAUAACUCCAAAAUCUUACAACUUUACAAGAAAUAAAUAAAGCCCUAUCAUUCUUAUCUAAUUCAGCCUCAACUGGUUUAGUCCUUGUCUUGCCCACUAAUUCAUCUAAAAAAUGAAGAGUGUUGCUAAACGAACCCUAAAAUUAAUUGAGUACACCCUACUACCAAACGAUUUAUUGAAUUUGUCACAUCUCGGGAUCAACUCCGCCGUAGCACGAUAUUGUUCGCUUUGGGCCCUCCCUCUCUGGCUCGCAUGGUUUUGUUUCUGGGAACUCACGAGUAACUUCCCAGUGGGUCACCAAUCCUGGGAUUGCUCUAGCCCACAACUCGCUUAACUUCGGAGUUCCUACGACUCCGAAGCCUGUGAGCUCCCAAAAGGUCUCGUGCUAGAUGGAUGCGGGUGUGCACAUAUAAGGCACAUCACCCCCUCUCCGUUGGUUGAUGUGGGAUCUUAUAGAAUUACUAAUUUAUCCUAAUAUAAAAUGACCAAAGAAGAUAAAAUAAUAUUGGUAUCUAUUGCUUUGAAUCCAUGCCUUCAAACAAAUUGACUUAAUUUUUAACAAACAACACGGAGUCCAGGAGAAGUGUAUUGAUCCAAGUUGAUUUUUGUAUGCGUAAAACUUAAACAAUCAAUAACACAAAGCAGUUCAUGCUGAAAUAUUGGAAACCCACACCCAAAGAGUUCUCCGCUGCGAGGUUGAAGGCAGGAGAGAUGGGUGACAGAUUUUACUUCCACUGCGAAGUUGGAGGCUAGGAGAGUCUGUGACUGCCAUGGUUGAGGGAGAAGAUGCGUUCAAAAUGCCUAUUGAUAUUUUACAUUAUUGGCUUUUUUCAAAAGUGAAAGUUUUUUUAUGGGUAAAACCUAAAUUUACUUUUUCUAUACAAGUUAACAGUGUUUGUGUAUUGUGAAAAGGUGGAGAGACGUGUCAAAAUUUUAGACAAAGGACAGGAGGAGAUAGGGAAUUUGGGGACAGCAGAUCUCAACUCCCUUGAGACCCUAUUCUCUACGCCACCCCUCCCCCUCAACAACCCUAGUCACCAUUUCUCCUUCAACUCCAACGGCAACUCAUUAAAACCCAAUUCUCAAAUGCAACAAUCUAAUCCCAAUCCCAAUUCAGAUGUUUCUAAAAAACCCAUUGUCGUGGUGGAGAACUGCAAUUCCAGGUGGUGGUGGUGGUACCACAUGGGAGAGAGAAAAAAGAAGAAGAAGAAGCAGGAGAGAGAGAGUUUUUUAUUUUAUUAUUAUUUUACUGUAAUUUUUUAAUUUAAAUAAUUAAAAAAAUUAAAAGUUAAAGAGGAUGUACCAUGGGUAUUUUUGGUAGUUAAAUAAGGUGUACUUAGGGUCAGUUUGGCAUUGCUGUGCUGUGAAAAUAAUAGCUGUCAGAUUUGCUGUGAGAGAAAUCAGCUGUGAGAGAAAUCAGUUUGGCGUUUGAUAAAAUUUUUGUUAAAAGUGUGUUGAUAUUGAUUUUAUGCUUAAUCCGAAAAUGAUUGCUGCAUAAUCAUUAAACCCAGCGCCUCUUCGAAACUGAUUCCUAUAUAAUCAGAAAAUGAAAGCACCUCAUUAGCUGCUUUCCUUUAUAGCUUUCUCUCACAGCAAUUUUUAACAAUAAGUGAUUUUCUCACAGUUUACCAAACGGGUUGGGCUUCUCAAAAUUUUUUAAAAAUCACUUAUUACCCCAAAUAAGCAAUACCAAACGGGCACUUAGUUAAUUUUACAUUUUAAUUUAAACAUUAGGGUGUACUCAGUUAAUUUUAGGGUUCGUUCAGCAGCACUCAAAAUUAAACAAGGUGAGGGAUGAGCAAGUAGGGACAUGAGACAUUGCCACAGUAGAUUGAUAUAACUAAAUAUUAUUAUAAACAUAGAAAUAUAUAAGUAUUAUUAUAAUAGGAUUCAUAAUAAUUAAUAUAAAAGUAUAACAACAAUAUUUACAUUUAUGUACCAAGAUAAUUACACAUAUAAAUAUAACCAAUAUAUAUUUUUAUAUAUUUUAAAAUAUAAGUCUUUACGUAAAUGCCUUUCACGGGUCAAGCCACAAGUCUGUGUUUUGGGGAUUGCUGAGCUGCAUCAAUCCUGCCAAUGUCAAUUCUGCCCCUGAGCUCUCUCAAAGCACGUUUAAAACCUAUGCUAACAUAUACUAGAGUUUAUGCUGUAUCUAGAAAAUGCCAACACUAAUUUCGUAACACGUAGAAAUUGUUAGAGAUUGGAAGUUUUUAUCAUUUUUUCUUCCAGUCUCUCCACUACUUAUUAAUACAGAUUACUCAUGUGAUGAGUUUACAAAACCUAUUUCUCUACUCUCGCAAAGACUAAACUUCUUCUCAAAAGACUAGAUCACUUUACCUCUAUCUCUGUGAAAUGUAAAAAGUUGAAACUUUAAUGUCAAACCUCGACAAAGUGUUCUACUUUACAAACUUCUUGUGUCUACCAAUUUGUACUAAAAUUAAUUUCUCUACAGUGCUCAGAUUCAUCAUAUGUGUGUCCUUAAUUUUAGUGGAAAUUGGAAGUUUCCAUAAUUUUUGCUUUAAGUCACUCUUCUGAAGGAAGUUGAGGUUCCACUUCAUAAUCCAAAAUGUCAGGUUGACUUAUGGCAAACAAUGUAAAUAUGUAGGAGUACUAUGACCUUUUAUAGCAUUUUUAGUUUGAAUUUGGGUUUUAUACAUAGAUUUCAAAAUUAAUAGGUUGAUGCCUAGGAAAUAGAAAUUGUAAGGGCCUAUAUUAGAGUAGCCCUCUUAAAAAUAAUAUUAAUUAAUGAAUAUUUGUUCUUCUUGUUGUUUUGAAGUAGUGGUGGGAGGCAGACCAACAAAAAAAAAAUAUAGUGAAGGCUUAUAAGAGCAUUUACAAUCAUGCUCCCUAUUUUUUAGUUAAAAUUUAGCUAAAAAUAGAAAAAAAGUUAUUAUAGGAGCUCUUUAUAAAGCUCCUUUAUAAAAUUUGAACUCCAAUCAUACUCCCUAGUUUAGGGAGUCAAAAAUACUAUAGUUAUUUUUUAAUUCAAUUUGAUUUUGGUUAAUCUCUAUAAAUAUGAAAAAAUAGUUAGCAUUAAUUAAAAGUUUAAACUAUGCAUAAAACAAAGAAACAUUAAAUUAUAGGGAGCCACUAUGAGUCAUUACUCUCUCCUCAGAUUUAGGAGCUCCUAAAGGUCUCCCUAUUUUAUGAGGUGGAUAAGGAGCAUGGUUGGAGUUGUAUUUCUUCAAUUUCCUCCCUAAAAUUUGUCUAAGGAUGUGGUUUAGGGAGCCCAUUGUGAAUGCUCUAACUCUGGUAAAACACGAGUGACAUGGACAACAUAUGUUACGUCGUACUGAAGAUUUUUGGGUUUCUUUAAUUGGUUAAGUAGCAUCCACACAGCUUCCUAAAUCAUCUCCUUAGACAAAUUUUAGGGAGGAAUUGGAAAAGUACAACUCCAACUAUGCUCCCUAUCCACCAACUAAAAUAGGGAGACUUCUAGGAGCUCCUAAAUCUGAUGAGAGAGAAAGGACUCUUAAUGACUCCCUAUAAUUUAAUGUUGCUUUAUAUUAUUUUGUAUACAGACGGGUCAAUUAUAUUAAAUUAAAAAAUAAUUAAAGUAUUUAUGACUCUCUAAACUAGUGAGCAUAAUUGUAGAUCAUCUUAUAUACCUUAAUUUGAAGAUUCUUUAUUUGGGUUUCUUUCAAGACUUAUCACCUUAGCCACGCCACCUACACGUCUGCAAGCUUUCCUAACAAGGAAGGGGAGGCUGCGCAAUACUUAUCACCUUAGCCACACUACACCAAAUUGACGUCUGCAAGCUUUCGUAAUCUAACAAGGAAGGGGAGGCUGCGCAAUACUUAUCACCUUAGCCACACCAACACCACAAGACCAAUAUGUGUAGUCCAGGAGGCUUUCCCAUUUUAAUAUAUAUUAUCAAAUAAAAUAAAAAUCAAUCUAUUAUCAUAUAUAUUAUAAAAUAAAGAUUAUUGCUCCAUCCUCCAUGCACUUGCAUGCCUCUUACAAAGUGUGAAGUAGAUUUUGUGUGCUCCAAGUCAUUGACGAGAGCUGUAACAUGGUUAGCUGGAUUUAUAAGAUCUUUUCUUUUCUGGGAAUUUUCUGAAUCAAGAAAAAUUAAGUAAAAUUAAUAAAGCAUAAAUUAGAAAGGAAAAAUAUCUAGAGGAUGCAUUGUAGGAUUGCACAUGCCAAUAAUUGUAUCCUCUAAAUAUAUAGGGACAUAUUUUUUUGUUUUCAUGACAUGUGGCCCUAAAAUUAUUGUUCCUAGCGGGCUCUCCACCCCCUCUCGAUUGAAAACUAAUUGUGUAAAUCUUCAAUCUUGAAUGAUGCACCUAAAACUCAAGUGUCCCAGGCCAAUUAUUGCUCUCAUACCACUUGUUGUAAUAAACAUCCAUCCAUUCUAAAGGAAAGAUAACCAUCGAUAUUAUCUCAAAUUUAACCACUUAAGUUCAUUAUGAUUAACUAUGUAUCUUAUGGACCAAUCCAAUCAUGAGGUUUUAUACCCAAUUAGAUCGACUAAUACAAAGUUCACACGUGGAUUGAAAAGCGCUAUCAGUAGGGGAGUGUUCGGCACCCUUUACUGCCGAACGCAACACAAGACCCCUUGCAUGCCUUCACUAAGUUGAGCCUAUCUAUUUUUUAGCAUUAACAAUAUAUAUAGAUUGAAAAAAUAAAAUAAAAAUCAAUCUAUUAUCAUAUAAAAUAAAUAUUAUUGCUCCAUCCUCCAUACACUUGCAUGCCCUCUUACAAAGUGUGAAGUAGAUUUUUUGUGCUCCAACUCAUUGACUAGGGCUGAAACAUGGUUAGUUGGAUUUAUAAGAUCUUUUCUUUUCUGGGAAUUUUCUGAAGCACGGAAAAUCAAAUAAAAUUAAUAAAGCAGAAACUGUACCCUUUAAUUAUAUAUGGACGUAUGUUUUUUUGUUUUCAAGUCUUAGAUGACAUGGGGACCUAAAAUUAUUGCUCCUAGUGGACUCUCGACCCCUCUCAAAUUUAAGUGGUCCAUUAUUAUUAACCACAUAUUUUAUGGACCAUGCAGCUGUGAGGUUUUAUCUCAAAAACCUUCGGUACAUUUCUCCCACAUGCCACAAUUGUAUAUUCACAAUUACGGCUGUUACGUCACAUCAUGCCACUUGCCUCACAUGCAACAAGUCUGUGUUUUGGGGAUUGCCGAGCUGCAUCAAUUCUGCCAAUGUCAAUUCUGCCCCUGGACUCUCUCAAAGCACAUUUAAAACCUAUGCGAACAUAUAUUAGAGUUUAUGAUGUAUGUAUCUAGAAAAUGCCAACACUAAUUUCGUAACAUGUAAAAAUUAUUAGAGAUUGGAAGUUUUUAUCAUUUUUUCUUCCAGUCUCUCCACCACUUAUUAAUACAGAUUACUCAUGUGAUGAGUUUACAAAACCUAUUUCUCUACUCUCGCAAAGACUAAACUUCUUCUCAAAAGACUAGAUCACUUUACCUCUAUCUCUGUGAAAUGUAAAAAGUUGAAACUUUAAUGUCAAACCUCGACAAAGUGUUCUACUUUACAAACUUCUUGUGUCUACCAAUUUGUACUAAAAUUAAUUUAUCUACGGUGCUCAGCUUCAUCGUAUGUGUGUCCUUAAUUUUAGUGGAAAUUGGAAGUUUCCAUAAUUUUUGCUUUAAGUCACUCUUCUGAAGGAAGUUGAGGUUCCACUCCAUAAUCCCAAAUGUCAGGUUGACUUAUGGCAAACAAUGUAAAUAUGUAGGAGUACUAUGACCUUUUAUAGCAUUUUUAGUUUGAAUUUGGGUUUUAUACAUAGAUUUCAAAAUUAAUAGGUUGAUGCCUAGGAAAUAGAAAUUGUAAGGGCCUAUAUUAGAGUAGCCCUCUUAAAAAUAAUAUUAAUUAAUGAAUAUUUGUUCUUCUUGUUGUUUUGAAGUAGUGGUGGGAGGCAGACCAACAAAAAAAAUAUAGUGAAGGCUUAUAAGAGCAUUUACAAUCAUGCUCCCUAUUUUUUAGUUAAAAUUUAGCUAAAAAUAGAAAAAAGUUAUUAUAGGAGCUCUUUAUAAAAUUUGAAUUCCAAUCGUACUCCCUAAUUUAGGGAGUCAUAAAUAUUAUAGUUAUUUUUUAAUUCAAUUUGAUUUUGGUUAAUCUCUAUAAAUAAAUAAAAAUAUGAAAAAAUAGUUAGCAUUAAUUAAAAGUUUAAACUAUGCAUAAAACAAAGAAACAUUAAAUUAUAGGGAGCCACUAUGCCAAUAAUUGUAUCCUCUAAAUAUAUAGGGACAUAUUUUUUUUGUUUUCAUGACAUGUGGCCCUAAAAUUAUUGUUCCUAGCGGGCUCUCCAACCCCUCUCGAUUGAAAACCAAUUGUGUAAAUCUUCAAUCUUGAAUGAUGCACCUAAAACUCAAGUGUCCCAGGCCAAUUAUUGCUCUCAUACCACGUGUUGUAAUAAACAUCCAUCCAUUCUAAAGGAAAGAUAACCAUCGAUAUUAUCUCAAAUUUAACCACUUAAGUUCAUUAUGAUUAACUAUGUAUCUUAUGAACCAAUCCAAUCGUGAGGUUUUAUACCCAAUUAGAUCGACCAAUACAAAGUUCACACGUGGAUUGAAAAGCACUAUCAAUAGGGGAGUGUUCGGCACCCUUUACUGCCGAGCGCAACACAAGAUCCCUUGCAUGCCCUCACUAAGUUGAGCCCAACUAUUUUUUAGCAUUAACAAUAUAUAUAGAUUGAAAAAAUAAAAUAAAAAUCAAUCUAUUAUCAUAUAUUUUAUAAAAUACAUAUUAUUGCUCCAUCCUCCAUACACUUGCAUGCCCUCUUACAAAGUGUGAAGUAGAUUUUUUGUGCUCCAACUCAUUGACUAGGGCUGAAACAUGGUUAGUUAGAUUUAUAAGAUCUUUUGUUUUUUGGGAAUUUUCUGAAGCAAGGAAAAUCAAAUAAAAUUAAUAAAGCAGAAACUGUACCCUUUAAUUAUAUAUGGACAUAUGUUUUUUUGUUUUUUUGCUCUCGACCCCUCUCAAAUUUAAGUGGUCCAUUAUUGUUAACCACAUAUUUUAUGGACCAUCCAGCUUCGGUACAUUUCAAAAAGCUUCGGUACAUUUCUCCCACAUGACACAAUUGUAUAUUCACAAUUACUUCUGGGUACCCCUCAUCAGUCGUCUAUAAAAUGGUGAAGCCAGUUGCUACUGUUACCAUAAGAGCCAGCUCCGACUUUCUUUAAUUUCUUGCUACAUCUGUUGCUAAGUUAAUUUCAGUCCUAAUGGGGUUUCAUCUCCCACUCAUCUUUGCUAUUCUCAGUGUAAGCUCUGCAAUUUGAUUAACUUUUCCAUUCUCUCUCAUUGUACUCUAUAUAUAUAAAUGAAAGUUUUGUGUUCCUAUAAUUCUCUCCGAUUUUAUUUAGUACGUACUUAAGUGUCGUCCACUAAUUAAUUACACUUUGUGAGAUUUGAUUUUAAUUAGAGUUCGAAUUAAUGUUGCAGCUAGCAGCGGUUGCACUGGCAAACAAUGCUGCUCAACCAGCACCUCAACUUUACUGGAACUCCGUCCUGCCAAACACACAGAUGCCAAGAUCUAUCAGUGAACUUCUGCAUCCUGGUUUGUGUUCAGCUCUUUAUAAUCUUAGAUAUCUCUUCUACCUGCCAUUUUACUAAAAUAUGUUCGACCACAUAUUUAUCAGCUAACUACUGUGAUUACAAGAAUGACACUUAUUUUCCAAUAUAAUUUGCAGACUCCACAAAUGAAGAAAAGAGCAAACCUGAAAUUUUCCCAUUGCAGGGCAAUAGAGUUUACACUCAAAGCCAUUAUAAAAAACGUCCUCCUCCUCCAUCUGACGAGGGCAAACCUGAAACUUUCCCAUUGGGCAAUAGCCAUUACACUCAAACCCGUUAUAAAAAACGUCCUCCUCCUCCAUCUGACGAGGGCAAACCUGAAAAUUUCCCAUUGGGCAAUAGCCAUUACACUCAAACCCGUUAUAAAAAACGUCCUCCUCCUCCAUCCGACGAGGGCAAACCUGAAAAUUUCCCAUUGGCCAAUAGCUUUUACACUCAAACCCGUUAUAAAAAACGUCCUCCUCCUCCAUCUGACGAGGGCAAACCUGAAAAUUUCCCAUUGGCCAAUAGCUUUUACACUCAAAGCCAUUAUAAAAAACGUCCUCCUCCUCCAUCUGACGAGGGCAAACCUGAAAAUUUCCCAUUGGCACGUUCUCCUCCAUCUGACAGUCAACUAAAGCAUUACAAAGACUUAGCUAUUUUCUUCUUCGAGAAGGACAUGCGCCCGGGCACAACUAUGAAGUUCCAAUUCCCUAGAAAUUCAAACACGGCUACUUUCCUGCCACGCGAAAGUG